UAAAAUGUUUGUAGAUUUUUGUAGGGCUAUCAUUAUAUUGUGUUAGCACCCCUGACAGCACCAGCCCAUCAGCCCAACCAACUACCAAGCCCGACGAGGAGACGGCCCAAGGCCCAGCCAAGAGGAUCAAGAAACCCAACCCAAGAGUGAGUGGCAGCCAGUGGGUGAACGCAACACAGGAGGGAUAAAUGGAGAAGCUGGCAACCCUGAGGGGAUCGAAGAUCGAUCAAGGCACGGCACGGCACGGCGGCGGCUACCUACUACCUUAGAACCCUAGUUCCUUUUCCACUCAUCUCCAAUUUGGCACCUUGGUGCUUGUAAUCUUCAGAUCUUGUGAACCACCACCAUAUUCUGAGAGUAAUACUAGUGCCGUGCUAACACUUGGUACUCAGAGCCCAACGCCCAAUUUUGCUUCCGCCCUGGCGGCGUCCAUCAUCGAAACACGACAGCAGCGAGCGGAAAGGAUGCAGAAGGACCAGGAGCCCGUCACCAAGGGCGACCUCAAGGAGUUCUUCAAGGAGCUGCGGGCGGAGUGGAAGGAGGACAUCAAGUCUUCCGUCGCCGCCGAGUUCGCGUCAUGGAGACCUGGGAUUGACUCGCAGAUCGCUGAUCUGCAGGAGGAAGUCGACUUACUCAAGAAGCAGCGCGCGGGCGACAAGGGAAACGACGCAGAGGAGGCGUCGGCAACAGAUCACACCUAUCUGUUGGCGCGGAAGAACAAUUCGUCUUCGGACGGAUAUCCGGCGCGUCUUCCUCCUCGGGCCGAUGGCCUCGGCGCUGCAUCACCUCCACGGACGGCGGUCGACGCGGUGCUCGUCAGCCCGCCGGCCCCUCCGGCCAACGGUACGGUCAAUUCCCGGCUUCAGUUACCUGCUGUCACCAACACUCUGUCACCGGCUGGGGGUUUAGGGAAUUUAGCACCAUUUUUUGCCUCAAAUGCUCCCAGUCCACCUUCCAUGCCUUUUCCUGUGUUCGAUGGAGAGAACCCACUGUUGUGGAAAGAUCUCUGUGAACAAUACUUCGCCAUCUAUGGGAUCCCAGAGUCAGUUUGGGUGCAAAUGGCUACACUGAAUUUUUCUCCUACGACAGCAGUCUGGUUGCAAUCAGUUCAUAAGAAAGUGUUAUGCUUGGAUUGGGAGGGGCUAUGCAAUGUUUUAUCAACCCGCUUUGGGCGUGAUCGCCAUCAGCUCCUUAUUAGACAAUUUUUUGCCAUUAAACAGCAUAGUUCAGUGCAGGAUUACAUUGAUCGCUUUGAACAUUUGAUGAACCAGUUAUUAUCUUAUUCUGACGAGGUUCAUCCUUUCUACUUUUUGACACGGUUCAUCGGCGGCCUGAGGGCGGACUUGCGCGCUGCGAUCAUGGUGCAGCGGCCUCCAGACUUGGACACAGCCUGCGCCCUUGCAUUGGUCCAGGAGGAAGCGCAUGACGGGGGAAGGUCGGAGCAGUUUCGUCCCCCUGAACAAGUUUUCCGGCCAUCGCCUCGCCUACCUCCUCAGGCAGUGCCCCUCCACCAACCUCGUCCUCCUACAACACCAGUCGCAGCGAAUCGCCGCGGCCUCGAAGCGGCCCGUGCAGCACCGGUUGAACAACCAAGGCAAGCACCACAAGAAACAAACCCGCUGAACACUCUUUGUGCAUACAGAAGAGCCAGGGGAUUAUGCUUCAAGUGUGGCGAGCGUUGGGGGCGUGACCACACUUGUCCAACCACAAUCCAGAUGCAUGUGUUGGAGGAAUUAAUGGAUUUCAUGGGGAUUGAACAAAACACAGACGGAGAGACGAGUGUUAGUCCAGAUUCCACUGAAGAAACAGUUUAUGCAGUAACUUUGCAAGCAUUCAACGGGAAUGACUCUUCCAAACUACUGCAGUUCAGCGCAUUGAUCCAGGAUCAAGCUGUGGAAGUGUUGAUUGACUCGGGCAGCUCAGCGUCCUUCAUCAACUCACGUUGUGCCGAGGGCUUGCUGGGAUUACAACAAUUACCCAAAGCAGCUCGUGUGAAGGUUGCAAACGGAGCAGAGCUGCGGUGUGAGCAAGAAUUAACUGAAUGUCAGUGGACAGUACAAGGGCAUCAGUUUGCCACCUCUUUUAAAGUGUUGCCUUUGGGAGGUUUUGAUGUGAUUGUGGGAAUGGACUGGCUGGAAGCUUUGAAUCCACACAUUGAUUGGAUCAACAAAACGGUGACAAUUCCCUCGGCGUCUACCCCGAUUCAGUUACAAGGGCACAAAUUCUCUGAAAAUAAAUGCCCUCAAAUAUCUGCUGAAGAAUUGCAGCACAUGUGUCCAGGGCGAAGUGGAUCAUCUUGUGUACCUCUGUGCUACUCCUGAUCAGCACAAACAAGCACAACAGCUUGCUGAUACAUCAUUAGUGCCAGUUGAAAUUCAGCACAUUUUAGAAGAGUUUUCUGAUGUGUUUGCCACCCCAGGGCCUUCCACCACGCAGAGCUUGCGACCACUGGAUCCCACUCCUUCCAGGGGCUCAACCAAUCAAUAUCCGUCCGUAUCGGCACUCACCAGAUACCAAAAAUGAAAUUGAGCGUCAAGUCAAAGAGUUGCUAGCUUCGGGCAUCAUCCAACACUCCAAUAGUCCCUUUGCUUCUCCGGCAAUUCUGGUGCGCAAGAAAGACGGCCAAUGGCGUUUGUGCAUUGACUAUCGCAAGUUAAAUGCGCUGACCGUCACUCCAAAAUUCCCUAUUCCAGUCAUUGAUGAAUUACUCGAUGAACUAUCAGGAGCUAGCUGGUUUUCGAAGUUAGAUCUCUGUUCCGGUUACCAUCAAAUCAGAUUGGCAAAAGGAGAAGAAUUCAAGACUGCUUUUCAAACUCACUCUGGUCACUAUGAGUUCAAGGUCUUGCCAUUUGGAGUGGCAGGGGGCCCAGCAACCUUUCAAGGAGCUAUGAAUCACACACUGAAAACGGUAUCGCGUAUCUGCGUUCUGGUGUUUUUCGACGACAUUCUUGUCUUCUCCAAGACCUUUACUGACCAUGUCAAGCAUCUUCGAGAAGUCUUACAACUCUUGCGCAAUGACCAAUGGCAGAUCAAAGCUUCCAAAUGCUUUUUCGCUCAAUGAGAACUCUCCUAUCUGGGAUUUGUCAUCAGUGAACAAGGGGUUUCCACAGAACCUGAUAAAAUCAAGCAGGUGCAACAGUGGCCUCUUCCCAUCAAUGUCAAACAGCUAAGGCAAUUCUUGGGCCUUUCCGGUUACUACCGCAAAUUUGUUCGCCAUUAUGGUAUUAUAGCAAAGCCGUUGACACAUCUUUUGAAGAAAAACAUCCCUUUUGUGUGGACGAGUGAGUGCACAACAUCGUUUGAGACCUUGAAAACUGCAUUGGUGACAGCUCCUGUCCUUGCCCUGCCAGACUUCUCGAAGCAGUUUGUCCUUGAGACCGAUGCUAGUGAUCUUGGCGUUGGAGCUGUUUUGCAACAAGACGGUCAUCCCUUGGCAUUUCUGAGUAAGCCUCUCGGUCCUCGCAAUAAGGGGCUUUCUACAUAUGAGAAAGAAUUGUUGGCUAUUUUAUUAGCAGUUGAACAUUGGCGGCAGUACCUCCAGACAGCAGAGUUCAUCAUCAAAACUGACCAACGCAGCUUAGCUCAUUUGGAAGAUCAACGCUUGCACACCCCUUGGCAGCAGAAAGCUUUCACCAAUCUAUUGGGUCUUCACUAAAGAUUGUGCUACCGGAAAGGAGUCGACAAUGGGGCUGCUGAUGCUCUUUCUCGUCGGCCAAUCUCAGAAACUGAUGAGCUUUAUGCUAUCUCCCUCUGCCAACCCGAGUGGCUCGAGGAGGUGAAAGCUGGAUAUGCCCAGGAUGCACCUACCCUCAAAAUCAUUAAGGAGAUACAAGCUAACCCCCAAUCACACCAACAAUUUUCUUUGGAAGAUGGCCUCUUGCGUUACCAAGGGCGAAUUUGGAUUGGGCGCAAUAGCCAAAUGCAGCAACGCAUGAUGAUCGCGGGGCAUCAGUCGGCUAUUGGUGGCCACUCCGGGGCCCCUGCAACAUAUCAGCGCUUGAAAACAGUUUGUGCAUGGCCACGUAUGAAGCGGCUUGUCACUGAAUUUGUACAGGCCUGUGAGGUAUGCCAACAAGCCAAGCCAGAGCGCUGCAAGUACCCCGGACUGUUGGAACCCUUGCCAGUCCCUGCACGUGCCUGGCAAAUGGUGUCCAUGGACUUCAUCGAGGGAUUGCCUAAAUCUGGGCGAGCCAAUUGUAUUUUGGUGGUCGUCGACAAAUUCUCCAAGUACAGUCAUUUUCUGGCCUUGACACACCCAUUCUCUGCAUCUCAAGUGGCUACUGCUUAUGUUGAUCAAGUUUACAGAUUGCACGGCUUGCCUGACUCAAUUUUGUCGGACCGUGACCCCAUCUUCACUAGUAGAUUUUGGAAGGAGCUCUUUCGUCUGACCAACACAACACUGAGAAUGAGUACUCCUUACCAUCCUGCAACUGAUGGGCAAACCGAGCGUACCAAUCAGUGCCUGAAGACUUUCCUUCGGUGUUUUGUCCAUGCCUGCCCAAAGAAAUGGAGUUCUUGGCUGCCCCUCGCUGAAUAUUGGUUUAACACGAGUUACCACAGCGCUCAUGGAAAAAACCCCUUCUUUGUUCUCUAUGGUCACGAACCACGACACUGGGGGAUUGAGGCAGCUUCGGCUACUCCUGUCACCGAUCUGGAUGCCUGGCUCUCCGAGAGGGUGGAAAUGCAAGCUUUAAUCCGUCAGCACUUACUGCGGGCUCAAACAAGAAUGAAACAUCAAGCUGAUAAGAACCGAUCUGAACGCAGCUUUGACAUUGGUGACUCGGUUUAUAUCAAGCUUCAGCCGUAUGUUCAGAGUCCAGUAGCUCGUCGCGCCUGUCACAAACUGUCUUUCCGCUACUUCGGGCCCUUCUUGGUGCAAGACCGGAUUGGGCAGGUAGCAUACAGAGUGGGAUUGCCUGAACAUUCAAAGAUCCACCCCGUGUUCCACGUUUCGCAACUUCGCAAAGCCAUCAAGCCAGGUGUGUCCGUUUCCUCUGUUUUGCCUGCUGAUACUAACCAGUUUGCGAUUCCCGUGGAAGUGCUUGACAGUCGCAUGAAGACUAAAGCGAACAGAGUGGUGGCUCAAGUGUUGGUGCGCUGGUCCGGCGAUUCCAUCGAGCCAACUUGGGAAGACAGAGACGAGCUUCAUUCGCGUUUCCCGUGCGCAGCGGCUUGGGGACAAGCCGCAACUCAAGCAGGGGAGGGUGUUAGCACCCCUGACAGCACCAGCCCAUCAGCCCAACCAACUACCAAGCCCGACGAGGAGACGGCCCAAGGCCCAGCCAAGAGGAUCAAGAAACCCAACCCAAGAGUGAGUGGCAGCCAGUGGGUGAACGCAACACAGGAGGGAUAAAGGGAGAAGCUGACAACCCUGAGGGGAUCGAAGAUCGAUCAAGGCACGGCACGGCACGGCGGCGGCUACCUACUACCUUAGAACCCUAGUUCCUUUUCCACUCAUCUCCAAUUUGGCACCUUGGUGCUUGUAAUCUUCAGAUCUUGUGAACCACCACCAUAUUCUGAGAGUAAUACUAGUGCCGUGCUAACAUAUUGGACAUAAAAAUAUGAGACCUAUUGUACCACGUGAAGAAUAUAUUGCAGUGUAUUUCAUUUGGGUUACAGUUCACGAGUUAUACAUUAUUCUGCCCACGAAUCUUUGAGUACUCGAUUAAGGGUCCGGGAUCUGCCGGCACCUAGCGGAACCUCAAUUUUCCGCUUUCAUAAGCUACACAGAGCCGGAGGGUGAGGGGGCGGGGUAGGAACGCGCGCAGUCUGCUGGAGCGAAGGUCAGGGUGCCCUUGUCGAGAUCGUACCCAACGUGCAUGUUCUGCUGCGCGAUGUUCCCGAUGAUGGACACAGCAGAAAACUGGUCAGACACCGCCAAGCAUAAAGUCCCCUCCUGCACCUCCAAGAACGUGUUCUCCGCCUUCAGCGUGACCGCAGCGCCGCCGCCCAGCCCCAGCGUCACUUCAGGGAUCAUGGCCGCAACCUGCCCCUCCCGCACCCGGCUUACGUCGAAGCACAGCAGCAGGGACGACUCCUCUGGCGGCUGCACCGGAGGGAGCUUGAUCCGCCGGCUCAGCUCCUUCACCAGUGGGUCUACAAGCGCCGUCGGGAGGAAUGUGAGCGUCGUGCCGGAAUCGACGAGGACGGGGGACCGGUCCGGCGCCGCGAAGGUCGCGUUCCCGACCUUGAGGGACUGGAGCUCGACGAUGUAGUAUGCCUUCACUUUGGAUGGGAUCAGCGGCGUCGUCACCGCUCCCGGAUCCGUGACGGCGGCCCGGGGGCCGAAGUUGAGAGCGGAGGAGGCCUUGACGGAGUAGGGCACGAGGCAGUAGGAGAACCUCCGGCCCAGCGAGGUGUCUGCGCCUAGUUGGCUGACGAGGGAGAGGUCGCCGCCGCCGAGGCCGACGAUGCCGUCCCCGACGAACGAGCCGACGAAGGUCGUGGAGCAGCCGAAGUUGACUUUGGCCACGCGCGUCGUCCCAUCGCCGCGGGCGCCCUGGGCGUCGGCGAAGGUGAAGGUCUCUGUGGAGAGGAGGCCGCUCGUGUGGGAGCCGUCGCCGUAGGAGUAGAUGUACGUGCACUUGGAGUUGGCGUCGCAGGAAUGGGAUGCCUCGGGGAGCUCGCUGCACGCGCCGGAGUUACAGUCCAAGAGGCCGAACGUCGUCGAUUUGGAGGGGUCGAACUGGACGCCCGGCGGCUGCGCGUCCGCGUCACGGGCAGCCGCCAGACCACGACCGUCGCCUCCGUAGCUGCAAUUGAACCAGGUGAGGUCGCUGCCGGUGUCGGCGAUGGCGACCAUACGAGUGGGCGGCGUGCCUAUGUUCACGGCCAUCAGGUACUCGCUCGUCCUGGACGUGACCUCGGACACGACGCCGUCAGCUGAGGGCGCGUCGGCGCGGACGUAGGGACGCGAGAGCGCCGCGGCGCGGGCUGCGGACCGCCGCGCGGCCUCCAGCACGCGGGCGGGCGCGGUGAGCGUCGGGUCGUGGAACGGCGACCUGACCGAGUCACGGUGGAUGAACUCCACGCUAAACCCAUCGCCGCCGCUGCCGGCGUACGCCGUGCACGCGCACAGCUGCGCCGUCAGGACGACGGCGACGAGCAGGAGAGCGCGGGAUCCCAUCGUCCCAUGCAUCGUGUCCCAGCUUAACUCCCAAGGAUUAGCUCUACUGGGGUUGCUUUGCUGCUGCUGCCGCCAUGCAGAGGGCGGUAUUUAUAGGCUAAUUUGCGUAAGAUUAUAAUGGUGCGCAAAUGGUUAAUGGGGGCUGGGGAGACGAAUGUGGUAAGUCGGGAUAUGAUAUGUAGUCAUGUACUGUUUUUUUUUCCCGAUGGAAGUAGUCAUGUACCGUUGAGUGCCAUUUAGCAACUAGCUAGUACAUUAUCGUAAUCAGUUUUACUAAAGCACAUGUAGAUGUGACAUAAGUAUUGUACAUAUAAGAGUCUCAUGUCAUGAAUUUUACGCGGAGAUUUAUCUGAGUAUUUUCUUUUUUAUUUAUCUUUAUCUUUUUAUGCUUCAUUAAGUCACUAAGAUGUGGAAUAACUAAUGGUAAUUAUUGUGUCAACAGUAAUCACUUUUAUGCUUCAUUAAGUCAUCUGAGUAAUUAAGUCACCUAGACAGACCCGAUGGUAAUUACGUGUUGCGCACUACACAUGGAAUUAAGGGUUGAUAGUGCUGUUUGCGCUGCUCUUUUUGCGUAUGAAAUUGAAGACUUUUGCAGGUAGCCAUUAAUUCGUGCCAAAAGAGGACGAUGAGUAGAGUAGCAAUUUCUAAUCUUGUAGCUAAUUUGUAGAAGGAGGACUGUCUCCGGAAGAUGGGCCACUCAAGUGGCAAGAAGAGGCAGUGUUUGAUUGCUUGGUGCCACCGGCCACCUGGAAAAUUUGUAGCAAUCGUUCUCCCGUUUAAGCUUCCUUUUAUUCUAUUCCACAUCUCGCUCUUGAUGUCGGGCUCAUUCAGUGUUUCCAUUCCGGACUUUUCUCCGGCAAAUAUGUAAUCCGUUACAUUUUCACUUUAGCUACGUGUUAGUCAGCAGAAUUUCAAAUUUGGGCCAGUCGCUUUUCAAUGAAGGAAGGAGAAGGACGGGCCUUGCCGGAGAGAAGGAGGGGGCUCGCCGUCAUCUCGGGUGUAUCUGGUGCACCGGGAUAAUUGGUGCUACCGGUGCACCGGUCUAACGUCGCACAUUAAAAAAUUUCUAAAAAAUCCGAAAAAGAUUCAAUGCAUUAACACAACAUCAAUGUAUAUUGUGACAGAAAUUCAAAUCAAAAUUUGAAACAUUGCUCGAGAUACAAAAAUGAUAAAUUUGACACUUAAUAGUAAAUAACACAAGUUGGCUUCAAUCUUGGCCUAUUAGCACAUUGAUGUCAAAAUUGUUAUUUUUGUAUUUUCGGCAAUGUUUCAAAUUUUGAUUUGAAUUUUUUUGACAAUAUACAUUGAUGUUGUGUCAAUGCACUAUUUUUCUAUGUAUUUUUUUGAACAUUUUGGAAUGUGCAACAGGGCACGGUGCACCAGAUAAGUUCCCCCCACUGUCAUCACUCCAUUAUCUAUCUUAGGGUUUUGGGCGUUGGUGGGGCGGUGAGGCUGGCGCAGGAGCGUCGCCGGCUGUGGGCGGUGGUGGCUGGCGGUCCGGCCAGUGGUCCGUGACGGCAGGAAGAAGAAAUCGUCGGGAGGAAGAAGAUGCACUGUGAUAUGUUUUCAGAAAACUGUUGUAAGUGGAAGAUGACUACUGACAUAUAUCAAGGGCAGAGAACCAUCGACUGACCCAAAUUGGGAUUUCAGUCGACUAGCAUUUAGCCCGUCCCUUACACUUUUUUUAGCUGUAAGAGUGGUCAUUCUUGAUUAAUUUUUAGAGUUACAAUUGAUACAUCCCAAGGCUCGCUGAGCCAAAUAAGAUUACCACUAUCGAGUGAUAAAAUGCUCCGAACUAAAUUAUGGGCUUCUGCAUUUGAAGCUCAGUUUUCAUGGACGUAGAUCACCUCCCAGAGUUCAUUCUUUCUUUCUUGAAUCUCCCUGGUCAUCGAGCUAUAAUGGCCAAGGUCGCCUUUGUUGAGAGCAUCACAACCGAGCUAGAGAUUACUAUUCCAAUGCAUGGUGUGAGGUCUUCACUAGUGAGAGUAGUCCCGUGCCGGAUCCUGCCUCCUGUUGGUUACAUGAAAUUCAUUGUGGACGGCGGAACAAGGUUGUCCAAACCUUCUAGAUGGUCUUGUUCAUGGUAGUCAACGUGGACCCCAAGAAUUCGAUCCUAUAAGUAGGGGCCGCCGAAUACUUUUCAUUUGCCUCAAAUUUCCAAAAGAUGACAUCAUCAACAUCCAAUUGAAGUUGAAACUGCUCCAGACGAACCCAAGGAUCAUUCCACGCAACCCAAGGCCAUAUUAGUGUGAGAGCUCUCGCAAAUUUUCCUAAGUGGAGGAUCCCAAGCCCACCGAUGUGGGUGUGGCGGCAGACAGACUCCCACUUGACCUUGCAUUUUGUGCCUGAAGUUUUAUCUUUUUUCUGGAAAGAGGGGAACACCCUCAGCUCUGCAUUAAGUCAUGCACACAUCCAUUUAUUAAAAAUACAAGGUUCAACAUCCGAGUUCAACAAAUAAAUGCCACAAAUGGCCGCCCCAAGGGCAAUAAAAAGACAUAGGAAAAUUAGACUCAUACUUGAAGUUUAUCCUUAGUUGACCAAAGGAAAGCACGCUCAAUCUUGUUGUUGUUGUGUAACACACCAGGGGGCGGUGAGGGGGGUGAUGUGGUAUAAACCACUUGUGAAGUAAGGACCAAUUUAACCAAAGUCGGUCGACUGACCGUGGUGAUUUUCUUCCUUGCCAGGGAGGAAGCUUCCUAGAAUUCUAGAGUCUUCACGAAGAAAUCAACGCUGCCCUACGACAUUCUCAAGCUUAUCCAAGAUGCGGUCAAACUUUGGAUCACCGCAGCGGCUAGGCACCUGAGUAUCAUCAUGCCACGAGAGUAGUAGUAGUUGUUGUUUUCUUUUCAAACGGGCUAUGUCGUGGACCUGAUAUGUUGCACUCUAAAACUCUUCUCCUUAAUUAAUGAAUGAGGCAAGCCUUUUGCCUUUGUUUAAAAAAAAGUGAACGACGAUGUGACGAAGGUGCAAGCGGAGAGAGUGUCAGUGGUUGUUUGCAGAAAUGUUGAAGGGGCGUUUCAGGGCCCAUCAACUCGUGUGUUUGAUAAUCUGACUCGUCCGACAACGUUAUAGGCAUAGUCGUGUUGUGAAGCUUUGGCACUUGCAAAUGAUCUUUAGCCACAGAAAAAUUGCUACCAUUACAUAGAUGAUGGAUCAUGAACAUCAUGUGUAACUAGGCAAUACUUAGGCGAUGGUUUUUUAUAGCUAGUAGUUUACAUAAUGGGCUGGCCCAUGUAGGGAUGCGAUAUUGAACUCCCUUUUAGCCGGUUUUGUAAACAUUUUAGAAUGUUCUGCGCGAGGUUUGUUCCUUUUCUUUUAGUUCUUAUUUUGACUCUGAUUUCGAUUUUUUUUCUUUGCUUUCUUUUUCCAUUCAUGAAUAUCUAUAAAUUUUUGCUUUCUUUAAAAAAAUCAAAUUUUUCUAAUUUAUGAAUAUUUUUAAAUUCAUGUUUUUUUUUCAAAUUCAUGGACUUUGUAAAAUUCACAAAUUUCUUUCAAAACCAAUGUAUUUUUUUAUUAUGCCAUUUUAUGAAUUAGCAGAAAGAGGCGGGUGUUUUUCCUAAGCUAGUUUUUAGGCAAUUUUCCUAAGGUAGUUGACUAGCCAUAGACUAGCAAAAAAAAAUCAACGAACAUGCGGAGCCCAAAUCUGUCGCAUUUUGNNNNNNNNNNNNNNNNNNNNNNNNNNNNNNNNNNNNNNNNNNNNNNNNNNNNNNNNNNNNNNNNNNNNNNNNNNNNNNNNNNNNNNNNNNNNNNNNNNNNNNNNNNNNNNNNNNNNNNNNNNNNNNNNNNNNNNNNNNNNNNNNNNNNNNNNNNNNNNNNNNNNNNNNNNNNNNNNNNNNNNNNNNNNNNNNNNNNNNNNNNNNNNNNNNNNNNNNNNNNNNNNNNNNNNNNNNNNNNNNNNNNNNNNNNNNNNNNNNNNNNNNNNNNNNNNNNNNNNNNNNNNNUCUUUUCGGUUUUGGGGAGCAUUCUUUUGGGUGUUUUUUUCUGUAUUUUUAAUAAAUUAUUAGUAAAGGUAAAAAAUGAGUGUAUUUGUUUGGGAGAGAGAAGGGCAACGCAUGCAUGUAACCGUAUUGUACCAUGAUUGAAAAGAAUAAUGCUAUCGACAAAGGUAUGAUUGGUAAUAGAUGGAUGAAGGGGCUCACCACAAUUGAAUUCAGGGAGAGGGAGAUGAUUAGUUUGGAAAGUUAGUAAAAUGUUUGUAGAUUUUUGUAGGUCUAGCAUUAUAUUGGACUCAAAAACAUGUGACCUAUUGUAUCAUCUAUCACGUUAAGAGUGCGUUGAAGUGUAUUUCACUUGAGUAACAGCUCACAAGUUGUACAUUAUUCUGGGAGUAAUUACCGGUUCAGGUAUGUACCGGCGUAGCAUCCACCAUUCACAUGCUUUAUGAUUUGUGCAUAAGUGGGGCUCAUCUAUAUGUAUAACCCGGUAUAUAUGAUAGCAGCCCAUCUCUCGUAUUUUCUGCUAAAAGGUACUAGUAGCUCCCACAGGAGUGCAUGCAUAGCAGAAUAAAAUAUGCUGACUCUCUUCUGUCCCUCACUAUCACAAAACAAACAUACUUUUACUCAAUUUAUGCUAGUUUAAAUCAAUCAAUUUUUUUAAACCAUAAUUUUGUUUUUUGAAAUUAUAUAUAUAUAUUUGAACUCCUAGCACCAAGACCUUUAAAAUGAGACCCCUCUUGAAUACAUUUCAAACAUAUUUACAUUUGAACUUUUGAAAUGAGUGAAAUCAGUUUUCUGAAAGGAGUGAAAAAGGUUUUUCGGAUUGAGUGAAACCAGUUUUCUGGAAUGACUGAAAUCUAUUUUGCAUACAUAUGAAACACUUUUUUUUCUGAAAUAAGUGAAAUAGGAGUUUUGAAUUCAGUGAGACCAUUUUUUAAACAAAUGAAAUCUGUUUUGCAUACAUAUGAUUUUUUUUAAAAUAAGUGAAAUAGUUUUUUUAAUUGACUAAAACCAAUUUUAUGAAUAAAUUGACAUCGUUUUUUACACGAGUGAAAUCUAAUUUUUGAAACGAGCGAAACCUGUUUUAUGAGCGAGCGAAUUUGUUUUGAAUUGAUAAUUUUUUGAAUUGAGUGAAAUCAAUUUUUUGAAAUACUUGAAAUGAGUUAUUUGUAACUAGAUAAUUUUUUGAAUUGAGUGAAGUUAGUUUUAUGAAAUAAUUUUGAAUGGGCCUAAGUCCAUCUUUAGAAAAUGAGUGAAAUAUGUUUUCUCAAAUCAGUGGAAAAUGUGUUUUAAAAUUAGUGAAAUCAAUGUUUACAAAUGAGUGAAAUUAGUUCUUUGUAAAUAAGUGAAAUAAUGUUUUGAAAUUAGCGAAACAGUCAAAAAACACUUGUAUGAAAUAGCGAAACAAUCUUAUCUUUUAUGAAAGUGAUUCAAAAGAUAAUUGAAAUAUAUAAAAUAAAAAGUAGUUCAAAUGUAGCCAAGAUUGAUCUUGUUCUAAAGGUUUUGUGAACAGGAUUUGAUUUUUUUUUCAAAAAUGGACAUUUCGUUUGAAAUAUAAGAAUCGUUCAAAAUAGGGACGAAAUAAAAUGCAUGUCAUCUGUGUGGGGAGAGAGGUUUGUUAGGAAGGUUACCUAAUAAGAGGAGAAACGUAACUUUAGCCGUAGCAUUUUCGUUAUUCUGGGCACCAAUUUUGAGCACUCGAUUAAGGGUCCGGUAUCAACUCAAAAAAAAAAAAGAUUAAGGGUCCGGUAGCAUUUUCCGCUUUCAUAAGCUACACAGAGCCGGAGGGCGAGGGGGCGGGGUACGAACUCGCGCAGUCUGCUGGGGCGAAGGUCACGGUGCCCUUGUCGAGGUCAUAGCCGACGUGCAUGUUCUGCUGGGCGAUGUUCCCGAUGAUCGACGCCGGAAGCUGCUCCGGCUUCGCCGCCGCCACCGCCAAGCACAGGGUCCCCUCCUGCACCUCGAAGAACGUGUUCUCCGCCUUCAGCGUGACCGCAGCGCCGCCGCCCAGCCCCAGCGUCACUUCAGGGAUCAUGGCCGCAACCUGCCCCUCCCGCACCCCGCUUACGUCGAAGCACAGCAGCAGGGACGACUCCUCUGGCGGCUGCACCGGAGGGAGCUUGAUCCGCCGGCUCAGCUCCUUCACCAGUGGGUCUACAAGCGCCGUCGGGAGGAAUGUGAGCGUCGUGCCGGAGUCGACGCGAGGACGGGGGACCGGUCCGGCGCCGCGAAGGUCGCGUUCCCGACAUUGAGGGACUGGAGCUCGACGAUGUAGUAUGCCUUCACUUUGAAUGGGAUCAGCGGCGUCGUCACCGCUCCCGGAUCCGUGACGGCGGCCCGGGGGCCGAAGUUGAGCGCGGAGGAGGCAUUGACGGAGUAGGGCACGAGGCAGUAGGAGAACCUUCGGCCCAGCGAGGUGUCUGUGCCGAGCUGACUGACGAGGGAGAGGUCGCCGCCGCCGAGGCCGACGAUGCCGUCCCCGAUGUACGUGCCGACGAAGGUCGUGGAGCAGCCGAAGUUGACGUUGGCCACGCGCGUCGUCCCAUCGCCGCGGGCGCCCGGGGCGUCGGCGAAGGUGAAGGUCUCUGUGGAGAGGAGGCCGCUCGUGCGGGAGUCGUCGGCGUAGGAGUAGAUGUACGUGCACUUGGAGUUGGCGUCGCAUUCCCCGUGGAGCGCGCGGCACGUGCCGGAGUUACAGUCCACGACGCCGAACGUCGUCGAUUUGUAGGGGUCGAACUGGAGUUACUGGACGCCCGGCGGCUGCGCGUCCGCGUCACGGGCGGCCGCCAGACCAGAACCGUCGCCUCCGUAGCUGCAAUUGAGCCAGAUGAGGUCGCUGCCGGUGUCGGCGAUGGCGACCAUACGAGUGGGCGGCGUGCCUAUGUUCACGGCCAUCAAGUACUCGGACGACCUAGACGUGACCGGGGACACGACGCCGUCAGCUGAGGGCGCGUCGGCGCGGACGUAGGAGCGCGAGAGCGCCGCGGCGUGGGCCGCGGACCGCCGCACGGCCUCGAGGACGCGGGCGGGCGCGGUGAGCGUCGCGUCAUGGAACGGCGACCUGACCGAGUCACGGUGGAUGAACUCCACGCUAAACCCAUCGCCGCCGCUGCCGGCGUACGCCGUGCACGCGCACAGCUGCGCCGUCAGGACGACGGCGACGAGCAGGAGAGCGCGGGAUACCAUCGUCCGAGGCAUUCCGUGCUAGCUUAACUCCCACGGAUUAGCUCUACUGGGGCUGCUUUGCUGCUGCUGCUGCUAUGCAGAGGGCAGUAUUUAUAGGCGAAUUUGCGUAAGAUUAAAAUGGUUAAUGGGGAGUCGAAGGGAUCGUACAAGGUCGGCAGUAGCCACUGUGAAUACUCCGCCAGUAUGAAAAGUUCUUAAUGUCGGGAUAUGAUAUGAAGUCAUGGGUGCCAUUUGAAAGCUUGCUGCGUUAGGCUGGUUGUAAUGGGGAAUAUCAUAUACUAUUAUCAUGCAUAUGAUAUUAGUGUAUGAUACUACCUUCCUAAUGCAUAGUAUCAUAUAUUAAUAUCAUGUACUACUCUAUUUAUUGUCAUGCAUAACACAAAGUAGCAUAGCAUUUAUUAUGAUAUGAUAUCAUGAUAUGAUAUUACACCCUCUCUUUCUUCAUUUAAUGCUAUGACACCUCAUCAAAAUUGCCUAGUUGGCAUGCAUUAUACUAGCUAUAAUACUACCAUUACAACCAGCCUUGUCAUAAUAAGUUUUGCUGAAGCACAUUUAAAUAUGCCAUAAAUAUUGCACAUCUAAGUUUUAUGUCAUUAUUCAUACGCAAAGAUUCAUCUUAGUAUUUUCUCUUCAUUUUGUAUUUCUUAUGCAUUAAGUCAAUUAGAUGUGCAGUAACUAAGGCAUAUCUAAAUAUGUUCUAGACAGACUCGAUGGUAAUUAUGUACUCCCUCCGUUCCGAAAUAGAUGACUCAACUUUGUACUAACUUUAGGACAAAGUUGAAUCAUUUAUUUUGGAACAGAGGAAGUAUUGCGCACUACACAUGGAAUCAAGGGUUGAUAGUGCGGUUUGCACUGCUCUUUUUGCGUAUGAAAAGGUAGCCAUUAAUUCAUGCAAAGAAAAGGACGAUGAGUAAUUAGUAAUUUCUAAUCUUGUGGCUAAUUUGUAGAAGGAGGAUUGUCUCCGGAAGAUCGGCCACUCGAGUGGUAAGAAGAGGGAGUGUUUGAUUGCUUGGUGCCACAGGCCACUUGGAAAAUUUGUAGUAAUUGUUCUUUUGUUCUAUGUCUCACUCUUCGUGUUGGACUCACUGAGCAAUUCCAUUCCGCACUUUUCUGCAGCAAAUAUGCAAUCAGUUACACUUUCACUUUAGCUAUAAGCCAGUCAGCUGAAUUUCAAAUUCGGGUCAGUCGAUUUUGAAUGAAGGAAGGAGAAGGAAGUGCCUCGCCGGAGAGGAGGGGGCUCGCCAUCAUCGGGAUGUAUCUGGUGCACCGGGGCAAUUGGUGUUAUCGGUGCACCGGUUUUCAAUCGCACACUCAAAAAUGUUCUAAAAAAUUGAAAACAAAUAUGUGCAUUGACACAACAUCAAUGUAUGUUGCGACAAAGAUUCAAAUCAAAAUUCAAAACAUUGCCGGAGAUACAAAAAUGAGAAAUUUGACACUGAGUAGUACAUAACACAAGUUGGGCUUCAAUUUUGGCCAAUUAGCAUAUUGAUGUCAAAUUUCUUAUUUUGUAUCCCAAGGAAUGUUUCGAAUUUUGAUUUCAAUUUUGUUGUUAAAACAUACAUUGAUGUUGUGUCAAUGCACUAUCAUUUUUACAGAUUUUUUGAACAUUUCUGAAUGUGCAACGGGGCUCAGUGCACUAGAUACAUUCCCCGUCGUCAUCCCCCCAGUAUCUAUCUUAGGGUUCAGGAUGGUGGCGUUGGUGGACGGCGGUGGUGGUGGGGCUUCGCCGGAGAAAAAAAUGGACGUGGGCAGGUGUUGGGGAUAUUCCCCACGAUUAUGACCUGGCCAUAGUUGACCCGGCCAAGAGCCAUGAUGCUCUAUGGGUCAUCUCAUAUUCCGGGUUAUGGCGAGACAACAAGGAAAGACCAAGGGCCCAGGGCGAGACCCGACAUGAGGCCGACUUAAGGAGACCCCAAUGGGCUAGCUCACGGAGAAGGUCCAAGAAGAGGAAAAGUUCACUGACAAGGAAAGCAAGACCUGGACUAGUAUCCGACUUGUAAUAAAAAAGAAACUAGUUAUAGUCGUACUAGGACUCUAUAUGUAAGUCGGCCCCUUUAAUAACUUAUAUAAGGAGGGACAAGGCAUCCCAGGAGAGGAAGUUUUAGAUAGACAGACAAGUCUUAGACAAGAUCAAAGUAGAUGCUCUCAAGAUGAGAGGUAGCGAUAGAGCACCCUUGUAAUCGAGAUCAUCAUCAAUAACAAUCAAGCAGGAUGCAGGCUUUUACCUCCUCCACGAUAGGCCAAACCUGGGUAAAACUAGCGUCUCUCGAUUUCGACCAAACCCGUUCGAGCAAUCACGUAGCAACGAUGGCCUCACAACUAAGUCCUUUUUCAAGGACAUCUGCCAUGACAAACCAUGAGAGUUGGCGCCUACCGUGUGGACAGCCCCACGGCGGUGUUGUGUUCUUAGAGGGAGCUCUUUAGGGAUCGAGAAACUUGCAAAUGGCUGGAUGAAGAAAAUCCGGUUCAGAAGCAUCUACAUCAGCACCAAGUUCGCCAGCCGUGAUCAAAAUAAUAAUAAUUGCGACGCAUAACAUGAAUCAGAUUGGAGUCAAAAGUGACUCGGCAGCAGUAACCGAGCAGGUUCAGCAAGCGUCUACCUGACAACAUCUGUUUGAGCCCUAGGAAGAUAUCUACUACCGUAUGUCUGAUGUAUACGAAGCGAGGGAUCAAAUCAGCCGAAGUGUACAACAGAUCAGAAUAAAAAAAGACUACAACGGUGGCGAGACACAGCGGUGACUUUGUUUUCCUGUCCACCUGCAGAGCCUGCCGUGUUCGUGUGGGGGCGGAGAAGGCUAAAGAACGUACAUCUCAGUUUGAUAUGCAUACUAUAACCUUGUUUGGAUCCAUAGGUUAGAGUUAGUUUGAGUAGAUAGAGCUUUCCGGUAGAAAGUUUACCUGGGCUAAUGCUCUGCCAAACCCAACAUAUGAAAAGCUUGAUCGAGUUCCCGCGAGCGUUGAGUGGGAACAGAAGUUCCCUCUCGUAACGGUACAGGCUCUCUCACGCGGAAUAUCCGAUCACACACCUUUGUUCAUGGACUCAGGGGAGCCAAACCACGUGGGAAACAAAAACACCUUUUCUUUCGAGAUGGCAUGGUUUGAACGAGAAGGUUUCUUGGAUCUGAUAGCCAGGGAAUGGGCUAAGGAUGCAGGAGGUAGGACUUCUGUCGAGUGUUAGCAGAAUAAGAUUAGGCAUUUGAGAAGUUUCUUACGGGGUUGGGCUAAGCACCUUAGUGGCAUUUAUAAGGUUGAAAAGGAAAGACUCCUUUCUCUUAUUCAGACCCUAGACUUACAGGCUGAAUCCACGAUUUUGCAACCAACAGAGUUUCAGGUUAAACUUGAUGCGGAGAAGAGGUUGAAAGAACUUCUCCGCGAAGAAGAAUUGAAGUAGGCAUUGCGGGCUAAGGUCCGCAAAGUUGUCCAGGGGGACGCGAACACUUAAUUCUUUCACUUGAUUGCUAAUGGUAAGCACAGAAAGAAGAGAAUCUUUCAGCUUGAACAAGAUGAAGGAACUAUUUUAGGAUAGGACAACCUAAAACUUUACAUAACCGAGUAUUACAAGCAGUUAUUUGGACCUCCGGAGGAUAGUUGUGUGUCCCUCGAUGAGUCCAGGACUGAGGAUGUGCCUCAACUAACUGCCGCAGAUAAUGAUAUUUUGGUUGCCCAGUUCUCAGAGAAGGAGGUGUUUGAUGCUAUAGAACAGAUGAAAAACAAUAAGGCUCCCGGACCUGAUGGAUUCCCGGUUGAGUUUUACAAAAAGUGUUGGCACAUUAUUAAGGGGGGUUUGUUACCAAUGUUUCACAAUCUUUUCUCUGGACAGCUUUGCUUAUUUCACUUAAAUUUUGGAACAAUAACAAUGCUUCCUAAGAAAACAGAUGCUGUGAGAAUAGAGCAGUUCAGGCCGAUCUGCCUUCUCAAUGUUAGUUUCGAAAUCUUCACCAAGGUUGGGACUAAUAGGCUCACACAGAUUGCGCAUUCUGUGGUGCAGCAUGCCCAAACUACUUUCAUGCCAGACAGAAACAUCCUAGAAGGGGUGGUCGUCCUUCAUGAAACACUCCAUGAAAUCUAUUCAAAAAAAUUAGAUGGAGUUGUUUUAAGGUGGAUUUCGAGAAAGCGGACGAUAAAGUCAAAUGGCCAUUCCUCCAACAGGCAUUGCGUAUGAAAGGUUUUGAUGAAGCCUGGCGCCAUCAGGUUGAAUCAUUUACACAAAAAGGGAGUGUUGGAAUUAAAGUGAAUGACGAUAUCAGUCAUUACUUCCAGACACAUAAAGGCCUAAGACAAGGGGAUCCGAUGUCCCCUAUCCUGUUUAACAUUGUGGUUGAUAUGUUAGCAAUUAUGAUAGGAAGGGCUAAGGAGGCUAGUCAAGUAGGUGGCUUGGUACCUCAUCUCGUUGAUGAAGGUGUGUCCAUCCUUCAGUACGCUGAUGAUACAAUCAUCUUUAUGGAUCAUGACUUGGCCAAGGCGAGAAAUAUGAAGCUGGUGUUAUGCCUUUUUGAACAAUUGACCGGGUUAAAGAUUAACUUUCACAAGAGCGAGCUGUUCUGCUUUGGUAGAGCCAAGGAUGAACAAGAGACUUAUAGGCAAUUGUUUGGGUGCGAUUUGGGGGAUUUACCUUUUAUUUACUUAGGUAUACCAAUCCACCACCGUAAGCUGACAAACAGAGAAUGGAAGUGCAUCGAGGACCGAUUUGAAAAGAAACUGAGUUGAUGGAAGGGCAAGCUCAUGUCAUACAGAGGCCGAUUAAUUCUGAUAAAUUCGGUUCUCACGAGUAUGCCUAUAUUUCUCUUGUCGUUCUUCGAAGUCCCAGUUGGAGUCAGGAAAAGACUGGACUUUUAUCGAUCGCGAUUCUUUUGGCAGGGUGAUGAACUAAAAAGAGAAUAUUGUCUAGCUAAAUGGGAUAUCAUCUGUAGACCGAAAGACCAAGGGGGUCUUGGUAUUGAGAAUCUUGAAGUUAAAAGCAGAUGCCUUCUCAGUAAGUGGCUGUGGAAAUUGUCGAGUGAGACUAAUGCCAUGUGGGCGCAAAUCCUUCGUUCCAAGUAUCUUCAGACCAAAACUUUGUCUCGGGUGACAGUAAUGCCGACUGACUCGCCUUUCUGGAAAGGACUUAUGAAAGUCAAACAAUCCCCGUUUAAAGGACAAAGUUUAUUAUUGGUAACGGUGCUAGUACACGUUUCUGGGAGGAUACUUGGCUCAGAGAGACACCCUUAGCCAUUCAAUACCCGUCUUUAUAUCGUAUUGUUCAACGAUGUGAGGUGUUCGUUGCAACGGUAUUUCAAUCUAUUCCCCUUAAUAUUCAGUUCAGAUGGUCGCUAGCGGGCAAUCGUUGGGAAGAAUGGCUCCGUCUAGUAAGUAGACUGAUGGAGGUUCAGCUUUCUCAACAACCCGAUGAAUUACGCUAGAAACUUACUAGGUCUGGAGCAUUCACAGUUAAAUCAAUGUAUAUUGAUGUUAUCAAUUUGAUCUUCACUCCUAGCUCCAAGCAUGUUUGGGCUGUCAAAGUUCCAUUGAAAAUAAAAGUGUUUAUGUGGUUUGUCCAUAAACAAGUUAUUUUAAUCAAGGACAACUUGACAAAGCGUAAUUGGACAGGUCCUACUAGGUGUAGUUUCUGUGAUCGGGAUGAGACGAUCAAACACCUUUUUCUUGAUUGCCCGCUAGCCAAAGUUUUAUGACAGACGGUCCAUAUUGCUUUUAAUAUUACUCCACCGAAUUCUGUCAACACGUUAUUUGGGACGUGGCUUAACGGGAUACAACCCGACUUAGCGAGACAUAUUCGCGUAGGAGUCUGCGCCUUGCUGUGGACUAUCUGAAAUUGCAGAAAUGAUCUGGUUUUUAACAGGACAACACGCAUUCAUUUUUUGCAGGUUAUUUUCCGAGCCACGGCAUAGAUCCGUUCGUGGUCGCUACUCACUCCGACGAAGGCCAGAGAACAUUUGGUUACUGGACCUAUCCGCUGGGAGAUGGUCGCUCGGUAUAUCUUCAACCGGUUUGGAUGACGGUCAUAUAAUAGGAUAAACAAUUAGUUUACCUAUCUCUCUGUUUUGCCAGCCGGUUGUGGCGUCCUUUAUUUGGCUAGUUUGUAUUCUAGUUUUUCUGACUCUGUGUGAGCUCUUUUUUUGUUGUUAGGAGACUUCUAAACUUUCAGACCUGUUUAGAACAUAUUUAUUUGUUUAAUAAGAGGGCCGUAUGCAUCGCUCUAAUGCAGAGGCCGGGGCAUCCCCUUUUCGAAAAAAAAGUUAGUUUGAGUAAGUCUAGGCUCAAAUAGCCCUAAAGUACUCAAACAUGAGGACUAGUUUGAGCUACUUGCAUCUAAUUCGCUGAAAAAACUGUCCCACCCAAAAAAUGCUAAUUGAAACUAGUUCUUCUAAUGCAUUUAUUUGUCAAUCCAACCCUCUCAUCCAAAUAUAUGUUUGCUUAGAGUUAGUUCAGGCUAGCUAAAUUAGACUAUCGGCCUAUGACAAAAAUGUACAGGAGCCUGGUUAUCCAUUGAGGCCGACGGGAUUUGACAGCUCAUCGCCCGUGUCCGUAUCAAGUUUGGAGACUUGUUUUUUCUUCUGGGAAAAGAUCGAGACGAAUCCGCUUCAUCAAGGACUUAUUAGACGUGUUCUGGUGUGUUUUUUGCUUCCGAGGAUAAUCAAGGCGGCGGAAGCAAAGCUAGCUCCACACAUAUCAAAUUCGUCGGUUGUCGUUUGCUGCUGCUGCUUCCCAUCGAUCCACGUACAAGAUUCCUGUCCCCAGGCAUCAACGGAAGCAAGUCCGGACGAGAAAGAAAAAGGAGGCCGAAGCCAUCGUGCACCAGACAAAGCUAGUACUCCUCCUCACCUGAGCUAAACCAAGCCAAAAGAAAAUUAGUAAAAUAUUUACUAGCACUAAUGGAGAUCUAGUGUGUCUUUUUCCAACGUGGAGACUAAUCCCAGCAAGCUGUCAGUCUCCUCCAUAACCUCGAGCAAGAUAUGUACGGCAGCGAGGUCGCGUACGGUGCCGUGCUCCUGCUCGCGGAGUCCAGGCAGUCGACGCGCUCGCAGAGUACUAGCGUACGGCGUCGUGCUCCCGCUCGCACAUGGUGGCGCGCUCGCGGACAGUGGCACGUUCCAUGUAGACGGCGCGCCCGUGGACGGCGGCGUGGUCCCGCCCGCAGGGGGCUGCGUUCUUGCGGACAGCGGCCUGCUCCCGCUCGCAGAUGGCGGCGCACUCACGGACGGUGUUCCAGGAAGGUGACGCGCCCGUGGAUGGCAGCCUGCUCCCGCUCGCGGGCGGCGAUGCACUCGUGGAAUGUGGCGUGCUCGCGGAUGACAGUGUACACGCCCAACCAACUGUCGCGCCCGCAUAUGAUAGUAACCUGCAUAUGCAGCGGACUGAAGAAGUGCAGGUUCAGAGUUGCGCCUGAACUGAACCUGCAGCGACCCUAAAAAAAAAAAACCCUGCAGCGCUCUGCGUGGCGAGCUGGGCCAUGGGCCUUGUAAGCGUGAGUUUGUCGAUGACGGCUGGCCCGUUGUGCCGGCUACUUAUUGUAUCAAACCCGGAUGAUUCGGCAGGAAUGAAAAGAUCUAAACUAAACUCUCCCCUCACACGCUUCUCACCUACUUUCCUUUCUCUCCUUUUCCCCCAAUUCUAGGUCAGGGAUCCCAGAGCAUUACAAUCUGGUACUCAGAGCCAAUUUUUCUUCGAUCCACGCUGCCGCCACCACUCUCCCAACCUCUUGAUUGUCCGGUAACAUCCACUGAGCCAGGUGCGAGUCGCCCCGGCGAGCUCACGCAAAAUCCUGCUCGGGGUUCAGUUCGAUUCAGAGCGAGACGACGACGCCGCCAUCCAAGCCUUCGGCGCAGACCUCUCGUGUCCUGGACGAGAUGACGGAGACCACCGACAAGUUGCAGAGCCUGCUCGAGUCGGUGAUCCGCCGGCUGGACGCGAAUCAGAAGACCGCCAACGAACGCCACCAGGCGCAGCUCUCUUACAAUGUCCACGUCUCCACCGAGCUCAAGCACCUCAUGAAGCAGAUCGAACUCACCCAGGCCGACGUGGACGAGACCCGCAAAGGCGCGCCGUCGCCCGAACCCCCGGCCACGGACAGCGCCGAAGCACGGUCUCCCUCGGUGACUACGGGCUCCAUGGCACAUGCGCCACCACCACCACCACCCCCGCCGCCACCUCGCCCAGCGCUGACCCCCCUCUACACGGAAGGCACAUCGCAGCUCCCGUUCGCCCGUCUCAUCAAUCAUGGGCCACCGCUGCUGCUCACCGGGGCGCCCUCACCGACAGAGCAUGGACGCUAUGCCGACACCUUCACCAAGCCGCCCAAACACGUUUUCCCUCGUUGACGGCACCGCCCCGCGCAACUGGCUUGAGCGCUACACUUCCUAUUUUGAGCUCUACCGCGUGCCAGUGCACAAUUGGGUCACCACCGCCGCACUCUACAUGGAGGGUCUGGUGAUACGUCUCCACGUAUCUAUAAUUUUUUUAUUGUUCCAUGCUAUUAUAUUAUCUGUUUUGGAUGUUUUAUAUGCGUUAAUAUGCUAAUUUAUAUGAUUUUUGGGAAUAACCUAUUAACCUAGAGCCCAGUGCCAGUUUCAGUUUUUUCCUUGUUUUAGAGUUUCGCAGAAAAGGAAUACCAAACGGAGUCCAAACAGAAUAAAACUUUCGUCAUGAUUUUUGUUGGACCAGAAGACACCUAGGAGACUUGGAGUACGAGUCAGAGGAGCCUCGAGGCGGCCACAAGGGUGGAGGGCGCGCGGCCCGACCUUGUGGGCCCCUCGUAGCUCCCCUGACCUAAUUCUUUCGCCUAUAUAUACUCUUAUACCCCAAAAACAUCCAGGGGAGCCACGAAACCACUUUCCACCGCCGCAACCUUCUGUACCCGUGAGAUUCCAUCUUGAGGCCUUUUCCAGCAUCCUGUCGGAGGGGGAAUCGAUCACGGAGGGCUUCUACAUCAACACCACUGCCUCUUCUAGAUGGCUUCUUCUCUCUCUUUGAUUUUCAAUACAAAGUUCUCCUUGAUGUUCUUGAAGAUCUAUUCGAUGUAAUACUUUUGGCGGUGUGUUUGCCGAGAUCCGAUGAAUUGUGGAUUUAUGAUCAGCUUAUCUAUGAAUAUUAUUUGAAUCUCCUAUGAAUUCUUAUAUGCAUGAUUUGAUAUCUUUGCAAGUCUCUUCAAACUAUUGAUUUGGUUUGGCCAACUAGAUUGGUUUUUCUUGCAAUGGGAGAAGUGUUUAGCUUUGGGUUCAAUCUUGCGGUGCUCGAUCCUAGUGACAGAAGGGGAACCAACACAUAUUGUAUUGUUGCCAUCGAGGAUAAAAAGAUGGGGUUUCAUCAUAUUGCUUGAGUUAAUUCCUCUACAUCAUGUCAUCUUGCUUAAGGCGUUACUCCGUUCUUUAUGAACUUAAUACUCUAGAUGCAUGCUGAAUAGCGGUCGAUGUGUAGAGUACCAGUAGUAGAUGCAGAAUCGUUUCAGUUUACUUGACACGGACGUGAUGCCUAUAUUCAUGAUCAUUGCCUUAGAUAUCAUCAUAACUUUGCGAUUUUAUAUCAAUUGCUCGACAGUAAUUUGUUCACCCAUCGUAAUAACUUCUAUCUUGAGAGAAGCCUCUAGUGAAACCUAUGGCCCCCGGGUCUAUUUUCCAUCAUAUAAGUUUCCGAUCUACAAUUCUAGUUUCCUAUUUACUUUCUUUUGCAAUCUUUUACUUUCCGUUGUAUAAACCAAAAAUAUUACUUUAUCGUUUAUCCAUCUCUAUCAUAUCUCACUUUGAGAAUAACCGUGAAGGGAUUGACAACCCCUUUGUCGCGUUGGUUGCAAGUUGGUGUUUGUUUGUGCAGGUAUUCAGUGGCUUGUUGCGUAGUCUCCUACUGGAUUGAUACCUUGUUUCUCAAAACUGAGGGAAAUACUUACACUCCUGUGCUGCAUCACCCUUUCCUCUUCAAGGGAAAAACCAACACAAGCUCAAGAGGUAGCAAGAAGGAUUUGUGGCGCCGUUGUCGGGGAGAUCUACACCAAGCCAAGACAUACCAAGUAUCCAUCAUAAACUCUCAUCUCUCGCAUUACAUUAUUCGCCAUUCGCCUCUCGUUUCCCUCUCCCCCACUUCUAAAACAAUUUUCGAAAAGAUUCGCUUUUUCUUCGCCCCUCUUCCAUUCAUCUUCCUCGUUUUCUUUUUGUGUGCUCGUGUGUUGGAUUGCUUGUUUUGUCACGAUGGCUCAAGAUAAUACCAAAUUGUGUGAAUUUUCCAACACCAACAACAAUGAUUUUAUUAGUACUCCGAUUGCUCCCUAUGCUAAUGCGGAAUCUUGUGAGAUUAAUACUGCUUUGCUGAAUUUUGUUAUGAAAGAUCAAUUUCCUGGCCUUCCCAAUGAAGAUGUCGCAUCCCAUCUUAAUAAUUUCAUUGAUUUGUGUAAUAUGCAAAAGAAAAAAGAUGUGGAUAAUGAUGUUGUUAAGUUGAAGUUGUUUCCUUCUCUCUUAGGGAUCGCGCUAAAACUUGGUUUUCAUCCUUGCUUAAAAAUAUUAGUGAUUCAUGGAUGAAAACCAAGUUACCUCGGCCCAAAAACAGAAAUAAAAGAGAGAGAGAGAGAUAGUACCUGGCCACUUACCUCGGCCCAACACUGUAGUUGGCCCAGCCCACCAGGGGCACGCUUGUCUUCUUCCCCUUGCCAGCGCAUGAAGCAGCUCGGUGGCGAGCGUCGACGUCGCGCCUGGCCACCUCCUGCUUGCAGCCACCUCCCCGACGUCACCCUGGAGACGCCACGCGCCCCCCAGGCCCUCUCAGCCUCUCCCCGAGCUCCCCUCCUCCUCUGACUCUCUCGCACGCAAACCACCGAGCGCUGUCGUCGCCGCCGACGAGUGCAACCGCGGCCAUCGCCUCUCCCUCGCCUCUCCGUGAUGUCUAGAGGCUCCGCCUCGACGCCACGGAGCCCCAAGACGAAGCACGCGCCCGCGGAACGCAAUAAGCGACGCCAUCAUCCUCAUCCUCGUUGUCGGACGCCGGAGAUCCCCCUCGCCGCCCCGCUUGCUUUGGUUCCUCCCCGAGCUUGCCGACUCGCUCCUCGUGUUCACCGUGAGCUGCUGAUCAUCCUCCCCCUCUCCGUUUUCUCUCUUGCACUCCACAGCCACCGCGCCCCUCUCGCCCGACUGCGCCGCCGCCCGCACUCGUCGCCGACACAGCUCCGGUGACCAUUUGGUCCCGGGCGUGCGUCCAACAUGGUCACCACCAUGCGUAGAGCCUCCCUAGCGCCACGCUGCGCUCGUUUGCACCCUGCAGCACCGAUCCCGUGAACACCCGAACUCCGGCCGCCGCCCAACUUGCCGCCGGCACCACAGACCACCCCAGGUCCAGCCAUCACCACCAUGGGAUGCACCAUGCUGCGGGUGUCCCAACCCGCCCGGCCGCACGACCUCUCGUCAUCGGAGUUGGCCGGACGGGCAACCCCGUCGCUUUCUGCUUAGCACCGGUGGCUAAUCGCCGUUUAGCUGACGUGGCACCAUUAGUUUAGGUACUAAUCACGAUUAGUUAGUGUUUUGUUUCGAUGACAGAUGGGCCCCAUGCCCUAAUUAACCUCGGGCUUUAUUUUCUGUUUAGUUUAGAUUAACCCAGCGGGACCCACGCGUUAGAGUUGACCCUGCUGACGUGGCCGUUGACUUGGCCCACCUGUCAGCGAGCUAAACAGCCUUGGGCCACUGACGUGUGGCCCCCACAUGUCAGGUUUGACCUGGUCAGCCGCAGUUGACCUGCUGACGUCACAGUGAUGCAAUGCUGACGCAGUUAAUAAUUUUCUGGAUUUAUUAUUAAUCAAAAAAAUCCAGAAAAUUGCCUAAACUUCUAAAAAUCAUAGAAAAUAAUCUAUAGCUCAGAAUGAAAUAAAUUAUAUAUGAAAAAUGAUCAGAAAAAUCCAAUCUAUCCAUUUAUGUUGUUUUCAUGCAUGUUAGAACACUUCAACCUUGCUGUUUAGGUGAAGCAAGUUAAUGCACUAAUAUGACCUCUUAUUUUGGGUUUGCAUUUGAAUCCUUGAUUCAAAUAAACUCAAACCAAUCUGUUCUAAGUUGCAUUAGCCAAAACACACUCAUUUUGCCAUGUCAUGAGCAUGCAUCAUAUUGUUUCAUUGCAUUGAUUGUGUUUCUUCCUUGUUUGCCGGUAUUGUCCCCUCUCAGUAAACAUGGUCCCGACGAUGAGUUAGAUGACACCGAUGAAGAGCUAUUACUAUCUUCAGAAGUGCCAGGCAAGAAAAACCCCCUUGUUCAUUCCGAUACAAUCCCACUCUCUUGCUCCUGCUCUCUUUUACUGCAUUAGGACAACAACGAUUCAACUAUUACAUGCUGUGGUAGUUGAACCCCUUUCCUCUGCAUGACCUGUCAUUGCCACAGUAAAUAGAUGAAACCCACUAGCAUGAGUACGAGUUGUUUGAGCCCUGAUGUGCCUACUCAUUCAUGCUUGUUUGUCAUGCGUGCUAUUGCAUAGAGUUGUGUCGGGUUUGAUUCAUCGGGAAUGAAUUGGAAUGGUGAUGAACAUGUCCUAUUGUGUGUGAGCUAAGUGUGUGAACACAAUUUGGUAAAGGUAGCGGUGAGAGGCCAUGUAGGAGUACAUGGUGGGUUGUCUCAUUGAAACCAUUCUUAGGAACUGAGUUCUGUGUCUGUGAUCCAUGAACAGCUACUACCACUCAUUGGGAUCCUUAAUUGACCCUCUCGGCUUCUUAAUCACCCUAGUACUCUGUCCAGGAGUUGCAACUAGUUUCUAGUGUUUGUAGGUUAUGUGUUGGCGGCCGUGCGUAGCGCUGACCCUAGGGGUGGGCUAUGAUGCGGUAGAUACACCAUGGCACGGUGUACCGGGCGCCCGUUUGGUGUCUCGGGAACCCUGUUCACAUCGUUCGGGGCUGUAUGUGGAAACCUCGGCCGGACUCCCUGUGGAUGGAACCUGGAUAGGCGAUAAACCUAGACUAGAGACUUGAGUGUUUAGGUAGGCCAUGGCCGACACCCUCGUUGGGCAUCCGCUUGAAGGUUGCCGAGUACAUGUCAUGUAAACGACGGUAAGUGGUGGGAGCGUGUGUGAAGAAGUACACCCCUGCAGGGUUAUCAUUAUCUAUUCGAAUAGCCGGAUUCCUCGGAUAUGGAAACUUGGACCCCUUGCAUAGUUCGUAGACAAGUGAAAGUGGAUACUCUAAAAUGCGCAAGAUAAGCGUGAGUGCUAUGGAUGGCCUUCUCGUAGGGAGACGAGAGCGGAUCCAUAGUGGUGUAUUAAUAUGGUGAAUAUAAGGACUCGUGUGCGCCACCUCAAAAGAGUUGCUUGCAGUCAUAGUUCAGGUUAGCCACUGAGUCAAAGCUGGCUUGCUGGAGUUAAACUCCACCACCCCCUUUGUUGAUACCGAUGCAUAUGUAGUUAGUUCUGAUGUAAGUCUUGCUGGGUACAUUUGUACUCACGUUUGCUUAAUUUAUGUUUUGCAGAGAGACUUCAGUCUCGCUAGUAGUUCCACGUGGACUUCGACGUUUAGCUUGUUACCUCAGCUAUGAUCUUGUGCCCUCGGCAGGAUCUGGUAGAUAGUCAGGCUUCUCAGCCUUUUCAUUUGUAGAUGUCUGUACUCAGACAUGUUAAGCUUCCGCAUGUGCUUCGAUUUAUAUUCUAUGAUUGUUGGGUCAUGAGACCAUGUUUGUAAUAUCUUGGCUCCUCGGAGCCUAAUGAAUAAAUACUUUGAGUCGUAGAGUUAUGUUGUGAUGCUAUGUUGUAUUUACACAUAUCGAGCAUAUUGUGUGUAUGAUUGAAAUGCUUGGUAUAUGUGGGAUCCGACAAUCUAGUUGUUUAUCCUUGGCAGCCUCUCUUAUGGGGAAAUGUAGUCUAGUGCUUCCAUGAGCCGUAGUGGUCCGCUACAGCCCGGUUCACUGGAGUCCUGCUAGCCCAGCACUACUGCUCAGGACACUUGACUGGCCGGCAUGUGUUUCACUUCGUUCCUGUGUCUGUCCCUUCGGGGAAAUGUCACGCGGUGACAUCCGGAGUCCUGCCUAGCCUGCUACAGCCCGGGUUACCGGAGUCCUGUUAGCCCAGUGCUACAGCCCGGAUUUGCACGCUGCUGACCGACAUGCUCGAAGUUGAUUCAUGUAUGCCUGUCCCCAUGGGUUAGUGCCGCUUUGGGUUCACGACUAGCCAUGUCGGCCCGGGUUCUCUGUCAUAUGGAUGCUAGCGACACUAUCAUAUACGUGAGCCAAAAGGCGCAAACGGUCCCGGGCCAUGGUAAGGCGACACCCGUGGGAAUACCGUGCGUGAGGACGCAAAGUGAUAUGAGGUGUUACCGGCUAGAUCGAUGUGACUUGGAAUCGGGGUCCUGACAGCGUUGGUAUCAGAGCCUGACUGCCUGUAGGAUUACCAAGCCAAACUGGUCGAUGUCGAGUCUAGAAAUGCUUUAGUUAUAUGUAGGGGAAUUGAUUGUGGGAGGGAACGUAAGGCUCUUUUUACUCCUUUACCUUAUGCCCUCUGAUCUGAGUCAUUCUCUUCUCAUUCUACGUGGGUUAAGGACUAGGCUCUCUCCUUCUAUCAGGGUCACGUGUUACUAAUCCAUAGACUUAUAGAAUUGAUAGUUUCAAGCCUCAGUUCCGUUCCUACUACUUCCGUAUGUUGACAGUUGAUCUCGGAACCUUGAUAUUGUGUUGUUGAGUGAAUAUGCCACCAUUUUGCAGGAUGUCUCAAAUCUUUUGAGCAUUUACAGUCGUUAUGCUGUCCGAGUCAUCCCAGGUCUCUAACUAGUUUGAUGCAUUUGCAAAUCCCUUCUUCCCGUUUCUGAUGUCCUUUUGGGCCAGAUUAAGCACACUAAUGGUCUGUUGAGGUACUCUACUACCUCGACAUAUAUGUUGGAGCUAUUAUUAUGACCCUAGGUGUUUUAGGGAGUCACCUAGUAAUCUAGCCAUGUUUUGUGUUCCCAGUGUGAUGAUUCUGGCCACCAUUCUCGAAAGCAUCCCGUGAUGCCAUUUAGUAGUAGGUAUUCUAUUUCUGGGUUCUUGAGCCCAAGAUUUACUCUACUUACCUCGUGUUGAUAGUGUUUGCUCGUUCAUUUAGGUUAUUAGUAAUCUUUUGAUAGUCCUCAAGGUCUGUGGUACAUCGUUCUUCCAAUACCAUGAGCCAAUAUGGCAGAAGUUAUUUGAACCAAAAGAUCACAAUCAGAGUACUCUUGAGGAGUUCUCCAUCCAUAAUUGUGACUCUGCUAGUCCUACCUCUCUGCAUGGGUUAUCCGAAAGAAACAUGUUGAACUUGAUUCGACAUACUAAUCUAUGCAUCCACAACUCAAAAAAAAUUAUAUGAUCCUUGAGUUGUUCCUCUUCAGUUGUAUCCCGACCGUCCUCUAUCAGUUGAUAGCCAAGAGUAUGUGUGCAUUUGUGUUCAUCGAUGCCUUCUAUUCUUGUGGUACAUUAAGCCAUUCUAUUCCAGAAUGACUAGGAGAAACAAACCCCAGUACCUCGUCCAUAUCUAGGAUUGGGUCAAAGUAGUUGUAUUCCGUGGAUCAAAAUGCCAAUCCAGCUUUUGCUCUAUUCUACCUUAAAGUGUUACCAUAUUUAUGUCAAGGAUAUUAUGGGAAUUGCACCAUCUCUUAUGAAUUCUUGACACAGUGAUACUUCUCACCAUCAUCAUUCAUUCCUCGGUCCUUGUGUUGUUUUAACCGGAAUGUGGACAAGUGAAUUGUGAUGUGUGAAAUCAAUACUCCGAGCAACUCGUUGCUUGGUAGUAAAUGGACAACAUUCUCAUUCUUAGCUUGUUGGUUAUUAAAUCAUCAUCCUAACAUUGAUCGUGCUACCUAAUCUUUAUUUCUGGUGCACUCUUCGAUCCAUGAGUUAGGAUUGUCUCAAUCCCUCACUCUUUUGAUCAUAUCAUCUUGCCCUGAGAAGCAAGGUUGCUCUCGAGCUUAGUAACAUAUUGGUGGUUCGUGAUUUUUCGAAUAUCUUCUCGGAAGUGUUACCAGGUUGUCACCUGACAGCUAUGUUGAGUUCGUGACCAAGUUGGUUUCUUGUAGCCAUGCCUUUUUCUCCAAGAAUCGGUGUUGGAUACCCCUGAGCUAGUUGGUUAAGCUAAACAACAACUUGGAGAGUUGGAAGAUAAAAGCUUGUCUGACCUAGUUCAUGUUAAGGGAUAUAUUUUUGUGUGUGCGUGUGUUGAAGAAAGAUGAUAUCUUCACCAAUUGGUCCUCGUGAUCAGUUGUUGGAUUUAUUGUCUUGUCAAAACUUUGACUUGAGUAUGGGCUAUCGUCAAGUCAAAUCAGAACCAACAAUGUUCGUAAUGUUGUCUUACUCGUGGUUGAUCCCUUGAGCAUACACCAUUACAUAUUUUGGUCUGACUAAUGAUAUCAUCGUGUUCACAUGAUGGUGGAAGUCCAGUGAUAUGGAAACUUCGAUGAGUUGUUGUUGAGCCCAUCAGCAACAUUUUGUCUCCCCCAUGAUUCAUGUUGAACAUUAAGCUAGUAUUGGGAACUUUGUAACCAUUGCCCUUCAUGUUGCGUUCAUGAGGUAUAUGUUUGGUGCAAGAAGUGGCUUUCUCCAAGUUCACGUGCAUUAGGUGCAAGUUGCCGUCGUGAAUUCGAGAAAGUUAGUUUUGCUUCCUCAGGAAUCAUCCCAAGUCAGUCAUGCACGUGCGAAGUAUACUAUGGCUUGAGAGAUUAGCUAUCUCCAUCCCAUCGGUAUUUCCUAGCACACCAAGCCACUGAUUGAUUUAUUCAAAGAAAACAAGUUCAUGCGCUAACCCUGAAGGGCCCGGACGGAUAUGCAGAAGACUUCGUUAUCCCAAUGAUGGUUCCCAACCAGAACUCGAUAGUGUUUUUAUUAUAAGACUACUACGUGGUCAUUCUUGUCUUGGACAACAUGCUCACAUGUAUGUAGUAGAACCGGCUCAUGUUUUGGAGCCUGCUAUCAUAAUUCAUAUCCCAAGAAUCUCGCAACGUCAUCUCGUUGAUUGUGUUGCAAACUUUCUUUUGGACAUGCUGAGUCUGGAAUAUCCUGACACUAACCAGAUCUGAAUCUCAAGAAGAUACGAUGGUUGGAACCUUCCCAACAGUUGUAUUUUGUUCCCAGUUUGCACCACCACUGUGCCAAUUCCCCAUGGGAUGCCCUUCUCGGUAGUUGCUAUCCAGGAUCAUCUUCAAAAGUGGUCUUGUCAUGGGUCCCAUCCAUUUUCGGUGAUAAGCAAAAAUCAUCCAUUGCGUUGUCUUCAACAAGGUAGUCCACAUCAUCCAUUCUAGUUCGGGUAUGCCAUUCCUCUGAACUUCACCAAAUGAUUGUUGGUGAAUUGCCUUAGGCUGGUAUAGAGAGUUUCAAUGAUCUCCGUAUCAAAAGUAAUUCUUUUUGCCACUUAAGGGAAUAUUUCUGCGAGUCACCUUCUUUAAGAUGUCUCGUUAUGGGAUCAUGGCAACUCCACUCCUUGCUACGUCGACAACCUCUCACCACCCUCUUAAGCGUGGAAUUCUUUCCUACCAAAUCGAGUCAUCGCCAUCUAUUUCCUUUCACCCCGAUGAGUGUCUUGUGUUUUAGCUCAAGUGGCAUUCUUUCAUCCAAUUCGAGUUGUUCGUGACCCAUUCGAUCUUUAUGAAGAUCAAAUCUUGUAGAGUUUAUCUCUAUCGUCAUCAUGCUAGAUGAAGAUCUCGAAGGCCAAGACGUCAAGAUCAUGUGGUAGAACGAAUCAACAUCUUCGAUGAGGGCACUUGGAUCAUGAAGAUCGUGCUAGCUUUGUAUCCCCUAUGUCUUCUUACCUCACGUCUUGAAUCUCGGGACGAGAUUCUUGUUUAGUGGGGGUGAGCUGUCACAUCCCUAGCUUAUGGUACUGCCUGGUGUUUUGCAUCUUGUUGCACCAUGUUUAAAUUCUAUUUAAGUUGAAAUGGGGAUUGACCAAACCCAAGCAUCAGAAAGAAUUCAACUAGGUUCAAAUAAAAAUAUUUUCAAUGAACCCAAAAUGCCUUCCCAAAAAUGUUCAUCAUCUUUGGAUUGGUCUAGAACCUCUGCCAAAAAUGGUGCACAUUUUUCUAGGACACUUUGGAUUUUGAAGUAAUCCAUAAGUAUUUGAAUUUGGACAUUUAAAUCUUAUAAAUAUUUUUAUUUGUCCAAAUAAUCCUGAAAGUACUUGAGGGCAGUUGGAAAAUAUUUCAAAGGUUCCUAAAAUUAUUUUCAGGAUUUUACCAACUGGUUUAGUAUUUUUACUAAAUCAAAAAGAACAGCAGAAAAUAGAAAAAAAACAGAAAUAAAAGAGAGAGAGAGAGAGAUAGUACCUGGCCACUUACCUUGGCCCAACACUGUAGCUGGCCCAGCCCACCAGGGGCACGCUUGUCUUCUUCCCCUUGCCAGCGCACGAAGCAGCUCGGUGGCGAGCGCCGACGUCGCGCCUGGCCACCUCCUGCUUGCUGCCGCCUCCCCGACGUCGCCCUGGAGACGCCACGCGCCCCCCAGGCCCUCUCAGCCUCUCCCCGAGCUCCCCUCCUCCUCUGGCUCUCUCGCACGCAAACCACCGAGCGCUAUCGUCACCGCCGACGAGCGCAACCGCGGCCAUCGCCUCUCCCUCGCCUCUCUGUGAUGUCCAGAGGCUCCGCCUCGAUGCCACGGAGCCCCAAGACGAAGCACGUGGCCGCGGAACGCCCUAGGCGACGCCAUCAUCCUCAUCCUCGUUGUCAGACACCGGAGAUACCCCUCGCCGCCCCGCUCACUUCGACCCCUCCCCGAGCUCGCCGACUUGCUCCUCAUGGUCACCGUGAGCUGCUGAUCAUCCUCCCCCUCUCCGUUUUCUCUCCUGCACUUCGCAGCCACCGCGCCCCUCUCGCCCGACUGCGCCGCCGCCCGCACUCGUCGUCGACGCAGCUCCGGUGACCAUUUGGUCCCAGGCGUGCGUCCAACAUGCUCACCACCAUGCGUAGAGCCUCCCUAGCGCCACGCUGCGCUCGUUUGCACCCUGCAGCGCCGAUCCCGCGAACACCCGAACUCCGACCGCCACCCAACUUGCCACCGCCGCCGCCACAGACCACCCCAGGUUCAGCCAUCACCACCACCGGAUGCGCCAUGCUGCGGGCGUUCCAACUCGCCCGGCCGCGCGACCUCUCGUCGCCGGAGUUGGCCGGACGGGUAACCCCGUUGCGUUCUGCUUAGCACCGGCGGCAACUCGCCGUUUAGCUGACGUGGCACCAUUAGUUUAGGUACUAAUCACGUUUAGUUAGUGUUCUGUUUCGAUGACAUAUGGGCCCCACGCCCUAAUUAACCCCGGGCUUUAUUUUCUGUUUAGUUUAGAUUAACCCAGCGGGACCCACGCGUCACAGUUGACCCUGCUGAUGUGGCCGUUGACCUGGCCCACCUGUCAGCGAGCUAAACAGCCCUGUGCCACUGACGUGUGGCCCCCACACGUCAGGUUUGACCUGGUCAGCUGCAGUUAACCUGCUGAUGUCACAGUGACGCAAUGCUGAUGCAGUUAAUAAUUUUUUGGGUUUAUUAUUAAUCAGAAAAAUCCAGAAAAUUGCCUAAACUUCUAAAAAUCAUAGAAAAUAAUCUAUAGCUUAGAAUGAAAUAAAUUAUAUAUGAAAAAUGAUCAGAAAAAUCCAAUCUAUCCAUUUAUGCUGUUUUCAUGCAUGUUAGAACACUUCAACCUUGCUGUUUAGGUGAAACAAGUUAAUGCACUAAUAUGACCUCUUAUUUUGGGUUUGCAUUUGAAUCGUUAAUUCAAAUGAACUCAAACCAAUCUGUUCUAAGUUGCAUUAGCCAAAACACACUCAUUUUGCCAUGUCAUGAGCAUGCAUCAUACUGUUGCAUUGCAUUGAUUGUGUUUCUUCCUUGUUUGCCGGUAUUGUCCCCUCUCAGUAAACGUGGUUCCGACGAUGAGUUCGAUGACACCGAUGAAGAGAUAUUACUAUCUUCAGAAGUGCCAGGCAAGAAAAACCCCCUUGUUCAUUUUGCUACAAUCCCACUCUCUCGCUCCUGCUCUCUUUUACUGCAUUAGGACAACAACGAUUCAACUGUUACAUGCUGCGGUAGUUGAACCCCUUUCCUCUGCAUGACCUGUCAUUGCCACAGUAAAUAGAUGAAACCCACUAGCAUGAGUAGGAGUUGUUUGAGCCCUGAUGUGCCUACUCAUUCAUGCUUGUUUGUUAUGCCUGCUAUUGCAUAUGGUUGUGUCGGGUCUGAUUCAUCGGGAAUGAAUUGGAAUGGUGAUGAACAUGUCCUACUGUGUGUGAACACGAUUUGGUAAAGGUAGCGGUGAGAGGCCAUGUAGGAGUACAUGGUGGGUUGUCUCAUUGAAAUGUUCUUAGGAACUGAGUUCUGUGUCUGUGAUCCAUGAACACCUACUACCACUCAUUGGAAUCCUUAAUUGACCCUCUCGGCUUCUUAAUCACCCUAGUACUCUGUCUAGGAGUUGCAACUAGUUUCUGGUGUUUGUAGGUUAUGUGUUGGCGGCGUGUGUAGCACUGACCCUAGGGGUGGGCUAUGAUGCGGUAGAUACACCGUGGCACGUUGUACCGGGCGCCUGUUUGGUGUCUCGGGAACCCUGUUCACAUCGUUUGGGGCCGUAUGUCGAAACCUCGGCCGGACUCCCUGCGGAUGGAACCUGGAUAGGCGAUGAACCUGUACUAGAGACUUGAGUGUUUAGGUAGGCCAUGGCCGACACCCUCGUUGGGCUUCCGCUUGAAGGUUGCCGAGUACACGUCGUGUAAACAACGGUAAGUGGUGGGAGCGUGUGUGAAGAAGUACACCCCUGCAGGGUUAUCAUUAUCUAUUCGAAUAGCCGGAUUCCUCGGAUAUGGAAACUUGGACCCCUUGCAUAGUUCAUAGACAAGUGAAAGUGGAUACUCUAAAAUGCACAAGAUAAGCCUGAGUGCUAUGGAUGGCCUUCUCGUAGGGAGACGAGAGCGGAUCCAUAGUGGUGUAUUGAUAUGGUGAAUAUGUGGACUCGUGUGCGCCACCUCAAAAGAGUUGCUUGCAGUCGUAGUUCAGGCUAGCCACUGAGUCAAAGCUGGCUUGCUGCAGUUAAACUCCACCACCCCCUUUGUUGAUACCAAUGCAUAUGUUGUUAGUUCUGAUGUAAGUCUUGCUGGGUACAUUUGUACUCACGUUUCCUUAAUUUAUGUUUUGCAGAGAGACUUCAGUCUCGCUAGUAGUUCCACGUGGACUUCGACGUUUAGCUUGUUACCUCAGCUACGAUCUUGUGCCCUCGGCAGGAUCUGGUAGAUAGUCAGGCUUCUCAGCCUUUUCAUUUGUAGAUGUCUCUACUCAGACAUGUUAAGCUUCCGCAUGUGCUUUGCUAUGAUUGUUGGGUCAUGAGACCAUGUUUGUAAUAUCUUGGCUCCUCGGAGCCUAAUGAAUAAAUACUUUGAGUCGUAGAGUUAUGUUGUGAUGCUAUGUUGUAUUUACACAUAUUGAGCAUAUUGUGUGUAUGAUUGAAAUGCUUGGUAUGUGUGGGAUCCGACAAUCUAGUUGUUUACCCUUGGCAGCCUAUCUUAUGGGGAAAUGUAGUCUAGUGCUUCCAUGAGCCAUAGUUGUCCUCUACAGCCCGGUUCACCAGAGUCCUGCUAGCCCAGCACUACUGCUCAGGACACUUGACUGGCCGACAUGUGUUUCACUUUGUUCCUGUGUCUGUCCCUUCGGGGAAAUGUCAUGCGGUGACAUCCGGAGUCCUGCCUAGCCUGCUACAGCCCGGGUUACCGGAGUCCUAUUAGCCCAGUGCUACAGCCCAGAUUCGCACGCUGCUGACCGACAUGCUCGAAGUUGAUUCAUGUAUGCCUGUCCCCAUGGGUUAGUGCCUCUUUGGGUUCACGACUAGCCAUGUCGGCCCGGGUUCUCUGUCAUAUGGAUGCUAGCGACACUAUCAUAUACGUGAGCCAAAAGGCGCAAACAGUCUCGGGCCAUGGUAAGGCGACACCCGUGGGAAUACCGUGCGUGAGGCCGCAAAGUGAUAUGAGGUGUUACCGACUAGAUCGAUGCGACUUGGAAUCGGGGUCCUGACAGCGUUGGUAUCAGAGCCUGACUGCCUGUAGGAUUACCAAGCCAAACUGGUCGAUGUCAAGUCUAGAAAUGCUUUAGUUAUAUGUAGGGGAAUUGAUUGUGGGAGGGAACCUAAGGCUCUUUUUACUCCUUUACCUUAUGCCCUCUGAUCUGAGUCAUUCUCUUCUCAUUCUACGUGGGUUAAGGACUAGGCUCUCUCCUUCUAUCAGGGUCACGUGUUACUAAUCCAUAGGCUUAUAGAAUUGAUAGUUUCAAGCCUCAGUUCUGUUCCUACUACUUCCGUAUGUUGACAGUUGAUCUCGGAACAUUGAUAUUGUGUUGUUGAGUGGUUAUGCCACCAUUUUGCAGGAUGUCUCAAAUCUUUUGAGCAUUUACAACCGUUAUGCUGUCCGAGUCAUCCUAGGUCUCUAACUAGUCUGAUGCAUUUGCAAAUCCCUUCUUCCCGUUUCCAAUGUCCUUUUGGGCCAGAUUAAGCACACUAAUGGUCUGUUGAGGUACUCUACUACCUCAACAUAUAUGUUGGAGCUAUUAUUAUGACCCUAGGUGUUUUAGGGAGUCAGCUAGUAAUCUAGCCAUGUUUUGUGUUCCCAGUGUGAUGAUUCUGGCCACCAUUCUCGAAAGCAUCCCGUGAUGCCAUUUAGUAGUAGGUAUUCUAUUUUUGGGUUCUUGAGCCCAAGAUUUACUCUACUUACCUCAUGUUGAUAGUGUUUGCUCGUUCCUUUAGGUUAUUAGUAAUCUUUUGGUAGUCCUCAAGGUCUGUGGUACAUCGUUCUUCCAAUACCAUGAGCCAAUAUGGCAGAAGUUAUUUGAACCAAAAGAUCACAGAGUACUCUUGAGGAGUUCUCCAUCCAUAAUUGUGACUCUGCCAGUCCUACCUCUCUGCAUGGGUUAUCCGAAAGAAACAUGUUGAACUUGAUUCGACAUACUAAUCUAUGCAUCCAAAACUCAAAAAAAAUAUGAUCCUUGAGUUGUUCCUCUUCAGUUGUAUCCCGACCGUCCUCUAUCAGUUGAUAGCCAAGAGUAUGUGUGCAUUUGUGUUCAUCGAUGCCUUCUAUUCUUCUGGUACUUUACGCCACUCUAUUCCGGAAUGACUAGGAGAAACAAACCCCAGUACCUCGUCCAUAUCUAGGAUUGGGUCAAAGUAGUUGUAUUCCGUGGAUCAAAAUGCCAAUCCAUCUUUUUCUCUGUUCUACCUUGAAGUGUUACCGUAUCUAUGUCAAGGAUAUUAUGGGAAUUGCACCAUCUCUUAUGAAUACUUGACACAGUGAUACUUCUCACCAUCAUCAUUCAUUCCUCGGUCCUUGUGUUGUUGUAACCGGAAUGCCGACAAGUGAAUUGUGAUGUGUGAAAUAAAUACUCCGAGCAACUCGUUGCUUGGUAGUAAAUGGACAACAUUCUCAUUCUUAGCUUGUUGGUUAUUAAAUCAUCAUCCUAACAUUGAUCGUGCUACCUAAUCCUUAUUUCUGGUGCACUCUUCGAUCCAUGAGUUAGGAUUGUCUCAAUCCCUCACUCUUUUGAUCAUAUCAUCUUGCCCUGAGAAGCAAGGUUGCUCUCGAGCUUAGUAACAUAUUGGUGGUUCGUGAUUUUCCGAAUAUCUUCUCGGAAGUGUUACCAGGUUGUCACCUGACCGCUAUGUUGAGUUCGUGACCAAGUUGGUUUCUUGUAGCCACGCCUUUUUCUCCAAGAAUCGGUGUUGGAUACCCCUAAGCUAGUUGGUUAAGCUAAACAACAACUUGGUGAGUUGGAAGAUAAAAGCUUGUCUGACCUAGUUCAUGUUAAGGGAUAUCUUUUUGUGUGUGCGUGUGUUGAAGAAAUAUGCUAUCUUCACCAAUUGGUCCUCGUGAUUAGUUGUUGGAUUUAUUGUCUUGUCAAAACUUUAACCUGAGUAUGGGCUAUCGUCAAGUCAAAUCAAAACCAACGAUGUUUGUAAUGUUGUCUUACUCGUGGUUGAUCCCUCGAGCAUACACCAUUACAUAUUUUGGUCCGACCAAUGCUAUCACCGUGUUCACAUGAUGGUGGAAGUCCAGUGGUAUGGAAACUUUGAUGAGUUGCUGUUGAGCCCAUCAGCAACAUUUUGUCUUCCCCAUGAUUCAUGUUGAACAUUAAGCUAGUAUUGGGAACUUUGUAACCAUUGCCUUCAUGUUGCGUUCAUGAGGUAUAUGUUUGGUGCAAGAAGUGGCUUUCUCCAAGUUCACGUGCAUUAGGUGCAAGUUGCCAUCGUGAAUUCGACAAAGUUGGUUUUGCUUCCUCGGGAAUCAUCCCAAGUCAGUCAUGCACGUGCGAAGUAUACUAUGGCUUGAGAGAUUAGCUACCUCCAUCCCAUCGGUAUUUCCUAGCACACCAAGCCACUGAUUGAUUUAUUCAAAGAAAAUAAGUUCAUGCGCUAACCCUGAAGGGCCCGGACGGAUAUGCACAAGACUUCAUUAUCCCAAUGAUGGUUCCCAACCAGAACUCGAUAGUGUUUUUUACUAUAAGACUACUAUGUGGUCAUUCUUGUCUUGGAUAACAUGCUCACAUGUAUGUAGCAGAACCGGCUCAUGUUUUAGAGCCUGCUAUCGUAAUUCAUAUCCCGAGAAUCUCGCAACGUCAUCUCGUUGAUUGUGUUGCAAACUUUCUUUCGGACAUGCUGAGUCUGGAAUAUCCUGACACCAACCAGAUCUGAAUCUCAGGCAGACACGAUGGUUGGAACCUUCCCAACAGUUGCAUUUUGUUCCUAGUUUGCACCACUAUUGUGCCAAUUCCCCAUGGGAUGCCCUUCUCGGUAGUUGCUAUCCAGGAUCAUCUUCAAAAGUGGUCUUGUCAUGGGUCCCAUCCAUUUCCGGUGAUAAGCAAAAAUCAUCCAUUGCGUUGUCUUCAACAAGGUAGUCCACAUCAUCCAUUCUAGUCUGGGCAUGCCAUUCCUCUGAACUUCACCAAAUGAUUGUUGGUGAAUUGCCUUAGGCUGGUAUAGAGAGUUUCAAUGAUCUCCGUAUCAAAAGUAAUUCUUUUUGCCACUGAAGGGAAUAUUUCUGCGAGUCACCUUCUUUAAGAUGUCUCGUUAUGGGAUCAUGGCAACUCCACUCCUCGCUACGUCGACAACCGCUCACCACCCUCUUAAGCAUGGAAUUGUUCCCUACCAAAUCGAGCCAUCGCCAUCUAUUUCCUUUCACCCCGAUGAGUGUCUUGUGUUUUAGCUCAAGAGGCAUUCUUUCAUCCAAUUCGAGUUGUUCGUGACCCGUUCGAUCUUUAUGAAGAUCAAAUCUUGUAGAGUUUUUCUCUAUCGCCAUCAUGCUAGAUGAUGAUCUUGAAGGCCAAGACGUCAAGAUCAUGUGGUAGAACGAAUCAACAUCUUCGAUGAGCGCACUUGGAUCAUGAAGAUUGUGCUAGCUUUGUAUCCCCUCUGUCUUCUUACCUCACGUCUUGAAUCUCAGGACGAGAUUCUUGUUUAGUGGGGGUGAGCUGUCACAUCCCUAGCUUAUGGUACUGCCUGGUGUUUUGCAUCUUGUUGCAUCAUGUUUUAAUUCUAUUUAAGUUGAAAUGGGGAUUGACCAAACCCUAGCAUCAGAAAGAAUUCGACUAGGUUCAAAUAAAAAUAUUUUCAAUGAACACAAAAUGCCUUCCCAAAAAUGUUCAUCAUCUUUGGAUUGGUCUAGAACCUCUGCCAAAAAUGGUGCACAUUUUUCUAGGACACUUUGGAUUUUUGAAGUAAUCCAUAAGUAUUUGAAUUUGGACAUUUAAAUCUUAUAAAUAUUUUUAAUUGUCCAAAUAAUCCUGAAAGUACUUGAGGGCUAUUGGAAAAUAUUUCAAAGGUGCCUAAAAUUAUUUUCAGGAUUUUACCAAGUGGUUUAGUAUUUUUACUAAAUCAAAAACAACAGCAGAAAAUAGAAAAAAACAGAAAUAAAAGAGAGAGAGAGAGAGAUAGUACCUGGCCACUUACCUCGGCCCAACACUGUAGCUGGCCCAGCCACCAGGGGCACGCUUGUCUUCUUCCCCUUGCCAGCGCACGAAGCAGCUCGGUGGCGAGCGUCGACGUCGCGCCUGGCCACCUCCUGCUUGCUGCCGCCUCCCCGACGUCGCCCUGGAGACGCCACGCGCCCCCAGGCCCUCUCAGCCUCUCCCCGAUCUCCCCUCCUCCUCUGGCUCUCUCGCACGCAAACCACCAAGCGCCGUCGUCGCCGCCGACGAGUGCAACCGCGGCCAUCGCCUCUCCCUCGCCUCUCCGUGAUGUCCAGAGGCUCCGCCUCGACGCCACGGACCCUCAAGACGAAGCACGCGCCCGCGGAACGCCCUAAGCGACACCAUCAUCCUCAUCCUCGCUGUUGGAAGCCAGAGAUCCCCCUCGCCGCCCCGCUCGCUUUGGCCCCUCCCCGAGCUCGCCGACUCGCUCCCCGUGUUCACUGUGAGCUGCUGAUCAUCCUCCCCCUCUCCGUUUUCUCUCCUGCACUCCGCAGCCACCACGCCCCUCCCGCCCGACUGCGCCACCGCCCGCACUCGCCGCCGAUGCAGCUCUGUUGACCAUUUGGCCCCAGGCGUGCGUCCAACAUGCUCACCACCACACGUAGAGCCUCCCUAGUGCCAUGCUGCGCUCGUUUGCACCCUGCAGCGCCGAUCUCGCAAACACCCGAACUCCGGCCGUCGCCCAACUUGCCGCCGCCGCCACAGACCACCCCAGGUCCAGCCAUCACCACCAUCGGAUGCGCCAUGCUGCAGGCGUUCCAACGCGCCCGGCCACGCGACCUCUCAUCGCCGGAGUUGGCCGGACGGGCAACCCCGUCACGUUCUGCUUAGCACCGGCGGCUAAUCGCCGUUUAGCUGACAUGGCACCAUUAGUUUAGGUACUAAUCACAUUUGGUUAGUGUUCUGUUUUGAUGACAUAUGGGCCCCACGCCCUAAUUAACCCCGGUCUUUAUUUUCUGUUUAGUUUAGAUUAACCCAGCGGGACCCACGCGUCGGAGUUGACCCUGCUGACGUGGCCGUUGACCUGGCCCACCUGUCAGCGAGCUAAACAACCCUAUGCCACUGACGUGUGGCCCCCACACGUCAGGUUUGACCUAGUCAGCCGCAGUUGACCUGCUGACGUCACAGUGACGCAAUGCUAAUGCAGUUAAUAAUUUUCUGGAUUUAUUAUUAAUCAGAAAAAUCCAGAAAAUUGCCUAAACUUCUAAAAAUCAUAGAAAAUAAUAUAUAGCUCAGAAUGAAAUAAAUUAUAUAUGAAAAAUGAUCAGAAAAAUCCAAUCUAUCCAUUUAUGCUGUUUUCAUGCAUGUUAGAACACUUCAACCUUGCUGUUUAGGUGAAACAAGUUAAUGCACUAAUAUGACCUCUUAUUUUGGGUUUGCAUUUGAAUCCUUAAUUCAAAUGAACUCAAACCAAUCUGUUCUAAGUUGCAUUAGCCAAAACACACUCAUUUUGCCAUGUCAUGAGCAUGCAUCAUAUUGUUGCAUUGCAUUGAUUGUGUUUCUUCCUUGUUUGCCGGUAUUGUCCCCUCUCAGUAAACGUGGUUCCGACGAUGAGUUCGAUGACACCGAUGAAGAGCUAUUACUAUCUUCAGAAGUGCAAAACCCCCUUGUUCAUUCUGAUACAAUCCCACUCUCUCGCUCCUGCUCUCUUUUACUGCAUUAGGACAACAACGAUUCAACUGUUACAUGCUGCGGUAGUUGAACCCCUUUCCUCUGCAUGACCUGUCAUUGCCACAGUAAAUAGAUGAAACCCACUAGCAUGAGUAGGAGUUGUUUGAGCCCUGAUGUGCCUACUCAUUCAUGCUUGUUUGUCAUGCCUGCUAUUGCAUAGAGUUGUGUCGGGUCUGAUUCAUCGGGAAUGAAUUGGAAUGGUGAUGAGCAUGUCCUACCGUGUGUGAGCUGAGUGUGUGAACACGAUUUGGUAAAGGUAGUGGUGAGAGGCCAUGUAGGAGUACAUGGUGGGUUGUCUCAUUGAAACCAUUCUUAGGAACUGAGUUCUGUGUCUGUGAUCCAUGAACAGCUACUACCACUCAUUGGGAUCCUUAAUUGACCCUCUCGGCUUCUUAAUCACCCUAGUACUCUGUCCAGGAGUUGCAACUAGUUUCUGGUGUUUGUAGGUUAUGUGUUGGCGGCCGUGCCUAGUGCUGACCCUAGGGGUGGGCUAUGAUGUGGUAGAUACACCAUGGCACGGUGUAUCGGGCGCCCGUUUGGUGUCUCGAGAACCCUGUUCACAUCGUUCGAGGCCGUAUGUGGAAACCUCGGCCGGACUCCCUGCGGAUGGAACCUGGAUAGGCGAUAAACCUAGACUAGAGACUUGAGUGUUUAGGUAGGCCGUGGCCGACACCCUCGUUGGGCUUCCGCUUGAAGGUUGCCCAGUACAUGUCGUGUAAACGAUGGUAAGUGGUGGGAGCGUGUGUGAAGAAGUACACCCCUGCAGGGUUAUCAUUAUCUAUUCGAAUAGCCGGAUUCCUCGGAUAUGGAAACUUGGACCCCUUGCAUAGUUCAUAGACAAGUGAAAGUGCAUACUCUAAAAUACGCAAGAUAAGCGUGAGUGCUAUGGAUGGCCUUCUCGUAGGGAGACGAGAGUGGAUCCAUAGUGGUGUAUUGAUAUGGUGAAUAUGUGGACUCGUGUGCGCCACCUCAAAAGAGUUGCUUGCAGUCGUAGUUCAGGUUAGCCACUGAGUCAAAGCUGGCUUGCUGCAGUUAAACUCCACCACCCCCUUUGUUGAUACCGAUGCUUAUGUAGUUAGUUCUGAUGUAAGUCUUGCUGGGUACAUUUGUACUCACGUUUGCUUAAUUUAUGUUUUGCAGAGAGACUUCAGUCUCGCUAGUAGUUCCACGUGGACUUCGAUGUUUAGCUUGUUACCUCAGCUACGAUCUUGUGCCCUCGGCAGGAUCUGGUAGAUAGUCAGGCUUCUCAGCCUUUUCAUUUGUAGAUGUCUGUACUCAGACAUGUUAAGCUUCCGCAUGUGCUUUGAUUUGUAUGCUAUGAUUGUUGGGUCAUGAGACCAUGUUUGUAAUAUCUUGGCUCCUCGGAGCCUAAUGAAUAAAUACUUUGAGUCGUAGAGUUAUGUUGUGAUGCCAUGUUGUAUUUACACAUAUCGGGCAUAUUGUGUGUAUGAUUGAAAUGCUUGGUAUGUGUGGGAUCCGACAAUCUAGUUGUUUAUCCUUGGCAGCCUCUCUUAUGGGGAAAUGUAGUCUAGUGCUUCCAUGAGCCAUAGUAGUCCGCUACACCCCGGUUCACCGGAGUCCUGCUAGCCCAGCACUACUGCUCAGGACACUUGACUGGCCGACAUGUGUUUCACUUCGUUCCUGUGUCUGUCCCUUCGGGGAAAUGUCACACGGUGACAUCCGGGGUCCUGUCUAGCCUGCUAUAGCCCGGGUUACCGGAGUCCUGUUAGCCCAGUGCUACAGCCCGAAUUCGCACGCUGCUGACCGACAUGCUCGAAGUUGAUUCAUGUAUGCCUGUCCCCAUGGGUUAGUGCCGCUUUGGGUUCACGACUAGCCAUGUCGGCCCGGGUUCUCUAUCAUAUGGAUGCUAGCGACACUAUCAUAUACGUGAGCCAAAAGGCGCAAAUGGUCCCGGGCCAUGGUAAGGCGACACCCGUGGGAAUACCGUGCGUGAGGCCGCAAAGUGAUAUGAGGUGUUACCGGCUAGAUCGAUGUGACUUGGAAUCGGGGUCCUGACAGGAUGUUAAUUUUGUUGGUAGGCACAAUUUUGGUAAUAAUGCGUAUAGAGGUAAUUUUAACCCUAGGCCAUUUCCUAGUAAUUUCUCUAAUAAUUAUGGUAAUUCCUACAACAAUUCUUAUGGAAAUUAUAAUAAGAUGCCCUCUAAAUUUGAGAAUAGUGUUAAAGAAUUUAUUAGUUCGCAAAAGAAUUUCAAUGCUUGGAUUGAAGAAAAAUUGCUUAAGAUUGAUGAUUUGGCUAGGAACGUGGAUAUAAUUUCUCUUGAUGUUGAUUCUUCGAAACUUAGAUCUAUUCCACCUAAGCAUGAUAUCAAUGAGUCUCUCAAAGCCAUGAGAAUUUCCAUUGAUGAGUGCAAAGAAAGAACCGCUAAGAUGCGUGCUAAAAAAGAUUGGUUUACAAAAGCAUGUUCUUCUAGUUUCCAUGGAAAUAAUGAUGAAGAUUUAAAAGUGAUUGAUGUGACUCCUAUUGAAUCUUUGUUUUCCAAUGUUAAUCUUGAUAAAGAUGGGACUGGAUAUGAGUCAACUUUAGUUAGAAGGCGUCCCAAUGAUUCAGAAUUUUUAGAUCUUGAUACAAAAAUUUAUAAAAGUGGGAUUGGAGAGCUCAAAACUUUAGAUAGCAAUGAACCCACUAUUUUGGAUUUCACGGACUUUAAUUAUGAUAAUUGCUCUUUAAUAGAUUGUAUUUCCUUGUUGCAAUCCGUGUUGAAUUCUCCUCAUGUUUAUACUCAAAACAAAGCUUUUACUAAACAUAUCGUUGAUGCUAUGAUGCAAUCUUAUGAAGAAAAGAUUAAUUUGGAAGUUUCUAUCCCUAGAAAACUUUAUGAUGAGUGGGAACCUACUAUUCAGAUUAAUAUUAAGGAUUAUGAAUGCUAUGCUUUGUGUGAUUUGGGUGCUAGUGUUUCCACGAUUCCGAAAACUUUAUGUGAUGUGUUAGGUUUCCGUGAAUUUGAUGGUUGUUCCUUAAAUUUGCAUCUUGCGGACUCCACUAUUAAGAAACCUAUGGGAAGAAUUAAUGAUGUUAUUAUUGUUGCAAAUAGGAAUUAUGUGCCCAUAUAUUUCAUUGUUCUUGAUAUAGAUUGCAAUCCUACAUGUCCUAUUAUUCUUGUUAGACCUUUCCUUAGAACGAUUGGUGCAAUUAUUGAUAUGAAAGAAGGAAAUAUUAUAUUUCAAUUUCCAUUAAGGAAAGGAUGGAACACUUUCCAAGAAAUAAAAUUAAAUUGCCUUAUGAAUCUAUUAUGAUAGCCACUUAUGGAUUGCAUGCCAAAGAUGAUAAUACUUAGAUCUAUUCGUGUUUUUAUGCCUAGCUAGGGGCGUUAAACAAUAGCGCUUAUUGGGAGGCAACCCAUUUUUAUUUUUGUUCUUGCUUUGUAGGUCAUGUUUUGCUUUGAAUAAAUCAUCUAGCCUCUGGUUACAUGUGGUUUUGAGUUUUAAUUAGUGUUUGUGCCAAGUAAGACCUUUGGCAUAGCUUAUGGUAAUAGUUGAUUUGAUCCUGCUGAAAAACAGAAACUUUUGCGACCAGGAGAUUAGUUUUAAUUUUUAAUAGAAGCGCGAUAAAAUACUGAUUCUUUUUGCAGAGGAUUAAUAAAAAAAAUUAUCUGGGACUUCCUAAUUUCUCAAAAAAAUUGGAGUUACAGAAGUAUUCGAAAUAUCCAUAUUGCUACACACUGUUCCGUUUUUGACUGAUUCUGUUUUUCGCGUGUUGUUUGCUUAUUUUGAUGCAUCUAUGGCUAGUAUCGGGGGGUAUGAACCAUGGAAAAGUUGGAAUACAGUAGAUAGUACACCAAUAUAAAUAAAGACUGAUUUCACAAUAGUACGAAAAGUGGUGAUUUAUUUUUCUUAUACUAAUAGAGCUUACGAGAUUUUCUGUUGGAGUUUUCUGUUGUGAAGUUUUCAAGUUUUGGGUAAGGAUUUGAUGGACUAUGGAAUAAGGAGUGGCAAGAGCCUAAGCUUGGGGAUGCCCAAGGCACCCCAAGGUAAUAUUCAAGGAUGUCAAAAGGUAAUAUUCAAGGCAGCCAGGAGUGAUCACCCAUAGCUCGAGCCCGUAUGCUGCUCCAGUGCUGCUAGUAAAGAAAAAAUAUGGGAGUUGGCGGUUUUGUGUUGAUUUUCGAUGACUGAAUUCUGUUACAGUAAAGAACAAGUUCCCCUUUCCCAUAGUGGACGAGCUUCUCGAUGAACUAGCUAGUGUUGCUUACUUCUCCAAGAUCAAUCUCCGAGUCGGCUACCACCAAAUACGCACGCGUGAAGAAGAUGAGGAAACGAUAGCUUUCAAGACGCACCAUGGGCAUUAUCAUUUUCGUGUGAUGCCCUUUGGCCUAUGCAAUGCACCAGCCAUGUUCCAGUGCCUGAUGAACACCAUCUUUGGGUGCCACGUACGUAAGUUCAUCAUCAUUUUCCUUGACGACAUCUUGGUUUUCAGUGAGGAACUACAGGAGCACGAAGAGCAUCACUGGGUGACCUUGGACCUCCUACGCGAGCACUAGUUGUUCGCCAAGGCCUCCAAGUGCUUUUUUGCUCAAAUCAGCAUCGAGUACUUGGGCCAUAUCAUCUCCAUGGACAGCGUCGCAACAGACUCCAGCAAGACCAGUGCGAUGAACGCCCGACCCGUUCAAAUGAACCAAACCGAGCUACACGGUUUCCUCGGACUGAUCGGCUACUACCGGAAAUUCGCCCCACACUACAGAAUCAUUGCCAAGCCCUCGACACGGCUGCUCACCAAGAAGGGAUUCGAGUGGAACGAGAAGGCCCAGGACGCAUUCAUCAUGCUCAAGAAGGCGAUGAUGAGCACACCCGUGCUCGCCCUUCCGGACUUCUCACACCCGUUCACCAUCGAGACCGAUGCCUGCAACACUAGCGUGGGCGCCGUGCUCAUCCAAGGCGGUCACCCCGUGUCCUACCUCAACAAAGCCUUGGGCGUGCGCAAUCAGAAGCUGUCAACCUACAAAAAGGAAUUCUUGGCCGUCAUGAUGGCAAUCGACAAGUGGAGGCCAUAUCUUCAGCGGGCGCCAUUCGAGAUUGUCACCAAUCACAGGAGCCUCUGUGCUCUCAGCGAUCAGCAAUUGGCGGUGGAGCUGUAGCGCAAGGCCAUGGUGAAGAUGGUCGGCAUCCAAUUCACCUUCCGCUACAAGCGUGGCACCGACAACAGCGCAGUAGACGCGCUAUCGCGUGUCGGCCACCUGAUGGCUCUCGACGCGCUCUCCUUGUGUCAACCACAGUGGCUCCAGGAAGUCGCCAACUCAUACGCGAUAGACCUGGACGCCCAGGAUCUGCUCGCCAAGCUCGUCGUCAUUGACACCGACGACCAGGAGCUCACCCUAUAGCAAGGCGUCAUCAGGCAGCAUGGGCGCCUAUAGAUUGGCACGAACUCGGCCCUGCAGACGAAGCUCAUCUCCGUGCUUCACCACAGCGUUGUCAGCGGUCACUCUGGCGCCACGGCGACCUACCACCGUGUCCAUAAGAUGUUCGCCUAGACCGGCCUGAAGCGCGCGGUCGAAGACUUCAUCAAGCAGUGCGCGGUGUGCCAGCACGCCAAGCACGAGCACAUGCACCCGACCGGCAAGCUCCAACCACUGUCGAUCCCUCAAGAACCAUGGCAGGAAUUGACCAUGCAUUUCGUCAAAGGACUUCCCAAAUCUAAGGGGUACCAUGCCAUUAUGGUCAUCGUCGACCGGCUCACCAAGUACACACAUUUCGUGCCGCUCCCCCACCCCUUCACGGCCGCCCAGGUCACGCGCGCGUUCUGGGAACACGUCAUCAAGCUCCAUGGCGUGCCACACUCCAUCGUGUUCGGUCGUGACAAGCUUUUCACCAGCGCAAUAUGGUGAGAGAUCUUCGCCGCCGCAGGGACCAAGAUUCUGUAUUCCACGGCGUACCAUCCGCAGACAGACGGCCAAAUGGAGCACGCCAACCAGUGUCUGGAGAUGCAUCUUCGGUGCGCUGUGCACGACAUGCCCAAGCAAUGGCGCAAAUGGCUACCUACGGCAGAAUUCUGGUACAACUCGACCCAUCACUCCUCUCUGAACCGCUCCUCGUUUAAUGCUUUAUAUGGAAGAGAACAAAAUCAUGGAGGACUACCACAACUGAGCUUCGAGCUGCCAGAGGCCGCCCAAGGCGGGGACCUGGACUGGGCCACGCACACUAAGUUUCUCCGAUCGCAGCUAGCUCGCGCCCAAGACCGUUUCAAGAAACAGGCAGAUCGUCACCACGCCGAGCGCGCACUUGAUGUGGGAGAACAGGUACUACUCAAGCUUUAACCUUAUGCCCAGACUUCAAUCGCCAAUCGCCCUUCCUCAUUACCGAGCGUGUGGGCACGCUCGCUUACCGGCUCCAACUCCCUCCAGACAGCCGCAUACAUCCUGUGUUUCACGUCUCCCAGUUGAAGCCCUUCGUCCCCAAUUACACACAGGUCUUCUCUGAGCUCCUCAAGGUACCGGAUCUAGCUGCCAACGAGUUACAACGGACAGCCAUUCUGGACCGUCGCAUGAUGAAUAAAGGAGAUGCACCGGUCGUCUAGCUGCAGAUUCAGUGGGAUAACAUGCCAUUCGCAGUAGCAACCUGGGACGAUUACUCGGUGCUUCGUCAAUGUUUUCCAAAUGCCAGCAUCUUGGACGGGGAAUCCUGUCAAGGGGGGACAAUGUCGUGCCUGCAUAUGACAGUAACCUGCAUAUGCAGCGGACUGAAGAAGUGCAAGUUCAAAGUUGCACCUGAACUGAACCUGCAGCACCCUGUGUGGUGAGCUGGGUCGUGGGCCUUGUGAGCGUGAGUGUGUCAAGGGCGGCUGGCCCGUUGUGCCGGCUACUUAUUGUACCAAACCCGGAUGAUUCGGCAGGAAGGAAAAGAUAUGAACUAACCUCUCCCCUCACAUGCUUCUCACCUACUCCCCUUUCUCUCCUUCUCCCCCAAUUCUAGAUCAGGGAUCCCAAGGCAUUACACCAAUGCAGCAGCACUCACCGGAAGGCAAAGUGAAUAGAUUAAAAAAAACAAAGUAAACAAUGAUGGCGGCCAUGCAUCACAUCAGCACAAAUUUCAAGGUCAUUGAAAGUGCUACUAACAUAGGGGUGAGGUUGUACUACUCCCUUUGGUCCUUUUUAGUCUGCAUAUGGAUGAUCUAUCAAAUAGACAUCCAAUGCACGACCGCACACAGAUUAUGAGUCAUCUAAAGGUGGUAUCCAACCAAUAUAGGACAAGUGUUCACUAUAAAUGUGACGCCAUACCGCGCAUAUGGAGCAUCCGCCGGCAUCGUCUGCACCGGCAUCUGUGCGUGCCGCACCGCUCAACAGAUGCGCCCAAGCCUCCGCCCCUGCAGUCUGAUCUACAUCAACGCCCACACGAUCGACUUACGCGUCCGCGCCAGCUUACAACACCACGGACGACUCGCGCGUCCGCGCCGGCUUACAACGCUGCGGUCAACUCACGCGUACACGCCGGCUUCGAAUGCCGUGGCCAACCCCCGCAUCUACCAACACACUGGAGCCGCGCCCGUCCACACGAGUUGCUCAGCGGGCGGGUGCAAAUCGCCGCCCCCGUGGCCCAGUCUACUCCAACAACUCUGAAGCAAAUAAUAAUAUAUUAUCAGCCUCUACCUGCACUGGAUGGCUCAAUGGGCAGAUGCAUAAAUCUCCGUCGCUGUGGUUUGAUCAACUUUAACAAGCCGCCGGGUCAAACCAUCGGCUGGGUUAUUGACACGCGACUCAUACAGGAUCAUCUAUAACCCGUCGCGGUCAACCUCAACCUUUUGCGGAUUCACAUCACGUCAUCAACGCUGAGGCAUAAAAACGGCUAAGUCAUUUUUGUGUUUUUCAUGAUUUUAUUAUUCAAAUAAAAUAAACUAGUGAUACGUCUCCAAUGUAUCUAUAAUUUUUGAUUGCUCCAUGCUAUAUUAUCUAUUGUUUUGGACAUUAUUGGGCUUUAUUAUCCACUUUUAUAUUAUUUUUGGGACUAACCUAUUAACCGGAGGCCCGGCCCAGAAUUGCUGUUUUUUGGCCUAUUUUAGGGUUUCGAAGAAAAGGAAUAUCAAACGGAGUCCAAACAGAAUGAAACCAUCGGGAACGUGAUUUUCUCAACGAACAAGACCCAGGAGACUUGGACCCUACGUCAAGAUACAAAAGAGGAGGCCACAAGGUAGGGGGGCACGCCUACCCCCCCCAGGCGCGCCCUCCACCCUCGUGGCCCCCCUGUUGCUCCACCGACGUACUCCUUCCUCCUAUAUAUACCUACGUACCCCCAAACGAUCAGAUACGGAACCAAAACCCUAAUUCCACCGCCGUAACUUUCUGUAUCCACGAGAUCCCAUCUUGGGGCCUGUUCCGGAGCUCCGCCGUAGGGGGCAUAGAUCACGGAGGGCUUCUACAUCAACACGAUAACCCUUCUGAUGAAGUGUGAGUAGUUUACCUCAGACCUACGGGUCCAUAGUUAGUAGCUAGAUGGCUUCUUCUCUCUUUUUGGAUCUCAGUACAAUGUUCUCCCCCUCUCUUGUGGAGAACUAUUCGGUGUAAUCUUCUUUUUGCGGUGUGUUUGUUAAGACCCAUGAAUUGUGGGUUUAUGAUCAAGUCUAUCUAUGAAUAAUAUUUGAAUCUUCUCUGAAUUCUUUUAUAUAUGAUUGGUUAUCUUUGCAAGUCUCUCUUCGAAUUAUCAGUUUGGUUUGGCCUACUAGUUUGAUCUUUCUUGCAAUGGGAGAAGUGCUUAUCUUUGGGUUCAAUCUUGCGGUGUCCUUUCCCAGUGACAGUAGGGGCAGCAAGGCACGUAUUGUAUUGUUGCCGUCGAGGAUAACAAGAUGGGGUUUUCAUCAUAUUGCAUGAGUUUAUCCCUCUACAUCAUGUCAUCUUGCUUAAGGUGUUACUUUGUUUUUAACUUAAUACUCUAGAUGCAUGCUGAAUAGCGGUCGAUGAGUGGAGUAAUAGUAGUAGAUGCAGGCAGGGGUCGGUCUACUUGUCUCGGACGUGAUGCCUAUAUGCAUGAUCAUACCUAGAUAUUCUCAUAACUAUGCUCAAUUCUGUCAAUUGCUCAACAGUAAUUUGUUCACCCACCGUGGAAUACUUAUGCUCUCGAGAGAAGCCACUAGUGAAACCUAUGGCCCCAGGGUCUAUCAUCAUAUUAAUCUCCUACUACUUAGUUAUUUCCUUUGCUUUUUUACUUUGCCUUUAUUUUACUUUGCAUCUUUAUCACAAAAAUACCAAAAAUAUUAUCUUAUCAUAUCUAUCAGAUCUCACUCUCGUAAGUGGUCGUGUAGGGAUUGACAACCCCUAUUCGCGUUGGUUGUUAGGAUUUAUUUGUUUUGUGCAGGUACGAGGGACUCGCGUGUAGCCUCCUAUUGGAUUGAUACCUUGGUUCUCAAAAACUGAGGAAAAUACUUACGCUACUUUGCUGCAUCAUCCCUUCCUCUUCGGGGAAAACCAACGCAGUGCUCAAGAGGUAGCAAGAAGGAUUUCUGGCGCCGUUGCCGGGGAGGUCUAUGCAAAAGUCAAUAUAGCAAGUACCCAUCACAUACCCUUAUCUCCUGCAUUACAUUAUUUUCCAUUUUCCUCUCGUUUUCCUGUCCCCCACUUCAGCCUUGCGUUUUAUUUGCCCUCUCUCUCUAUCCUCCCUCUCUUUCUCUAUUUGCCUCUUUUUGCCCGCUUGCCUUUUGUUUGCUUGUGUGUUAGUUCGUUUGCUUGUCGUUAUGGCUAGUCCCUUACCUUCUGCCUCUAUAUCUGAAAUUGGAGAAAUUAUUGUCGAUAUGGAUAAUAAUAAUAUCAUGAAAAAUUCUGAUGCUCCUGCUAAAGAACCACCCAUCUUACAUACAAAAAAUUUCCGUGUUGGUAGUGGUAAUAUUAUUGGAAAAGGAGUUAUUCAAGAUUUCUUUACUUGUGCCGGUGCUUUAACUUCCAUGGGUAGUUCCAUCCUUCAUAGAACUAGUAGUCUUGCGGACGCUAUUGCCAUGCUUGUAGUUGAACUUGAAAGACAAUUCAUGCACAUGCACCCUUGCAUACAAAGGAUUUUCCUAGAAUUUUCUAAUAUUGAACAUUCUCCUGUUAAGCGUGCCCCUACUAUCUUUUUGGAUCAUGAGUUUAGAUUCAUAAUAAGAGAGGCCAAAGAAAUCUUUGCGCAUUAUAGGGUGGACGCUUGUCGUCCUCCCAUAGAGGCCAUCCUCUUUGAUCAAGAAGAAAUAGUGCAUUUUCAAUCUCUAGACUAUGUUGCUUUCAAUGAAAAUCUUAGAAAAAGGGUUCCUACCAAUGUUUUAGUUGAUAGAAUUUCUGAACUUAAUGAUGAUUUGGCUAUUCAAAAUAAUGAACUAGGAUAUUCUCUUGAAUAUAGGCUCACAAAGUUCUGUCAAAAGAAUGCUUACAAUGAUGAAUUGGUUGUGCAAUACGAAGGACCAAAGGAGGAACCUAUACCUCCUAAGGUUGAUCUUGGGGACUCUUGCCCCAUUAAAUUUAGCCCUUUUGAUUACUUUUGCUUGCCUCAAAGAAAACUUGCCGCCAAACGUAGAGAAUAUGAAAUGAGUUUUAAUGAUCUAUCUUAUUAUUAUGGCAAUACCUAGAUCUAUCCUUGCUUGUUAUGCCUAGCUAGGGGCGUUAAACGAUAGCGCUUGUUGGGAGGCAACCCAAUUUUAUUUUUAUUCCUUGCUUUUUGAUCCUGUUUAGUAAUAAAUAAUUUAUCUAGCCUCUGUUUUCUUGUGUUUUUUGUGUUUAAUUAGUGUUUGUGCCAAGUAGGACCGUUGGGAAGACUUGGGGAAAGUCUUGUUACACUUGCUGUAAAAAAACAGAAACUUUAGCGCUCACGAGAACUGCUGCCAUUUUUAUUUAGAAAGUGCUAUUUAGUUAAUUCUUUUUUAAGAUGAUUAAUAGAUAAAUUCGUCACGUCCAGAAAUUUAUUUUAGAAUUUUGGGGGUUACAGAUCUUGCGCUAGCUACAGAUUACUACAGGCUGUUCUGUUUUUGACAGAUUCUGUUUUUCGUGUGUUGUUUGCUUAUUUUGAUGAAUCUAUGGCUAGUAAAAUAGUUUAUAAACCAUAGAGAAGUUGGAAUACAGUAGGUUUAACACCAAUAUAAAUAAAUAAUGGGUUCAUUACAGUAUCUUGAAGUGGUCUUUUGUUUUCUUUCGCUAACGGAGCUCAUGAGAUUUUCUACUUUAAGUUUUGUGUUGUGAAGUUUUCAAGUUUUGGGUAAAGAUUUGAUGGAUUGUGGAACAAGGGGUGGCAAGAGCCUAAGCUUGGGGAUUCCCAUGGCACCCCCAAGAUAACCUAAGGAAACCUAAAGCCAAAGCUUGGGGAUGCCCCAGAAGGCAUCCCCUCUUUCGUCUACUUCUAUUGGUAACUUUACUUGGAGCUAUAUUUUUAUUCACCACAUGAUAUGUGUUUUGCUUGGAGCGUCUUGUAUGAUUUGAGUCCUUGCUUUUUAGUUUACCACAAUCAUCCUUGAUGUACACACCUUUUGUGAGAGCCAUACAUGAUUUGUAAUUUGUUAGAAUACUCUAUGUGCUUCGCUUAUAUCUUUUGAGUUAUAUAGUUUUGCUCUAGCACUUCACUUAUAUCUUUUUAGAGCACGGUGGUGGAUUUGUUUUAUAGAAACUAUUGAUCUGUCAUGCUUCACUUAGAUUAUUUUUAGAGUCUUAAAUAGCAUGGUAAUUUACUUAAAUAAUCCAAAUAUGCUUGGUAUUCAAGAAUAGUAAAAACCUUCUUAUGAGUGUGUUGAAUACUAAGAGAAGUUUGAUACUUGAUAAUUGUUUUGAGAUAUGAAGAUGGUGAUAUUAAAGUUAUGCUAGUUGAGUAGUUGUGAAUUUGAGAAAUACUUGUGUUAAAGUUUGUGAUUCCCGUAGCAUGCACGUAUGGUGAACCGUUAUGUGAUGAAGUCGGAGCAUGAUUUAUUUUUUGAUUGUCUUCCUUAUGAGUGGCGGUCGGGGACAAGCGAUGGUCUUUUCCUACCAAUCUAUCCCCCUAGGAUCAUGCGCGUAAUACUUUGCUUUGAUAACUUGUAGAUUUUUGCAAUAAGUAUAUGAGUUCUUUAUGACUAAUGUUGAGUCCACGGAUUAUACGCACUUUUCUCACCCUUCCACCUUUGCUAGCCUCUCUAAUACCGCGCACCUUUCGCCGGUAUCAUACACCCACCAUAUACCUUCCUCAAAACAGCCACCAUACCUACCUAUUAUGGCAUUUCCAUAGCCAUUCCGAGAUAUAUUGCCAUGCAACUUUCCACCGUUCCAUUGAUUAUGACACACUUCAUCAUUGUCAUAUUGCUUAGCAUGAUCAUGUAGUUGACAUCGUAUUUGUGGCAAGCCACCAUUCAUAACUCUUUCAUACGUGUCACUCUUGAUUCAUUGCAUAUCUUGGUACACCGCCGGAGGCAUUCAUAUAGAGUCAUAUUUUAUUCUAAGUAUCGAGUUGUAAUUGUUGAGUUGUAAGUAAAUAAAAGUGUGAUGAUCAUCAUUAUUAGAGCAUUGUCCCAGUGAGGAAAGGAUGAUGGAGACUAUGAUUCCCCCAUAAGUCAGGAUGAGACUCCGGACGAAAAUAAAUAAAUAAAAGAGGCCAAAGAAGCCCAAAUAAAAAAAAGAGAAAAGAGGCCAUAAAAAAGAGAAGGCCCAAAUAAAAAAAUGAGAGAAAAAGAGAGAAGGGGCAAUGCUACUAUCCUUUUACCACACUUGUGCUUCAAAGUAGCACCAUGAUCUUCAUGAUAGAGAGUCUCAUAUGUUAUCAUUUUCAUAUACUAGUGGGAAUUUUUCAUUAUAGAACUUGGCUUGUAUAUUCCAAUGAUGGGCUUCCUCAAAAUGCCCUAGGUCUUCGUGAGCAAGCAAGUUGGAUGCACACCCACCUAGUUUCUUUUGUUGAGCUUUCAUACACUUAUAGCUCUAGUGCAUCCGUUAUGGCAAUCCCUACUCACUCACAUUGAUAUCUAUUGAUGGGCAUAUCCAUAGCCCAUUGAUACGCCUAGUUGAUGUGAGACUAUCUUCUCCCUUUUUGUCUUCUCCACAACCACCAUUCUAUUCCACCUAUAGUGCUAUGUCCAUGGCUCACACUCAUGUAUUGCGUGAAGAUUGAAAAAGUUUGAGAAUACCAAAAGUAUGAAAAAAUUGCUUGGAUUGUCAUCGGGGUUGUGCAUGAUUUAAAUAUUUUGUGUGGUGAAGAUGGAGCAUAGCCAGACUAUAUGAUUUUGUAGGGAUAACUUUCUUUGGCCAUGUUAUUUUGAGAAGACAUGAUUGCUUUGUUAGUAUGCUUGAAGUAUUAUUAUUUUUAUGUCAAUAUUAAACUUUCAUCUUGAAUCAUUCGGAUCUGAAUAUUCAUACCACAAUUAAGAAGAAUUACAUUAAAAUUAUGCCAAGUAGCACUCCACAUCAAAAAUUCUGUUUUUAUCAUUUACCUACUCGAGGACGAGUAGGAAUUAAGCUUGGGGAUGCUUGAUACGUCUCCAACGUAUCUAUAAUUUUUGAUUGCUCCAUGCUAUAUUAUCUACUAUUUUGGACAUUAUUGGGCUUUAUUAUCCACUUUUAUAUUAUUUUUGGGACUAACCUAUUAACCGGAAGCCCAGCCCAGAAUUGCUGUUUUUUUCCUGUUUUAGGGUUUCAAAGAAAAGGAAUAUUAAACGGAGUCCAAACGGAAUGAAACCUUCGGGAACGUGAUUUUCUCAAUGACCAAGACCCAGGAGACUUGGACCCUAUGUCAAGACACAAAGGAGGAGGCCACAAGGUAGGGGGCGCGCCCUCCACCCCCGUGGGCCCCCUGUUGCUCCACCGACAUACUCGUUCCUCCUAUAUAUACAUACGUACCCCCAAACGAUCAGAUACGGAGCCAAAACCCUAAUUCCACCGCCGUAACUUUCAGUAUCCACGAGAUCCCAUCUUGGGGCCUGUUCCGGAGCUCCGCGGGAGGGGGUAUCGAUCACGGAGGGCUUCUACAUCAACACCAUAGCCCUUCCGAUGAAGUGUGAGUAGUUUACCUCAGACCUACGGGUCCAUAGUUAGUAGCUAUAUGGCUUCUUCUCUCUUUUUGAAUCUCAAUACAAUGUUCUCCCCCUCUCUUGUGGAGAACUAUUCGAUGUAAUCUUCUUUUUGCGGUGUGUUUGUUGAGACCGAUGAAUUGUGGGUUUAUGAUCAAGUCUAUCUAUGAACAAUAUUUGAAUCUUCUCUGAAUUCUUUUAUGUAUGAUUGGUUAUCUUUGCAAGUCUCUUCGAAUUAUCAGUUUGGUUUGGCCUACUAGAUUGAUCUUUCUUGCAAUGGGAGAAGUGCUUAGCUUUGGGUUCAAUCUUGCGGUGUCCUUUCCCAGUGACAGUAGGGGCAGCAAGGCACGUAUUGUAUUGUUGCCAUCGAGGAUAACAAGAUGGGGUUUUCAUCAUAUUUCAUGAGUUUAUCCCUCUACAUCAUGUCAUGUUGCUUAAGGCGUUACUCUUUUUUAACUUAAUACUCUAGAUGCAUGCUAGAUAGCGGUCGAUGAGUGGAGUAAUAGUAGUAGAUGCAGGCAGGAGUUGGUCUACUUGUCUUGGACGUGAUGCCUAUAUACAUGAUCACACCUAGAUAUUCUCAUAACUAUGCUCAAUUCGGUCAAUUGCUGAACAGUAAUUUGUUCACCCACCGUAGAAUACUUAUGCUCUCGAGAGAAGCCACUAGUGAAACCUAUGGCCCCCGGGUCUAUCAUCAUCAUAUUAAUCCCCUACUACUUAGUUAUUUCUUUGCUUUUUUACUUUGCCUUUAUUUUACUUUGCAUCUUUAUCACAAAAAUACCAAAAAUAUUAUCUUAUCAUAUCUAUCAGAUCUCACUCUCGUAAGUGGCCGUGUAGGGAUUGACAACCCCUAUUCGCGUUGGUUGCGAGGAUUUAUUUGUUUUGUGCAGGUACGAGGGACUCGCGUGUAGCCUCCUACUGGAUUGAUACCUUGGUUCUCAAAAACCGAGGGAAAUACUAACGCUACUUUGCUGCAUCAUCCCUUCCUCUUCGGGGAAAACCAAUACAGUGCUCAAGAGGUAGCUGUCGUGGUUCUAAGACUGACAGUAGAAUAGGGUGGUAGGAAUGUAGAGGCAAGAUCCUAGCUAUGGAGGAGUUGUACACACGAGUUUACGAGUUCAGGCCCUUCUCGGAGGAAGUAACAGCUAGCCCUACGUCUCGGAGCCCAGAGGCGGUCGACUGAAUAUAUGUGUGUGAAUUAUAGAAAGUGCGAACCCUUGUCCCAGAGGAGGGGGGUGGCUUAUAUAGAGUGCGCCAGGACCCCAGCUCCCGUCCAUUACACAAGGUUCAAUGCUCAUAAAGGAGGGGCGUUACUGGUAACGUCUGCAGUAAAGUGUUAUAAAUGCCCAUAAAGCUAUGGUUUAAGUCCUGACCGUUGCAGAGUGGAGGGUUUCUCAUCUUCUGGUGGUCGAGUGUCUUCAAGGUGGUCGAGUGAGCACAUCUUCAUGGUCGAGUGGAUGAUGGUUUCUCUUCGACUGCUUCUGAUUCUUUGUAGAGAUGUCCUUGGGGAGGGUAUGUUGGACAGAUCCAUGACCCUACCCUAGGUACAUAGCUUCAUCAUUAGCCCCCGAAUGGAUCAGGGUUUGAGUGUGGAAGGAGUUGGGAACACUUCCGACCCAUUCUUUGUGCUAUGAGUAUAUCUUGUUCUAGAACAGUGAGUUGAGGGGACGACAUCGACUCCUUUCUCAGUCGCCUUGGUCCAUUCUUGGUUUUUGUCGAGUGAAUUUUCAUGAUAGAAUUCCGAAUGAUAACGUAGAGGAUGUUUGUCUUCAGUCUGGCAAGUUGCUCUGCCCUCCGCGGAUUCCGCAGGAUUCGAAUUUUGGGAAGUGCGCCAGACAGGCGGAACCAUGGUUAUCGAGACGGAUUAGGCAAGUCUCCUCGAUCUCCGCGCCAUAUUUUUCGCCAUGUACUGCGCGCGCGACUGUUGCGGGAUUUGUUAAAUCGUCUGGAUCCACCAGUCAGUCACUCAGGGAACGACCAUAUAAAAGGCACCGGACUAAGCCUCUGCCCCGUGCGCUCUCAUUCUCUCUUCUUCUUCCCUCGAUCUCUCCGCCACGCUCGCUUCUGCCCUCGUCACCGGACCUCUGCUCGAGCUCGACCCGUCUUCAUGGGGAAGGAGAAGACGGUGGCGCUGGAACGUGCGAAGAAGGCGACCGCGAAGGCGAAGGGCAAGCGGACCAGCCGGGGCGGAUCUUGGUCGAGAUCCGGCCUGCCGGCGGGCUGGAUCCAGGGCGACUGGAUCCGCUCGACAAUCACCCAGGAUGACCUCAAUGACCUGGUGGAGGGGGGACUGAUCCCCCACAAGUCGGCACGGCUCCCGAGGAACGAGACCGAGCCGCAGCCAAGGGAGGGUGAGUGUGUUCUCCUCACCACCCACGUAGAUCGCGGAUUCUCACUGCCUCCCCAUCCUUUCUUCUGGGUUUUUUUGAACUUCUUUGGGGCUCAGCUCCACCAUUUCACUCCAAACACCAUAGUCUAUCUGGUCGCUUUCGUGUCGAUGUGUGAAAACUUCUUGGGCUAUCGACCACACUGGGGGGCUUUUCAAACACAUCUUCACCUGCCGCUCCCUGUCGGUCAAAAAGGCCAAUUCGAGUGACGAGAGGACACAAGUGAUCCAAAUGUGCAGUGGUCUGGGGAUCCAGAUGAGGAGCAAGAGUACUUUCCCAGCCAUGAUCCUCCCCGACUCAGUCCGGGGCUGGCAGUCGACUUGGUUCUACUGCAAGGAUCAGCCGACCCCGGGUCAGUCGACUGGACUUCCUCCCUUUUCCUUAGCUCGAGUGGAGAAGCCUGCUCCCCUGAAGGUGGUUCCAGAAGAGAAGGCGCGGGUCAAGGUUUCUGGUCGAGCGGGUCGUCCAACUCGUCCGCGACGGGGUGACCGGGAUGGACCUGCUGGAGGUCUUUCUCGGUCGACGCAUCCAACCGCUUCAGGCGCGUGAUCAUCCAAUGUGGAUGUACUCCGGGCUCGAGGACUCCACUUGGAUCCACCCGGAGGACGUCAGUGAGGACACCUUGGAGAAGUGGUUGAUGGGGAUCACUAGCAACCAAGACAACCCUCGGGGGUCUAGGAGGGUGAUUCCAUUCAACAACUCGCAUCAGCCGGAGUAGGUGUGAUUCUGUUUUACCAAGUGUCUUUCCGAUUCACUGUGUGACAUUUUGUUUAUGGUCGACUGAAUUUCCUUUGAUCGUUGUCUUUUCAGGCCCUCAUCGACAUGUACUCAAUGCCCCACAGAGUGCGGGAGCAAGACGUCGAGGAAGAAGCGAGCGGGGGCGAGAGCGGCGAAGGGCACUCAGAUGCUGAGGAGGACGAGGGGUGUCACAUCCCUAGUUCUGGUAUGACCUAGACCAGCUAGUCAUUUGUGCAUCAUGUUCAAAUUCCAUUUAAAUUUGAAAUGGGGAUUUGUGAAACCCUCAGAAUCAUUUCUGAAAAUGACCUAAGUAAAAAUUGCUCCAAAAGGGUCCAAGAAAAUGCUCAUGUUGCUCUCUGAAAAUAUUGGACAGAGAUAAAAAUCAAACCAAUAUAUUUAGGAGCUCAUAAGUAUUUAUUUUGGGCAUUUGGAAUUAAUGCAGAAAUUAUUUGCUUUGGAUAUAUAUUGUUAUAUAUAUACAAUAUUGUCCAAAAAUUGUGCUAGUUGAUGAGGAGCUCUGGUAUAAUACCACUAGCUCCUGCAAAAAUUGGCACAAGCAAAUAAAUUGAUUUGGUAUUUUUAUUAAAUCAAAACAAAUGUCAGAAAAUAGAAAACAAAAACAAAAUAGAAAAAAAAGAGGAACUACCUGGACUUACCUGGGCCACUUGCUGGCCUGGCACUGCAGCCAACCGGCCCAGCUGGCCCAGCUCGCCUCCUCCUCUGUCUUCUUCCUCGCGCCUACUGGCAAAGGUGUGUCGCCCGCGCGCGCACCGGACGCCACCUCCUGCUUCCUGCCUGCCUGUCCUCCCCCCGUCGUCUGGAUGCCCCGCGAGAUGCCACGCGCCGCCCCGCACCUCUCUCUCGUUCUCCCGUGGUCUCCCUCCUCCCCUAGAUCUCUCCCUCUCCCAGCGACCGAGCGCGUUCGUCGCCGCCGUUCACCGUUGCCGCGGCCACCGUCACUACCUCGCCUCCUCUCCAUGCCCAUGAGCUCCGUCUGCUCGAGCUGAAGCUCUUCACCGAGCCACGCAUCGCCGGAAGCCCCACAAUGGCUUCACCAACCUCGUCUUCAACCUUGGCCGUCCAAGAUCGCCGGCGACCGUGCGGCCGCUCCAACACCUCCCCCGAGCCGCUGAGCACGCCCGACGAAUCACCGUGAGCUCUUCUACCGAACCCCCCUUCUCCCCCUUGCUAACGCGCGCUCUAGCACCAUCUCCCCGCCGCGGCCGUAGCUCCUCGCCGCCGUCCAUGUCGCCGCCGUCGUUUUGGCCUGCCUCCGCCCAAACCGAGCACCCCAUCAUGCUCCUGGUGCCACGAUGGUGCCACAGAGCCCCUUGGGUGGCCUCCUAGUGCCCCUCAGCCCGAUUCUGCUCAAAGCCGAACUCCAUCCGCCGCCCCGAGCUUCGCUGCGGCGAGCUCCGGCCGCCCCCGCCUCUCCCUCUUGCUCCAAUCAGUGCGGACGAGCACGGGCUACGCCCCGAUGGUCUCCGCCGCGCGUUUGGUCACCGGAAGGCAAUUUCCGACGCCUCCGCCGCGUCUGGCCUCACCGGCGUCGAGUCGCCGGCGGGCUUUGACCCCGCAGACAGGAGGUUUGACCUCUCCAUGGGUCGCCGACAUGUGGGGCCCGACCUUGUUAAGUUUUAGUUAGGAUUAGUUUAACAACUAGUUUAACCCUAUUUAGCUAAUUGGGUCACUGACGUGUGGGCCCAACCCCAUUAACUAAACCAGUUUAGGUUUAUUUUAAAUCAGGAUUAGCCACAGACACUGACGUGUGGACCCCACACGUCAGGUUUGACCUGGUCGGCCGCCUUUGACCUGCUGACGUAAGCAUGACGCUGUGCUGACGCAAUAUAUCAUUUUCUGGUAUUAAAUUAAAUUAGGAAAUUCCAUAAAAUGAUAUAAACUUCAAAAAUUCAUAGAAAUUCAACCGUAGCUCAGAUUGAAAUAAUUUAUAUAUGAAAAAUGAUCAAAAAAAUUCAAUCUAUCCAUCUGUACCAUUUUCAUGCAUGACAAACCAACCUAUACAUGCUGUAUAUAUGAAAACACACUUAUGGCAUAUUUAAGAGCUUAUUUUGGAGUUGCAUUUGAACCCUUGGUUCAAAUGGACCUCAACUAAAUAAAUGCUAGAUGCAUUAACUCAAACAACAUCACAUACUCAUGCCAUGUUCAUGCAUCAUAUUGUUGCAUAUGCUUGUGUUUGAUUUCCGACACCGUUCCUUCUCGAUAGGUCCUGCUCCGGAGAGUGUUCGAGAGUACUAGUCUGAGGAGCAAUGCCCCCCUGUUGAUCUACCAGGCAAGCAACCCCCUUGUUCAUUCCGAUACAAUCCUAAUCUCUCGCUCCUACUCUCAUUUAUUGCAUUAGGACAACAGCGAUUCAACUGCUACUUUAUGCUGCGGUAGUUGAACCCAUUCCUCUGCAUGACCUGUCAUUGCCACAGUAAAUAGUUAAAACCCACUAGCAUGUGUAGGAGUUGUUUGAGCCAUGUUGUGUUCCUACCAUGCCAUGCCUGCUAUUGCUUAGAGUUGUGUCAGGUCUGAUUCAUCGAGAAUGAAUUGGAGUGUUAUGAUAUGUUCUGGUGCUGAGAGUUAAGCGUGUGAACACGAUUUGGUAAAGGUAGCGGUGAGAGGCCAUGUAGGAGUACAUGGUGGGUUGUCUCAUUGGGACCGUCCUUAAGAACCGAGUUCUGUGUAAGUUGUCCAAUGACUAGCUACUACCACACAUUGGGCUCCGGGAGCUCCAAGCUCUCUCGACUUAUUAACCGCCUUGAACUCUGUCCAGGAGUUGCAGAUAGUUUCUGGUGUUUGUAGGUAGUGCUAUUUUUCUACCGAGUGGCACCCGGCGGGGUGGACUUGGGACAGACUAGGCACACGUGGCCCGGUGUACCGAAUGGCACCCGGAUGGUGGGCCCGGGAACCCUGUACACAUCGUUUGGGGCCAUGAGCGAAACCCCAGCCAGAUCUCCUUGCAGAUGCAACCCGAAUAGGCGAUAAACCUGGACUAGAGUCUUGUGUGGUUAGUUAGGUUGUGGCCGACACCCUCGCCAGGCUUCCUCUUGAAGGUUGCCGAGAUACAUGACGUGUAUAUGGUGAUAAGUGGUGAGAGCGUGUGUGAAGAAGUACACCCCUGCAGGGUUAUCAUGAUCUAUUCGAAUAACCGUGUCCUCGGUUAUGGACUUCUUGGAUGCUUACGUGGUACAUAGACAACUUUAAGUGGAUACUCUAAAAUGCUCAAGACAAGUGUGAGUGCUAUGGAUGGCCUUCUCGUAAGGAGACGAGGAUGAAUCCAUAGUAGUGUAUUGAUGUGGUGAUUAGUGGACUAGUGUGCGCUGCCUCAUCUCAAAGAAGUUUCUCGUUGUCAUAGAACAUGAUAGCCACUGAGUCAAAGCUGGCUUGCUGCAACUAAACCCCACAUUACCUUCUUGAUACAAAUGCAUGUAUGAUAGGAUCUGAUGUAAGUCUUGCUGAGUACCUUUGUACUCAUGUUUGCUUUAUUUAUGUUUUGCAGGUGAGACAUCUGUCUCACUAGUAGUACCGCUUGGACUUCAACGAGUAGCUUGUUACCUCAGCCUCGUACCUUGGGAGGGACUUGUAGAUAGUCAGGCUUCUCUUCCUUUUUCCUUUUGUAGUUGUCUGUACUCUGACAUGUAAUGGUUCCAUUGCUUGAAUGCUCUGAAUGAUGGGUCAUGUGACCCCUGUUUGUAUUAAUGCUAUGUGACUCUUCUGAGCCUUUAUCUAUAUGAGUUUGCGUUAUGUUGUGAUGCCAUGUUGUAUAGCACAUACUUGCAUGUUAUGCGUACGUGUGACAUGUAUUGCUAUCUGUGGGAUCCGACAACCUAGUUGUUUAUCCUUGGCAGCCUCUCUUAUGGGGAAAUGUAGUCUAGUGCUUCCUUGAGUCAUAGUAAUCCGCUACAGCCCGGUUCACCGGAGUCCUGCUAGCCCAGCACUACUACUCAGAACACUUGACUGGCCGGCAUGUGUUCCACUUCGUUCCUAUGUCUGUCCCUUCGGGGAAAUGUCACGCGGUGACUUCCGGAGUCCUGUUAGCCCAGUGCUACAGCCCAGAUUCAUAUGCUGUUGACCGACAUGCUCAAUGUGAUUCAUGUAUGCCUGUCUCCAUAGGUCUAUGCCACUUUGGGUUCACGACUAGCCAUGUCGGCCCGGGUUCUCUGUCAUAUGGAUGCUAGCGACACUAUCAUAUACGUGAGCCAAAAGGCGCAAACGGUCCCAGGCCAUGGUAAGGCGACACCCGUGGGAAUACCGUGCGUGAGGCUGCAAAGUGAUAUGAGGUGUUACAUGCUAGAUCGGUGUGACUUAGAAUCAGGGUCCCGACAGCUUUGGUAUCAAAGCCUGACUGCCUGUAGGAUUGCCAUGCCAACCUGGUCAAAGUUGAGUCUAGAAAUUCUUUAGCUAUAUGGGGGAAUUGGUUGUGGAAGGGAACGUAAGGCUCUUUUUACUCCUUAUGCCUCAUGCCUUCUGAUCUGAGUCAUCCUAUCUUUCCUACGGGGUUAAGGAACUAGGAAUUCUCUUCCGUCUAUUAGGAUCACGUGUUACUACUCCGUAGUCUCUAAGGUUUGGUUGAUCUGAGUCAUAUCCCAGUUUGAGUACCUCCGGUGUAGCCUGUUUAGUAAUAUCCCAGAACCUUGAGUGAGGAUGUUGAGUAUGGUGCUACCCCAUCUUUUGCAGAAUGUCUCAUUUCGAGAAUUUUACUACCAUUAUGCUGCCGGAAUUGUCCUAGGAGUUCAACAGAUAGUAUUUUUCCUCGUACUAUAUUCUACAUCCUUAUGAUGAUGCUGAAUCCAUCUGUGUUUCCUUGGUUGGUUCUUCAGGAUGUCAUCAGUUAACCGAAGUUUUGUUGCUCGUAGCCGGAACCACGAAGAUGGUAGGGAUGAGGAUCCUCCCGACCAGCCUUCGUUGGCAGAGUUCAUGUUAGAGAUGGAGAAGAACAAGCGAGAGUCUAACCGCUUGUUAGCACGUAUUGUGGAGAACACCUCCCAUCAGUGCAAAGAGUCAGCGUCCAUCUAUGAUUUCAUUGGUCUGAAACCACCUACCUUCCAUCAUUCCAUUGAACUACUCGAUGCAGAUGACUGGCUCCGUAGUAUCACACACAAGCUGCGUUCUGCAAACGUAGCUGAAAGUGACAAGGUCACCUACGCUGCUUAUCAUCUGGAAGGUCCUGCUAGUAUUUGGUGGCAGAACUAUGAGGCUAUGCUUCCAGCUCGCCAGAUAACCACCUGGAGAGAUUUCACCGAGGCUUUUCGCGAGCAUCACAUUCCUCAGGCUCUCAUCGACCGCAAGAGAGAAGAGUUCUGUAGUUUCACCGAGAGUAAGAUGGUUGUUGAUGCUUACAGUAGAGAGUUUGAGAACCUUGCCCGCUAUGCUACAGAAGAAGUGUCCACAGACGCCAAGAAGCAGGCUAGGUUCCGGAAGGGUCUCAACCCCAAGUUGCGUCGUGAUCUCCACUUGCAUCAUUGCAAUACAUUCCAGGCUCUUGUGAACAAGGCCAUUAAUGCAGAGACAACUCAACUCACUUACGAGGAGAGUCGUAAGCACAACCGUGGUUUGGGUUCUUCUUCCGGUUCUACUUCGCAGAAGCGCCGGAUUUGGGUUCUGAACUCCUCUCUUCCACCCGGUUAUACACCAAGGUCAUCUUGUGUGGGACCUCACCCAGUUUAGUUACAUGCUCCACCUAGGCCUAUUGGUAGACCGCUUGUUAAAGCGGGUCCACGUCCUACUUCAGGGACUUGUUUCACAUGCGGAGAGCCAGGACACUAUGCACGUGACUGCUCUCGAACCAAUUAUGCUCCACCCCAGCCUGAGAAGUCUGUUGGCCGUGGUAAGCCAUCACGCAAGAUGAUCAAUGUCAAGUCAGCUCCCACAAAACAUGGAUGUGUGCAUUACGUCUCAGCUAAAGACACUCAUGAUGAUCCGGAUGUCGUUCUUGGUACCCUCCUUGUCAAUUGCCAUCCAGCUUCGGUUCUUUUCGAUACCGGAGCAUCUCACUCCUUCAUCUCUGAAGGCUAUGCUCGUUUGCACGACAUGUCAUUUUGUGAUAUGCCAACUCCACUUGAAAUCCAAACUCCAGGGUCUAGAUGGCAAACUACCAGAAUAAGCCAUUGUAAUGAAAUCCUUGUUGACAGACUUGUAUUCCUUGCAUCACUUAUAGCCCUUAAGUCUACGGAUAUUAACAUCAUCUUGGGUAUGGACUGGAUGAAAUCUCAUUAUGCCAAGAUUGAUUGUUACACUAGGUCUGUUCAGCUUACACACCCAUCUGGCAAGAUAGUCACUGUCUCCACUAGAGUUGCAAAGCGUCAGCUCUAUUCUCUUAACGCCAACCCUCUUCCUGACCUUGAAGAUAUCCUGGUAGCCCGUGACUUUCCGGAUGUUUUUCCAGAGGAACUGCCAGGUAUUCCACCUGACAGAGAUGUAGAAUUUGUCAUAGAUCUUAUCCCAGGAACCGCUCCAAUUUCUAGGAGACCUUACAAGAUGGCACCCUUAGAACUAGAUGAGCUUAAGAAACAACUCGAUGAAUCCUUGCAAAAGGGUUUCAUCCGUCCUAGUUCUUCUCCCUGGGCUUGCCCCGUCCUCUUCGUCAAGAAGAAGGAUGGUACGGACCGGAUGGUUGUAGAUUAUCGUGCCGUUAAUUUGGUCACGAUAAAGAACAAGUAUCCGCUCCCCAGGAUCAACGACCUGUAUGAUCAGCUCACUGGAUCCUCAGUCUUCUCCAAGAUGGAUUUGAGGUUAGGCUACUACCAAAUCAAGAUCAGAAAUGGGGACAUUCCUAAGACGGCUUUUGUCACUCGUUAUGGUCAGUACGAGUACACCGUCAUGUCCUUUGGUCUAACCAAUGCUCCAGCUACUUUCUCUUGCUUGAUGAACUCGAUCUUCAUGGAGUACUUAGAUAAGUUCGUCAUGGUUUACCUCGAUGAUAUUCUUAUUCACUCGAAGAAUGAGGAAGAUCACGCUGAACAUCUUAGACUUGUGUUAGAGAAACUCAGAGAGCACCGCCUUUAUGCCAAGUUAUCCAAGUGCGAAUUUUGGUUACCAGAAGUGACCUAUCUCGGCUACGUAAUCUCUGGUAAGGGCACUGCCGUCAAUCCCAAGAGAGUUCAGGCCGUUCUUGAUUGGACUCCGCCUGAAACGGUUAAGCAAGUUAGGAGUUUCCUUGGUCUAGCUAGUUAUUGUCGCCGCUUCAUUGAGAACUUCUCCAAAGUGGCCAAACCUCUCAUGGAACUUCUUAAGAAAGAUAAAAAGUUUGAGUGGUCCCCACAGUGUGAGCACAGUUUUCAGGAACUGAAAAGACGCCUGACUUCUGCUCCCAUACUUGUGCCACCGGAUUUCACUAAGGACUUUGUUAUCUAUUGUGAUGCCUCACGACAGGGACUAGGUUGCAUUCUUAUGCAAGAUCGCCAUGUGAUUGCCUAUGCAUCUCGAUAGUUGCAUCCACAUGAGGAGAAUUAUCCUACACAUGAUCUAGAGCUUGCAGCCGUAGUCUAUGCACUUAAGACCUGGCGACAUUACCUUCUUGUUAAACGUUGCGAGAUUUACACCGAUCACCAGAGUCUCAAGUAUAUCUUCACCCAACCAGAUUUGAACCUUAGGCAAAGACGUUGGUUGGAGUUGAUCUCAGAUUAUUACUUAGGGAUUACCUACACCCCAGGCAAGGGCAAUGUCAUGGCUGAUGCGCUAAGUCGUAAGUCCUAUUGCAACAAUCUCAUGUUGCAGCAGGGCCAACCACUUCUUCAUGAGGAAUUCUGUAAGCUUAACCUUCACAUUGCUCCUCAUGGAUUCCUUUCUACCUUGGUGGCGAAACCUACUCUUGUGGAUCAGAUCAUCUCUGCUCAAAAGCAGGAUACAUGAAUUUCCUGGAUCAAGAGAAACAUUAACAAAGGAGUUGGUGGUAGUUUCUCUACAGAUGAUCGUGGUGUUGUUUUCUUUGAGAGUUGCUUGGUGGUUCCCAAGAAUCAACAUCUUUGACAAUUAAUCCUUAAGGAGGCACAUGAAUCUCCUCUCACGAUUCAUCCCGGUAGUACUAAGAUGUAUCAGGACCUACGCCAGAGGUUCUGGUGGACUAGGAUGAAUAGAGAAAUUGCUCAGUUUAUUGCUAACUGUGACGUUUGUCGUCGCGUUAAGGCAGAACAUCAAAGACCUGCUGGCACCCUUCAACCUUUAGUUAUUCCUGAGUGGAAAUGGGAUAAAGUUGGUAUGGACUUCAUCACUGGCUUUCCCAGGACCAAGAAAGGGAAUAAUGCUAUCUUCGUAGUCAUUGAUCGUCUUUCCAAAGUGGCUCACUUCCUACCUAUUCGGGAGAGUAUCACUGCUAGUCAGCUCGCUGACUUAUAUAUUUCUCGAAUAGUGUCACUUCAUGGUGUUCCACUAGAGAUCAAUUCAGACCGUGGUAGUCUUUUCACUUCUCAUUUCUGGGAGAGUUUCCAAACUGCCAUGGGCACCCAUCUUUCCUUCAGUACCGCUUUCCACCCUCAAUCAAGUGGUCAGGUGGAAAGGGUCAACCAAAUUCUCGAAGACAUGCUUAGAGCUUGUGUUAUCUCAUUCGGUAUGGAUUGGGAGAAGUGUCUUCCCUUUGCCGAGUUUUCUUAUAACAAUAGCUACCAAUCCAGCCUCAAGAAAGCUCCUUUUGAGGUUCUAUAUGGACGAAGAUGUCGAACACCUUUGAACUGGUCAGAAACCGGUGAAAGACAAUUCUUUGGACCGGAUAUGAUCCAGGAGGCAGAAGAGCAAGUUCACAUCAUUCGUGAGAAUUUGAAAACAGCCCAAUCUCGUCAAAAGAGCCAGUAUGACCGUAGUCAUAAGGAAGUGGCUUAUGAAGUUGGCGACAAAGCUUACCUUCGGGUUACCCCUUUGAAGGGUACCCAUCGAUUCGGUAUCAAGGGCAAGUUGGCUCCUUGUUACAAUGGUCCCUUUCUCAUUCUCGCUAAACGAGGAGAGGUUGCCUACCAGUUGGAACUACCACCACAUCUUUCUCGAGUUCAUGAUGUCUUCCACGUCUCUCAACUCAGGCGUUGCUUCUCGGAUCCCAUCCGCUGAGUGGACCACGAAACGCUUGAUCUCUAAGAUAACCUCACUUAUCGAGAGUACCCCGUCCGCAUUCUGGAUCAAGCAGAGCGUGUCACUCGACGUCAUAACAUCAAGUUUCUCAAGGUUCAGUGGUCUCAUCAUUCUGAGAGAGAAGCUACCUGGGAGCAUGAAGAUCGUCUUUGACUUGAGUACCCCGCUUUCUUUCCGCCAACUCCUGAAUCUCGGGACAAGAAUUUUUCGAGUGGGGGCAAGUUGUCACAUCCCUAGUUCUGGUAUGACCUAGACCAGCUAGUCAUUUGUGCAUGAUGUUCAAAUUCCAUUUAAAUUUGAAAUGGGGAUUUUUGAAACCCUCAGAAUCAUUUCUGAAAAUGACCCAAGUAAAAAUUGCUCCAAAAGGGUCCAAGAAAAUGCUCAUGUUGCUCUCCGAAAAUAUUGGACAGAGAUAAAAAUCAAACCAAUAUUUUUAGGAGCUCAUAAGUAUUUAUUUUGGGCAUUUGGAAUUCAUGCAGAAAUUAUUUGCUUUGGAUAUAUAUUGUUAUAUAUAUACAAUAUUGUCCAAAAAUUGUGCUAGUUGAUGAGGAGCUCUGGUAUAAUACCACUAGCUCCUGCAAAAAUUGGCACAAGGAAAUAAAAUGAUUUGGUAUUUUUAUUAAAUCAAAACAAAUGUCAGAAAAUAGAAAACAAAAACAAUAUAGAAAAAAAGAGGAACUACCUGGACUUACCUGGGCCACUUGCUGGCCUGGCACUGCAGCCAACCGGCCUAGCUGUGCGGCCCAGCUGGCCCAGCUCGCCUCCUCCUCUGUCUUCUUCCUCGCACCUACUGGAAAAGGCGUGUUGCCCGCGUGCGCACCGGACACCACCUCCUGCUUCCUGCCUGCCUGUCCUCCCCCCCGUCGCCUGGAUGCCCCGCGCGACGCCACGCGCCGCCCCACACCUCUCUCUCGUUCUCCCGUGGUCUCCCUCCUCCCCUGGAUCUCUCCCUCUCCCAGCGACCGAGCGUGUUCAUCGCUGCCGUUCGCCGUUGCCACGGCCACCGUCACUGCCUCGCCUCCUCUCCAUGCCCAUGAGCUCCGUCUGCUCGCGCUGAAGCUCUUCACCGAGCCACGCAUCGACGGAAGCCCCACAACGGCUUCACCAACCUCGUCUUCAACCUCGGCCGUCCAAGAUCGCCGGCGACCGUGCGGCCGCUCCAACACCUCCCCCGAGCCGCUGAGCACGCCCGACGAAUCGCCGUGAGCUCUUCUACCGAAUCCCCCUUCUCCCCCUUGCUAACGCGCGCUCUAGCACCGCUUCCCCGCCGCGGCCGUAGCUCCUCCCCGCCGUCCAUGUCGCCGCCGUCGUUUUGGCCCGCCUCCGCCCAAACCGAGCACCCCAUCAUGCUCCUGGUGCCACGAGGGUGCCGCAGAGCCCCUCGGGUGGCCUCCUCGUGCCCCGCAGCCCGAUUCCGCUCGAAGCCGAACUUCGGCCGCCGCCCCGAGCUUCGCUCCGGCGAGCUCCGGCCGCCCCCGCCUCUCCCACUUGCUCCAAUCGGUGCGGACAAGCGCGGCCUACGCCCCGGUGGUCUCCGCCACGCGUUUGGUCGCCGGAAGGCGAUUUCCGACGCCUCCGCCGCGUCUGGCCUCGCCGGCCUCGAGUCGCCGGUGGGCUUUGACCCCGCAAAUAGGAGGUUUGAUCUCUCUGUGGGUCGCCGACAUGUGGGGCCUGGCCCUGUUAAGUUUUAGUUAGGAUUAGUUUAACAACUAAUUUAACACUGUUUAGCUAAUUGGGUCACUGACGCGUGGGCCCAACCCCAUUAACUAAACCAGUUUAGGUUUAUUUUAAAUCAGGAUUAGCCACAGACACUGACGUGUGGACCCCACACGUCAGGUUUGACCUGGUCAGCCGCCUUUGACCUGCCGACGCAAUAUAUCAUUUUCUGGUAUUAAAUUAAAUUAGGAAAUUCCAAAAAAUGAUAUAAACUUCAAAAAUUCAUAGAAAUUCAACCGUAGCUCAGAUUGAAAUAAUUUAUAUAUGAAAAAUGAUCAGAAAAAUUCAAUCUAUCCAUAUAUACCAUUUUCAUGCAUGACAAACCAACCUAUACAUGGUGUAUGUAUGAAAACACACUUAUGGCAUAUUUAAGAGCUUAUUUUGGAGUUGCAUUUGAACCCUUGGUUCAAACGGACCUGAACUAAAUAAAUGCUAGAUGCAUUAACUCAAACAACAUCACAUACUCAUGCCAUGUUCAUGCAUCAUAUUGUUGCAUAUGCUUGUGUUUGAUUUCCGACACCGUUCCUUCUCGAUAGGUCCUGCUCCGAAGAGUGUUCGAGAGUACCUGUCUGAGGAGGAGUGCCCCCCUGUUGAUCUACCAGGCAAGCAACCCCCUUGUUCAUUCUGAUACAAUCCUACUCUCUCGCUCAUGCUCUCAUUUAUUGCAUUAGGACAAUAGUGAUUCAACUGCUACUUUAUGCUGCGGUAGUUGAACCCAUUCCUCUGCAUGACCUGUCAUUGCCACAGUAAAUAGUUAAAACCCACUAGCAUGUGUAGCAGUUGUUUGAGCCAUGUGGUGUUCCUACCAUGCCAUGCCUGCUAUUGCUUAGAGUUGUGUCAGGUCUGAUUCAUCGGGAAUGAAUUGGAGUGUUAUGAUAUGUUCUGGUACUGAGAGUUAAGCGUGUGAACACGAUUUGGUAAAGGUAGCGGUGAGAGGCCAUGUAGCAGUACAUGGUGGGUUGUCUCAUUGGGACCGUCCUUAAGAACUGAGUUCUGUGUAAGUUGUCCAAUGACUAGCUACUACCACACAUUGGGCUUCGGGCGCUCCAAGCUCUCUCGACUUAUUAACUGCCUUGAACUUUGUCCAGGAGUUGCAGAUAGUUUCUGGUGUUUGUAGGUAGUGCUAUUUUUCUACCGAGUGGCACCCGACAGGGUGGACUUGGGACAGACUAGGCACACGUGGCCCGGUGUACCGAGUGGCACCCGGAUGGUGGGCUCGGGAACCCUGUACACAUCGUUUGGGGCCGUGAGCGAAACCCCAGCCGGAUCUCCUUGUGGAUGGAACCCGAAUAGGCGAUAAACCUGGACUAGAGUCUUGUGUGGUUAGUUAGGUCAUGGCCGACACCCUCGCCAGGCUUCUGCUUGAAGGUUUCCGAGAUACAUGACGUGUAUAUGGUGAUAAGUGGUGAGACCGUGUGUGAAGAAGUACACCCCUGCAGGGUUAUCAUGAUCUAUUCGAAUAGCCGUGUCCUAUGUUAUGGACUUCUUGGAUGCUUACGUGGUACAUAGACAACUUUAAGUGGAUACUCUAAAAUGCUCAAGACAAGUGUGAGUGCUAUGGAUGGCCUUCUCGUAAGGAGGCGAGGAUGAAUCCAUAGUAGUGUUUUGGCGUGGUGAUUAGUGGACUCGUGUGCGCUGCCUCAUCUCAAAGAAGUUUCUCAUUGUCGUAGAACAUGAUAGCCACAGAGUCAAAGCUGGCUUGCUGCAACUAAACCCCACAUUACCUUCUUGAUACAAAUGCAUGUAUGAUAGGAUCUAAUGUAAGUCUUGCUGAGUACCUUUGUACUCACGUUUGCUUUAUUUAUGUUUUGCAGGUGAGACAUCUGUCUCACUAGUAGUACCACUUGGACUUCGACGAGUAGCUUGUUACCUCAGCUACGAUCUCGUACCUUGGGAGGGACUUGUAGAUAGUCAGGCUUCUCUUCCUUUUUCCUUUUGUAGUUGUCUAUACUCAGACAUGUAAUGCUUCCGUUGCUUGUAUGCUCUGAACGAUGGGUCAUGUGACCCCUGUUUGUAUUAAUGCUAUGUGGCUCUUCUGAGCCUUUAUCUAUAUGAGUUUGCGUUAUGUUGUGAUGCCAUGUUGUACAACACAUACUUGCAUGUUAUGCGUACGUGUGACAUGUAUUGCUAUGUGUGGGAUCCAACAAUCUAGUUGUUUAUCCUUGGCAGCCUCUCUUAUGGGGAAAUGUAGUCUAGUGCUUCCUUGAGCCAUAGUAGUCCGCUACAUCCCGGUUCACCGGAGUCCUACUAGCCCAGCACUACUGCUCAGAACACUUGACUGGCCGGCAUGUGUUCCACUUCGUUCCUAUGUCUGUCCCUUCGGGGAAAUGUCACGGGUGACUUCCGGAGUCCUGUUAGCCUAGUGCUACAGCCCGAAUUCAUACGCUGUUGACCGACAUGCUCGAUAUGAUUCAUGUAUGCCUGUCUCCAUAGGUCUGUGCUGCUUUGGGUUCACGACUAGCCAUGUCGGCCCGGGUUCUCUGUCAUAUGGAUGCUAGCGACACUAUCAUAUACGUGAGCCAAAAGGCGCAAAUGGUCCCGGGCCAUGGUAAGGCAACACCCGUGGGGAUACCGUGCGUGAGGCCGCAAAGUGAUAUUAGGUGUUACAUGCUAGAUCGGUGUGACUUAGAAUCAGGGUCCCGACAAGGGGAGCGACGAAUCGACUGAUGACGAGGAAGUCAACUCGCCCCCUCGCAGAGAGAGGAGAUCCAAACAUGCUCAUGACCCAGCGAGCGCUCCAGACCUGGUGGCCGUGCUGAUUGGACAGUCUUCGAAGCGUCCCAGGACGUCUUCCCCAAUGCCGACUGAGAAGGCUCCAAAGCAGUCAAAAGUUGUGUCGCCUCCAGCGCCGAAAGCGCCGAAAGCCACCUCCUCCAAACUUCCAAAAGCUUUGCCCAGGAUCAAAGUGACCGUUCCUACUAUCUCCGGGUAACCAUCUGACUUGUCCUUUUAGUCGAGUCAAUUACUGGACGUAACCGAUUGAAUGUGGGUCUUUGCAGUGCUGCUACGUCAGGGACCUCUUCUUUCCAGUACCGGGACGAGGAAAUGGAAGAUGCGGCAACCUCCAACCCAGGUAUAAACUCUUGCGAUUUUGUUCUUGAUUCUUUGGUCGAUUGCGUUCGAGUGGUUCACUUGGGGUCGAAUGAUCUGCCUUGCAGCUCCACCCAACGUCAUAGAUCUUCCAGAUGACGAUGAAGAUGUGGCUCUUAAGCCUAGGAAGAGCAAGAAGGUAGCAGCUGGUAGGAUGUCUCGGCAAGAACCAACUACAACACCUCCCGUCUGUCAACCUGAGGACGCGGGCAGGGCUUCUGUGACCUUCGCUGCACCCUUGUCGAGUGAGCGCCCUGCACCGUCGACUGCACCUGUGAUUCCUUCAGCCGUCCAACUCCACGCCACGGAGCUCCAAGCCGCCGCACCUGGGUCGUCUGCUCAAUUUUUCACCAGCUACCCCGUCCCGGACAACCAGUCAGAAGCGGCUGCGGAAGCCAUCCGACAAGCUGACAUGAUGAUGGAGCGGGUGAAGACAGUGCAUGAGAACAGCCAGGCUGCCUACGACGCCAGUGCUGCUCUUCGGGCCAAUGUACAGGUGAGUAUACUUUCCGACUGCUUUUGCUCUAUGAGGAAGUGUUACUCGAAAAAAAAAUCUUCUUCAACAUAUUCUGCUGUUGUUUGCAUCGAAUUAGAGCACCCACUGGGUGUUUUGUUGUUUUUGGUAGUUUCAAUUUUCCACUCAGUCUGGGCGAGUGGGAUCUAAACCGGUAGGGGCACGCUAAGUGCACCCACUAGGUGUAGUCCCCGAGACCGCGGUCGACUGCUGGCAGUCGACUGGGGUCUGAGUUCUUCUUUCUUUUCUUUUCUUACACUCGACUCCAGCGGGCCGGUCGAGUAGGAUCCGAACAGGUGGGGGCACGCCAAGUGCACCCACUGGGUGUAGUCCCUAAGACCGCAGUCGACUGCUAGCAGUCGGCUGGGGUCUAAGCGAACUUCUUUAGGUUUUAUUCACUCGGAAGUAAACAACCUUUGAUCUUAUCGACUGAUCCGUCUUUUGCCUUCUGCAGAAGUCUUGUACUCUUAUUUUUAAGUUUGCUGAACUUGAGGAGAAGCAGAGGCAACCCAACCUCGACUUGGAAUUAGCCCAGCAGAACCUGAAGAAAGCUCAAGACGAAGCCGCUGGUAUGGAAGGUAACUGACUAUUGACUAACUUUCAAUAUAUUUCUUUGAUAUCUUCUUUGAUUCGAUUGUUUCUUUUGCAGAGAAAAUGAAGUUGGCUCUGGAUAAGAAGGACUCAGACCUCGCCGCCGCGUAAAAAGCAGCCCAAGAUAAAACUGCUCUCACAGACUAGAAGCUUGCUUCAAUCGGAACGCUGGAAGGAAAGGUGAACAAACUGAAAUCUUGUCUCAAUGAAGCUAACCGCGAAGUGACCAGUAUGAAGAAGGACAAGGUCGUCCUGAAUGAAAAGUUGGAGUCUGCGAUCCGCAAGAGGAAUGACAAGGAAGCCUACCUGAGGACUCUUCUCAAGAAGCUUUAUCUCACGCUGGAAGGUAUUUCUUUUUAUCCGACUGUGUUGAUGCUUGCGAUCGGAUCUUGCUCGGUCGAUUGACUAAUUUUUGGCUGCAGAAUUCUGCCAAGACUUCGACGAGGAAACUGGAAGGGUCAAGACGGGUCUGGACCCUAUCGCUUCUGCAGUCUGCGACGAAACUGUGAUGAACAUGCUCCGACUGGAGUCCCGUAUUGCUAGCGCCACAAGCUACCUCGCGCGCCUGAAGGAGGUAAUCUCUCGAAUCGACUCAUCGCUUUGGCCGGGGGCGACGCUUCAGAAUGACUUGGAAUUCCUAAUGACUCGAUUGAACGAGAUCCCUGACUGAGUGCAAGAAUGGAAGAAAUACUCCGCCCGGUGUGGUGCUGACAUGGUGCUGUCCUUGGUGCGAGUCCAUUGGAAGGAGGCUGGUGAAGACAAGCUGGCUGCGAUCAAAGUCGCUAACACCAAAAAUCAUGACUUCUAGUCCUUCAUGGAGACUUUCAUUGCUGCCGCCACUUGGAUCGCUGAUUGUAUCGACCUGGACUCAUUCGUGGAGCCUGCCAACCCUCCUCCGGCCGAGUGAACAAACUUAUGAAACUUGAAUCUGCUUUAAAUUUUCCUCGGAAUGUCGAGUGAUUGUUGUAACCGUUGAACUCCUUCGGGCUUGAUGUCCGAGUACCUUUGAUUUGUUGCUUGGAAUUUUUAGGAUUUAUCUAAAUUUGGUUUGUUUCCGAAUGUGCUUGUGUUUGCCUUCGAAUGCACUUUGCUCACUGCUUAGAAUAGUCCUUGCGCUCCAGUCGACUUGUGCUUCGCGUCCUUGCGGAUAGGGAUGGAGCGGACGUUGUACUUGUGUCGUAGCUCCGAAGGAGAAGAUUUCAGUCGACCUGCACCUCGUCCUCCUUGCGGAUAGGGAUGGAGCGGACGUUGUACUUAUGCCGUAGCUCCAAAGGAGAAGGUUGCAGUUGACCUGCACCUCGUCGUCCUUGCGGAUAGGGAUGGAGCGGACGUUGUACUUGUGCCGUAGCCCCGAAGGAGAUGGUUGCAGUCGACCUGCACCUCAUCAUCCUUGCGGAUAGGAGUAUGAUUCGGACUUAGGCGAGCACUGGACUACAGCUAAGAGUCCCAAGUGAGAGGACUGUUCUCCACUCGAUAGGAUUUUUUCAAACUUAGGCGAGUACUGGACUGCAGCUAAGUCUCCUAGUGAGAGAACUUAGGCGAGUACUGGACUGUAGCUAAGCCCCCAAGUGGGAGGAUUGCUCUCCACUCUGUAGGAUUUUUCCAAACUUAGGCGAGUACUGGACUAUAGCUAAGUCUCCUAGUGAGAGAACUUAGGUGAGUACUGGAUUGCAGCUAAGCCCCCGAGUGGGAGGGUUGCUCUCCACUCAGUAGGAUUUUUUCAAACUUAGGCGAGUACUGGACUGCAGCUAAGUCUCCUAGUGAGAGAACUUAGGUGAGUACUGGACUGCAGCUAAGCCCCCGAGUGGGAGUGAGGGAGUCCUGGAUUAGGGGGUGUUCGGGUAGCCGGACUAUACCUUCAGCCGGACUCCAGGACUAUGAAGAUACAAGAUUGAAGACUUCAUCCCGUGUCCGGAUGGGACUUUCCUUGGCGUGGAAGGCAAGUUUGGCGAUGCGGAUAUUCAAGAUCUCCUACCAUUGUAACCGACUCUAUGUAACCCUAACCCUAUCCGGUGUCUAUAUAAACCGGAGGGUUGUAGUCCGUAGGCAAUCAACUCCAUAUACAACAAUCAUACCGUAGGCUAGCUUCUAGGGUUUAGCCUCCUUGAUCUCGUGGUAGAUCUACUCUUGUACUACCCAUAUCAUCAAUAUUAAUCAACCAGGACGUAGGGUUUUACCUCCAUCAAGAGGGCUCGAACCUGGGUAAAACAUCGUGUUCCCUGCCUCCUGUUACCAUCCGGCCUAGACGCACAGUUCGGGACCCCCUACCCGAGAUCCGCCGGUUUUGACACCGACAUUGGUGCUUUCAUUGAGAAUUCCUCUGUGCCGUCACAAUUAGGAAGGAUGCCUCCUCCCGUCUUUAAAGAUGGCGCCGUUGCUAAGGGAGCCUUGGCUGUCGGCCAAACCCUCCGGCUAGGUGGUUUCCUCAUGACCGCCUGUUCGGCUGUUGCACCGACGGUGACCUCUCGGGUCAUCAAAAGCAACCUACACGUCAGCUCGGAGCUCAUCGAGCAGCUAGAUCCAAUGGAGCUCUCUUCCGUAAACGAGCUCUUGGAUCGCAUCGCCGCCCUGGGGGUCGCUACGGAUUACGACUGGGUUGGGCUUAAACCCGAUCUAAGAGAAAUUAACUCUCCCCAAGUCACCCACCACGUUGCCGUGGUAGAGACGCUGUGCGGCGACCCUUCAUCUAUUUUAAGGACUAGCUACGUCCGAAUUCCCGACCCCUCCAAGCCGGAUACCCGCGGAGGGGGAGAUAUAACUCAAGACCUGAGCUUAGGAUCAGGCAACGGGCCAGAUUCACUGGACAACAUCCAAGAAUCUGAACUUCAGAGUUCGGAAACUCUUCGGCCUCCGAAUCUUGGAUUGGGUGAGGUUUCAGAUUCAACGACACCUGCCCACCCAAUCAUAAGCGAUCUCUCCCAAAUCAGGCAGAGGCCCGAGGAAACACUACAUCAUUACUGGGCCAGAUUCCUCCUGGUUAUGAACAGGAUAAAGGAUUGCCGCGAGGAAGACGCAAUCUCAAUUUUUUGCGGUAAUUGCACGGACAAGGGAAUCCUUAACGCCGUAAGUCGUCGUGAUAUCACACGCUUCGCUAACUUGGCGUCCAUAGUACAAAAAUAAUGUGCGAUGGAAAGCGCCUGGAAAACCGAAAUAAAUUUUUGGGAUAAUCCGGCCUUGAAUAGUAAUCCCGUCCGAACUAAGAGGGUGCAUCAUCAUAGGACACCCGGGAUAAACACCAAAAAGCCAAAACCCUCUACAGGGCAUGGAACCAUACUGGAAAGAUGGCUUGAUGGACCCUGUAGAAUUCACAGUACAGAGGACGCCACACCAACUCACAGCCUUAGAGCAUGUUGGAUACUCCGGCAAGUGGCCAAAAUCAGCAAGGACCUCUUAAUUCCGGAGGCCGCAGAAAGCCAGCCCAAGGGCACCAGUACCGUUAUCACAGUCUUCGAGACUGUGCGAAAAAGAACACUCCGCAGCCUCGCCGAAGUCUAUCAAGUUGCAACAAUAAAUCCAUGGAGCGACACUGCCAUUACCUUCAACGCAAGUGAUGAACCUAGAUUCUGAACAGCCCGAGCACCAGCCGCAUUGGUCCUCAGUCCCAUAGUGGACGGCUUUCGCCUCACCAAGGUGCUCAUGGAUGGAGGCAGCGGACUGAACCUCAUUUAUGAGGAAACCCUUCAAAAAUGGAAAUAGACUGGAACUGCGUCGAGCGAAGCAGCACAACCUUUAGAGGAAUAAUCCCCAGUCGCGAAGCGCGCUGCACAGGAAAAAUCACACUAGAUGUGGUGUUCGGCACGCCAGAUAAUUACAGGUCCGAAGAAGUCACGUUUCAGGUGGCCCCGUUUGAGAGCGGAUAUCACGCUUUACUAGGGCGGGAAGCAUUCACAAUCUUCCAAGCAAUACCCCAUUACGGGUAUAUGAAGCUUAAGAUGCCCGGGCCAAAUGGAAUUAUCACUCUAGCUAGUGAUCCGGACAUAGCACUCCGCGCCGAAAACAAGACGGCCGCAUUAGCCCUUGAGGCGCUAUCCGAAGCCUUAGCGGCCGAGGAACUAAUUGCGCUGCGCUCCACGGUUAACAGGGAUGAUGUGAUACUCGAUAAGAGACCCAAAUCCACAUCCUUCAAGCCAGCCGACGAAAUAGUCAAAUUCCAGGUCCAUCCAACAGACCCCAAUAAAACAGCUUCAAUCGGGGCAUGACUGAACCCUGAUGCAGACACCGCACUGCGAGAGUUCCUAUGAGAGAACUAGGACAUCUUCGCCUAGCACCCUUUAGACAUGCCAGGGAUCCCACGCAGGCUGGCCGGACACAGCUUAAAUAUCCUAAAAGGAUUUAAACCUGUCAAACAAGCCCUUCGGUGUUUUUCCGAACCCAAGAGACAGGCUAUGGGAGAGGAGCUAGCCAAGCUAUUGGAGGCCGAAUUCAUCAGAGACAUAAAACAUCCAGACUGGCUAGCAAACCUGGUGAUGGUACCAAAGAAGGACAAAUCCUGGCGCCUGUGUGUUGAUUUUAAAGACCUUAACAAGGCUUGCCCAAAGGAUCCCUUCCCCCUCCCCCGCAUCGAUCAAAUUAUCAAUGCCACCGCAGGACACGAUUUGUUGUGUUUCCUUGACGCAUACUCCGGUUACCAUCAAAUCAAGAUGGUAGAAUCAGACCAAGGUGCAACAGCAUUAUUCACACCAUACGGCCCAUUCUGCUUCAACACAAUGCCCUUCGGGCUGAAAAACGUCGGCGCAACAUAUCAGCGCAUGAUCCAGACAUGUCUGGCAAACCAGAUCGGCAAAACAGUGGAGGCGUAUGUGGAUGAUGUGGUCGUCAAAUCAAGACAUGUCGAAUCCCUAGUAAACAACUUGAGGCUUACAUUUGAUAACCUCCGACAAUAUGACAUCAAGCUCAACCCAGAAAAAUGCGUCUUCGGCGUUCCAGCCGGAAAGCUCUUGGGCUUCAUUGUAUCCGGUAGAGGAAUUGUAGCAAACCCAGCCAAGAUCCGAGCUUUGUCACAAUUGGAUGUCCCAAAGGACCUUAAACAAAUACAAAAAUUAACCGGGUGCGUGGCGGCUUUAAGCCGCUUCAUCUCCCGCUUGGGAGAAAAGGCACUACCCCUUUAUCGCCUCCUUUGGCGCACCGAACACUUCGAGUGGACGGAUGCUGCCACGACCGGACUUGAUGAAAUAAAAGCCAUAUUGGCAACAAACCCAGUCCUCGCCGCGCCAAUCACCGGCGAACCAAUGUUAUUGUACAUUGCAGCAACACACCAAGUUGUCAGUGCAGUGCUCGUUGUCGAGCGGGAAACGGACGAACACAAAUUCCCCCUUCAAAGGCCGGUCUACUACGUGACCACUGUCCUCACUCCAUGCAAAUCACAGUACACGCAUUAUCAAAAGAUUGCAUACGCGGUAUUCAUGGCAUCCCGGAAGCUACGACACUACUUUCAAGAGUGUUCCAUAACAGUAGCCUCGGAAGUGCCACUAAACGAUAUUAUCAACAACCGCGAUGCAACGGGCCAGAUUGCAAAAUGGGCCAUCGAGCUUCUCUCGUUCGAUAUAACCUAUAAGCCACGGCGAGCUAUUAAAUCGCAAGUUUUGGCCGACUUCGUCGCAGAAUGGACGGAGGCCGAGCUCCCUAAAGAGUACGACACAUAUUCAAAUUGGAUUAUGCAUUUCGACGGCUCCAAAAUGUUGGCCGGACUGGGGGCCAGCGUCGUCCUGACGUCCCCCACAGGAGACACAGUCCAAUAUGUGCUCCAAAUCAUGUACACGGAUUCCAACAAUGCAGGCGAAUAUGAGGCCCUCCUACAUGGCCUCCGGAUAGCAGUAUCCAUGGGUAUCCAGCGCCUAGAGGUACGCGGGGAUUCAAACCUCGCGAUAUCCCAAAUAAAUGGAGACUUCGACACCAAGGACCCAAAAAUGGCAGCUUACUGCGAUGCCAUCCUAAAAAUGUCAGCUCGGUUCGAAGGGCUGGAGUUUCACCAUAUAGCCCGAGAAAACAAUCAAGCGGCGGACAUCCUAGCACGCAUCGGAGCAAAACGUGAUGCAGCCCCCCAACGUCUUUUUGGAAAGAUUGUUCAAGCCAUCUGUAGCAUGGGAAGGGAACCCGCAAAUAACAGCUCGAACCCAACCGCACCACUCGACACCGUACAAUCUGACACAAUUGGAGGCUCUGCCAACGAAAUUACACCUUCAGCCCACGUAAUAAUGGCAGUUAUCGCCUCGUGGACAGAACCAUUCCUAGCCUACCUUACUAGGCAGGAACUCUCGGAGGACCAAAACGAGGCCCGCUGCAUAGUGCGGUGAUCUAAGGCCUACAGAGUCCAUGAGGGAGAACUUUAUAAGAAAAGCACUACCGGAGUCCUUCAAAGGUGCAUCUCCGAAGAGGAAGGGCGGAACCUCCUGGCUGAAAUUCAUGCCGGACUCGGUGGUCACCACGCUGCUGCUCGGUCCCUCGUUAGCAAGGCUUUCCAUAUAGGCUUUUACUGGCCGACGGCCCGAGCAGACGCUCAGGACCUAGUCCAACGAUGCGCUGGUUGCCAACUUUUUGCCAACCAAAGCCAUAUGCCACCCACCGCACUCCAAACUAUACCCAUCACCUGGCCUUUUGCGGCCUGGGGGCUUGACAUGGUCGGACCCCUUAAAGGUGGAACCCAUAGGAAAAAAUACUUACUGUUCAUGGUGGAUAAGUUCACCAAAUGGAUAGAAGCCAAGCCUGUUAAAACGGCUGAAUCCGGACCUGUGAUAGACUUCAUAUCCGGGGUUGUACACCAUUAUGGCAUCCCCCAUAGCAUCAUAACCGACAAUGGUACAAAUUUUACCACCGACAAGUUAAAACUCUGGUGCAAAAACAUGGGCAUCAAGCUCGAUUAUGCUUCCGUCUAUCACCCACAAACCAACGGCCAGGUCGAACGUGCAAAUGGUCUUAUCAUGAGCGGCAUCAAACCCAGACUGGUGCGGUCCCUCAAGGAAUCUAACAUGCACUGGGUAGAGGAGCUCGACUCCGUGCUAUGGGGGCUGCGGACCAUGCCAAAUCGCACCACCGGGUACACACCAUUUUUAUGGUGUACGGUGCAGAAGCAGUUCUGCCCUGCGACAUAAUUCAUGACUCACCUAGAGUGCGCAUGUAUGAAGAAAGAGAAGCCGAGCUCGAUCGGCAGGACAACUUGGACGCCUUGGAGGAGGAGCGCGAUGUGGCAAAAGCCCGUUCCGCAUUUUAUCAACAGCAGGCCCGAAGAUAUCAAAGCUGAGAAGUAUGGGCCAAAAAUUACAAUGUUGGCGAACUAGUUCUACGCCUGCCGGAUAAGAAAAAGGACAAACUCAAGCCCAAGUGGGAAGGUCCAUUCAUAAUCGACCAAGUCCUGACUGGUGGGGCGUACCGCCUGCGAGAUGCGUCGAACAACCGACUCGAGCCGAACCCGUGGAACGCCACCCGUCUCCGAAGAUUCUAUGCCUAGCGCCGAACUCUGUGUUCGUCUCCUUCCUCUGUCCAUCCCUUUUUGUAUUUUUUCUGUUUUACAUUUCUCUCCUUCCCAUUUUGUUUUCUUUCAUAGCCCUUAAAGGCUCAUCUAGUGACGCGCCACUCGCGCUCAUUAAACCUGGGGGCUUCUUUAACAGAAGCUUAUUUGUACGGGCUUCACGCCCAACACAUGCGUCAAACUUCCGCAUGUGCCCUUUUUCUUCACCAUUAUAUGCAUCGAUAUGACUUAAGUUUUGGCCAAGCUAGGUUGCCUGGCUGCUGUGCUUACCCCUACGUUCCCGAUUGUUCGGCUGGGCGAUAAAGGGAGCACCUCUGCGAUUGUUACUACCGGGUCAGCCGGAUGUGUACCUCAGACUGGGUGAAGCCGAAAGCUAGCGUUCUUGAGGGAAUAUUCGGUCGGUGAAAUAAAAGAUGAUCUUUUUACUCAUUUUAUGCGCCCCUAGAUGCCUUUUUUUCUGCGUCUCUUCACGCAGUUCGGACAUGCACCUUAGGGCAUGCCUCCCAGCGAAAGGAACCCUUAACGGAACUAUUCUCUCUGGAAGAUGUUUCUUACUAACCAUGUAAUAUAACAUAACUAGUUGGGCACUUGUCUGAUAAAGCACUGAUGACCCCUACGCCUGGUCUCCACGCAUACCCCGGUUCUUAUAUAACCGCUAGGGUAUUCAGACACACUCCGGACCGUUAGGUCCCGAGGUUGAAGCGAAAAGGUCGGCAACGACAAACGAUCUACAAUCCGGCUAGAAGGCAUUACACAUGUCAAUUCAAAAUUACACAGUCAUUCAGACUGAUUGUAUUCCUCUUCUAUACCAUCUAACAGGCUGUCUAAUUUACAGUCCUGCUAGGAAUACUUCGCGGCCAACUCUACUUGGCUGUAUACUAAGCUUACAGGGAUCUCCUUCCUGUCAGGCCCCACUGGUCCGACCUCGGCCAUGUGGUUUGGGUCAGACUUCGUAAAACGGGUCUUCACCAUGGCCCAGGCCUCCCUAGCACCUUGUCGACAGGCCGAUAUCUUCCACAACCGGAAGCGCCGCCGAGCUCCCUUCAGCUUCUCCGCAAGCUCUCCAAGGUCCUCAGGCACGGAGUGGGCAGGCCAUAAGGCUUGGGCAAUAUCCCGCAUCGCCUGCCGAAUUCGCUCGUGCAGUUGCAAGAGUUCGGGAAGGUCACUCGUAGAACCGGGCAUCUCCUCUGCAGGACGACCUGUGAGCAUACCUACAGACAUUACUCUGUUAGUCGACUUCCUCGCCGAACUCUUUUUUCAAAGUUCGUUCAAGCACUUACUAAAAAUGCCGCGUCGAAGCCGCUGAUUCUCCUUCGUGGAGUCCAACAGCUGGCCACGAACAUCUUUAAGUUCGACGUCCAUCUUGGUGUUGGCAUCCUGAAGAUCAUUCUUCUCUUGCCUCACCUUUGUCAACGUACUCUCACCGGCCUUUAGCCGGCAUAAGAGUUGUUGCUUGUCUGGAUCGAGUCCGGCGCCAUCUGCAAUAUGAUUUGUCAGAUUUGCACCCACACCGCACAAUACUAAUCUUUCGAAGUGUAUCUUACCUGAGGGGGUAUCUUUGGGCUCCCCUGCUGCGGCUAGUGCGGCCUCUAGUUGGGCCUUGCACUUUUCCAGCUCCUGGGACAGUACGGUAUUCUUCUCUGUAAGAAGCUGCAUAUUAAAUGAUCCUUAAAUCAGUUGCUCUAACUGCUUCAAGUCUCGGGGGCUACGGGCAUAUAUAUAUAUAUACAUAUAUAUAUAUAUAUAUAUAUUUAACCAAAAUUUUCUUACCCGUAUGUCUUUUACAUACUGCUCCGUGGCUCUGGCUAAACCAUUUUGAGCGGCACGGAGGUACGCAUCUCCCGAAUUAAAGGCAUCUAAAGCCUCUUGGGAGAAACAAGCGUCACAUAGAAUUGUCUAGCGAUGCCUGUGGUUCAUGGCACUCUCCACUUCAGAAUUUGUGGCAGACAGCCUGUCUGCAUCCUCUGUCGGAGGAGCGUCCGGUGCGCGCCUUGUGCUCGCCUCCGCUUCCUGGCCAGACAUUGGAGCAUGGCUGGUGGAGGCGCGAUUGGCAACCUCUCCGGAUGUAGUCCGGUGAGGUCUCUUCGUUCUGAAGAUAGCACGAACGUUAAUAUGCCCUAACAGAAUAACUCCAGGGAAACAGAGGGUGCACUAUACCUUUGCGCCGGCAUCUCAGUCCGGACUUCAUUCCUUUUUGCCCCACGGGGCCCUGCGGCCCCUCGUUGGCUAGCCGCUGCACGUUCGGCCUCCUGCCUCGGAAAUCUCCCCUACAAAACACGGAUGUCGUCAGAAACACCGGGCUACGUGAGGGUGGAAUCUCUUUCAAGGGAAUAAAAACCCCGGUUUCUGUCACCUGGGAGGUCGGGAUUAACCCUGGGUAAUCCGCCGAAAUGGCUACCAAGGUAUUGUCCUUGCUUAGCUGAUGGAACACCCCGUCGAUAAGCUCCACCGAUAUGUCCAGAUCCUCUUCGGAGUCUGGAUUGAGGGACCGUUCUGGGUCCUCGGGCUGUGGAGGGCGGCUGCUUAUAUCCUUUACCUCCUGUCGCAGUUCCUGCAUUGAAGUCGUUAGACUACCUAUCUAACCAUGGGAGUAUAAAACAAACGGGCAAGCACAAUUGUUCACUUACCCAACUUGGAGGAUCGUACAUACUGAAUCCGGCCCGCGGGUUGACGCGGAGGAAUUCCUCCUUUUCUCCCUUGUACAAAGAGGAUAAGAUCUUUACUAAGGCGGCGGCUGAGGCCGGCCCCUUACGACCGUAACGUGUGGCGUCAUCCUCCCCGUUGAAAUCCCACAUGGGGUGGCCUCUAUAUUGAAGCGGCUGCACCCCCCGCAUAAUGCAUGCGGCCCUGACUCCAAUCAUGGUUAGUCCGGAAUGAGCCAACAGUCUUAUCCGGCCCAUCAGGUAAAGGACGUCUCUGUCGCUUUCUCUUUGAGAGCUCCGUGGACGCCAGCUCAAGCGUUUCUUCAAUGGAGCACUGUUGAACUCAGGGAGACCGACCCGGAUAGGGUCCGGUAGCGGGACGUCAUCUAUAUAAAACCAUUUCGAAGGCCAGUCCUCGGACGCCUUCUUUGGGGUUCCGGAUAGGUAUCCGGUCCCUGCGAUGCGCCAUACUUCGGCUCCGCCCACUUGGUAUAUAGACCCCUCUUGAGAAUAGGGCACCAGGCAGAAUAACCUCUUCCAUAGCGCGAAAUGAGCCUCAACGCCUAAAAGUAGCUCUCAAAGGGCGACGAAACCCGCAAUAUGCAAUACAGAGGCGGGCGUGAGAUUGUGCAGCUGGAGGCUGUAGAACUCCAGAAGCCCGCGGAGAAAUGGAUGAAUUGGAAAUCCCAGUCCCCUUAUUAGAUAGGGGACGAGGCACACCCGCUCUCCUUUAUAAGGAUUGGGGGUGCUCUCCGCUUGUUUUCCGCCAUUGUAGGUGGCGAGACCGGCUCGGACCGGGACCAUGUAUGCCUGAGGGAGAAAUCCCUUGGCCUGAAGCGACACUAACUCGCUAUGCGGGAUGGUGCAACUCUCCCAGUCCCUGGGUUUGGGACCGGAGGGGCAAGGGGAGGAGCUGCGACGGUUGGUCAUGUUGGAAUGGACCUUUGCUGGAAGUGCUCUGAUGAUAACUCGCGGAAAGGAGAAGAUGUGGUUUGGACCUAAAUCCCCAUCCCGUUAAAUAGGCAGCUCGUUUAUACGGCUAGGGGUGUGGAUGUAAAAACGCCCCGGCUUUUCGCAUUCGUUUAACACGUGGAAGACGGCCAUUAUUGGGCGUGGAAGCUGAGGAGCACUACAUUACAAAAAUCGGACAUUAUUCCUACAGGUACACAAGAUCUGGAGAAGAACCCGCCUUGCAAUGUCGAACAAUCUGCGCACCGGACUCGUCGUCAUUGAAGCCUGGUUUGGGGGCUACUGAGGGAGUCCUGGAUUAGGGGGUGUUCGGGUAGCCGGACUCCAGGACUAUGAAGAUACAAGAUUGAAGACUUCGUCCCGUGUCCGGAUGGGACUUUCCUUGGCGUGGAAGGCAAGUUUGGCGAUGCGGAUAUUCAAGAUCUCCUACUAUUGUAACCGACUCUAUGUAACCCUAACCCUAUCCGGUGUCUAUAUAAACCGGAGGGUUGUAGUCCGUAGGCAAUCAACUCCAUAUACAACAAUCAUACCGUAGGCUAGCUUCUAGGGUCUAGCCUCCUUGAUCUCACGGUAGAUCUAUUCUUGUACUACCCAUAUCAUCAAUAUUAAUCAAGCAGGACAUAGGGUUUUACCUCCAUCAAGAGGGCUCGAACCUGGGUAAAACAUCGUGUUCCCUGCCUCCUGUUACCAUCCGGCCUAGAUGCAUAGUUCGGGACCCCCUACCCGAGAUCCGCCAGUUUUGACACCGACAGGGAGGAUUGCUCUCCACUCGGUAGGAUUUUUUCAAACUUAGGUGAGUACUGGACAGCAGCUAAGUCUCCUAGUGAGAGAACUUAGGCGAGUACUGGACUGCAGCUAAGCCGCCGAGUGGGAGGAUUGCUCUCCACUCGGUAGGAUUUUCUUUCGAACUUAGGCGAAACGGGUUCGCGACUAAGCCCACCCACUGGGGGAUAUCAGAAGUAAAUAAGAACACAACAAUCGACUGAUAGGACCAUAAGCUCUUGUCUUUGGUAAACAAAUUACAAAGGUGUUUCUUAUUACAUUUUAUUUGAACGAGUGCUUAAGUAUAAAAGGGGCGGAGUAGCUCCGCGUUCCAUGCCCGUGGCUCGUCUUUCUGAUGCUCAACACUGUAAAGAUGGUAUGCUCCAUUGUGGAGAACUUUGGUGAUGAUGAAGGGGCCCUCCCAAGUCGGGGCAAGCUUGUGUGGUUUCUGUUGAUCCACUCGAAGAACCUGGUCUCCUUCUUCAAAGGCUCGACCCCUCACAUUUCUGGCGUGGAAUCGACGCAAGUCUUGCUGAUAAAUGGUCGAGCAAAUCAAGGCCAUCUCUCUUUCCUCCUCUAAGAGAUCGACUGAAUCUUGCCGGGCCUCUUCUGCUUCCUCUUCGGAGAAGAGCUCAACUCGGGGUGCAUUGUGGAGCAGGUCACUUGGCAGAAUAGCUUCGGCUCCAUAGACUAAGAAGAAAGGAGUUUGUCCGGUCGACCGAUUAGGAGUUGUCCUUAAACCCCACAGAACUGACGGAAGUUCAUCAACCCAAGCACCUGCUGCGUGUUUGAGAUCAUGCAUCAGUCGGGGUUUCAGUCCUUUGAGAAUUAGGCCAUUGGCUCUUUCUGCUUGUCCGUUUGACUGCGGGUAAGCGACAGAAGCAUAGUCGAAUCAAGUGCCCUAAGAGGCGCAGAAAGCUCUAAACUCAUCGGAAUCGAAGUUCGAUUCAUUGUCCGUGAUGAUGUUGUGUGGGACUCCAUAUCUGAAUGUCAAUUCUCUGAUAAAACUGACAUCGGUGCUAGCAUCAAGGUUCUUGAUAGGUUUAGCUUCGAUCCAUUUGGUAAACUUGUCGACUGCAACGAGCACAUGAGUGAAGCCGCUCUUGCCAGUUCUCAGUGAUCCAACCAUAUCCAGUCCCCAAACAACAAAGGGCCAGAUGAGGGGGAUGGUCUUCAGGGCUGAUGCUGGCUUGUGAGACAUGUCGGAGUAAAAUUGGCAGCCUUCACAUCUGUCGACUAUAUCUUUCGCCAUUUCAUUUGCUCGUGGCCAAUAGAAUCCAGCUCGGUAUGCUUUAGCCACGAUGGCCCGAGAGGAUGCAUGAUGACCACAGGUCCCCGAGUGGAUGUCAUUAAGGAUCAUUCGACCUUCUUCUGGUGUUAUGCAUUUCUGACUGACUCCAGUCAUGCUUUCCCUGAACAACUGCCCUCUUAUCACAGUAAAGGCCUUGGAUCGACGGACGAUCUGUCGAGCCUCUUCUUCAUCCUCUGGGAGUUCUUUCCUGAGGAUGUAUGCAAUGUAGGGCACCGUCCAGUCGGGAGUAAUGGCCAGAACCUCCAUGAUCAGGUCGACCAUGGCUGGGACCUCGACUUCAGUCGGAUCUGUGGCGCUCUUAGGUUGCGGGGGCUCUUCAGUGAAAGGAUCUUCCUGAACUGUCGGCGUGUGAAUAUGCUCCAAAAACACAUUGUUGGGAAUGACUUCUCUCUUGGAACCUAUCUUUGCCAAGUCAUCGGCUGCUUGAUUUUUCAAUUAGGGGAUGUGCAAUCUGACCGAGGGAUGCAGCCUUCUUGCCUGGAAUGACACCAUGGAAACUCAUAUGGCUUUCGCUAAGUCUGGACAUCGGAAUGCCCAUUCCUUUAAACAUUUCUGCAUACAGUAUGUUCAGGCCACUGCCACCGUCCAUCAGGAACUUUGUCAGUCGAGUGCCUUCGACCACCGGGUCGACCACCAGUGCUUGCCUCCCAGGGUGGCAAUGUGCGCUGGAUGAUCAGACUGGUUGAAUGUAAUGGCAGUCUGCGAACACUUCAAGUAACUGGGUGUCACCGGAGCGACCAUGUUCACUUCCCUGUUGAUGACUUUCAAUCGACUUUUGCUCUCAACGUCAGCAAAAAUCAUCAGAGUGGAAUUCACGUGGGGAUAACCAUCAUCAUCCUCUCCCUCAUCCUCAGCCUUGUCUACCUCCUUCUCCUUUUCCUUGGGUUGUUUCUCUCGGGACUACUGGAUUAGGAGUCGACACUGCCGAGUGGUGUGCUUCGGGUAAAUGAAAUUACCUUCUUCAUAUUUUUUGGUGUGGAUAUGGCACGGCAGAUCCAACACGUCAUUUCCAUCUUGAUCUUUUACUUUCUUGGGGUUCCAUGGCCCCUUGGGCUUCCCCUUGAACUUUCCUUGAACCACAGCCAAGGCUUCACCAGGAGUAGCUGGCUCGGCCUUGCACUUCUGUUUCCGACUGGAGUUUCCUCCUCCGGCUUCAUGGGCGACUGCUUUGUGCUUGCCACUCCGGAGUCGCUCUUCCUCUUCACCAUUGGCAUACUUGGUGACAAUUUCCAUCAUCCGAGUCAGAGUCAUGUUUCCUGUCCAACCGAAUUUCAGAUUCAACUCCCGAUACCUGACACCUUCCUUGAAAGCACAAAUUGCCUGAUGAUCAGACACAUCUUCUACCGUGUGGUGUAGGGUGAUCCAUCUCUGGAUAUAAUCCCUCAAAGUUUCAUUCUGUUUCUGGACGCAACACUGUAAUUCUGUCAAACCUGCUGGCCGUUUGCAAGUACCCUCGAAUGUUCUGACAAACACUCGGGCGAGAUCUUCCCAAGUAUAGAUGUUGCCAGGUGCCAACUGAUUCAGCCAUGCUCUAGCCGAGCCCUCCAACAUCAGAGGAAGGUGUUUCAUGGCCACUUCAUCAUUGCCGCCACCAAUCUGGACAGCCACUCGGUAGUCUUCAAGCCAAGUGUCAGGCUUGGAAUCUCCGGUGAACUUACUGACUCCAGUCGCCAACCUGAAGUUGGGGGAAUCACCGCAGCUCUAAUAGCUCUGCUGAAGCACUCUGGACCAGAGACAUGCACCCUGUUGCUGGUUUGCGGAUCUCUGUCAUGGCCCUCUCGGUGAGCUCUGUUUUUGUCGACCAAGCCCUGCACGAGAAUAGAUCUCGCAUCAAAGCCUGGCUCCCUGGGGUCGACUGGAAUACCUCUUCCAACACUGUGAGGGCGUCUCUCUUCAUGUGGCCGAGGCACGUAUGACCCACUCCUUGGAGGAGGCGUGGGCACUCGACGGCGAUCAUCGCGAUCGGCUCGGUGAUCAUACUGCUCUUGGUUCCUGUACUGAUCACAUCGAUCUCCACGUCCCUCACGCCUCAGGGGCGAUCUUGGGCUAUGGGCCGACUGAACUGUGUCUGCGACCAUGGAUCUGCUAUGGAUCCUAUUCCGUGACUGAGACACGGCCGUAUUCUGCUCUCCCGCUGCCCGAAGCAAGGCUCUAAUCUGCACCAGACCUCGGCCAGCUUCUGAUUGGGAAGGUUGGAUCGACUCUGCUAUCCGGGCAGCAGCUACUAGAUUCUAGAUGGGGGUUCGAUAUACCUGAGUCGGAGGUGGAAAAAGUUGGCGUCGACUGGACUCAGGAGCACGUUGUCGAGGACGAUCGUCGAGUGCGCGCUGGAGGUUCUCCAGUCGAGUGCGCUCAGCCAGGUUGGCCAAGCGUGCCUGCUCCAAGGCCUAGGCCUCAGGGGUCUCUCCAACUAUAGGAGUAUGCAGGGCAUCCAUGUUCCGGCGACAAAGUUCCUCCCUCUGCUGCGAGGAGAGGGGUUCGUGGUGGUACUCCUCGUGAACGCGCGACGGAUCGCCCUUCCCGUCAGCUCCGUCUUCACGAUUGAAGCCAGGAGGACUGCGUUGUCCAUUGACCAUCAGGACUUCAGCCGCUAGGUCGCUGCUGUCACACUCGGAUGCGGUCUCUACGGAGCCAGUCGACAGAUCGAACAUGCCGUAGAGAGAUUCGUCGGGCUCGAUCGCCGCGACUUGAGGGGUGUCCGACUGGCGGGCCACCGCAUGCUUCACCUACCGCUGAAGCCUCGACCGACCGGUGCAUUUGCUCCGGCGGGUCAUAGGGAGGGGGAAAGCUGCUGGAGUCGACUGGUACUGGGUCGACAGUUGCCGCAGGAGGACGCUGCGGACGCACGCGCGAAAGUGCGUCGCCCCGCGGGCGGGGAGCGCGUCGGCAUCGAGUGGUGCCUCCUGAAGCCAAGCGGAGUCGUCAGCGACAAACACGAGCACGCCGAGACGGAUCUCGCGGCCCUCAGCCAAACCUCCUCCUAGAACCAUGAUGAAGGGGAUCGGAAAAAUUGCAACUUCUCCAACAAGUCGCUAAGACACCUGCCCCACGGUGGGCGCCAACUGUCGUGGUUCUAAGACUGACAGAAGAAUAGGGGGUAGGAAUGUAGAGGCAAGAUCCUAGCUAUGGAGGAGUUGUACAUACGAAUUUACGAGUUCAAGCCCUUCUCGGAGGAAGUAACAGCCCUACGUCUCGGAGCCCAGAGGCGGCCGACUGAAUAUAUGUGUGUGAAUUACAGAAAGUGCGAAUCCUUGUCCCAGAGGAGGGGGUGGCUUAUAUAGAGUGCGCCAAGACCCCAGCUCCCCUCCGUUACACAAGGUUCAAUGCUCAUAAAGGAGGGGCGUUACUGGUAACGUCUGCAGUAAAGUGUAAUAAAUGCCCAUAAAGCUAUGGUUUAAGUCCUGACCGUUGCAGAGUGGAGGGUUUCUCAUCUUCUGGUGGUCGAGUGUCUUCAAGGUGGUCGAGUGAGCACAUCUUCACGGUCGAGUGGAUGAUGGUUUCUCUUCGAUUGCUUCUGAUUCUUUGUAGAGAUGUCCUUGGGGAGGGUAUGUUGGACAGAUCCAUGACCCUACCCUAGGUACAUAGCUUCAUCAGUAGCAACUGGCACUUUUGAGUUAACCUCAAAGGUAGCACCAUGUUCAUCUUCACGUAAUUUUAUGGUUCGGCAACCAAAAAAAUGCAUACGGUUCGGCAACCUUAAAAUGCCCGCGGCUCUGAUAUGUCCAUUUUGCAUCAUGUUUUCCUACUGUUAUUUAUGAUGUUUUUAUCCAUUAUAAUGCUUUUUUGAGUAAUUCUAAUUCCUUUUAUCUCAUAAUAUGCAAGGUAUACACAAAGAGGGAGAAUUCCGGUAGCUGGAAAUCUGGACCUGGAAAAUCUACAUCAGGCUACCUAUUCUGCACAACUCCAAACAAGAUGAAACAUCAUGGAUAAUUUUUAUGUAAUAUAUGAAGAAUAUUGGAGCAAAUAAGUGCUAGAGGGGGCCCACCAGGUGGGCACAACCCACCUGUGCGCGCCAGGGAGCCCAGGCGCGCCCUGGUGGGUUGUGCUCACCCAGGCCCACCUCCGGUGCCCAUCUUCUAGUAUAUAAGUCAUUUUGACCUAGAAAAAAUAAGGGGAGGACUUUCGGGACAGAGCGUCGCUGUCUCGAGGUGGAACUUGGGCAGGAGCACCUUUUCCCUCCGAUGGAGCGAUUCCGUCGGGGGAAUUUCUCUCCUGGAGGGGGAAAUCAUCGUCAUCAUCAUCACCAACAACUCUCCCAUCUUGGGGAGGGAAAUCUCCAUCAGCAUAUUCAACAGCACCAUCUCAUCUCAAACCCUAGUUCAUCUCUUGUGUUCAAUCUUGUUACUGGAACUAUAGAUUGGUGCUUGUGGGUGACUAGUAGUGUUGAUUACAUCUUGUAGUUGAUUACUAUAUGGUUUAUUUGGUGGAAGAUUAUAUGUUCAGAUCCAAUAUGAUAUUUAAUACCCCUCUGAUCUUGAGCAUGAUUAUCAUUUGUGAGUAGUUACUUUUGUUCUUGAGGUCACGGGAGAAAUCAUGUUGCAAGUAAUCAUGUGAACUUGAUAUAUGUUCGAUAUUUUGAUAGUAUGUAUGUUGUGAUUCCCUUAGUGGUGUCAUGUGAACGUCGACUACAUGAAACUUCACCAUAUUUGGGCCUAAGGGAAUGCAUUGUGGAGUAGCAAUUCGAUGAUGAGUUGUGAGAGUGACAGAAGCUUAAACCCCAAUUUAUGCGCUAUUCCGUAAGGGACCGAUUGGAUCCAAAAGUUUAAUGCUAUGGUUAGAAUUUAUUCUUAAUACUUUUCUCGUAGUUGCGGAUGCUUGCGGGAGGAUUAUUCAUAAGUAGGAGGUUUGUUCAAGUAAGAGCAGCACCUAAGCACCGGUCCACCCACAUAUCAAAUUAUCAAAGUAGCGAACACGAAUCAAACCAACAUGGUGAAAGUGACUAGAUGAAAAUCCCGUGUACCCUCAAGAACGCUUUGCUUGUCAUAAGAAACCGUUUUGGCCUAUCCUUUGCCUCAAAAGGAUUGGGCUACCUUGCUGCACUUUUGCUACUAUUAUUGUUACUUGCUCGUUACAAAUUAUCUUGCUAUCAAACUACUCUGUUACUUACAAUUUUAGCACUUGCAGACAUUACCUUGCUGAAAACCCCUUGUCAUUUCCUUCCGCUCCUCGUUCGGUUCAACACUCUUACUUAUCAAAAAGAGCUACAAUUGAUCCCCUAUACUUGUGGGUCAUCAGGCUCAAAAGCCUUUCCACAAUUACAGUAGUAGCAUUGUCUCAUGUAUAUAUUAUGAUCAACGGAAUAAAGCCGGCUUAUCUAGACCCCAGAUGUUUUGCAGUAGUAGCAUUGUCUCUUGUGUAUCAUAUGCCGAGCUUUUCCAUGAUCAUAUGGUCACUUGGGGGCUUCCAACUCAUCGAGUUUAGCUAUUAACAUCCCUCUUGACCCGACAUAUGCCAUUAUGAAACUUGGUUAAACCCGCCCGUUAGCUUGAUGCUACUCCAAAAAGGUGACCAGGUGUACUCUUGAUAAGUCAAUCAAAAUUGACCCUAAACUUGUCAAGGUUAAAAUACCGACUUAAGUCACGUGAGAGCCGAGUUUCAGAAAGCGAGGAUAAACCAAAAGAGGCUACAAGACCUGCUUCCACGGGUAGCAAAACCAAGUCACGAGCCUUGAAAGCCGGUCUUAUGUCGAGCCCCGAAAGCCGGCAAUUAUAUAGUCUGUUAUCAUACACAUACAUCAUCAUACAAUGCAUCAUAUAUACAUGCAUAUAUUUGUUUAUGUUGCAGGAGCCAGUCUAUUGACCAGGUUAACCAUUUGCAGUUAUAAAAUUUGCUAAGUCAAUCACUCUAAUUCCUAUAUGGCCUUUGUUGACCCUAAACUUAUCAAAGUUAAAACAUUGGUUUAUCACGCGAAAGCAGCUCUCCAGAUAGCUAGGAUAAACCAAUGGCUAUCAAGCUAGCUUCAACAUGAAGCACCAAUAACUGGCCUCAAAAGCCGACAUUUUUUCCAUGUCUAUUUAAAUUUGGUUCAUAUUGAUUUUAUAUAUCAUAUGAUUUGUUAUAAUGGCAAUUCAUUGUCUUGUCAAAGCAUAUUGGUUUCCUGUGUUUCAGGAGCCGGUCUUCAAAACUGGGUUACAGUGUAACUAUGCAGGAACAAAAAAAUCCUUGAUAGCCAAAAUGGCCGGGUAUUAUAUGGUUUAUCAAAACUAGUUUUAAAUAACAUGGCUAUCAGAGCAGACUUUGAAACAAUUGCAGAGUUUAAUAAAUUGCAAGUGGUAAUUCACAAUUUGGAUUAUUCCGAUGCUGCAAUGAAGAACAAAAUUCAAACAAGGAUAUCAUGGCAACCGACUUUAUCAAACACAAUGAAAUAUGAAGUGUUAUGCAAGGUAGCACUCCUGAUGGAUUUAGCAACAAGUUCAACAUUGAUAUGCAAAGCGCUCAGCAAUAUCAUCCAGACAGUGGAUGUGAUUUUAUUUUACAAUGGAAGGAGAAGUCCCGAGUCGCCGCAGACACACGACCUGACACUUGGGGGAUACAUCAGUCAAUUUUUGGCCUACAAAACAUUAAGUCCCUUGUAGCUGUGAACACUCAACAUGGCACUUGGGGGGCAAUGUACUGUCGCUUUCAAGCUGUGAACACUCAACUGUCUCUUUCAUCACACCACAACACUGGAAGCCGAUUCAAUGGCAGAUGGUUGUAUUAUUUCCCAAUAUUUUUUCCGCAAGAAACCAGCGUGAGAAGUUGAUUAUGAAGCGGGCUUAUUGAUAUGACAAAAGAUCCAGAAUUUUCAGGAUUCCAAUUCUAAGACCCGGCGUCAUCAACCUCCAUGACCCGUCAACCUCAACAAGCUCUAUAUCCACAAGUCGGUAUAGCACUCCGCAUCUCAGGAAGAUGACAUUCACAAGCCAAAUAAUUUGAAAACUAGCUCAACACUAGAAGGACUUUUAUUCCAAAUGUUUUUUAAGCCGAAGCACAAGAAACCGGCUCAAUAACGGAUGGGUUAUUAUUCCCAAUAUUUUACUACAAAGGACACACACUAGCAAGUUGAUUGUGAAGCUGACUCAUUGAUAUGAAGAAGAAACCCUGAUUUUCCAGAAACUGGCUCAUUGAAUAAAGGCGGCCUUUUAGGCGAGCCAUUUUAUCUUAACAUAUUAGUUAUUCUUAUUUCAGGAGCUUAGCAUGAAUAAAUUCAAGCUAAACUGUGGGGUAAUGUUGGGGAUAUUCCCCAUGGUUAUGACCCGGCCAUGGUUGACCCGGCCAAGAGCCAGCAGGUGAAGGAAAUAUGCCCUAGAGGCAAUAAUAAAGUUGUUAUUUAUAUUUCCUUAUAAAAUGAUAAAUGUUUAUUAUUCAUGCUAGAAUUGUAUUAACCGGAAACUAGAUACAUGUGUGGAUAGAUACACAAAACACAGUGUCCCUAGUAAACCUCUACUAGACUAGCUCCUUAAUCAAAGAUGGUUAAGUUUCCUAACCAUGGACAUGUGUUGUCAUUUGAUGAACGGGAUCACAUCAUUAGGAGAAUGAUUUGAUGGACAAGACCCAUCUGUUUAGCUUAGCAUAAUGAUCAUUAAGUUUUAUUGCUAUUGUUUUCUUCAUGUCAUAUACAUAUUCCUUUGACUAUGAGAUUAUGCAACUCCCGGAUACCCGAGGAAUACCUUAUGUGCUAUCAAACAUCACAACGUAACUGGCUGAUUAUAAAUAUGCUCUACAUGUAUCUCCGGAGGUGUUUGUUGGGUUGGCAUAGAUCGAGAUUAGGAUUUGUCACUCCGAGUAUCGGAGAGGUAUCUCUGGGCCCUUUCGGUAAUACACAUCAUGAUAAGCCUUGCAAGCAAUGUGACUAAUGAGUUAGUCAUGGGAUGAUGUAUUAUGAAAUGAGUAAAGUGACUUGACGGUAAAAAUAUUGAAGUAGGUAUGAAGAUACCGAUGAUCGAAUCUCGGGAAGUAACAUACCGAUGACAAAGGGAAUAACGUAUGUUGUCAUUACGGUACGACCGAUAAAGAUCUUCAUAGAAUAUGUGGGAACCAAUAUGAGUAUCUAGGUUCCAUUGUUGGUUAUUGACCGGAGAGGUGUCUUGUUCAUGUCUACAUAGUUCUCGAACCCGCAGAGUCCACACGCUUAACGUUCGAUGACGAUUUUGUAUUAUAUGAGUUAUGUGAUUUUGUGACCGAAUGUUGUUCGGAGUCUCGAAUGAGAUCACGGACAUGACGAGGAGUCUAGAAAUGGUCAAUAGGUAAAGAUUCAUAUAUAGGACGAUGAUAUUCGACACCGGAAGUGUUCUGGGGGUACCGGGUACAUAUCGGGUCACCGAAAAGGGUUCCGGGUAGCCCCCGACAACUAUAUGGGCCUAAUGGUCCAAGAGGGGGACAGACCAGCCCCUAAGGGGCUGGUGCGCCCCCAUAUAGGCCGAAUAGGAGGAGAAGGAAAGAGGGGGAAGAGAGAAGGAAGGGGAGGGAUUCGGGCUCCCCCUUCCUUCCCUCCUCCCUCCUCCUUCCUUCCCCCUCCGAAAGAUAUGGAAGGGAGGGAGGCCGAAUUAGGGUGGCGCCCAAGUAGGAUUCCUCCUACUUGGGGCACCCCCUUGGCUGCCUCUCCUCCCCUCCAACCUGCAUAUAUGUGGGGGGCACCACUAGAACACACAUCAACAGUUGUUAGCCAUGUGCGGCGCCCCACCCCUAGCAUAGUUUACGCCUCCGUCAUAUUCACAUAGUGCUUAGGCGAAGCCCUACGCGGAUCACUUCACCAUCACCGUCACCAGGUCGUCGUGCUGACGGAACUCUCCCUCGACACUUUGUUGGAUCAAGAGUUCGAGGGACGCCAUGGAUCAAGAGUUCGAGGGACGCCAUCGAGCUGAACAUGUCCAUAACUCGGAGGUGUUGUACGUUCGGUGCUUGAUCGGUCAGAACAAGAAGAAGUUCGACUACAUCAACCGCGUUGUCAAACACCUCCGCUUUUGGUCUACGAGGGUACAUGGACACACUCUCCCCCUCUCCUUGCUAUGCAUAUACUAGAUAGAUCUUGCGUGAGCGUAGGAUUUUUUUUUUGAAAUUGCAUGCUAUGUUUCGCAACAGUGGUAUCAGAGCCAAGUCUAUGCGUAGAUGAUAUGCACGAGUAGAACACAAAGAGUUGGGGCAGUGAUCGUCAUACUGCUUACCACCAAUGUCUUAUUUUGAUUCGGUGGUAUUGUUGGAUGAAGCGGCCCGAACCAACCUUACAUGACCAUGUUCAUGAGAUUGGUUCCACCGACAAACAUGCAACUAGUUUUGCAUAAAGGUGGCCGGUGAGUGGCUGUUUCUCCUACUUUUGUUGAAUCAAAUUUGACUGCGACCGGUCCUUGUUCAAGGUUAAAACAACAAACUUGAUAAAUCACUGUUCUGGUUUUGAUGUGUAGGUAAGAACUAGAAGCCCGUAGCAGCCACGUAAAACCUGCAACAACAAAGUAGAGGACGCCUAACUUGUUUUUGCAGGGCAUGUUGUGAUGUGAUCGACAACCGGUAGGAGCCUUAUGGUUGUCUCUUUAUUGUAUGAAAUGCAAACGCCAUGUAAUUGCUUUACUUUAUCACUAUGCAUUAGCGAUAGUUGUAGAAGCAAUAGUUGGCGAGAUGACCACGACACUACGAUGGAGGUCAAGGUGUAGAGCCAGUGACGAUGGAGAUCAUGACGAUGCUUUGGAGAUGGAGAUCAAAAGCACAAGAUGAUGAUGGCCAUAUCAUGUCACAUAUUUUGAUUGCAUGUGAUGUUUAUCUUUUAUGCAUCUUAUUUUGCUUAGUACGGCAGUAGCAUUAAUUAUAAGAUGAUCCCUUAACUAAAUUUCAAGUUAUAAGUGUUCUCCCUAAGUAUGCACCGUUGCGACAGUUCGUCGUGCUGAGACACCAUGUGAUGAUUGGGUGUGAUAGGCUCUAUGUUCACAUACAACGGGGGCAAGACAGUUUUGCACAUGCAGAAUAGUCGGGUUAAACUUGAUGAGCCUAUCAUGUACAGACAUGCAUGGCCUCGGAACACUAGAGACCGAAAGGUCGAAUGUGAAUCAUAUAGUAGAUAUGAUCAACAUAGAGAUGUUCACCAUUGAUGACUACUCGAUCUCAUGUGAUGAUCGGACAUGGUUUAAUUGAUUUGGAUCAUGUAAUCAUUUAGAUGACUCGAGGGAUGUCUAUCUAAGUGGGAGUUAUUAAGUAAUAUGAUUAAUUGAACUUAAUUUAUCAUGAACUUAGUCCUGAUAGUUUUUGCAUAACUAUGUUGUAGAUCAAUGGCCCGUGCUACCGUUCCCUUGAAUUUUAAUGUGUUCCUAGAGAAAACUAAGUUGAAAGAUGAUGGUUGAAACUACAUGGACUAGGUCCGUAACUGGAGGAUUAUCCUCAUUGCUGCAUAGAAGAAUUAUGUCCUUGAUGCACCGCUAGGUGUGCCACCCACUCCAGCAACUGCAGAUGUUGUGAAUGCCUAGCAGUUGCGUGUUGAUGACUACUCGAUAGUUUAGUGUGCCAUGCUUUACGGCUUAGAAUCGGGACUUCAAAGUCGUUUUGAACAUCAUGGACCAUAUGAGAUGUUCCAAGAGUUGAAGUUAAUAUUUCAAGCAAAUGCCCGAGUUGGGAGAUAUGAAGUCUCCAACAAGUUCUAUAGCUGCAAGAUAGAGGAGAAUAGCUCUGUCAGUGAACACAUACUCAGAAUGUCUGGGUAUCAUAACCACUUGACUCAACUGGGAAUUAAUCUUCCAAAUGAUAGUUGUCGGUGUCAAAACUGGCGGAUCUCGGGUAGGGGGUCCCGAACUGUGCGUCUAAGGCGGAUGGUAACAGGAGGUAGGGGACACGAUGUUUACCCAGGUUCGGGCCCUCUUGAUGGAGGUAAUACCCUACGUCCUGCUUGAUUGUUCUUGAUAAUAUGAGUAAUACAAGAGUUGAUCUACCACGAGAUCAGAGAGGCUAAACCCUAGAAGCUAGCCUAUGGUAUGAUUGUGUGUUGUUGGUCCUAUGGACUAAACCCUCCGGUUUAUAUAGACACCGGAGGGGGCUAGGGUUACACAGAGUCAGUUACAAGGAAGGAGAUCUACAUAUCCGUACUGCCAAGCUUGCCUUCCACGCCAAGGAUAGUCCCAUCCGGACACGGAACAAAGUCUUCAAUCUUGUAUCUUCAUAGUCCAACAGUCCGGCCAAAGGAUAUAGUCCGUCUGUCCGGAUAUCCCCUAAUCCCGGACUCCCUCAGUAGCCCCCGAACCAGGCUUCAAUGACGAUGAGUCCUGCGCGCGGAUUGUCUUCGGCAUUGCAAGGCGGGUUCUUCUUCAAACUCUGAGUACCUAUUAAAUAGUGUGCGGCUUCUCAUAAAUGUUGCGCUUCUUGGCUUCUGCGUCCAAUAAUGGCCAUCUUCCACGUGUCAAGCAAAUGUGAGGAGCCAGGGUGUUUUUACAUUUACCACCCCAUCCAUGUGAAUGAACUAUCUAUUAAAGAGACGAGGAUCCUCAGAUCUAAACCACACCAUCCUCUCUUAGUGAGCAUUCAUCGGAGCGCGCUUGAAUAAAUCCAUCCCAACAUGGCCGGCCAGCGCAGCUCCUCCUCUCGCUCCCGCAGCCCCAAGCCCGGAGACUGGGAGAAGUGUUCCAUCCCACACAACCAAUUAGUGAAGCUACAGACCGAGGGAUUUCUCCCUCCAUCAUAUAUGGUCCCGGUUCGAGCCGGGCUCGCCACCUAUAAUGGCGGGGAGCAAGCGGAGAGCUUUCCCAACCCCUCUAAGGGAGAGCGGGUAUGCCUUGUCCCUUAUUUGUUAAGGGGACUCGGAUUUCCAAUCCAUCCAUUUCUCUGAGUGCUCCUGAAGUUCUACGGCCUCCAGUUGCACAACCUCACCCCUGCCUCCAUACUGCACAUCGCUGGUUACGUAGCCCUUUGCGAGCUGUUUCUGGGUUGCGAAGCUCAUUUCGCGCUGUGGAAGAAGUUGUUCUGCCUUGUGCCCCGUACACAGAGGGGAUCAAUAUAUCAAGUGGGCGGAGCCGAAGUACGGCGCAUCGCCGGGACCGGAUACCUAUCCGGUACCCGAAGAAGACGUCCGAGGACUGGCCUUCGGAGUGGUUUUAUAUGGAGGAUGUUCCUCUCCUGGAUCCUAUCCGGAUUGGUCUUCCUGAGUUCGACAACGCCCCUUUGAAGAAACGCCUAAGCUGGUGCCCACGGAGCCCACGGGAGGAAGAUGAUAGAGACGUAUUUUAUCUGAUGGGCCGGAUAAAGUUGCUGGCCAAAUCAGGACUGGCCAUAACCGAGGUUAUGGCAAUAUGCAUUNNNNNNNNNNNNNNNNNNNNNNNNNNNNNNNNNNNNNNNNNNNNNNNNNNNNNNNNNNNNNNNNNNNNNNNNNNNNNNNNNNNNNNNNNNNNNNNNNNNNNNNNNNNNNNNNNNNNNNNNNNNNNNNNNNNNNNNNNNNNNNNNNNNNNNNNNNNNNNNNNNNNNNNNNNNNNNNNNNNNNNNNNNNNNNNNNNNNNNNNNNNNNNNNNNNNNNNNNNNNNNNNNNNNNNNNNNNNNNNNNNNNNNNNNNNNNNNNNNNNNNNNNNNNNNNNNNNNNNNNNNNNNNNNNNNNNNNNNCAAUAUCGAGGCCACCCCAUGUGGCACUUCAACGGGGAAGAUGAUGCCACUCGCUGCGGGCGCAAGGGACCGGACUCAGUUGCUGUUCUAGCAAAAAUUCUAUCUGAUCUAAGAGGAGUUCCUCCGCAUCAAGCCACGGGAUGGAUUCUCCAUGAACAACCCUCGAAGCUGGGUGAGCUUCCGCUCUUUUUACUUCCAUCCUACCCUUGUUUUCGUGAUAAAUAUUUACCUUGCCGUUUCAUCGCAGGAACUACGUAAGGCGGUAGGGGAGAUCAAUACCCCACCUCCACAACCGGAGGAUCCUGAACAGGUCCUCGACCCCGGCCUCAAAGAGGAUCCGGACAUAUUCGUGGAGCUGAUUGAUAGGAUUUUCUAUCAGCUAAGCUGUGAUGACGCCACGGUGGCCAUUAUAGCCGACUACCCUGGGCUACUCCCAGCCUCGCAGGUAAAUGAGACCGGAGUCCCAACCUUUGAAAAGGAUUCCCUUUUAUGCACUUCACCUACCGCAUACAAACGGUGUUUUAUAGGGAAGGCCCUCGGGACGCCAUGCCGAGCCCGCGCGACUCACCAACAAGGGGUUUCAAAGCCGGACAGGCUAAAAAGGAAGGCGGUCCGGACGGAGACGCCGGCGCAAAGGUAUGAUGCAACACCUCACUCCGUGGUUGUCGUCUUUAAAAACAUAAUAACACCCGUGUUUCCUGGAAGGAAGAAUGCUCGCGGACAAUAUCCGGAGAGGUCGCCGAUCACGCCUCUACCAGUCGAGCUCCAGGGCCAGACACAAAGGCGGAAGCUAACACGAGGCACACGCCGGAUACUCCUUCUACAGAGGAUGCGGAUAAGAUAUCCGCUACGAAUUUCGAAGUGGAGAGUGCCAUGAAUCACAGGCAUCGCCGAGCCGUACUCCGUGACGCUUGUUUCUCCCGAGAGGCGUUUGAUGCUUUCAACUCAGGAGAUGCAUACAUCCGUGCUGCUAAAAAUGGUCUAGCCAGAGCCACGGACCAGUAUGUAAAGGAUGUACGGGUAAGAAAAUUUGAUGAGUGUAUAUAUCAGUAGCCCCUGAGACUUGAAACAGUUGGAACAACUGAUUUAAGGAUCAUUUAUUCUGCAGGUUCUUACAAAGAAGAAUACUUGACUGUCAUAGGAGCUGGAGGAAUGCAAGACCCAACUUCGGGCCGCCGUUGCCGCAUUGAAGGAACCUGAAAAGUCCCCAGCUGGUAACAUUUGUUUCAAAGAAUGAUAGGCACCAUAUAGUGUGCGACAUGGCUGCAGAUCUAACAAUAGAUAUUGCAGAUGACUCUGGAGAGAAUUCGGAGGACCAGCAUGCCGUACGACAGCUAAAGGCUGGCGAAUGUGUGCUGACUAAGGUCAUGCGGGAGAAAAACAAUCUCCAAGACGCCAAUACCAAGCUGAGCAUGGAACUGAAAGAUGUUCGAGCCCAGCUUGCGGACUCCGUGAAGGAGAAUAAGCGGUUUUGAUGCGGCAUUUUCAGUAAGUGCUUGAACAAACCCUUAAAAGAGUGCGACGGAGAAGCCGGCUAACAAAGUUAUGUCUGCAGGCAUGCUGACGGGUCGUCCCACAGAGGAGAUGCCCGGGUCUGCGGGUGAUCUUCUACCCAAGCUCUCACAACUGCAUGAACAAGUUCGGCAGGUGAUGCAAGGUAUUGCCCAGGCCUUGUGGCCAUCCGUCUCCCUGCCAGCAUGCAUUGGAGAGCUUGCAGAGAAGCUCAAGGGAGCACGACGGCGCUUCAGAUUAUGGAAGAUAUCAGCCUGCCGUCAAGGUACCAGGGAAGCCUGGGCCAUGGUGAAGAUGCAAUAUACCAAGGCUGACCCAAACCACAUGGCCCAGGUCGGACCUGUGGGGCCCGAUGGGAAAGAGAUCCCCGUUAGCUUAGUGUAUGGGCAAGUAGAAUUAGCUGCAAAGUAUUCCAAACAGGAUUGUAGGCUAGAUAGCCUGUUGGAUUGUAUAGAAGAGGAAUUUAGUUAGUCUACAUGACUAUGUAAUUAAAGUGACCUGUAUAAUGCCUGCUAGCCGGAUUGUAAAUCAUUUGUCAUGGCGGACCUUUUCGCUUCAACCUCGGGACCCGAUAGUCCGGAGUGUAUCCGAAUACCCACUCAGUUAUAUAAGAAUCGGGGCGUGCGUGGAAACCAGGCGUAGGGAUCAUUAGUGCUUGAAUAGACAAGUACCCAACUAGUUAUGUUAUAUUACAUGGGUAGUAAGAAACAUCUUCCAGGGAGAAUAGUUCUGUUAAGGGUUCCUUUCCCUGGGUACGCAUGCCCUAAAGUGCAUGUCCGGACUGCGAGAGGAGACGCAGGCAAAAACAUCCGGGGGCACAUAUGGAAAAUAAAUAAAAAUCAUCUUUUGUUCACCGACCGAAUAUUCCUUUAAGAACGCUAGCUUUCGGCUUCACCCAAUCUGAGGUACACAUCCGGCUGACCCGACAGUAACAAUCGCAGAGGUGCUCCCCUUAUGCCCUAGCCGAAUUAACAGGAACGUAGGGCAUAAAUACAAGAGCCAGGCAACCCAGCUUGGCCAAAACUUAAGUCAUAUCGAUGCAUAUAAUGGCGAAGAAAAGGUACAUGCGGAAGAAUAACACAUGUGCGGGGCAUGAAGCCCAGAUAAAUAAUUAAGCUUCUGUGUAAGAAGCCCCCAGGUAUAAUGAGCGCGGUUAGUGCGUCAAUAGUGUGCAAGCAAGGCACAAGUUGGCCCUUGAAGGCCUUGAGAAAGAAUAAAAGAAAGAAAGAUAAAAAAGACAGAUAAUGUAUAUGCAAUAAAUGGACAGAGGAAGGAGAUGAACAUAGAGUCUGGCACUAGGCGUAGAAUCUUCGGAGCCUGGCUGCGUUCCAUGGGUUCGGCUCAAGUCGAUUAUUUGAUGCAUCCCACAGAUGGUACACUCCACCGGUCAAAACUUGGUCAAUAAUGAAGGGACCUUCCCAUUUCGGCUCGAGCUUAGUCUUUUUCUUCUCUGGCAGGCGUAGAACUAGCUCGCCAACGUUAUAAGUUUUGGCCCGUACUUCUCUGCUUUGGUAUCUGCGAGCCUGUUGCUGAUAGAAUGCGGAACAGACUUUUGCCACAUCGCGUUCCUCCUCCAGGGUGUCCAGACUGUCUUGCCGAUCGAGCUCGGCUUCUCUUUCUUCGUACAUGCGCACUCGAGGUGAGUCAUGAAUUAUGUCGCAGGGCAGAACCGCCUCUGCGCCGUACACGAUAAAGAAGGGUGUGUAUCUGGUAGUACGAUUCGGCGUGGUCCGCAGCCCCCAGAGUACGGAGUCGAGCUCCUCUACCCAGUGCGUGUUAGACUCCUUUAAGGACCGCACUAAUCUGGGUUUGAUGCCGCUCAAGAUAAGUCCAUUUGCUCGCUCAACUUGGCCGUUAGUUUGUGGGUGAUAGAUAGAGGCAUAAUCUUGCUUAAUGCCCAUGUUGCUGCACCAGAGUUUUACCUCGUCGGCCGUGAAGUUCGUGUCGUUGUCAGUGAUGAUGCUGUGGGGGACGCCAUAACGGUGUACAACCCCGGAUAUGAAGUCUAUCACCGGUCUGGAUUCAGCCGUUUUAACAGGUUUGGCUUCUAUCCAUUUGGUGAAUUUAUCCACCAUGACCAGUAAGUAUUUUUUCUUAUGGGUUCCCCCUUUAAGGGGUCCAACCAUGUCAAGCCCCUAGACCGCGAAGGGCCAGGUAAUGGGGAUUGUUUGGAGGGCGAUGGGUGGCAUGUGGCUUUGGUUUGCAAAAAGCUGGCAACCGACGCAGCGUUGGACCAAGUCAUGUGCAUCUACCCGGGCCGUUGGCCAAUAAAAACCUAUACGGAAGGCCUUGCUUACAAGGGACCGAGCUGCGGCGUGGUGGCCGCCGAGUCCGGCGUGAAUUUCUGCCAAAAGCUUCCGCCCUUCCUCUUCGGAGAUGCACCUUUGAAGGACUCCGGUAGUGCUUUUUUAUACAGCUCUCCCUCGUGGACCCUGUAGGCUUUAGAUCGCCGCACUAUGCAGCGUGCCUCAUUUUGGUCCUCGGGAAGUUCCUGCCUAGUUAGGUAGGCCAGGAAUGGUUCUGUCCACGGGGCAAUGAUGGCCAUUAUUACAUGGGCUGAAGGUGUUAUUUCGGUGGCAGAGCCUCCGAUUAUGUCAGAGUGUUUGGUAUCGGGCAUUUUGGCCGGGUCUGGACUAUUGUUACCGAUGUCCCCUUCCCAUAGCAUGGAUGGCUUAAACCACCUCUCCAAAAAGAUGUUGGGGGGACCGCAUCGCGUUUUGCACCGAUGCGGGCGAGGAUAUCCGCCGCCUGAAUGUUUUCCCCAGCCACAUGGUGAAAUUCGAGCCCCUCGAACCGAGCUGACAUCUUUAGGACGACGUUGCGAUAGGCCGCCAUCUUCGGAUCCUUGGCAUCAAAGUCUCCAUUUAUUUGGGAUAUUGCGAGGUUCGUAUCCCCACGCACCUCCAGCCGUUGAAUGCCCAUCGAAACUGCCAUCCGAAGACCAUGUAACAGGGCUUCAUAUUCGGCUGCGUUGUUGGAGUCUGUAUACAGUAUCUGUAGUACGUAUUGAACUGUAUCUCCGGUUGGGGACGUCAGGACGACGCCAGCCCCUAGACCAGCCAACAUUUUGGAGCCGUCGAAGUGCAUGAUCCAAUUGGAGUAUGCGCCAUACUCUUUAGGGAGUUCGGCUUCCGUCCAUUCGGCGACAAAGUCGGCCAAUACUUGCGAUUUAAUGGCUCGCCGGGGUUUGUAUGUUAUGUCGGAGGAGCUCAAUGGCCCAUUUGGCAAUCCGGCCCAUGGCGUUGCAGUUGUUUAUAAUAUCAUUAAGUGGCACUUCCGAGGCUACUAUAAUUGAACACUCUUGAAAGUAGUGUCGCAGCUUCCGGGAUGCCAUGAAUAUCGCAUAGGCUAUCUUUUGAUAAUGUGGGUACCGUGAUUUGCAUGGAGUGAGGACGGUGGAUACAUAAUAUACCGGCUUUUGAAGGGGGAAUUUAUGUCCGUCUGUUUCUCGUUCGACGACGAGAACUACGCUUACAACCUGAUGAGUUGCCGCAAUGUACAACAGCAUUGGUUCGCCGAUGUUUGGUGCAGCCAGGAUUGGCUUGGUUGCCAGUAUGGCUUUUAUUUCUUCCAAUCUGGCUGUGGCAGCGUCCGUCCACUCGAAGUGUUCGGUGCACUGAAGGAGGCGAUAAAGGGUUAAUGCCUUUUCUCCUAAGCGGGAGAUGAAGCGGCUUAGAGCCGCCACCCAUCCGGUUAAUUUCUGGAUUUGUUUGAGGUCCGUUGGGAUAGCCAACUGUGACAGAGCUCGGAUUUUGGCCAGAUUUGCUUCAAUUCCUCUACUGGAGGCAAUGAAACCCAGGAGCUUUCCGGCUGGUACACCGAAAACGCAUUUUCCGGAUUGAGCUUGAUGUCGUAUGUUCGAAGGUUGUCGAAUGUGAGCCUCAAGUCGUCUAUUAGAGAGUCGACGUGUUUGGUUUUGACGACCACAUCAUCUACAUAUGCCUCUACUGUUUUGCCGAUCUAUUUCUCCAAACAUGUCUGAAUCAUGCGCUGAUAUGUUGCGCCGGCAUUUUUGAGCCCAAAAGGCAUUGUGUUGAAACAGAAGAGGUCGUAUGGUGUGAUAAAUGUUGUUGUGUCUUGGCCGGACUCUGCCAUCUUGAUUUGGUGGUAGCCGGAGUAUGCGUCGAGGAAACACAAUGAACCGUGUCCUGCGGUAGCAUCGAUAAUUUGAUUGAUGCGGGGGAGGGGGAAGGGAUCCUUUGGGCAAGCCUUGUUGAGGUCCUUGAAAUCGACACAUAGGCGCCAAGAUUUGUCCUUCUUUGGUACCAUCACCAGGUUUGCUAGCUAGUCCGGGUGUUUUAUUUCUCUAAUGAAUCCGGCCUCCAAUAACUUGGCUAGUUCCUCUCCCAUAGCUUGUCUCUUAGGUUCAGAAAAACGCCGAAGAGUUUGCUUGACCGGCUUGAAUCCCUUUAGAAUAUGAAGGCUGUGCUCGGCUAGCCUGCGUGGGAUUCCUGGCAUGUCUGAGGGGUGCCAGGAAAAUAUGUCCCAAUUCUCGUGCAGGAACUCUCGUAGUGCGGCGUCCAUGGCGGGGUUUAAUUGUGCCCCGAUGGAGGUUGUUUUUAUAGGGUCCGUUGGGUGGACUUGGAAUUUGACUAUUUCAUCUGCUGGUUUAAAAGAGGUGGACUUGGAUCUCUUGUCAAGUAUCACGUUGUCCCUGUCCACUGUGGAGCGUAGCGCAGUUAAUUCCUCGGCCGAAAGGGCUUCAGAUAAUGCCUCGAGGGCCAAUGCGGCUGUUUUGUUUUCGGCGCGGAGUGCUGUGUCCGGAUCACUAGCGAGAGUGAUGAUUCCGUUGGGCCCGGGCAUUUUGAGCUUCAUGUACCCGUAAUGGGGUAUGGCUUGGAAGAUCGUGAACGCCUCCCGCCCUAAAAGGGUGUGGUAUCCGCUACUAAAUGGGGCCACUUGGAAUGUAAUUUCUUUAGACCUAUAGUUCUCCAGCAUGCCGAAUACCACAUCUAGUGUGAUUUUCCCAGCACAGCGUGCUUCCCGACUGGGGAUGAUUCCUCUAAAUGUUGUGCUGCUUUGCUCAAUGCGGUUCCAGUCUAUUUCCAUUUUUUGAAGAGUUUCCUCAUAGAUGAGGUUUAAUCCACUGCCGCCGUCCAUGAGUACUUUGGUGAGUCGAAAGCCAUCCACAAUUGGACUGAGGACCAGUGCAGCUGGUGCUCGGGCUGUUUGGAAUUUAGGUUUGUCACUGGCAUUGAAGGUAAUAGCCGUGUCACUCCAUGGAUUAAUUGCUGCCACGUGGCAGAUUUCGGCAAGGCUGCGGAGUGUUCGCUUGCGCCUAUUAUUUGAUGCGAAGGUUUCAAAGACUGUUAAUACCAUAUUGUUAUCCCCGGGAUGGUGCUCUGUGGUAUCUGGGAUGAGGAGAUCCUCACCACUUUUGGCCACCUGCCGGAGUACCCAACAUGCUCUAAGGUUGUGUGUUGGUAUGGUAUCCGCUGUACUAUGAAUUUUGCAGGGUCCGUUGAGCCAUCCCUCCAAUACGGUUCCACGCCCUGUAGAGGGUUUUUGCUUCUUUGUAAUUAACUCGGGUGUCUUAUGAUAGUGCACCCUUUUACUUCGGACUGGGUGUAUAUUUGGAGCCGGAUUAUCCCAAAAUUUCGUUUUGGUUUUCCAGGCGCUUUCCAUCGCACAGUACUUUCAUACUAUGGACGCCAAGUCAGCGAAGCGUGAUAUGUCACGGCGACUUAUGGCGUUAAGGAUUCCCUUGUCCAUGCAAUUAUUGCGGAAAAAUGAGACUGCAUCUUCCUCGCGACAGUCCUUAACCGUGUUCAUCACAAGGAGGAAUCUGGCCCAAUAAUGAUGUACUGUUUCCUGGGGCGCUUGCCUGAUGUGGGAAAGAUCGUUUAUGUUUGGGUGGGUGGGUGGAUUUGAGUACGAACCCUUACCCGAUCUGAGACCCAGGGGCCGAGGAGUUUCCAAUCUUGGAAGUUCGGGUUCCGGGAUGUUGCCCGAUAAGUCUGGCCCGCCACCUGACUCUAGGUUCAGGGCUUGGGUGAUGUCCUCCCGUAAACGGGUAUCCGGCUCGGAGAGCUCAGGAAUCCAGACAUAGUUAGUCCUCAAGAUAGAGGAAGAAUCGCCACAUUGUUCCUCCACCACCGCAAUAUGAUGGGUGACCGGUGGAGAGUUAAUCUCCCUUUGAUCGGGUUUAAGCCCAAUCUGAUCAUAGUCCGUAGCGACUCCCAAGGCGGCGAUGUGAUCCAAGAGCUCGUUUAGGGAUGAGAGCUCCAUUGGAUCCAUCUGCUCGGCAAAUUCCAAGCCGACAUGGAGGCGGUUUUUGAUGACCCGAGAAGUCAUCAUCGGUGCAGCAGCCGAACGGGUGGUCAUGAUGAAACUGCCUAGCCGGAGAGUUUGGCCGACAGCCAGGGCUCCCCCGGCGGUAAUGUUGUUUUUAACAACGAGACGAGGCAUCCUUCCUUACGGUGACGGCACAGUGGAACUCUCAAUGAAAGCACCAAUGUCGGUGUCAAAACAGGCGGAUCUCGGGUAGGGGGCCCCGAACUGUGCGUCUAAGGCGGAUGGUAAUAGGAGGUAGGGGACACGAUGUUUACCCAGGUUCGGGCCCUCUUGAUGGAGGUAAUACCCUACGUUCUGCUUGAUUGUUCUUGAUAAUAUGAUUAAUACAAGAGUUGAUCUACCACGAGAUCAGAGAGGCUAAACCCUAGAAGCUAGCCUAUGUAUGAUUGUGUGUUCUUGGUCCUACGGACUAAACCCUCCGGUUUAUAUAGACACGGAGGGGGCUAGGGUUACACAGAGUCGGUUACAAGGAAGGAGAUCUACAUAUCCGUAUUGCCAAGCUUGCCUUCCACGCCAAGGAGAGUCCCAUCUGGACACGGGACGAAGUCUUCAAUCUUGUAUCUUCAUAGUCCAACAGUCCGGCCAAAGGAUAUAGUCCGGCUAUCCGGAUACCCCCUAAUCCAGGACUCCCUUAAUAGUGUUAUUGACAGAGUUCUUCAAUCACUGCCACCAAGCUACAAAGGCUUCGUGAUGAACUAUAAUAUGCAAGGAAUGGAUAAGACAAUUCCCGAGCUCUUCGCUAUGCUCAAAGCUGCGGAGGUAGAAAUCAAGAAGGAGCAUCAAGUGUUGAUGGUUAACAAAACCACUAGUUUCAAGAAAAAGGGCAAGGAAAGAAGGGGAACUUCAAGAAGAAUGGCAAGCAAGUUGCCACUCCCGGGAAGAAGCGCAAGUCUGGACCUAAGCCUAAAAUUGAGUGCUUCUACUUCAAAGGGACUGGUCACUGGAAGCGGAACUGCCCCAAGUAUUUGGCGGAUAAGAAAGAUGGCAAAGUGAACAAAGGUAUAUUUGAUAUACAUGUUAUUGAUGUGUACCUUACUAAUGCUCGUAGUGCCUGGGUAUUUGAUACCGGUUCGGUGGCUCAUAUUUGUAACUCGGAAUAGGGGCUACGGGUUAAACAAAGAUUUGCUAAGGACGAGGUGACGAUGCGCGUCGGGAAUGGUUCCAAGGUCGAUGUGAUCGCCGUUGGCACGCUACCUCUACAUCUACCUUCGGGAUUAGUUUUAGACCUGAAUAAUUGUUAUUUGGUGCCAGCGUUGAGCAUGAACAUUAUAUAUGGAUCUUGUUUAAUGCGAUACAGUUAUUCAUUUAAGUCGGAGAAUGAUGGUUGUUCUAUUUAUAUGAGUAAUAUCUUUUAUGGUCAUGCACCCUUGAAGAGUGGUCUAUUUUUAUUGAAUCUCGAUCGUGGUGAUACACAUACUCAUAAUAUUGAUGCCAAAAGAUGCAAAGUUGAUAAUGAUAGUGCAACAUAUUUGUGGCACUGUCAUUUAGGUCAUAUUGGUGUAAAGUGCAUGAAGAAACUCCAUGCGGGUGGACUUUUGGAAUCACUUGAUUAUGAAUCAUUUGAUGCUUGCGAACCAUGCCUCAUGGGCAAGAUGACUAAGACUCCAUUCUCUAGAACAAUGGAGCGAGCCACUGACUUAUUGGAAAUAAUACAUACCGAUGUAUGCGGUCCAAUGAGUAUUGAGGCUCAUGGCGGGUAUCAUUAUUUUCUAACCUUCACAGAUGAUUUGAGCAGAUAUGGGUAUAUCUACUUGAUGAAACACAAGUGUGAAACAUUUGAAAAGUUCAAUGAAUUUCAGAGUGAAGUGGAGAAUCAUUGUAACAAGAAAAUAAAGUUUCUACCAUCUGAUCGCGGAGGCGAAUAUUUGAGUUACGAGUUUGGCCUUCAUUUAGAACAAUGUGGAAUAGUUUCACAACUCAUGCCACCUGGAACACCACAGCAUAAUGGUGUGUCCGAACGUUGUAACCGUAUUUUAUUAGAUAUGGUGUGGUCUAUGAUGUCUCUUACCGAUUUACCACUAUCAUUCGGGGUUAUGCAUUAGAGAUAGCCGCAUUCACUUUAAAUAGGGCACCCUCUAAAUCCGUUGAGACGACACCAUAUGAACUGUGGUUUGGCAAGAAACCUAAGCUAUUUUUUCUUAAAGUUUGGGGUUGCAAUGCUUAUGUGAAAAAGCUUCAGCCUGAUAAGCUUGAACCCAAAUCGGAGAAGUGCGUCUUCAUAGGAUACCCAAAAGAAAUUGUUGGGGUACACCUUCUAUCACAUAUCCGAAGGCAAGAUCUUUGUUGCUAAGAAUGGAUCCUUUCUAGAGAAGGAGUUUCUCUUGAAAGAAGUGAGUGAGAGGCAAGUAGAACUUGAUGAGGUAAUUGUACCUUCUCUCGAAAUGGGAAGUAGCUCAUCACAGGAAUCAGUUCCAGUGAUGCCUACACCAACUAGAGAGGAAGCUAAUGAUAAUGAUCAUGAAACUUCGGAUCAAGUUACUACCGAACCUUGUAGGUCAACCAGAGGAUGUUCCGCACCAGAGUGGUACGGUAAUCCUGUUCUGGAAGUCAUGUUACUGGACCAUGAUGAAUCUACGAACUAUAAGGAAGUGAUGAUGAGCCCAGAUUCUGAUAAAUGGCUUGAGGCCGUGAAAUCUGAGAUAUGAUCCAUGUAUGAGAACAAAGUGUGUACUUUGGUUGACUUGCCCGAUGAUCGGCGAGCCAUAGAGAAUAAAUGGAUCUUCAAGAAGAAGACUGACGCUGAUGGUAAUGUUACUGUCUAUAAAGCUCGACUUGUUGCGAAAGGUUUUUGACAAGUUCAAGGAGUUGACUAUGAUGAGAACUUCUCACCCGUAGCGAUGCUUAAGUCUGUCCGAAUCAUGUUAGCAAUUGCCGCAUUUUAUGAUUAUGAAAUCUGGCAAAUGUACGUCAAAACUGCAUUCCUUAAUGGAUUUCUUAAAGAAGAGUUGUAUAUGAUGCAACCAGAACAUUUUGUCGAUCCUAAAGGUGCUAACGAAGUGUGCAAACUCUAGUGAUCCAUUUAUGGACUGGUGCAAGCAUCUCGGAGUUGGAAUAUAUGCUUUGAUGAGGUGAUCAAAGCAUAUGGUUUUAUAGAGACUUUUGGAGAAGCAUGUAUUUACAAGAAAGUGAGUGGGAGCAUUGUAGCAUUUCUAAUAUUAUAUGUGGAUGCCAUAUUGUUGAUUGGAAAUGGUAUAGAAUUUCUGGAUAGCAUAAAAGGAUACUUGAAUAAGAGUUUUUCAAUGAAAGACCUCGUUCAAGCUGCUUAUAUAUUGGGCAUCAAGAUCUAUAGAGAUAGAUCAAGACGCUUAGUUGGACUUUCACAAAGCACAUACCUUGAUAAAAUUUUGAAGAAGUUCAAAAUGGAUCAGUCAAAGAAAGGGUUCUUUCCUGUGUUACAAGGUGUCAAGUUGAGUCAGACUCAAUGCCCGACCACUGCAGAAGAUAGAGAGAAAAUGGAAGUCAUCCCCUAUGCCUCAGCCAUAGGUUCUAUCAUGUAUGUGAUGACCUACAAGUAUAGGGGAUCGCAACAGCUUUCGAUGGUAGAGUAUUCAACCCAAAUUUAUUGAUUCGACACAAGGGGAGCCAAAGAAUAUUCUCAACUAUUAGCAGCUGAGUUGUCAAUUCAACCACACCUGGAAACUUAGUAUCUGCAGCAAAGUGUUUAGUAGCACAGUGAUAUGAUAAUGGUGGUAACGGCAACAAAAUUAAAGACAGCAAAAGUAAUGUUUUUGGUAUUUUGUAGUGAUUGUAAUAGUGGCAGCGGGAAAGUAAAUAAGCGUAAACCAGUAUAUGGAAAACUCGUAGGCACCAGAUCAGUGAUGGAUAAUUAUGCUGGAUGCGGUUCAUCAUGUAUCAGUCAUAACAUAGGGUGACACAGAACUAGCUACAAUUCAUCAAUGUGAUGUAGGCAUGUAUUCCGCAUAUAGUCAUACAUGCUUAUGGAAAAGAACUUGCAUGACAUCUUUUGUCCUACCCUCCCGUGGCAGCGGGGUCCUAUUGGAAACUUAGGGAUAUUAAGGCCCCCUUUUAAUAGAGAACCGGAACAAAGCAUAAGCACAUAGUGAAUACAUGAACUCCUCAAACUAUGGUCAUCACCGGGAGUGGUCCGGAUUAUUGUCACUUCGGGGUUGCCAGAUCAUAACACAUAGUAGGUGACUAUAGACUUGCAAGAUAGGAUCAAGAACUCACAUAUAUUCAUGAAAACAUAAUAGGUUCAGAUCUGAAAUCAUGGCACUCGGGCCCUAGUGACAAGCAUUAAGCAUGGCAAAGUCAUAGCAACAUCAAUCUCAGAACAUAAUGGAUACUAGGGAUCAAACCCUAACAAGACUAACUCGAUUACAUGAUAAAUCUCAUUCAACCAAUCACCGUCUAGCAAUCCUACGAUGGAAUUACUCACGCACGGCAGUGAGCAUCAUGAAAUUGGUGAUGGAGGAUGGUUGAUGAUGACGACAGCGACGAAUCCCCCUCUCCGGAGCCCCGAACGGACUCCAGAUCAGCCCUCCCGAGAGGUUUUAGGGCUUGGCGGCGGCUCGGUAUCAUAAAACGCGAUGAUUUCUUGUCUCUUAUUUUUUUUCUCUCCGAAAGCAAAUAUAUAGAGUUGGCAUCGGAGGGUUUCCAGGGGGCCCACGAGGUAGGGGGGCGCGCCCUAGGGGGGGCGCGCCCCCCACCCUCGUGGAAAGGGUGUGGGCCCCCUAGUCUUCAUCUUUGGCGAGGAUUUUUUAUUAUUUUUUCUAAGAUGUUUCGUGGAGUUUCAGGUCAUUUCGAGAAUAUUUGUUUUCUGCACAUAAAACAACACCAUGGUAAUUCUGCUGAAAACAGCAUCAGUCCGGGUUAGUUCCAUUCAAAUCAUACAAGUUAGAGUCCAAAACAAGGGCAAAAGUGUUUGGAAAACUAGAUAGAUACGACGGAGACGUAUGAACUCCCCCAAGCUUAAACCCUUGCUUGUCCUCAAGCAAUUCAGUUGACAAACUGAAAGAAAGAAAAACUUUUACAAACUCUGUUUGCUCUUGUUGUUGUAACUAUGUCAAGCCAGCAUUCAAGUUUUCAGCAUAGAUCUUAACUAACCACACUUGCAAUAAUUCUCAGGUCUCAUAAUUACUCAUAUCAAUAGCAUAAUCAACUAGCAAGUCAUAAUAAUAAAUCUCGAAUGACAACACUUUCUCAAGACAAUCAUAAUAUGAUAUAACAAGAUGGUAUCUCGCUAGCCCUUUCUGAGACCGCAAAACAUAAAUGCAGAGCACCUUUAAAGAUCAAGGACUGACUAGACAUUGUAAUUCAUGGUAAAAGAGAUCCAAUCAUAGUCAUACCCAACAUAAAUUAAUAGUAACGAAUGCAAAUGACAGCUGUGCUCUCCAGCUAGUGCUUUUUAAUAAGAGGGUGAUGAUUCAACAUAAAAUUAAAUGGAUAGGCCCUUCGCAGAGGGAAGCAGGGAUUUGUAGAGGUGCCAGAGCUCGGUUUUGCAAUAGAGAUAAAUUGUAUUUUGAGCAGUAUACUUUCAUUGUCAAUGUAACAACUAAGAGAUGGCGAUAUCUUCCAUGCUACACACAUUAUAGGAGGUUCCUAAACAGAAUGGUAAAGUUUAUACUCCCCCUCCACCAACAAACAUUAAUCCAUGGCUUGCUCGAAACAACGAGUGCCUCCAACAUACAUCAGAUCCCAGGGGGAGUUUUGUUUGCAGUUAAUUUUGAUUUAGUUUGCAUAAAGCAUGGGACUGGACAUCCCGGUGACCAGCCAUUUUCUCGUGAGUGAGGAGCGGAGUCCACUCCUCUUGAGAAUAACCCGCCUAACACGGAAGAUAAGGACAGCCUUGGUUGAUACAUGAGCUAUUCGAGCAUACAAAACAGAAUGUUUAUUUGAAGGUUUAGAGUUUGGCACAUACAAAUUUACUUGGAACGGCAGGUAGAUACCGCAUAUAGGAAGGUAUAGUGGACUCAUCUGGAAUAACUUUGGGGUUUAAGGGAUUGGAUGCACAAGCAGUAUUCCCGCUUAGUACAGGUGAAGGCUAGCAAAAGACUAGGAAGCGACCAACUAGAGAGCGACAACAGCCAUGUACAUGCAUUAAAAUUAAUAAACAUUGGAUGCAAGCAUGAGUAGGAUAUAAUCCACCAUGAACAUGAAUAUCGUGAAGGCUAUGUUGAUUUGUUUCAACUACAUGCAUGAACAUGUGCCAAGUCAAGUCACUUAAAUCAUUCAAAGGAGGAUACCACCCCAUCAUACCACAUUAUAACCAUCUUAAUAGCAUGUUGGCACACAAGGUAAAUCAUUAUAACUCAUAGCUAAUCAAGCAUGGCACAAGCAACUACGAUCUCUAAUUGUCAUUGCAAACAUGUUUAUUCAUAAUAAGCUGAAUCAAGAACGAGGGACUCAUCAUAUUUACAAAAACAAAAGAGGUCGAGUUCAUAUCAGCUUUUCUCAUCUCGGUCAGUCCAUCAUAUAUCAUCAUAAUUGCUUUCACUUGCACGACCGAACGGUGUGAAUAAUAAUAAGAGUGCAUGUGCAUUGGACUAAGCUGGAAUCUGCGAGCAUUCAAUAAAUAGGAGAAGACAAGGGAAUAUGGGUUCUUUGGUUAAUUCAACAAUAAUGUAUAUAAGAGCCACUUCAACAAUUUAAUUAUGAUCUUCUCCUACUGACCCCCAAAGAAAAGAAAAGAAAUAAAAACUAUUUACACGGGAGAGCUCCCAACAAGCAAAAGAAGAAUGGGAAAUAUUUUUGGGUUUUCUUUUUAAUUAUUACUACUACGGCAGAAAAAUAAACUACUACUAUUUUUUUGGUUUUUCUUAAGGUUUAACAAACACACAAGAAGAAAGCAGGAAAAGGAAAAUAAACUAGCAUGGAUAUUUCAGUGAAAAAGUAUGAGCACCGACAUCUAGCAAUGAGUGUGUGUGAACAUAAAUGUAAUGUCGGUGAGAAAUACGUACUCCCCCAAGCUUAGGCUUUUGGCCUAAGUUGGUUUAUGGCCACGGCUGGCCUGGCGGAUAUCCAUAAUAAUAGUUGUUGGGGUCGUACUGUGAUGAGGAAUAGUUGGGAUCAUACUGUGAAGAAGAAGAAGACUCUGACUGCCACUGGCUGACAGUCAUCUCUGGAUCCCAAGAAUAAACAGAUUGUCGUGGAGGCUCAUUUUGUGGUUCCUGUUCUGGCUCCUCGGUUGGUGCAGGGUUCCGGUAGGCGUGAAUAGCCAUCAACGGAACAAGAUAUGUGCCUACAGUCAAAUCAAACAAAGAAGGAGAAGGCAAGGUAAUAGUCUUAGGAUGAUGUUUAUUAAAGAACAAUUGAUAUUUAAGCUCCCCUGCCCUAUUCUUAACAAUGAAAUCAUGUGCCACCAUACUUUUAUGAUCUAGAUAAACACGGGGCAACACCUUUUCUUCCUUCUCAACAUGCCUAAUAGGUAUGUUAAAAUGUGCGGCUAGGCGUGUAGCAUAAAUGCCUCCAAAGAUGGGGCCCUUAGUACGGCUCAUAUUUAACCGUCUAGCAAUAAUACCACCCAUACUGAAAGUGUUAUCUCUGUAUAAACCUUGGAGUAGAAUAAUUAAAUUAGGGAUACUAAGGUUUCCACAGUUUCCGCGUCCAAUUAAACAACGACUAGCAAAUAAUGCAAAGUAACGUAAAACAGGAAAAUGUAUGCUAAGGAUUCGUGCAUCGGAAACCUUCCUGGUUUCUCCUACAGUGAUAUUAUUAAUAAAUCCCUCCACAUCAUCAUGAUGUGGUUCUUCUGUCUUGCCCUCAAAAGGGACUAAACAAAUCCGAUAGAAAUCAUAAAGUGACAUCUCCUUAUGCUCAUCAUAUAAAUGAAACUCCACCGUGGGUGGUGAGUUCCUAGAAUGAAAUUGAAAGUUUUGCACAAAGGUAUUUGUGAGUAAGAGAUACUGAUCGCAUUGGUCGUGGAGGAAAGUGGUGAGGCCUGCAUUGUGAGCCAAUUCAUGAAAAUCUUCAUAGAUACCGGCUGCUCUCAAGAAAUCUUCGGAGGGCCAUUCACACGCCUGAAUCUCCGCAGUGCGUGGCAAAUUAUACUUAGGCUUCGGUGCCUUUUCCUUUGAGCUUUGGCUCGAUGAGCCCCUCAAGAAUCUCCUCAUUAUAUUCCGAAAUAUUCUGAAAUUUUUAGUAACUUCAAACAAAAGAGAACCAACUUCAAUAAAACGGAUAGCAACUACUCCUACAAGUGCCUAGAGCCUAUAUCAACCAUCAGAACUACUUUAAACCAUAUAAAUUUAACAUGCAAGCUCAAGAACAUGGUCACCUAUGCAGCACAAAUUUGCAAUGAAUAAAGCACUAGAACAAAAACUAAUUGGACCAAUGGAGGAGUCACAUACCAAGGAACAAUCUCCCCAAGCAGUUUUGCGAGAGGUGCUUUGAGCAAGGAGAUCGAAAAUCACAAAAGUGGAUGGAACUCGUGCUUGAGUUGGUUUUUCGGGUUUGUGUGAGACAGAGGAAGAAGAUGGGUGCUGGGAUAAGUGGAGGAGGGCCACCGUGGGCCCACGAGGCAGGGGGUGCGCCCUAUAGGGGGGGCGCCCACCACCCUCGUGGCCAGGUGGCAGCUCCUCCCGCGGUAAUUUUUGCACAGUAAAUCCUCAAAUAUUCCCAAAAAAUCAUAUUAAAUUGGCAUGUCAUUCUGAGGACUUUUAUUUUUGGGAUAUUUUUAUAUUGCACGGAUAAUCAGAUAACAGACAGAAAAAUACUAUUUUUACUUUAUUUCUACUAAAUAACAGAAAAUAUAAAGAGGGUACAGAAGCUUGUGUUUCUAGUUUCAUCCAUCUCAUGCUCAUCAAAAAGAAUCCACUAACAAGGUUGAUCAAGUCUUGUUAACAAACUCAUUCCGAUAACCAUGAAACCAGAGAAAUUUCGACUAACACUAAGUUACCUCAACGGGGAUAUGCACAUCCCCAAUAAUAAGUAUGUCAUAUUUCUUUUUGACGGUAGGAAGAGGAAAUUCAAAACCUCCAAAUAUAAUCGAUGGAAUUUUCCAAUAGAGUCGAUACUAUGAACUUGAGGUUGUUUCCUCGGAAAGUGUACCGUAUGCUCAUUACCAUUAACAUGAAAAGUGACAUUGCCUUUGUUGCAAUCAAUAACAGCCCCUGCAGUAUUAACAAAAGGUCUUCCAAGAAUAAUAGACAUACUAUCAUCCUCGAGAAUAUCAAGAAUAACAAAGUCAGUUAAAAUAGUAACGUUUGCAACCACAACAGGCACAUCCUCACAAAUACCGAUAGGUAUAGCAGUUGAUUUAUCAGCCAUUUGUAAAGAUAUUUCGGUAGGUGUCAGCUUAUUCAAGUCAAGUCUACGAUAUAAAGAAAGAGGCAUAACACUAACACCGGCUCCAAGAUCACAUAAAGCAGUUUUAAUAUAAUUUCUUUCAAUGGAGCAAGGUAUAGUAGGUACUCCGGGAUCUCCAAGUUUCUUUGGUAUUCCACCCUUAAAAGUAUAAUUAGAAAGUGUGGUGGCAAUCUCAGCUUCCAGUAUCUUUCUUUUAUUAGUAAUGAUAUCCUUCAUAUAUUUAGCAUAAGGAUUUGUUUUGAGCACAUCAGUUAAUCACAUACGCAAAAAGAUAGGCCUAAUCAUUUCAGCAAAGCGCUCAAAAUCCUCAUCAUCCUUUUUCUUGGAUGGUUUUGGAGGAAAAGGCAUGGGCUUCUGAACCCAAGGUUCCCUUUCUUUACCAUGUUUCCUAGCGACAAAGUCUCUUUUAUCAUAACAUUGAUUUUUUGAUUGUGGGUCAUAAAGAUCAACAGCAGGUUAAAUUUCUACAUCAUUGUCAUUACUAGGUUGAGCAUCAUCGUGAACAUCAGCAUUAAUAUUUUUAUUAGGUUCAUGCUCAUUACCAGAUUGUGUUUUAGCAUCAGACAUAGAUAUAUCAUUUGGAUUAUCAGGUGGUUCAGCAAUAGGUUCACUAGAAGUUUGCAUGGUUCUAUCAUUUUUCGUUUUCUUCUUUUUAGAAGAACUAGGAAUGUCAAUAUUAUUUCUCUAAGAAUCUUGCUCGAUUCCCUUAGGGUAGGCUUCAGGAUACAAAGGUUCCUGAGUCAUUCUACCAGUCCUAGUAGCCACUCUAACAGCAUAAUCAUUUUUCUUACUAUUCAUUUCAUCAAGCACUUCUUUUUGAGCUUUAAGCACUUGCUCUACUUGAGUGGUAACCAUAGAAGCAUGUUUGCUAAAAAGUUUAAGUUCAUCUUUAAUAUCAGCCAUAUAAUCACCAAAAUGUCUAAUCAUAUAAGCAUUUUCUUUUAAUUGUCUACCAAAAUAAGCAUUGAAGUCGUCUUGCUUAUACAUAAAGUUAUCAAACUCAUCCAAACACUAACUAGCAAUUUUAGUAGGAGGGACUUCACCUUUAUAAUAUCUAUGGAGAGAAUUUACCUUUACUACCUGUGUUGGGAUAUCGAGAUCAGGAGGUUCUUCAAUAAAUAAAGAAUUGAGAUCAUAAGUUUCUUCAACACGCGGUAUAUUAAGACCAUGUAUUUCUUCAAUAGGAGGUAAAUUCUUAACGUCUUCAGCUUUAAUACCUUUCUCUUUCAUAGAUUUCUUUGCCUCUUGCAUAUCUUCGGGACUGAGAAAUAGAACACCUCUCUUCUUUAGAGUUGGUUUAGGAAUAGACUCAGUAAUUGGAGCAGGAGCUGGUUCAGGAGGUGGCUCAGGAGGUGCCCAAUUAUUUUCAUUUGUCAACAUAUUAUUCAAUAAGAUUUUAGCUUCAUCCGGUGUUCUUUCCCUGAAAAGAGAACCAGCACAACUAUCCAGGUAAUCUCUGGAAGCAUCGGUUAGCCCAUUAUAAAAGAUAUCAAGUAUUUCGGGUUUCUUAAGAGGAUGAUCAGGCAAAGCAUUAAGUAACUUGAGAAGCCUCCCCCAAGCUUGUGGGAGACUCUCUUCUUUAAUUUGCACAAAGUUGUAUAUUUCCCUCAAAGCAGCUUGUUUCUUAUGAGCAGGGAAAUAUUUAGCAGAGAAGUAAUAAAUCAUAUCCUGGGGACUACGCACACAACCAGGAUCAAGAGAAUUAAACCAUAUCUUAGCAUCAUCCUUUAAUGAGAACGAAAAUAUUUUGAGUAAAUAGAGGUAACAUGAUCUCUCAUCAUUAGUGAACAGGGCAGCUAUAUCAUUUAACUUAGUAAGAUGUGCCACAACAGUUUCAGAUUCAUAGCCAUAAAACGGAUCAGAUUCAACCAAAGUAAUUAUAUCAGGAUCAACAAAGAAUUCAUAAUCCUUAUCAGGAACACAUAUAGGUGAAGUAGCAAAAGUAGGGUCGGGUCUCAUUUUAUCUCUAAGUGAUUCUUUGUUCCAUUUAAUUAAUAACCUAUUAAGCUCAUAUCUAUCUUUGCUAGCAAAAAUAGCUGCAGAAGAUUCCAUAUAAAAAAGAUAGCCCUCAGGAAUAACAGGCAUAUUUUCAUCAUCACUAUCAUCAUCGUAUUCAGAUUCAAUAAUUUCUUUUUCUCUAGCCCUAGCAAUUUGUUCAUCAAGAAAUUCACCAAGGGGCACAGUAGUAUCAGACAUAGAAGAAGUUUCAUCAUAAGUAUCAUGCAUAGCAGAAGUGGCAUCAUCCAUAACAUGCGACAUAUCAGAAUGAAUAGCAGAAGCAGGUGUAGGUGAAGCAAACUUACUCAUAACAGAAGGUGAAUCAAGUGCAGAGCUAGAUGGCAGUUCCUUACCUCCCCUCGUAGUUGAGGGAUAGAUCUUGGUUUUUGGAUCUCUCAAGUUCUUCAUAAUGAUAAGCAGAUAUAAAUCCCAAGUGACUCAAAGAAUAGAGCUAUGCUCCCCGGCAACGGCGCCAGAAAUUAAUCUUGAUGACCCACAAGUAUAGGGGAUCGCAACAGCUUUCGAGGGUAGAGUAUUCAACCCAAAUUUAUUGAUUCGAAACAAGGGGAGCCAAAGAAUAUUCUCAAGUAUUAGCACCUGAGUUGUCAAUUCAACCACACCUGGAAACUUAGUAUCUGCAGCAAAGUGUUUAGUAGCACAGUAAUAUGAUAAUGGUGGUAACGGCAACAAAAGUAAACACAGCAAAAGUAAUGUUUUUGGUAUUUUGUAGUGAUUGUAACAGUAGCAGCGGGAAAGUAAAUAAGCGUAAACCAUUAUAUGGAAAACUCGUAGGCACCGGAUCAGUGAUGGAUAAUUAUGUCGGAUGCGGUUCAUCAUGUAUCAGUCAUAACAUAGGGUGACACAGAACUAGCUCCAAUUCGCCAAUGUAAUGUAGGCAUGUAUUCCGUAUAUAGUCAUACGUGCUUAUGGAAAAGAACUUGCAUGACAUCUUUUGUCCUACCCUCCCAUGGCAGCGGGCUCCUAUUGGAAACUUAGGGAUAUUAAGGCCUCCUUUUAAUAGAGAACUGGAACAAAGCAUUAGCACAUAGUGAAUACAUGAACUCCUCAAACUAUGGUCAUCACCGGGAGUGGUCCGGAUUAUUGUCACUUCGGGGUUGCCGGAUCAUAACACAUAGUAGGUUACUAUAGACUUGCAAGAUAGGAUCAAGAACUCACAUAUAUUCAUGAAAACAUAAUAGGUUCAGAUCUGAAAUCAUGGCACUCGGGCCCUAGUGACAAGCAUUAAGCAUGGCAAACUCAUAGCAACAUCAAUCUCAGAACAUAAUGGAUACUAGGGAUCAAACCCUAACAAAACUAACUCGAUUACAUGAUAAAUCUCAUCCAACCCAUCACCGUCCAGCAAGCCUAUGAUGGAAUUACUCACGAACGGCGGUGAGCAUCAUGAAAUUGGUGAUGGAGGAUGGUUGAUGAUGAUGACGGCGACGAAUCCCCCUCUCCGGAGCCCCGAACGGACUCCAGAUCAGCCCUCCCGAGAGGUUUUAGGGCUUGGCGGUGGCUCUGUAUCGUAAAACGCGGUGAUUUCUUCUCUCUUAUUUCUUUCUCUCCGAAAGAAAAUAUAUAGAGUUGGAGUUGGCGUCGGAGGGUUUCUAAGGGGCCCACGAGGUAGGGGGUGCGCCCUAGGGGGGUGCCCCCCACCCUCGUGGAAAGGGUGUGGGCCCCCUGGUCUUCAUCUUUGGCGAGGAUUUUUUUAUUUUUUCUAAGAUGUUCCGUGGAGUUUUAGGUCAUUCCGAGAAUAUUUGUUUUCUGCACAUAAAACAACACCAUGGUAAUUCUGCUGAAAACAGCGUCAGUCCGGGUUAGUUCCAUUCAAAUCAUACAAGUUAGAGUCCAAAACAAGGGCAAAAGUGUUUGGAAAAGUAGAUACGAUGGAGACGUAUUAGUAUGCUACAUUGUGUACCAGACCUGAUGUUGCCUUGCUAUAAGUCUAGCAAGAAGGUACCAAAGUAAUCCAGGGGUGCAUCACUGGACAACGGUCAAGAAUUCCAUAAGUACCUGAAAAGGACGAAUGAUAUGUUUCUCGUUUAUGGAGGUGACAAAGAGCUCAUCGUAAAUGGUUACGUCGAUGCUAGCUUUGACACUGAUCCGGAUGACUCUAAGUCACAAACCGGAUACGUAUUUAUAUUGAAUGGUGGAGCUGUCAGUUGGUGCAGUUCCAAGCAAAGCGUCAUGGCGGGAUCUGCGUGUGAAGUAGAGUACAUAGCUGCUUCGGAAGCAGCAAAUGAAGGAGUCUGGAUUAAGGAGUUCAUAUCCGAUCUAGGUGUAAUACCUAGUGCAUCGGUUCCAAUGAAAAUCUUUUGUGACAAUACUGGUGCAAUUGCCUUGGCAAAGGAAUCCGGAUUUCACAAAAGAACCAAACACAUCAAGAGAUGCUUCAACUCCACCUGUGAUCAAAUCAAGAAGGGAGACAUAGAGAUUUGCAAAAUACAUACGGAUCUGAAUAUGGCAGACCCGUUGACUAAGCCUCUUCCACGACCAAAACAUGAUCAACACCAAGACUCCAUGGGUGUUAGAAUCAUUACAAUGUAAUCUAGAUUAUUGACUCUAGUGCAAGUGGGAGUCUGAACGAAAUAUGCCCUAGAGGGCAGAGGCAAUAAUAAAGUUGUUAUUUAUAUUUCCUUAUAUCAUGAUAAAUGUUUAUUAUUCAUGCUAGAAUUGUAUUAACCAGAAACUUAGUACAUGUGUGAAUACAUAGACAAACAAAGUGUCCCUAGUAAACUUCUACCAGACUAGCUCGUUAAUCAAAGAUGGUUAAGUUUCCUAACCAUUGACAUGUGUUGUCAUUUGAUGAACGGGAUCACAUCAUUAGGAGAAUGAUGUGAUGGACAAGACCCAUCUGUUUAGCUUAGCAUAAUGACCGUUAAGAUUUAUUGCUAUUGCUUUCUUCAUGUCAUAUACAUAUUCCUUUGACAAUGAGAUUAUGGAACUCCCGGAUACCAGAGGAAUACCUUGUGUGCUAUCAAACAUCACAACGUAACUAGGUGAUUAUAAAGAUGCUCUACAGGUAUCUCCGAAGGUUUUUGUUGGGUUGGCACUGAUCCAGAUUAGGAUUUGUCACUCCGAGUAUCUGUAGCGACCCGACCCAAAUGGAUCGAAGUCUCUGUGCUUAAGUGUCAUCCGUGGAUCGGUAUGCUGACACACACAGUACUUGAGGAUUUAUAAGAGAGGUAAAUCACAUGUAUAAAGUAACGUAAAUACUAUUACCUCAAUCCAAAUAGCGGAAGUAACAACAAAGUUGUGGAUUCCCAUCAACACAACGACAAAGUUGAGUGUAGACAUUGUAAACCUAAUAUAUCACUUACUCGUCAUAAGAAUCCUGCAACAUGAGACGUUGCAGCCAUAUAGGUCAGUACAUUGAAUGUACUGGCAAUUUCACACCAUAGGAUAAUAAUGAAAAAUGUCUAUCUCUAUAUGCAUAUUUGGCUUGUGGAGGCUCUAAGUUUAACAUUUUGGAUAAAGCCAAUUUUCCCUACAACAAAGGAAUAGAUUUUAUUUUACUACAAAGUUUAUGUCAUUAUUGAGAAGGUACCCCCAACUCAAUCCCAAAAUAAUAUCAUUAACCCAACACAUUAAUUAAAUAAAGUGAUGAGAUCAAACAAUAAUUCAAGUACCAGAUAUUCGAGAUGUCCAUAACCGGGGACACGGCUAACCAUGAUUAGUUUAUACACUCUGCAGAGGUUUGCGCACUUUUCCCCACAAGACUCGAUCUCCUCCGUUGUAUUUCUCGCACUACAUGAUGUUUGAGAAACGGAUGACCGAGACAUAGUCUUUCCGAAGAGGUCCCCUUAACCGAUAGAUAGGUCGGUACACCUACAAUUCCCCUUACAUCUGCUAGCCCAUCAUGGAAAGGUUUCCCACAACUUACUCAACUAUGCCAGAGGCCAUAAUGGCUUGUGGCUACACACGGAAACUUCUAGCAUGAAUAAUCUUAUGAUCCCUUUGAGCCUUGGUGGCAUUCCAUAGGAUGAUCACACGGGUACCCCGGAAUCUCCUAGGACAACACUGCAUUCCCCACGUGUCCGGGUAAACCACUGUGUUGACACACGAACACGUCACGUGUACCCUCGACGCCGGGGGUGAUGCACUGCAGCUCACGUCGAAGGAGACCCGACCGACAGCGCGAUACGCAAGACAGUCGACGGGCGCUUUUGCAGACCCGAAAACCCCACACCCCCGGGAGGGACCCCGUCAGGGAGUGCGGUGGCUAUGGGCUGCCCUAGGUCGAUUCUCUCGCCCCUAGAGCCUCGGAAUUCGCAGCUCUCAAACACAAAGAACAGCGAAGAACGAGAGAGAAAAACGGCGGAGAGAUAAAACAUAGAUGAAAAAGUAGUAUAUUGAUUUGUUCGAUUGUGUGUUGUUUCAAUCGGCCGUCACCCCCAACAUAAAUAAGAGGCGGCUGGACUUCCCGUACAAGCAAAAGAUUUAUCUAGGCUUUCCUUACAAGAAAAUUACAUCAAUUCACGUCCAAAACCCUAGCUAAAUUUGGACUGGCUUUAUCCGAACUUUCCAAAAUUGUUCGGUUUAAAUUGGCUGCACCUUGCGGGUCCUUUUUGCGGUGGUAAACGAUCUCGGGUGAAAACAAGCCCAAAAGAAAUCUUGACCGUUUCGACGAGACGAACAACUUUUAUGUUGAAGGUUUUUUUAUCAAAGAUCAUCUUGAGGGUCAUAUCGGUCUCGCAACACAGGCUAUCUCCUCGCGCUACCCGUCAGACAUGUGUCUGGUGGGGCGCGCCACAUCUCGCCUCGUGACAGGGCUGCACUCCGAUUGCUCUAACUUUUGCAUACGAACUCGGAUUUGAAUGAUUUUUAUAUCAAAAUCGAUUGUUUUGACGAGACGAAGACAACCCGUGUAGAUCAUUUUUUUCAUUUGAGGUCGUCUUGGGGGCUUAAUCGUCUAAACUGUACUUUGAAUUUAAGAUCUUGGUACUUCGAGCAUAGUUUCGGCCUUCGAGAUGAAAUCGGAGGGCGAUGACCCAAAUUUCAAAUAUGUUCAUAUGAAUAACACGGAACUCUUUCAUGUAGAUCACUUCUCCAUUUGAGCCCAUCUAGAUAAUCAUUUGAGCCCAUCUUCAGCUUCUGGUCGGAUUGACUAUCACAACCUCCACCCCGGCAGGCCUUCCACCCGGGUAAGCUUUCCGCACCGACAAGGUUUCACCCCGGCAAGGUUUUUACACCGGCAAGGGUUCUCCCUAGCUCGGCAAGGUUUCUACCCCGGCAAGAGUUCCUCCUAGGCAAGGUUUCUACCCUGGCAAGAGUUCCUCUUCGGCAAGGUUUCUCCCUCGGCAAGAUUUCACACCGGCAAGCUUCUUCACCGGCAAGCUUUACAUGCUGGCAAGCUUCUCCGACGGCAAGCUUUCCACGCUGGUAAGCCCUUACAUCGGCAAGGUUUUACCCCGGCAAGGUUUCAUUCAGCCGGCAAAGGCCGAAUACUUUCUCACUCAGGGCCGGCCCGCGAAGUGUUGCCUCUAACUUUUGCAUACGAACCCUGAUUCGUGACCAUGCCAAAAUCUGGUGUCAACACAUGCCCCCCUAUUUUUCGGCAAAGCUUUUGUGCCAAAAAAUAACUUGUAUUGUGUUUGUUCUAAGGACGAUGUCAACACUCCAUCGGCCAUUUAUUUUCCUCAGGACGAUAAUCAGGUAUCGGCCAUGUUUGUGCUAAGGGCGAUAAUCAUAUAUCGGCCAUUGCCCACUCAGGCUUCUUGCCACACACUUGGGUGGUAUUUCUUCAAGUACUUGCCAUUGAGAGCUCGAGGUAAUAGUGCCCCUUGUACGGAUUCCACCAAAUAAGAGUUUCUGGGAACUGUUCUUGCAAUUCUAAAAGGACCUUCCCAACUUGGAGACCACUUCCCGAAUUUUCUGUCUCUUGAACCAAUCGGGAGAAUUUCUUUCCAGACGAGAUCGCCAACUUGAAAAUUCUUCAACUUAACUUUCUUAUUGUAAGCCCUUGCUACCCUCAACUUGUCCUUCUCUAUGGCCUUCAAAGCAGCCAAACGUUUAUCGGCAACCUCAUCAAUAUUGUCCAUCAUCAAGUUAUAAAAGUCUACUACCGAUAAAUUAUUUUGUUUGGCUAUUCUCAAAGCAUUCAAAUUUACUUCCACUGGUAAAACAGCCUCUUGACCAUAUACUAGCUCAUAUGGAGUCACCUUUGUAGCACCAUGCCUUGAAAUUCUAUGUGCCCACAAAGCUUCAGACAACAACUCAUGCCAUCUCUUCGGAUUAUCCUCAAUCUUCUUCUUGAUGAGCUUGAUUAAAAUCUUAUUGCUAGACUCGGCUUGUCCAUUAGCUUGGGCAUAAUACGGAGAGGAAUUGAGCAACUUUAUAUUAUAAGAUUCGGCAAACUCUCUGACUUGGUGUGACAUAAAAGAUGAACCUUGAUCUGUAGUUAACAUUUGAGGAAUACCGAAUCUAUGAAUAAUGUGCUCAGUUAUGAAUUGAAUUACCUCCGUAUGUGUCAUGUUCUUGAGAGGUACUGCUUCAGACCCUUUAGUGAAAUAAUCAGUUGCCACUAAUACGAACCGAUGCCCUUUUGAGGAAGAUGGAUGGAUUUGUCCAAUGAAGUCUAAACCCCAACCUCUGAAAGGCCACGGCUUGAUAAUAGGAUGUAACAUAGCAGCAGGAGCCAAUUGAAUAUCACCAGAUUUUUGACAAGCUUCACACCCCUUAUAAUAUCUGAAGCAAUCAUUAAUCAUAGUCGGCCAAUAAAACCCAGCACGUCGCAAUAACCAUUUCAUCUUGGGAGCCGACUGAUGAGUGCCACAAAUGCCUUCAUGUACCUCUCCCAUAGCAACUCUUGCCUGGUCUUCGUCCAAGCAAUUUAGAAGAACAUCAUCGACUGUUCGGUGAUAAAGACCGUCAUCUCUCACUGUAUACUUGAAAGACAUACGCCGAACAGACCUGUCCACCCUUUCACUCGGAUUGCACAAGUAAUCAACAAUGGGCUUCCUCCAGUCGGUAUUGUCACCUGCACUAGAUUUUUUUGUUAAGGGCCGAAUCAGUGGGUUCUGGUUUGGCCUCUCCUAAAUUGGCAAGACUAGACAUCGGUCUUUGAGAAAUAUGAAACAUGCCAUGAUCAACAUGAUAGCCGGAUGCUUGCUGUGCCAAAUCAUUUGCUCUCUAAUUGUCAUGCCUAGAUAUAUGAGUUAUGCUAAAACAAUCCAAUGUAGAAAUUAGAUCCAGACAUUUAUCAAGAUAAACAUUAAGUGAUUCGUCCAAACACUGGAAGACUUUGGAUACUUGCUGCACUACUAGUAACGAAUCACCGUAAGCCUCAAUAUGUGUAACACCUAUAGCAAGUAACAUCUCUAGGCCGAAUAACAAUGCUUCAUAUUCGGCUUGAUUGUUUGUGCAAAAAUAUUCUAGGCGGCACGAGGCUUCAAAAACAGCACCGUGAGGAGAUAUAUAAACAAUACCAACACCUUGGCCAUUGCUACAAACUGAACCAUCAAAGUAUAAUCUCCAUGGUACUACUGAAACAAGGUUCAUAUCAAUAUCAUGAUUGUCAUUAAUCCGAUGUUCAACAAUGAAAUUAGCAACAAUUUGGCCUUUCAUGGAUUUUAGAGAUUCAUACGCCAAAUCAUAUUCAAUCAAAGCAUAAGCCCACUUGCCAACUCUACCACUAAGAAUUGGCCUAUGCAACAUGUAUUUAAUGACAUCGGUCUGACAAGCUACUACGCAAGCACUCGGCACUAAAUAAUGUCUCAAUUUUGUGCAAGCAUAAUAUAAGCAUAGACAUAAUUUUUCAAUAAAUGUAUACCUUGUCUCGGCGUCCAAUAAGCGCCUGCUCAAAUAUGUAAUAGCAUGCUCUUUUCUUUCAGUUUCUUGAGUCAAAACAGCACCAAUAACUCCUUCUUCUGCUGCAAUGUAAAGCCUGAAGGGUUCCCUAUGCUUGGGUGCUUUCAUCACCGGAGGAGUGCACAAAUAAUUCUUGAUCAUAUCAAAUGCUUCUUCUUGUUUUGCCCCCCAAGUGAAAUCAACAUCAUUCUUUAACCGAAGGAUAGGAGUAAACGCAUCAACCUUCCCUGACAGAUUAGCUAUAAACCUCCUCAAGUAAUUGACCUUGCCAAGGAACUUUUGCAUAUCUCUCUUGCAUGUUGGAGCUUCCACUUUCUGUAUGGCCUCUAUAUUUUUGGGAUCAAUAUCUAUGCCAUCUUCAUGGAUAAUGAAGCCCAAAAACUUACCAGCCGACACACCGAAUGCACACUUCAAAGGAUUCAUCUUUAGUCCAUAGUUUUUCAUUCUUUCAAAAGCUAAAUGCAAAUCGGCCAAGUGAAAUUCAAAAGCGUCUGAUUUGACAACAAUAUCAUCAAUAUAGACUUCAAGUAUGACACCGAGUAAAUCAUGAAAAAUCAAAUUCAUAGCCCUUUGAUAUGUGGCACCAGCAUUUUUUAAUCCGAAUGUCAUCACUAUCCACUCGAAUAAACCAAGAAAACCAGGGCAAUGAAAAGUUGUCUUGGACAUGUCCUCUUCGGCCAUAAAAAUUUGAUUGUAUCCGGCAUUACCAUCUAGAAAGCUAAUAACUUUAUGUCCAGAAGCAUCAUUAAUAAGCAUAUCGGCUAUUGGCAUGGGAUACUCAUCUUUAGGUGUAGCCCUAUUCAGAUCUCUGAAGUCAAUGCACACACUCAACUUGCCGGAUCCUUUCUUUUCCACUGGGACAAUGUUAGAAAUCCACUCAGCAUACCUGCAAGGUCUAAUAAAAUUAGCUUUAAGCAAACGACCGAUCUCUUCCUUGAUCCGGUCACAUGUUUUUGGAUUAAACUUUCUGGCCAGUUGUUUAUAUGGUCUAAAACCAGCCUUUAUAGGUAACCGAUGCCCCACUAGCUCUCAGCUUAAACCUGGCAUCUCAUGAUAUUCCCAUGCAAAGCAACAAACAUAUUCUUUCAAUAGCUCGACCAACUUAGCUUUAUGAUUGGCUCUUAAAUUUGCAUUUACAAAUGUCGGCCUAGGAGUUGAACCAUCUCCUAUAUCUAUCUCUUCUAAUGGAUCGGCCGAUGUAAAACCUUGUCCUAAUUUAUCCAUAUCAUCUAACUCUUCUAUGGACUCAUACAUAUCGUUCUCAUUGGACCGAUAUUCUACAAGUCGCUUUUGUAACCACUCUGAGUUAGGAUCCAUUUAAACAUAUUAUACCUUGGAGCCGAUUGCAUUCAGUCGGCUUUAAAGAGACAGGCACGAAACCGUUCUUGGUUGCGCUGAGAAAAUCAAACUCUGGCAAGUCACGUCUCGUCAAGCAAGUAGCAUUUGGGUGUUGCCAAUCCACUGAUGCCUCGGCCAAAGCAACACAGGCCGAGUUAUCCGCAUGAAUGACUUCCACUUCAUCAUCAACCCACUGGAUCAAAAACUGUGCAUAGUGGACGGCACGCACUGGUUUGCAUGAACCCAAUCAUGGCCUAGUAUGACAUUGUAGUUACCUUGCACCUCAGCGACAAAGAAUUGGGUAGCCAAAGUUUUACUUCCCACCGUGAGCUCCACAUACAUCACACCUUUGGCUUCAGUUUUCUCUUUGCCUUCAAAUCCAUUGAGCACCAUGUUGGUCUUUAUCAACUCUUCAUCAUGCAGCCCCAAUUUUUUGAAGACCGAAUACGACAUAAGAUUCACCACAGCACCACCAUCAACAAGCAUCCGAGUGAGCGGUGAUCCAUUGAUAUGACCUCUGAGAUACAACGGUUUCAGAUGCAUUAUUGGGUCUUUUGGCUUCUCGAAUAUUGCAUUUUUAGGGCCAAAAUCCAGCUGAGCCACCUCCCCUUCCUCAUUGACACCACGAAACUCGGCAGGUAAGUAAUAUACCAUAUUGAUAUCCAUACCUUCAUGAACCGGCGUAGACUCAUAGUCCAACAUAUCAUCCUCUUCUUCAAGUGCAUCCACCGAUUCUAAAAUUUGUCCAAGUGAAGGAGAAGUAAGAAGUGUCGCAGACGAUGUAAUAGCUGUCGCAUCGUCCUCCUUUGGUGCUGCUGGUGCUGCUGUGAUAGGUGUAGAAGCGACUGCAUCUUGUACUUGUUUAGGCCUCCACACUUGUUUUGUAGGCACCAUGGGCCGAGUGUCAUUGAACAACUUAUCCCUUUGCUUCUCGGCUUCUUGUUUUGUCAUCUCCUGACUCCUUAACCUAUGUAGUUUCCUCUUUUGUGUUUUUGUCAGCCCUGGAGGACACCACUUAGGCUGAGUGUAUUUAGGAUCUCUCAUCUUCACUUGGCUGGUGUUUCCUUCAAGGUCAUUAGCCGAGUACUUUGGCGCGAUAGCAAGUAUCGGCUCAAUUGGAUUGUUAUGCAUAAUCGGUUGUUGUAUGGCAAAUGUUUCGGAGCCCAACAUGAGUGAGUCGGUAUCGGUUUUUUCCUUGCCUUUGCUUGACUUGACCAUUGCAGCACUUGGCGAUUUAACACGCCACUGUUGCUUGCCGACCCUUUUUUGAUUAUCUUGCACUGGUCGAUUGACACCAUUGUUCAAACGGCCUCGUGUGGGAUAAGAAAGUCUCUCAUGAAUGGGCCUCCUUUGUCCUGCCCAACCCGGAUGAAAAGCAUAAGGGGCCAUUGGGGGCUGCCUCCAUCCUCCAUUGAAGUCCCCCACGUAGUAUGGCACAUAGGGGGGUGGCGGCAUCCAUGGUCCUGGCGCCCACGACCCAUAUGGCCUUGCAUGAUGCUGAAAUUCUUCCUGAGGAGGUGACCUUGAGCGCUUCCAAUUUGAUGACCGGUUAGAGCUAGAACCGGCCGCAUGAUUGGCAUACUUGGACAACAACAUAUCAAAAGUUGGCUUGAUUUUCUUGUGCUGCACUUUUGCCUCAUUCCUCUUCCACUUGCCAACUUCUGGACUCUUGGGUUUGACAAAUUUAACUCGAGUAUUUUCUUGCACUUGCGGUUGCCCCCCGAGUGUAGGAUUCUUGAUGGUGAUUUUGAUUGUCUCCUUGCCACAGGGUUGCUUGUCAAGCACAACCUGUCUCCCCAAGACCUUGUCACCCUCCUUGUCUUUCCUGGGCUCACCAACAAUGACAUUAGCUUUAUUAGCAGAUUCGGCUACCUCCGGCCGAAUUAGUAGCUUCUUCCCCUCCAAAUCCAUGGUAUUCAUUGGAAAAGGUUGUUUAUCUACUUGCAUCUCAGAAAAGUUCAAUCGUCCGUCAUUAAUUGCUGAUUGUAUCUAUCGUCGAAAAACAUUGCAAUCAUUAGUAGCAUGAGAAAAAGAAUUAUGAUACUUGCAAUAAGCGCGCCGUUUCAGCUCUUCAAAUGGCGGUAAUGUAUGAGAUAUUGUAAUAAUCUUAGCUUGCAGCAAAGCAUCAAAUAUUCUAUCACACUUAGCAAUGUUAAAAGUAAACUUCAUCUCUUCAUCAUGAUUCUUAUGAAUUGGUUUUAGAUCAUUGCAAGUAAAGGGUUUGGCCUUAGAUGGCCAAACAAAUUCAGUAGAAAAAACAUCACCCUCAUCGUCCGAGUGAUCACUAUCAUAUUCCACCAUAUUCAUCUUUGGACGAUCGGCUUUGUAUCUAUGCACUUCUUUGAGGUCUUUGCUUCGGCUUUCCUGAGCCAAAGCCCUUUGUAAGACUUGGUUGAUAUUUAAGAACUCAUAGCCUUCUAGAUUUUCUCUAAUGGGAGUUCUCAAACCACUCAGCACUAGGUCUGCCAAGUCCCUCUCGGUUAUCACCAAACUAAAACACCGGUUUUUUGUUUCUCUAAAUCUCUUGACGUAAUCGGAGACCGAUUCAUCAUGCUUCUGUUUAACCGGUGUUAGAUGUGACAACUUGAGUUCAUUGUCGCCGCUAUAAAAGUGAUCAUGAAACUUCUGCUCUAGCUGCGACCAAACCCGAAUGGAACCAUGUGGCAAAGAAGAAAACCAUGAAAAUGCGGUACCAGUUAAUGAUAAAGGAAAUAAACGCACUUUCAAUUCAUUCAAUGAGCCUGCCUCACCUAAUUGUGCUAAAUACUGACUAACAUGCUCCCAUGUGGUUUUUGUGCCUUCUCCAUUAAACUUAACAAAAUCUGGAAUUUUAUGUCCUGGAGGGCACUGGAUGGCAUCAAAGUACUCGGGGUACGGCUUUUGGUAAAUCCGAUUCCGAGGUAACUCAACUCCAAAAUUCUCUCGAAGCAUCUUAGCCAUCUCCUCUCUAAUAUUAGCUAGACCAUCGUCCAUAGUGGACGAUGAAGCUUGUGGCACUGGCAUAGGAGGAGUAGGGUUACUAGCUGUAGGUAAGAAUUGUGGCAUGUAUGUCGACCCAUAAUUUGGUAGUGGUCGAGUGGUUGUAGCUGUAGGUAGGGUUUGGUUUGGCGUUGCCACCGAACCUGGCAUGCUCAUGAUAGGACUAAUGGGUGCAGCCACAAUCUGAUUUGUUUGGGUAGGAUAAUAAGCCAUCGGCACAGGAGGCGCCGAUGCAAUAGGUAAAGCCAGAUUAGGGUUUUGCACACUAGCAGCUACACCAUCAUUACCACUAGACGAUUGAGAUGUAUUCUUCUGAGAAUUAUUAUUUUCUAUGAAAGUUUGGUAGACUAGAUUGUUACCAUCAGCAAUACGACUUUCAAUCUCAGCCCACUACUCAGGAGAAAAGGCAGUACUUACAGAGGGUUUAACCUGCUCGGCUUGAAGAGGAGGGAACUUGAUUUCUUCAAUCGGAGUGAUGUUGCCUUGGCGAUCCUUCUUGAACUUUGCAAGGAACUCCUGCAAGUCCUUCUCCUCGCGCGCCUUCUUGUACUCCUCAUAAACUUGGCAAUGAUGGGACGAUAUCUCAUCAAGACUGGGCUUAAUGGUGUUAUCGACAUCUACCUCAGAUGGCUUGGGAAUAUCAGACAUGGAGGAUGAUGACGAUUGAUCUUCGGUCCCCAGCGGAGUCGCCAAAAAGUGUGUUGACACACGAACACGUCACGUGUACCCUCGACGCCGGGGGUGAUGCACCGCAGCUCACGUCGAAGAAGACCCGACCGACAGCGCGAUAAUCAAGAUAGUCGACGGGCGCUUUUGCAGACCCAAAAACCCCACACCCCCGGGAGGGACCCCGUCAGGGAGUGCGGCGGCUAUGGGCUGCCCUAGGUCGAUUCGCUCGCCCCUAGAGCCUCGGAAUUCUCAACUCUCAAACAUGAAGAACAGCGAAGAACGAGAGAGAAAAACGGUGGAUAGAUAAAACGUAGAUGAAAAAAUAGUAUAUUGAUUUGUUCGAUUGUGUGUUGUUUCAAUCGGCCGUCUCCCCCAACAUAUAUAAGAGGCGGCUGGACUUCCCGUACAAGCAAAAGAUUUAUCUAGGCUUUCCUUACAAGAAAAUUACAUCAAUUCACGUCCAAAACCCUAGUCAACUUUGGACUGGUUUUAUCCGAACUUUCCAAAACUGUUCGGUUUAAACUGGCUGCACCUUGCGGGUCCUUUUUGCGGUGGUAAACAAUCUCAGAUGAAAACAAGCCCAAAAGAAAUCUUGACCGUUUCGACGAGACGAACAACUUUCAUGUUGAAGGUUUUUUCAUCAGAGAUCAUCUUGAGGGUCAUAUCGGUCUCGCAACAUAGGCUAUCUCCUCGCGCUGCCCGUCACACAUGUGUGUGGUGGGGCGCGCCACAUCUCGCCUCGUGACAAGGCUGCACUCCGAUUGCUCUAACUUUUGCAUACGAACUCGGAUUUGAGGGAUUUUUAUAUCAAAAUCGAUCGCUUCGAUGAGACGAAGAUAACCUGUGUAGAUCAUUUUUUCAUUUGAUGUCGUCUUGGGGGCUUAAUCGUCUAAACUAUACUUUGGAUAUAAGAUCUUGGUACUUCGAGCAUAGUUUCGGCCUUCGAGAUGAAAUCGGAUGGCGAUGACCCAAAUUUCAAAUAUGUUCAUAUCAAUAAUACGGAACCCUUUCAUGUAUAUCACUUCUCCAUUUGAGCCCAUCUAGAUAAUCAUUUGAGCCCAUCUUUAGCUUCUGGUCGGAUUGACUAUCACAACCUCCACCCCGGCAGGCCUUCCACCCGGGUAAGCUUUCCGCACCGACAAGGUUUCACCCCGGCAAGGUUUUUACACCGGCAAGGGUUCUCCCUAGCUCGGCAAGGUUUCUACCCCGGCAAGAGUUCCUCCUCGGCAAGGUUUCUACCCCGGCAAGAGUUCCUCUUCGGCAGGGUUUCUCCCUCGGCAAGAUUUCACACCGGCAAGCUUCUUCGUCGGCAAGCUUUACACGCCGGCAAGCUUCUCCUAUGGCAAGCUUUCCACGCCGGUAAGCCCUCACAUCGGCAAGGUUUUACCCCGGCAAGGUUUCAUUCAGCCGGCAAAGGCCGAAUACUUUCUCACUCAGGGCCGGCCCGCGAAGUGUUGCCUCUAAAUUUUGCAUACGAACCCUGAUUCGUGACCAUGCCAAAAUCUGGUGUCAACACAUGCCCCCCCUGUUUUUCGGCAAAGCUUGUGUGCCGAAAAAUAACUUGUAUUGUGUUUGUUCUAAGGAUGAUGUCAACACUCCAUCGGCCAUUUAUUUUCCUCAGGACGAUAGUCAGGUAUCGGCCAUGUUUGUGCUAAGGGCGACAAUCAUAUAUCGGCCAUUGCCCACUCAGGCUUCUUGCCACACACUUGGGUGAUAUUUCUUCAAGUACUCGCCAUUGAGAGCUCGAGGUAAUAGUGCCCCUUGUACGGAUUCCACCAAAUAAGAGUUUCCGGGAACUGUUCUUGCAAUUCUAAAAGGACCUUCCCAACUUGGAGACCACUUCCCGAAUUUUCUGUCUCUUGAACCAAUCGGGAGAAUUACUUUCCGACAAGCUUUCCACACCGGCAAGCUUCUCCGCCGGCAAGCUUUCCACGCCGGUAAGCCCUCACAUCGGCAAGGUUUUACCCCGGCAAGGUUUCAUUCAGCCGGCAAAGGCCGAAUACUUUCUCACUCAGGGCCGGCCUGCGAAGUGUUGCCUCUAACUUUUGCAUACGAACCCUGAUUCGUGACCAUGCCAAAAUCUGGUGUCAACACAUUGGUAUAUCCCCAGGGUGCCCCAACCAUUCCACCCAGAUGUGUAUUAAAGUAGCCACCUUAAGUUUCCCUUAGUUAAUAUCACUCUCGCAACUUCCAUGAAUCUCACAUACCAAUCCAUGUCUACGAGCAUAGAAAAGUAGUAUGAGCAUAACGUAUAUUCCCGGGGUUGAUAAAAGGGUAAUAGGUUCCUACCUCAACAACUACUUCCCAUAACCAAAUGUUCACAAUCCUACUCAUGCAAUGUUUGAGGGUUGAGACUAAUGCAUAAAACUGGGAAUAAAUGGAUAUGAUAAAAGUGUGAACUUGCCAUGUACUGUUGAUGAAGAUGACUCACACUCAUAACUCCUGAUAGUUCUACUCGUCACACUCCGGUCAAUCUACCGUGAGCAAGCAAUUGCAUACAUAAGCACUCAUGCAAAAGAAUCGAAGAAAAGAACUCGAAAAACUUCGAAAACAAGCAAUUAACUCUUGCAACAUAAAAAAAUUUCUAACAUUACCAAAAUUAGGUGGAUUUUUAUUAUCAAAAAGUUUAGGUCAAGAGUUUCGAUUUGCAAAAAGAAUCAAUUAAAUCAGAGUUAUGAAACUCAAGUUGUGAACAAAAGAAAUUCAAAUUCAAAUUUGUUUGAAACCAAGUUUUGAACUUUCAAAAUAUGUUUAAGUUGGUUAUCUAGAUAGAGGAGAUCAUAACGAAGAUUUUAGCGUUGGUUCCGCUGGAUUUGGUUAAACGAGUAAAAAGUAGUAAUCGAUUGAAAACCAGGGGCUAAUCUGUAAGAAAAGUAUUCACCGAUAGAUCCCUGGCUAAAAAUUAAACUAAAAGAAAAACCUACCGGACGAACGUCCGCUACGAAAACCUAACGAACGGAUUUGUUUGCUGCGAAGAGAUAAACAGCGAGCAUUCGCUAACUAACUAGAUUAAAUAAGAAAAACUGGUUUAAAAAUGAGAAAACCGAAAAUAAACCGGAUCGAACCUGGUUCGGUUUAUUACCGGUUCGGGACGGUUUGACGCCGGCGGCGGUUUCCGGCAGCAGCGAGUUCUAGUGAUGGCAGCGGCGAGUCGGGGUGGUGCGGCGAGGCUCGGGGCGGUAUUACGCGGCGGUGGCGGCUGCGCGGACGGAGGGCCGCGGCGGCAGCGCGGCUAUGCGACGUCGGCGGCGAAGUGCGACGCAGGACGGCGAGAUGCAGCGGCGGCGGCGGCGCGAGCGAUGCGAGGAGGAGAGGGCAGGGGCGGCUAUUUAAAGGCGAGGGGGCAAGGUGGCGUGGGGGAGGAGGCACGGCGGCGAGGGGAGUCCGGGCGACGUAUGGCGGCGAGCGGCUGCGUGCCCAGGGCGGAAACGGCUGGGCUGGGCCUGGCUGGAGCUAGGCCGGCCCAGUCGGCGGAAUAGAUUUUUUAAAUAAUUUUACAGACAAAAAUAAAAUGAUAUAAAAUAAAAAUAUACUAUAAGCAUAUAAUAUAUCAAAAAUUUCAGAAAAUAAUUUCUAUAACAUGAACAUUUUUCUAGCAUCAAAUAAAAUCCACAAAAAUUUAAAUAAAGCAAACAGGGCUACUGGUGCAAUAAAACCUCAUAAAAAUCAUUUUAGACAUACCAAAAUAAUUUCAAAUUUAUUUCUGUCCAUUUUUCUAUUGUAGGCAAUCAUUGUACCCUAAUUUCCAUAUAUUUUAUUUUUGAGAAAAAUAAUUUGAAUAAAACCAAAUAACUCCAAAUUGAAACAUGAUUUUCAGAAUACCUUCAAAGGGACUUUAAAUUUGAUUUCUUUUAAACUUCCAACUCAUAUUUCAUAUGUUUUGAAGAAGUCACUUUAUCUUCUCUCUUGAAAAUCAUUGAGUUGCAUAAAGUUUCUGAAUUUGAAAUAAUUCCAAAUGGAAUUUAAAUAUUUUCAAAACACUUUUUGAUUUAUUUAAAUGGAAGAAGUCAUACCAUCUUCACUCCUGGGUUUUGUGAUGAAAUGAGUUUGAAUUCAUGAGGAUCAGAAAUGCAAGGUGAAAGUUUGGGAAAGUCAUUUCAUUCCCUGUCAUUUAACUUUCAAAAGUUUCAAAUUUCACUCAAUUUCACACAAGCAAUCACACCACAAUCAAACAAACAACCAAAAUUAUUUAUUCAAAAUAACAUUCCAAAAUUUAGAAUUUUGGGAUGUUACAAUAUCGGAGACGUAUCUCUAGGCCCUCUCGGUAAUACACAUCAUGAUAAGCAUUGCAAGCAAUGUGACUAAUGUGUUAGUCACGAGAUGAUGUAUUAUGGAACGAGUAAAGAGACUUGCCGGUAACAAGAUUGAACUAGGUAUGAAGAUGCGACGAUCGAAUCUCAGACAAGUAACAUACCGAUGACAAAGGGAAUAACGUAUGUUGUCAUCUCGGUACGACCGAUAAAGAUCUUUGUAGAAUAUGUGGGGACCAAUAUGAGCAUCCAGGUUCCGCUGUUGGUUAUGUUGGGGAACACGGUAUUUCAAAAAAAAUCAUACGAUCACGCAAGAUCUAUCUCAGAGAUGCAUAGCAAAGAGAGGGGAGAGUGUGUCCACGUACCCUCGUAAACCGAAAGCGGAAGCGUUAAGUAACGCGGUUGAUGUAGUCGAACGUCUUCACGAUCCAAUCGAUCAAGUACCGAAUGAACGGCACAUCCACGAUCUGCACACGCUCAGCUCGGUGACGUCCCUCGUAUUCUAGAUCCAGCUGAGGCCGAGGGUGAGUUCCGUCAGCACGACGGUGUGUUGACGGUGAUGAUGAAGUUACCGACACAGGGCUUCACCUAAGCACUGCGACAAUAUGGCCGAGGUGUAAAACUAUGGAGGGGGCACCGCACACGGCUAAAGAUCAACAUUUGUGUCUAUGGGGUUCCCCCUCCCCCGUAUAUAAAGGAGGGGAGGAGGAGGAGGGCUGGCCUCAAGGGGCGCGCCCAAGGGGGGAUUCCUACUCCUAGUAGUAGUAGGUUUCCCCCUUUCCUAGUCCAAGUAGGAGAAGAAGGAAGGAGAGGAAGAAGAGAAGGAAAGGGGGGCGGGCCCCCUAGCCCUAGUCCAAUUCAGUUUGGGCUAGGAGGCGCGCACCACUCCUUGGCAUGCCUCCUCUCUUCCACCAUUAGGCUGGUGAGGCCCAAUAACUUCCCGCAAGGGGGGGGGGGGGUCCGGUAACCCCCGGUACUCCGAAACUUAUCCGAAAUGACCCGAACCAUUCCGGUGUCCGGAUGUAGCCUUCCAAUAUAUGAAUCUUUAUGUCUCGACCAUUUCAAGACUCCUCGUCAUGUCCGUGAUCACAUCCGAGAUUCCGAACAACCUUCGGAACAUCAAAUCACAUAACUCAUAAUACGUAUCGUCAUCGAACGUUAAGCGUGUGGACCCUACGAGUUCGAGAACUAUGUAGACAUGACCGAGACUCAUCUCCGGUCAAUAACCAAUAGCGGAACCUGGAUGCUCAUAUUGGUUCCUACAUAUUCUCCAAGAUCUUUAUCGGUCAAACCACAUAACAACAUAUGUUGUUCCUUUUGUCAUCACUAGAAGAAAUAUGUCAACUAGUGACCUUCUGUCAGUGACCCUGGAAGAAUUGGUCAUAGAUCUAUGACCAUUUGAGACCAAUUGGUCAAAAGUUGUUCGGCGGGCUCCAAACCCUAAACUAUAACGACCAUUUUGGUCAGAAAGGUUGUAAUUUCCUUACACGAAAUGGUCAUAAAGCAUAUAGCACUGGUCCGCUGCCUUAUUUCUAGCUGAUCAUGACCAAUAUAGAUGGUCAUAACCUUGUAAAUUGUGGUGGGUUGCUAUGACUAGGCGCCACCUCAUCAGUUUUGCCUAUGUGUCAUGUCCAUGUGUGAGUUUUUGCCCUAGGUUCUGAAGCAACCUAUAUUUAUGUCAUUCCUAAAAUUCCCAAAAAAUCUCAUAAAUUCUUUGGGUCAUAUAUUUGUCAAAUAUGUACAAAACCUUCCUUGCCUGGUUCAAAAAUAAUUCAACAAUAUUCAUUUUCCUAUUCUAUGCAGAAAAACACUUUGUGAAGGAAGUGCUAUUUAUAUAUUCUUGAUUGCCCUCAAAAUUGUUGGUCACUCUUUCCUAUCAAAAUCAUCGCCGCAUGAUAAAAUUCAGGUCCAUUUGCCCAGCAAAUCUUCCUCAGCAAAUUUCCAAAGUUUUUGUCCACCUAGAAGCAUUGUGAAGGGAGUACAAGAUAGGAACAUCGUUAUGAGUUUAAUUUUUGCCACAUAUUCUAUAUGCCAAAGUCAUAACUCUACACAAAAUUUUAGCUCUAUCUAACAAUACAUGUGAGCUCACCAUCGAAUCUUUGUUCCUGGUAAUAUUUUUAGUUUGUGAAGCAACUACAUUUUAUAUUCCUUCAUAAUUGCUGAAAAAUUUCCAGGACAUUACCCUGACUAUAGAAACCUCGCACACCGAAUUUCAGCAUAAUCCAAUUAUCUAUGUAAGCCCAGCUUCAAUUUCUAUUUUCUGUCCAAAUUGGCACAUUGCAAAGGAAGUGCUAUCUAGACACCUCCUAUUGUCCUCGAACUUUUUGUGCCAUCUUACAUAUAAAAAUCAUUGCCACAUUCCAAUAUUCAGCUCCAUUUUCCUAUUAAAUCUUCCUCAGCAAAUUUAUAAAGUUUCUAUCCAGAGAGAAGCUUUGUGAAGGAAGUACAAGCUAGGAUUAUCCAAAUGGUAUAAAAUUUUACAGUGCUUUAAUAUUCCCAAAUUACCAUACUCCACAAAAUUUCAGCUCAAUCCACAUAUCCAUUUGAGCCCAGAUUCAACGUCCAUAUUUCUGCCCGAUGUGGUACUUUGCAAAGCAAGUGCCAUCUAAACUCCCCCAUUUGAGCUGAAAAUUUGCCAAGACAGUCUCCCUAGUAGAUGAUCAUCCUCAGCCAAAAAUCAGGCCCAUUAGCCUUGUGAAUUUCCCGUACCGCUUAUCAAACACUUGGCUACUAAUUCAUGUUUGAGCAUAGUUCGGUCUCCUUGUGAGAUUCUUCUGUUGUUAUUUUCUUCCUAGCAUCUACCAGAGGAGUGCCCAACCUACUAGACAUGCCUAGGCUACCCAGAACGGAUGGCAAUGCCACGGUCAGGCGGUGACCACGCGGCGAGCAUGCGAGUCUACGCGCUUUGGAGUUGGGGCCCUGGGCCACCGUCCAAACCACGAUGUAUCACCACCAAACCAUGUAUUUAUGAUUAAAUAGAUACUUAUGUAACUAGAAAAGAUUUUUGGAAAAAAAUAAAGAGCAAACUAUAAGGCAGCUGCAGUUCAAAUUUGACACGUUUCCUACUGAAUGGGCGAAAAUUUGUAUUUUUCACGAGAGGUGGAUAAAAACUUUCGACACGCAACCAUUUUUUCAAUUGUGCAUUCAAUAUGCUUAGUAUUUUAGAAAAUUGAUUUGGUCCAAUUUUGCAACAAAUAUAUGGUAGGCCCUUCACAAAAAAACUCAUUUCGGGCACUCGGAAAAUGGAAAAUGAAUUUUCCGUGCAAAGAAAAUGAAAACUUCCUUAGGAAACAUUGUUUGACAUUCCAAUAUGCACCCUUGUGCAUAAUAUGAGAUCAUUUGAACAAACUAUGCCAUGAAUGUGGCCAUAAGAUUGAUCAUCUGGCUUGAAAGCCAUGAAUCUUCACGCAUGAUAGCUCAUUUCUGAGAACACUUUUUUAAGAUAAUUGCCGUAUUACAAGUUUAUUAUUUUUCCUGGAAACUUGGUCACAUAUAAUAACACAAUGCGAAGGUUUCCCAAAUUUUUGUUUUUUUUUGAAUUUUUUAUGCCCGUUUCAAAAUGCGGUCAAAACAACGGGGUUGACCGUUCCUAGCUAGUGGUUGAAUCUUGGAAAACUUUUGAUGUUUCUCUGAUUAAAUAGAUACUUAUGUAUCUAGAAAUGAUUUUUUGAAAAAAAUAAAGAGCAAACUAUGAGGCAGCUGCAGUUCAAAUUUGACCCGCUUCCUACUGAAUCAGCGGGAAUUUGUCUUUUUCACCAGAGGUGGAUCAAGGCUUUUGACACCCAACCAUUUGGUCAAUUAUGAAUCAAAUAUGGCCUAGUAUUUUAGAAAAUUGAUUUGGUCCAAUUUUGCAACAAAUAUAUGGUAGGUCCUUCACAAAAAGAACUCAAUUCGGGCACUCGGAAAAUGGAAAAUGAAUUUUCCAUGCAAAGAAAAUAAAAACUCCCUUAGGCAACAUUGUUUGCCAUUCCAAUAUGCACCCUUGUGCAUAAUAUAUGAGAUCAUUGGAACAAACUAUGCCAUGAAUGUGGCCAUAAGAUUGAUCAUCUGGCUUGAAAGCCAUGAAUCUUCACGCAUGAUAGCUCAUUUCUGAGAACACUUUUUUAAAAUAAUUGCCGUAUUACAAGUUUAUUAUUUUUCCUGGAAACUUGGUCACAUAUAAUGACACAAUGCGAAGGUUUCCCAAAUUUUUGUUUUUUUGAAUUUUUUAUGCCCGUUUCAAAAUGCGGUCGAAACAACGGGUUUGACCGUUCCUAGCUAGUGGUUGAAUUUUAGAAAACUUUUAAUGUUUCUCUAAUUAAAUAGAUACUUAUGUAUCUAGAAAUGAUUUUUUGAAAAAAUAAAGAGCAAACUAUGAGGCAGCUGCAGUUCAAAUUUGACCCGCUUCCUACUGAAUCGGCGGGAAUUUGUCUUUUUCACCAGAGGUGGAUCAAGGCUUUUGACACCCAACCAUUUGGUCAAUUAUGAAUCAAAUAUGACCUAGUAUUUUAGAAAAUUGUUUUGGUCCAAUUUUGCAACAAAUAUAUGGUAGGUCCUUCACAAAAAGAACUCAAUUCGGGCACUUGGAAAAUGGAAAAUGAAUUUUCCAUGCAAAGAAAAUAAAAAGUCCCUUAGGCAAAAUUGUUUGCCAUUCCAAUAUGCAUCCUUGUGCAUAAUAUGAGAUCAUUUGAACAAACUAUGCCAUGAAUGUGACCAUAAGAUUGAUCAUUUGGCUUGAAAGCCAUGAAUCUUCACGCAUGAUAGCUCAUUUCUGAGAACACUUUUUUAAAAUAAUUGCCGUAUUACAAGUUUAUUAUUUUUUCUGGAAACUUGGUCACAUAUAAUGACACAAUGUGAAGGUUUCCCAAAAUUUUGACUUUUUUUGAAUUUUGUAUGCCCGUUUCAAGAUGCGGUCAAAACUGCGGGUUUGAUCGUUCGUAGCUAGUGGUUGAAUCUUGGAAAACUUUUUAUGUUUCUCUGACUAAAUAGAUACUUAUGUAUCUAGAAAUGAUUUUUUGAAAUAAUAAAGAGCAAACUAUGAGGCAGUUGCAGUUCAAAUUUGACCCGCUUCCUACUGAAUCGGCGAAAAUUUGUCUUUUUCACGAGAGGUGGAUCAAAAAAAUUUACACCCAACCAUUUGGUCAAUUGUGCAUUAAAUAUGUCCUAGUAUUUUAGAAAAUUGAUUUGGUACAAUUUUGCAACAAAUAUAUUAUAGGUCCUUCACAAAAAAACCUCCUUUUAGGCACUCGAAAAAUGGAAAAUAGUUUUUUUGUCCAAAGAAAAUGAAAACUUCCUUAGGCAACAUUGUUUGCCAUUCCAAUAUGCACCCUUAUGCACAAUAUGAGAUCAUUUGAACAAACUACGAGGCAGCCGCAGUUCAAAUUUGACCCGCUUCCUGCUGAAUCGGCGGAAAUUUGUCUUUUUCACCAGAGGUGGAUCAAAACUUUUGACACCCAACCAUUUUGUCAAUUGUGCAUUAAAUAUGGCCUAGUAUUUUAGAAAAUUGAUUUGGUCCAAUUUUGCAACAAAUAUAUGAUAGGUCCUUCACAAAACCCGAUUAUUGGCACUCAAAAAAUUGAAAAAAAUGAUAUUUUGUGCAAAGAAAGUGAAAACCCCUCAAAUCAACAUUGUUUGUUGUCCCAAGAUAGACACAUGUGCACAAUAUUGUUACAUUUUCAAGCUAUGAAAGGACAAUAUGUUGAAUGUUCACCCUAAAUAGGAGGGUAAAAAAUACAAGAGAAGUAAAAGGAAAAGACAAAAUUACAUAAGCUCAAUUGUGAUUGGUGGAAUCAGUGUGGCAUGGAUUGAUGACAUGGCAAAGAUCCGUCCAUCGAUCCAUUCAUACAGGCCACUGCACGCCAUCUCCAUCGCCCGACCUCCCCUGUCACUCGUGCUCGAACCCCACCCGACCCCUCGUGCUCACCUCUCUCCCUCUUGCGUGAACCCUAGCGCUCCCCUCCUCCCUCCCGCCGCCAUCUCCAUCGCCCGACCUCCCGCCGCCACCUCCAUCUAGCGGAGCUCGCCAUCGUCCAUGGCCUCCCCCAUGCCCUCCUGCUCUCUCCCCUCCGCUUCCCUCCCCCACACCCACAGCCGCCACCCUCUCCCUCCCUUAGAUCUCGAUCCACAGCCGCCCCAAGCCCACCCCCACCGUCGACGACCCUCACCAUAGAAGAGGUCGAGCUCGUCCUCCCCUCUACCUCCCACGGAUCUCUCUCGCCCCUCUCGAUCCCUCUCGAAGCUCCCGCAUCCCACCUUGCACCCUCCCCCUUCUACUCCCAAACCCCGCGGCCCGGAUCAGAUUCCUCGAAUUCUGAUCUACCAGAUCGAAGCGGAGUGGGGGCGGGUGCGAGCUCGUUGGUGCUAGGCGGCCGCACGACGGGGUCGCUGCUAGGGGCCAUGCUCAUGGUGCUCUUCAACGUCAUCAGUGCCGACGAGGCCUACGCUGCCAUAGGCCAUGUCCCAGCCGCGUCGCCCGGACGAGGAAAGGAGAGGAGGACAAGCAGUCCCUGACGCCGAGGACCAUGUUCCAUAUGCGAAGCGGGGCACGCGGCUCGACAAGGCCGGCGUCGCGCACUUCCUCGCCGCGCUGGAGUGGGUAAGCUAAUACGCUGGCCGUCUCUCUGUCACUCCAUUUCUGUACCUCAAUUUCGAUCGCCUUGGCUAAUGAUGUGUUGGUUGGUUACGCGUGCGUGCGCGCUCAGACGUGGAAGAAGACGGUGGCGGGCGCGUCGAGGAUGUUCGUGGAGAGGCACCGGAGCAGCCACGUGUAGCUCAUCAGCGACAUGGUCUAGUAGAUGAGAUCACCCAAGCUGCCGCCCGUCCACCCGCCUCGGCGCCGCCGUGCCCGUUGGAUGUUCAGUUUCUAUCUAUGAACAAGUAUGCGUCACUUUUUCUUUUUGUUUGACCAAACUCAAGUCCCCUUUCUAAAACUGCAGCCAAGCAGUACUUGCUACUGGAAUAAUCCCAUGAAUGAAUUCUUUGUUGUGGUCAACUCUUUCUUGUCUCUCUACUAGGAUUCAUGCACCAAGCCCAGAAUUAAAAUUUUAUGUCAGGCUGCUAGUAAAUCAGGCUCUACUCUGUCCAAUAGCAAGUUGGAUAGCACCUGUAGUUAAUUGCACGUACAUAUGGGUUUUGGUUCAUUUUGUACGUAUGUUUGUUUGUUCAUGCUUACGACUUUGGCUAAAACACGUUGGAUGCCCAAUUCCUAUGGUGAACCUUUUGGUUCAAGCAAGCAAACUCAUGUUCCCUUUCUAUGACUGAAGCCAAGUUGUACCUACUACUGGCAUAAUACGAUGGAUUCAUUCUUUGUUUGUGGUCAACUCUUGUCUGUCUACUAGCAUUCGUGCGAGAACCUGAAUGUUGUGUAGGCUGCUAUGUUGUACUACCAGUAAACUAGUUUGUACUCUCUCCAACUGCAGGUUGGAUAGCCUUGCAAUUAAUUGUACAGACAUGCAUAUGAUUUUUGGUUCAAUUUGUAUGUAUAUAUAUGCUUAAGACUUUGACUAAAACUAGUUGGAUGUUCAGUUCCCCAUGAAGGUGACCAAUCCCUAGCAGUGCCCAUUGGUCCUUCCUGAUAUUUCACCUCAUGUGAUUUUAAUCUUUGUUUCUUGCUUUCCACAGCGACCAAGUUCUCUUAACAGCGGGACAUCUGAGUUCGUCAUGGUGAUGGAAGCUGACACGGAGCCGCUCGAAAUCUCCUCGACCUCCCAUCAUGUUUCUUGCGGACGGCAAGGUAGAAAUUCUGUCCAUAUACAUCAUACUAAUGCUAAUUAAUUUAUAUGUUGUAGCUUGCGCGAUAUGGUCAUAACAGUAACUGUUAAGCUCAUAAUUCUGUAUGUUGUCUUCAAGUUUUCUCUAAUAUAGAUUUCUCAAAUCUCUCUCUGAACUUCUCUAAUAAAAAAUGGUGUUAACUGUUAAAGCUCUUCGUGGUGACAUGUUUCUGUUACCAAUACAAUAAUAUAUUUGCACUCAAGGACUGUUUGAGUGAUAGGCUGUUCAUACUAUUAGAGAAGUGAACUGAUUAAGAUAUUGCUUUCCCCAACAACAAAAAAUAAACACGGCAGUUGAACAAUGUGUAUCCCUUCACUUGGAAGCCUAUGAAACUUUCUGUAGCAGCAGUGCAACACACUUUAUAUAUAUGUAUGAGGCUGGGUAGUUCAAAUCUACUUUACUUCCUAACUCAUUCAUAUAUAUCAUGGAAAUUGUGCAGGUUCCAUGGUCCCAAGUGGCCUUUGGCCAUCUUGAACUGGGACUCCAGUAACAAGUAGAUGUUGCUGCCACACUCAAUAUUUUAAGUUGUUUUCUUUUUUCUUUUUGGAGAGAUGUUAAUAACCUGAGAACACUUGCCUCCUCUGUUGGAAAUAUGCCCUAGAGGCAAUAAUAAAUUGAUUAUUAUUAUAUUUCCUUGUUCAUGAUAAUCGUUUAUUAUCCAUGCUAGAAUUGUAUUGAUAGGAAACUCAGAUACAUGUGUGGAUACAUAGACAACACCAUGUCCCUAGUAAGCCUCUAGUUGACUAGCUCGUUAAUCAAUAGAUGGUUACGGUUUCCUGACCAUGGACAUUGGAUGUCGUUGAUAACGGGAUCACAUCAUUAGGAGAAUGAUGUGAUGGACAAGACCCAAUCCUAAGCCUAGCACAAGAUCAUGUAGUUCGUAUGCUAAAGCUUUUCUAAUGUCAAGUAUCAUUUCCUUAGACCAUGAGAUUGUGCAACUCCCGGAUACCGUAGGAGUGCUUUGGGUGUGCCAAACGUCACAACGUAACUGGGUGGCUAUAAAGGUACACUACGGGUAUCUCUGAAAGUGUCUGUUGGGUUGGCACGAAUCGAGAUUGGGAUUUAUCACUCCGUGUAAACGGAGAGGUAUCUCUGGGCCCACUCGGUAGGACAUCAUCAUAAUGUGCACAAUGUGACCAAGGGGUUGAUCACGGGAUGAUGUGUUACGGAACGAGUAAAGAGACUUGCCGAUAACGAGAUUGAACAAGGUAUCGGUAUACCGACGAUCGAAUCUCGGGCAAGUACCAUACCGCUAGACAAAGGGAAUUGUAUACGGGAUCGAUUGAGUCCUUGACAUCGUGGUUCAUCCGAUGAGAUCAUCGUGGAACAUGUGGGAGCCAACAUGGGUAUCCAGAUCCCGCUGUUGGUUAUUGAUCGGAGAACAUCUCGGUCAUGUCUGCAUGUCUCCCGAACCCGUAGGGUCUACACACUUAAGGUUCGAUGAUGCUAGGGUUAUAAAGGAAGCUUGUAUGUGGUUACCGAAUGUUGUUCGGAGUCCCGGAUGAGAUCCCGGACGUCACGAGGAGUUCCGGAAUGGUCCGGAGGUAAAGAUUUAUAUAUAGGAAGUCCUGUUUCGGCCAUCGGGACAAGUUUCGGGGUCAUCGGUAUUGUACCGGGACCACCGGAAGGGUCCCGGGGGCCCACCGGGUGGGGCCACCUGCCCCGGGGGGCCACAUGGGCUGUAGGGGGUGCGCCUUGGCCUACAUGGGCCAAGGGCACCAGCCCCAAGAGGCCCAUGCGCCUAGGGAACCCUAGAGGGAAGAGUCCUCAAAGGGGAAGGCACCUCCGAGGUGCCUUGGGGAGGAUGGACUCCUCCCCCCCUCUUAGCCGCACCCCUUCCUUGGAGGAAGGGGCAAGGCUGCGCCUCCCCCCUCUCCCCUGCCCCUAUAUAUAGUGGAGGGGAGGGAGGGCAUCCAUACCUGAGCCCUUGGCGCCUCCCUCCCUCCCGUGACACCUCCUCCUCUCCCGUAGGUGCUUGGCGAAGCCCUGCAGGAUUGCCACACUCCUCCAUCACCACCACGCCGUUGUGCUGCUGCUGGAUGGAGUCUUCCUCAACCUCUCCCUCUCUCCUUGCUGGAUCAAGGCGUGGGAGACAUCGUCGAGCUGUAUGUGUGUUGAACGCGGAGGUGCCGUCCGUUCGGCACUAGGAUCAUCGGUGAUCUGAAUCACGACGAGUACGACUCCAUCAACCCCGUUCACUUGAACGCUUCCGCUUAGCGAUCUACAAGGGUAUGUAGAUGCACUCUCCUUCCCCUCGUUGCUGGUCUCUCCAUAGAUAGAUCUUGGUGACACGUAGGAAAAUUUUGAAUUUCUGCUACGUUCCCCAACAGUGGCAUCAUGAGCUAGGUCUAUUGCGUAGAUUCUUUGCACGAGUAGAACACAAAGUAGUUGUGGGCGUCGAUAUUGUUCAAUAUGCUUGCCGUUACUAGUCUUAUCUUGAUUCGGCGGCAUCGUGGGAUGAAGCGGCCCGGACCAACCUUACACGUACGCUUACGUGAGACCGGUUCCACCGACAAACAUGCACUAGUUGCAUAAGGUGGCUGGCGGGUGUCUGUCUCUCCCACUUUAGUCGGAUCGGAUUCGAUGAAAAGGGUCCUUAUGAAGGGUAAAUAGAAAUUGGCAUAUCACGUUGUGGUUCAUGCGUAGGUAAGAAACGUUCUUGCUAGAAACCCAUAGCAGCCACGUAAAACAUGCAAACAACAAUUAGAGGACGUCUAACUUGUUUUUGCAGGGUAUGCUAUGUGAUGUGAUAUGGCCAAAGAGGAUGUGAUGAAUGAUAUAUGUGAUGUAUGAGAUUGAUCAUGUUCUUGUAAUAGGAAUCACGACUUGCAUGUCGAUGAGUAUGACAACCGGCAGGAGCCAUAGGAGUUGUCUUUAUUUAUUUGUGACCUGCGUGUCAACUUAAACGUCAUGUAAUUACUUUACUUUAUUGCUAACCGUUAGCCAUAGUAGUAGAAGUAAUAGUUGGCGAGGCAACUUCAUGAAGACAUGAUGAUGGAGAUCAUGAUGAUGGAGAUCAUGGUGUCAUGCCGGUGACGAUGAUGAUCAUGGAGCCCCGAAGAUGGAGAUCAAAAGGAGCAAAGUGAUGAUGGCCAUAUCAUGUCACUAUUUGAUUGCAUGUGAUGUUUAUCAUGUUUAUACAUCUUAUUUGCUUAGAACGACGGUAGUAAAUAAGAUGAUCCCUUACAACAAUUUCAAGAAGUGUUCUCCCCUAACUGUGCACCGUUGCGACAGUUCGUGUUUCGAAGCACCACGUGAUGAUCGGGUGUUAGAUUCUAACGUUCACAUACAACGGGUGUAAGACAGAUUUACACAUGCGAAACACUUAGGGUUAACUUGACGAGCCUAGCAUGUACAGACAUGGCCUCGGAACACGGAUACCGAAAGGUCGAACAUGAGUCGUAUAGAAGAUACGAUCAACAUGAAGAUGUUCACCGAUGAUGACUAGUCCGUCUCACGUGAUGAUCGGACACGGCCUAGUUUGACUCGGAUCAUGUAAUCACUUAGAUGACUAGAGGGAUGUCUAUCUGAGUGGGAGUUCAUAAGAUGAACUUAAUUAUCCUGAACAUAGUCAAAAGGUUUUUGCAAAUUAUGUCGUAGCUCACGCUAUAGUUCUACUGUUUAGAUAUGUUCCUAGAGAAAAAUUAGUUGAAAGUUGAUAGUAGCAAUUAUGCGGACUAGGUCCGUAAACUGAGGAUUGUCCUCAUUGCUUCAUAGAAGGCUUAUGUCCUUAAUGCACCGCUCAGUGUGCUGAACCCGAAACGUCGUUUGUGGAUGUUGCGAACAUCGGACAUACACGUUUUGAUAACUACGUGAUAGUUCAGUUAAACGGUUUAGAGUUGAGGCACUAAAGACGUUUUCGAAACAUCACGGAACAUAUGAGAUGUUUCGAGGGCUAAAAUUGGGAUUUCAGGCUCGUGCUCACGUCAAGAGGUAUAAGACCUCCGAUGAUUUUCUUAACCUGCAAACUAAGGAGAAAAGCUCAAUUGUUGAGCUUGUGCUCAGAUUGUCUGAGUACAACAAUCAUUUGAAUCGAGUGGGAGUUGAUCUUCCAGAUAAGACAGUGAUGGUUCUCCAAAGUCAUUGCCACCAAGCUGUUAGAGCUUCGUGAUGAACUAUGACAUAUCAGGGAUAGAUAUGAUGAUCCUUGAGGUAUUCGCGAUGUUUGACACCGCGAAAGUAGAAAUCAAGAAGGAGCAUCAAUUGUUGAUGGUUGGUGAAACCACUAGUUUCAAGAAGGGCAAGGGCAAGAAGGGAUACUUCAUGAAACGGCAAAUCAGCUGCUGCUCUAGUGAAGAAACCCAAGGUAAAACCCAAACCCGAGACUAAGUGCUUCUGUAAUAAGGGGAACAAUCACUAGAGCAGAAUUACCCUAGAUACUUGGUAGAUAAGAAGGCUGGCAAGGUCGAUAGAAGUAUAUUGGAUAUACAUUAUGUUAAUGUGUACUUUACUAGUACUCCUAGUAGCACCAGGGUAUUAGAUACAGGUUCAGUUGCUAAGUGUUAGUAACUCGAAACAAAAGGCUACGGAAUAAACGGAGACUAGCUAAAGGUGAGCUGACGAUAUGUGUUGGAAGUUUUUUCCAAGCUUGAUAUGAUCAAGCAUCGCACGCUCCCUCUACCAAAGAGAUUGGUGUUAAACCUAAAUAAUUGUUAUUUGGUGUUUGCGUUGAGCAUAGACAUGAUUGGAUUACGUCUAUCGCAAUACGGUUAUUCAUUUAAGGAGAAUAAUGGUUACUCUGUUUAUUUGAAUAAUACCUUCAAUGGUCUUACACCUAAAAUGAAUGGUUUAUUAAAUCUCGAUCGUAGUAAUACACAUGUUCAUGCCAAAAGAUAGUAAUGAUAGUACCACCUACUUGUGGCACUGCCACGUAAGUCAUAUCGGUAUAAAACGCAUGAAGAAGCUCCAUAUUGAUGGAUCUUUGGGCUCACUCGUUUUGAAAAGUUUGAGACAUGCGAACCAUGUCUAUUGGUGUAUAUGCAUGAAGAAACUCCAUGCAAAUGGACCGUUUUGACUCACUUGAUUUUGAAUCACUUGGGACAUGCAAAUCAUACCACAUGGGCAAGAUGACUGAAAAGCCUCGUUUUCAGUAAGAUGGAACAAGAUAGCAACUUGUUGGAAGUAACACAUUUUGAUGUGUGUAGUCCAAUGAGUGCUGAGGCAUGCAGUGAAUAUUGUUAUGUUCUUACUUCACAGAUAAUUUGAGUGGAUGUUGAGUACAUUUACUUGAUGAAUCAUGAGUCUGAAUUAUUGAAAGGUUCAAGUAAUUUCAGGGUGAAGUUGAAAGAUCGUCGUGACAAGAGGAUAAAAUAUCUAUGAUAUGAUCAUAGAGAUGAAUAUCUGAAUUACGAGUUUGGCACAGAAUUAAGACAUUGUAGAAAUAGUUUCACAACUAAUACAGCCUGGAACACCAUAGUGUGAUGGUGUGUCCGAACAUCAUAACUGCACCCUAUUGGAUAUGAUGCAUACCAUGAUGUCUCUUAUCGAAUUACCACGAUAGUUUAUGGGUUAGGCAUUAGAGACAACCACAUUCACUUUAAAUAGGGCACCACGUAAUUCCGUUGAGAUGACAUCGUAUGAAUUAUGGUUUAGAGAAACCUAAGUUGUCGUUUCUUAAAGGUUUGGGGCUGCGACGCUUAUGUGAAAAAGUUUCAGGUUGAUAAGCUCGAACCCAAAGCAGAUAAAAUGCAUCUUCAUAGGACACCCAAAAACAGUUGGGUAUACCUCCUAAUUCAGAUCCGAAAGCAAUAGGGAUUGUUUCUUGAAUCGGGUCCUUUUUCGAGGAAAGGUUUCUCUCAAAAGAGUUGAGUAGGAGGAUGGUGGAGACUUGAUGAGGUUAUUGAACCAUCACUUCAACAAGUGUGUAGCAGGGCACAGGAAGUUGUUCCUGUGGCACGUACACCAACUGAAGUGGAAGCUUAUGAUAGUGAUCAUGAAACUUCGGAUCAAGUCACUACCAAACCUCGUGGGAUGACAAGGAUGCGUACUACUUCAGAGUGGUACGUAAUCCUGUCUUGGAAGUCAUGUUGCUAGACAACAAUGAACCUACGAGCUAUGGAGAAGCGAUAGUGGGCCCGGAUUCCGAUAAAUGGCUCAAGGCCAUAAAACCCGAGAGAGGAUCCAUGUAUGAAAACAAAGUGUAGACUUUGGAAGAACUACUUGAUGGUCGUAAGGCUGUUAGGUACAUAUGGAUUUUGAAAGGAAGACAGACAAUGAUGGUAAGUGUCACCAUUAAGAAAGCUCGACUUGUCGUUAAGAUAUUUUCCGACAAGUUCAAGGAGUUGAUUACGGUGAGGUUUUCUCACUCGUAGCGAUGCUAAGAGUCUGUUGGAAUUGGAUUAGCAGUUACUGCAUGAUUGAUGAAAUCUUGCAGAUAGGAUGUCAAAACAUUGUUUCCUCGAUGUUAUACUUGAGGAAAGGUUGUAUGUGAUACAACCGGAAGGUUUUGUCAAUCCCAAAAGAUGCUAAUAAGUAUGCAAAGCUCCAGCAAUCCUUCUAAGGACUGGAGUGAGCAUCUCGGAGUUGGAAUGUAUGCUUUGAUGAUGAUCAAAGAUUUUGGGUUUGUACAAAGUUUAUGAGAAACUUGUAUUUCCAAAGAAGUGAGUGGGAGCACUAUAGAAUUUCUGAUGAGUAUAUGUUGUUGACAUAUUAAUGAUCAGAAAUGACGUAGAAUUUCUGGAAAGCAUACAGGGUUAUUUGGAAAGUGUUUUCAAUGGAAAACCUGGAUUAAGCUACUUGAACAUUGAGCAUCAAGAUCUAUAAGGAUAGAUCAAAACACUUAAUAGUACUUUCAAAUGAGCACAUGCCUUGACAUGAUCUUGAAGGUGUUCAAGAUGGAUCAGUCAAAGAAGGAGUUCUUGCCUGAGUUGUAAGGUAUGAAGUUAAGACUUAAAGCUCGACCAUGGCAGAAUAGAGAGAAAGGAACGAAGGUCGUCCCCUAUGCUUAAGACAUAGGCUCUACAGUAUGCUAUGCUAUGUACCGCACCUGAAGUGUGCUUUACCAUGAGUCAGUCAAGGGGUACAAGAGUGAUCCAAGAAUGGAUCACAGGACAUCGGUCAAAGUUAUCCUUAGUAACUAGUGGACUAAGGAAUUUUCUCAAUUAUGGAGGUGGUAAAAGAGUUCAUCGUAAAGGGUUACGUCGAUGCAAGCUUAAUACCUAUCCGGAUAGCUCUGAGUAGAGAUACCGGAUACGUAUAAUGGAGCAACAAUUUAGAAUAGCUCCAAGUAGAACAGUUAUUUGGAAUAGCUCCAAAUAGAACGUGGUAGCUGCAUCUAGGAGAUGACAUAGAGAUUUGUAAAGCACACACGGAUCUGAAAGGUUCAGACCCGUUGACUAUAACCUCUCUCACAAGCAUAACAUGAUCAAACCCAGAACUCAUCGAGUGUUAAUCACAUGGUAAAUGUGAACUAGAUUAUUGACUCUAGUAAACUCUUUGGGUGUUAGUCACAUGGGGAUGUGACCUUGAGUGUUAAUCACAUAUCGAUGUGAACUAGAUUAUUGACUCUAGUGCAAGUGGGAGACUGUUGGAAAUAUGCCCUAGAGGCAAUAAUAAAUUGAUUAUUAUUAUAUUUCCUUGUUCAUGAUAAUCGUUUAUUAUCCAUGCUAGAAUUGUAUUGAUAGGAAACUCAGAUACAUGUGUGGAUACAUAGACAACACCAUGUCCCUAGUAAGCCUCUAGUUGACUAGCUCGUUAAUAAAUAGAUGGUUACGGUUUCCUGACCAUGGACAUUGGAUGUCGUUGAUAACGGGAUCACAUCAUUAGGAGAAUGAUGUGAUGGACAAGACCCAAUCCUAAGCCUAGCACAAGAUCAUGUAGUUCGUAUGCUAAAGCUUUUCUAAUGUCAAGUAUCAUUUCCUUAGACCAUGAGAUUGUGCAACUCCCGGAUACCGUAGGAGUGCUUUGGGUGUGCCAAACGUCAAAACGUAACUGGGUGGCUAUAAAGGUACACUACGGGUAUCUCUGAAAGUGUCUGUUGGGUUGGCACGAAUCGAGAUUGGGAUUUGUCACUCCGUGUAAACGGAGAGGUAUCUCUGGGCCCACUCGGUAGGACAUCAUCAUAAUGUGCACAAUGUGACCAAGGGGUUGAUCACGGGAUGAUGUGUUACGGAACGAGUAAAGAGACUUGCCGGUAACGAGAUUGAACAAGGUAUCGGUAUACCGACGAUCGAAUCUCGGGCAAGUACCAUACCGCUAGACAAAGGGAAUUGUAUACAGGAUCGAUUGAGUCCUUGACAUCGUGGUUCAUCCGAUGAGAUCAUCGUGGAACAUGUGGGAGCCAACAUGGGUAUCCAGAUCCCACUGUUGGUUAUUGACCGGAGAACAUCUCGGUCAUGUCUGCAUGUCUCCCGAACCCGUAGGGUCUACACACUUAAGGUUCGAUGACGCUAGGGUUAUAAAGGAAGCUUGUAUGUGGUUACCGAAUGUUGUUCGGAGUCCCGGAUGAGAUCCCGGACGUCACGAGGAGUUCCAGAAUGGUCCGGAGGUAAAGAUUUAUAUAUAGGAAGUCCUGUUUCGGCCAUCGGGACAAGUUUCGGGGUCAUCGGUAUUGUACCGGGACCACCGGAAGGGUCCCGGGGGCCCACCGGGUGGGGCCACCUGCCCCGGGGGGGCCACAUGGGCUGUAGGGGGUGCGCCUUGGCCUACAUGGGCCAAGGGCACCAGCCCCAAGAGGCCCAUGCGCCUAGGGAACCCUAGAGGGAAGAGUCCUCAAAGGGGAAGGCACCUCCGAGGUGCCUUGGGGAGGAUGGACUCCUCCCCCCCUCUUAGCCGCACCCCUUCCUUGGAGGAAGGGGCAAGGCUGCGCCUCCCCCCUCUCCCCUGCCCCUAUAUAUAGUGGAGGGGAGGGAGGGCAUCCAUACCUGAGCCCUUGGCGCCUCCCUCCCUCCCGUGACACCUCCUCCUCUCCCGUAGGUGCUUGGCGAAGCCCUGCAGGAUUGCCACACUCCUCCAUCACCACCACGCCGUUGUGCUGCUGCUGGAUGGAGUCUUCCUCAACCUCUCCCUCUCUCCUUGCUGGAUCAAGGCGUGGGAGACAUCGUCGAGCUGUACGUGUGUUGAACGCGGAGGUGUCGUCCGUUCGGCACUAGGAUCAUCAGUGAUCUGAAUCACGACGAGUACGACUCCAUCAACCCCGUUCACUUGAACGCUUCCACUUAGCGAUCUACAAGGGUAUGUAGAUGCACUCUCCUUCCCCUCGUUGCUGGUCUCUCCAUAGAUAGAUCUUGGUGACACGUAGGAAAAUUUUGAAUUUCUGCUACGUUCCCCAACAUCCUCCCCAACCCUCGCCCCAGCCUGCCGGUGCUGGCUUGCUGCGUGGCUGUCGCCGCAACAGAUAAUUAGAUUUUUGGGACUCUGUUUCUAUGCUCUGCUCGAUAGCAUUUUGCAUAUUGAUUGGACAUGCUUUAUAUAAAACGAUUUAUCUUGUACAUUGCUCUGCCUAACUUGUAGGAGUAUACAUGAAACCAUACUUGUCAAAUAUCGAUACUUGUCAAAUAUCAAGUAUCACAGCUGAAUAAUAACGUCUUGUUUUCUGUUCACUGAAUCAAAAUUCUUCUCUCUUUUUAUGAUCAGUCCAUCUUACAGCCAUCAAUAAGAAAAACACUUAUCUUCAUAUUAGGAUUAUUAUUUUCUUGUCUGCAGUAUUAUAAUGUACAUAUGCUUUUCUGUUCACUGAAUCACAAUUCUUCACUCUUUUUACCAUCAAUCCAUCUUCUUACAGUUGCAUGUUUUUUUUGGCUGUCCAGAUGACCAAGCCCAAGGAGGAAGCAGUUGCUCAUCACUGAGGACAAGUAACUCCAGCAGGUUGACGCCGUAGAUUCAUAGUGUACCUUCUAUAUGCCCAUCCAGUUCUGUGAUUUGUGUCUUGAAACCCAAAAACCCCAUGCCCAUGUGGGAGCUGAACCAUAGUUUUUUGCUUGUGGAAAAUAAUAUCCUUGGCUGAAUCGACUUGAGGUGGUUUCUUCAAAAUUCUUGAAAAUGAUUUGGUAGUUUAUUUUGGCGAGGAAUUGUUUCAUACUGAAGUUUACUGGUACAUGUGUGGUUUGCUACUAUUGCUUCGUUUGGGUUGGGUUGGUUCCAGCGGGGAGAUGUGCAUGCACACUGGCAGCAUGAGCUAGCAGCCAUGAUUGCCAGCCAGUCACCACCAUGUAAAUGUAAUAAAUGUGUGGCCUAUCUAGUGUGCUGCUGAUAGAAAUAUAGAUGUGGCCUAUCUAGUGGGUUGCUGAUAAUAUGUUUUUACCUCACUUGGCAGGCACCAUAAUCUGUUUUUUCCUCACUGUACUGUAGGAAUAAAUGUGUGGCCUAUCUAGUGUGCUGCUGAUAGAAAUAUAGAUGGAAGAUUUGUUGACCAGUUAAAUUGAGCUUAUUGUCAAUUCUGCUUAUAAGCUAUGUUUGAUGCUGCCUACAGGUUCUUAUUCUUUUUUUUGCAUAGGUGAAGUAUGAAGUGUGAAGCCGUGAAGCCUAUCAGCAAGAGUAGCAUAUUAUGUAUUGUAAUAUCACGCAAAGUGUAAUAUUGGUCAGAGUAGCAUAUUAUGUAUUGUAAUAUUUAGUGUUGUUUUGGAUGAAUUUUAUUUGCUCUAUAAUCUGUUUGAAAUAUUGAUUGUGUAUAUAAUUUCAAUACCUAUGAAAUGGAAACCUGACCAGGGGGACCCACUUAUGAAAAUUGGUUGACAAAUUUUGAAAUUUCUGAUGUGUGGGUCCAAUUGUGAUAUCAGCAUGACAAGUGGGACCAAUAUGACCAGUGGGACCAGCGCAAAAAUAAUGUGGCUAAAAAUAGAAAAUUAAUAGUAAUGGCCUAGAAAUUAAAAAGGCUGAAUAGUUGGGCCUGGCCCAUAUAGCUGACCAAAAUUAAUAAGAAAAAAUAUAUAUAAAAAGGCUGAAUUGUUGGGCUUGGUCCAUGUAAAACACCGAACUGGACCGGGCUGAAUCUUAUUAACGACCUUUUCAAUUGGUCGCAAUUUUGCCACGUCAGAUUGACACGUCAGAUCCUACGUGGCCUGGUCAGAGAGCUAGCGACCAAAACAGAAGGUCAUAGAAUCAACGACCUUUUGUUUUGGUCAUGGAAUUCCACGACCUCAUAGAGAAGGUCGUUAAUUUCAGUUUACAACCGCCAGCUUUUGACCUUCUAUUUUUGGUCACAAAUAAAAAACAAUGACCUUUCAGUGACCAAUAGUGAUGGUCGCAAGUUGACAUAUUUCUUGUAGUGCAUCGGUAUGUUACUUGCCCGAGAUUCGAUCGUCGGUAUCAUCAUAUCUAGUUCAAUCUCGUUACCGGCAAGUCUCUUUACUCGUUCCUUAAUGCAUCAUCCCGCAACUAACUCAUUAGUCACAUUGCUUGCAAGGCUUAUAGUGAUGUGCAUUACCAAGAGGGCCCAGAGAUAUCUCUCCGAUACACGGAGUGACAAAUCCAAAUCUCGAUCUAUGCCAACUCAACAAAAACCAUCGGAGACACCUGUAGAGCAUAUUUAUAAUCACCUAGUUACGUUGUGAUGUUUGAUAGCACACUAAUUGUUCCUCCGAUAUUCGGGAGUUGCAUAAUCUCAUAGUCAUAGGAACAUGUAUAAGUCAUGAAGAAAGCAAUAGCAAUAAAUUAAAUGAUCAUAGUGCUAAGCUAACUGAUGGGUCUUGUCCAUCACAUCAUUCACUAAUGAUGUGAUCCCAUUCAUCAAAUGACAACACAUGUCCAUGGCUAGGAAACUUAACCAUCUUUGAUUAACGAGCUAGUCAAGUAGAGGCAUACUAGGGACACUUUGUUUGUCUAUGUAUUCACACAUAUACUAAGUUUUCGGUUAAUACAAUUCUAGCAUGAAUAAUAAACAUUUAUCAUGAUAUAAGGAAAUAUAAAUAAAAACUUUAUUCUUACCUCUAGGGCAUAUUUCCUUCAGUCUCCCACUUACACUAGAGUCAAUAAUCUAGAUUACACAGUAAUGAUUCUAACACCCAUGGAGUCUUGGUGCUGAUCAUGUUUUGUCCGUGAGAGAGGCUUAGUCAACGGGUCUGCAACAUUCAGAUCCGUAUGUAUCUUCCAAAUCUCUAUGUCUCCCUCCUUGACUUGAUCGCGGAUGAAAUGGAGUCGUCUCUUGAUGUGCUUGGUUCUCUUGUGAAAUCUGGAUUCCUUUGCCAAGGCAAUUGCACCAAUGUUGUCACAAAAGAUUUUCAUUUGACCCGAUGCACUAGGUAUUACACCUAGAUUGGAAAUGAACUCCUUCAUUUGCUGCUUCCGAAGCAGCUAUGUACUCUGCUUCACACGUAGAUCUCGCCACGACGCUCUGCUUAGAACUGCACCAACUGACAGCUCCACCAUUUAAUAAAAAUACAUAUGCGGUUUGUGACUUAGAGUCAUCCGGAUCAGUGUCAAAGCUUGCAUCAAUGUGACCGUUUACGAUGAGCUCUUUGUCACCUCAUAAACGAGAAACAUAUCCUUAGUCCUUUUCAGGUAUUUCAGGAUGUUCUUGACCGCUGUCCUGUGAUACACUCAUGGAUUACUUUGGUACCUCCCUGCUAAACUAAUAGCAAGGCACACAUCAGGUCUGGUAGACAGCAUUGCAUACAUGAUAGAACCUGUGGCUGGGGCAUAGGGAAUGACUUUCAUUUUCUCUCUAUCUUCUGAAGUGGUCAGACAUUGAGUCUGACUCAACUUCACACCUUGUAACACAGGCAAGAACCCUUUAUUUGCUUGACCCAUUUUAAAACUUUAUCAAGGUAUGUGCUUUGUGAAAGUCCAAUUAAGCGUCUUGAUCUAUCUCUAUAGAUCUUGAUGCCCAAUAUAUAAGCAGCUUCACCGAGGUCUUUCAUUGAAAAUUCUUAUUCAAGUAUCGUUUUAUGCUAUUCAGAAAUUCAGUAUCAUUUCCGAUCAACAAUAUGUCAUCCACAUACAAUAUCAGAAAUGCUACGGAGCUCCCACUCACUCUCUUGUAAAUACAGGCUUCUCCAAAAGUCUGUAUAAAACCAUAUGCUUUGAUCACACUAUCAAUGCGUAUAUUCUAACUCCAAGAUGCUUGCACCAGUCCAUAAAUGGAUCGCUGGAGCUUGCACACUUUGUUAGCACAUUUUGGAUUGACAACACCUUCCAGUUGCAUCAUAUACAACUCUUCUUUAAGAUAUCCAUUAAGGAAUGCAGUUUUGACAUACAUUUGCCAAAUUUCAUAAUCAUAAAAUGAGGCAAUUUCUAACAUGAUCCAGACGGACUUAAGCAUCACUAUGGGUGAUAAGAUCUCAUCAUAGUCAACUCCUUGAACUUUUCAAAAAAGUUUCGCAACAAGUCAAGCUUUGUAGAAUGUAACAUUACCGUCAGCGUCUGUCUUCUUCUUGAAGAUCCAUUUAUUCUCUAUGGCUUGUUGAUCAUUGGGCAAGUCAACCAAUGUCCACACUUUGUUCUCAUACAUGGAUCCCAUCUCAGAUUUCAUGGCCUCAAGCCAUUUUGUGGAAUCUGGGCUCAUCAUCGCUUCCUCAUAGUUCGUAGGUUUGUCAUGGUCAAGUAACACGACCUCCAGAACAGGAUUACCGUACCACUCUGGUGCGGAUCUUGCUCUGGUUGAAUUACGAGGUUCGGAAGUAACUUGAUCAGAAGUUUCAUCAUCAACAUCAUUAACUUCCUCACUAAUUGGUGUAGGAAUCACUGGAACUGAUUUCUUUGAUGAACUACUUUCCAAUAAGGGAGAAGGUACAGUUACCUCAUCAAGUUCCACUUUCCUCCCACUCACUUCUUUUGAGAGAAACUCCUUCUCUAGAAAGGAUCCAUUCUUUGCAACGAAUAUCUUACCUCCGGAUCUGUGAUACAAGGUGUAACCAACAGCCUCCUUUGGGUAUCCCAUGAAGACACAUUUCUCUGAUUUGGGUUGGAGCUUAUCAGGUUGAAGAUUUUUCACAUAAGCAUCGCAGCCCCAAACUUUAAGAAACGACAACUUGGGUUUCUUGCCAAACCACAAUUCAUAUGGUGUCGUCUCAACGGAUUUCGAUGGUCCCCUAUUUAACGUGAAUGCAGCCGUCUCUAAAGCAUAACCCCAAAACGAUAGCGGUAAAUCAGUAAGAGACAUCAUAGGUCGCACCAUAUCUAAUAAAGUGCGGUUACGACGUUCGGACACACCAUUACGCUGUGGUGUUCCAGGUGGUGUGAGUUGCAAAACUAUUCCGCAUUGUUUCAAAUGAAGACCAAACUCAUAACUCAAAUAUUCACCUCCACGAUCAGAUUGUAGAAACUUAAUUUUCUUGUUACGAUGAUUUUCCACUUCACUCUGAAAUUCUUUGAACUUUUCAAAUGUUUCAGACUUAUGUUUCAUCAAGUAGAUAUACCCGUAUCUGCUUAAAUCAUUUGUGAAGGUCAGAAAAUAACGAUACCCGCCGCGAGCAUCAACACUCAUCGGACCGCAUACAUCAGUAUCUAUUAUUUCCAACAAAUCUGUUGCUCGCUCCAUUGUUCCGGAGAACGGAGUCUUAGUCAUUUUGCCCAUGAGGCAAGGUUCUCAAGCAUCAAGUGAUUCCAAAAGCCCAUCGGCAUGGAGUUUCUUCAUGCGCUUUAUACCAAUAUGACCUAAACGGUAGUGCCAAAAAUAAGUUGCACUAUCAUUAUUAAACUUAUAUCUUUUGGCUUCAAUACUAUGAAUAUGUGUAUCACUACUAUCAAGAUUCAGUAAAAAUAGACCACUCAUUAAGGGUGCAUUACCAUAAAAGAUAUUACUCAUAUAAAUAGAACAACCAUUAUUCUCUAAUUUAAAUGAAUAACCGUCUCGAAUCAAACAAGAUCCAGAUAUAAUGUUCAUGCUUAACGCUCGCACCAAAUAACAAUUAUUCAGGUCUAAUACUAAUCCCGAAGGUAGAUGUAGAGGUAGCGUGCCAACGGUGAUCACAUCGACUUUGGAACCAUUUCCCACGCGCAUCAUCACCUCGUCCUUAGCCAAUCUUCGCUUAAUCUGUAGCCCCUGUUUCGAGUUGCAAAUAUUAGCAACAGAACCAGUAUCAAAUAUCCAAGCGCUAGUGCGAGCAUUAGUAAGGUACACAUCAAUAACAUGUAUAUCAAAUAUACCUUUCACUUUGCCAUCCUUCUUAUCCGCCAAAUACUUGGGGCAGUUUCGCUUCCAGUGACCAGUCCCUUUACAGUAGAAGCACUCAGUCUUAUGCUUAGGUCCAGACUUGGGCUUCUUCACUUGAGCAGAAACUUGCUUGCCGUUCUUCUUGAAGUUCCCCUUCUUCCCAAUGCCCUUUUUAUUGAAACUAGUGGUCUUGUUAAGCAUCAACACUUGAUGCUCCUUCUUGAUUUCUACCUCCGUAGCCUUUAGCAUUGCGAAGAGCUCGGAAUUGUCUUAUCCAUCCCUUGCAUAUUAUAGUUCAUCACGAAGCUUUUGUAGCUUGGUGGCAAUGAUUGCAGAACUCUCUUAAUGACACUAUCAUUGGGAAUAUUAACUCCCAGUUGAGUCAAGUUAUUGUGGUACCUAGAAAUUCUGAGUAUAUGUUCACUGACAGAACUAUUCUCCUCCAUUUUGCAGCUAUAGAACUUAUUGGAGACUUCAUAUCUCUCAAUUCGGUCAUUUGCUUAAAAUAUUAACUUCAACUCCUGGAACAUCUCAUAUCUCCAUGACGUUCAAAAUGUCAUUGAAGUCCCGAUUCUAAGCCGCAUAGCAUGGCAUACUGAACUAUCGAGUAGUCAUCAGCUUUGCUCUACCAGAUGUUCAUAACAUCUAGUGUUGCUCCUGCAGCAGGCUUUGCACCAAGCGCUGCUUCUAGGACGUAAUUCUUCUAUGCAGCAAUGAGGAUAAUCCUCAAGUUACGGACCCAGUCCAUGUAGUUGCUACCAUCAUCUUUCAACUUAGCUUUCUCUAGGAAUGCAUUAAAAUUCAAAGGAACAGUAGCACUGGCCAUUUAUCAACAACAACAUAGACAUGCAAAAUACUAUCAGGUACUAAGUUCAUGAGAAGUUAAAGUUCAAUUAAUCAUAUUACUUAAGAACUCCCACUUAGAUAGACAUCCCUCUAGUCAUCUAAAUGAUCACGUGAUCCAUAUCAACUAAACCAUGUUCGAUCAUCACGUGAGAUGGAGAAGUUUUCAAUGGUGAACAUCACUAUGUUGACCAUAUCUACUAUAUGAUUCACGCUCGAACUUUCGGUCUCAGUGUUCCGAGGCCAUAUCUGCAUAUGCUAGGCUCAUCAAGUUUAACCUGAGUAUUCUGCUUGUGCAAAACUGGCUUGCACCCAUUGUAUGUGAACGUAGAGCUUAUCACACCCGAUCAUCACGUGGUGUCUUGGCACGACGAACUGUAGAAAUAGUGCAUACUCAGGGAGAACACUUAUACCUUGAAAUUUAGUGAAAGAUCAUUGAGGGAGUCCUGGACUAAGGGGUCCUCGGGCGUCCGACCUGUUAGCCAUGGGCCGGACUGAUGGGCUGUGAAGAUACGAAGACCGAAGACUACACCUGUGUCCGGAUGGGACUCUCCUUGGCAUGGAAGGCAAGCUUGGUGACUAAACAUGUAGCUUCCUUUCUUUGUAACUGACCUUGUGUAACCCUAGAUCCUCCCGGUGUCUAUAUAAACCGGAGGACUUAGUCUGGAGGAGAGACAUUAUCAUAGCCAUACAAGUUAGACCUCUAGGGUUUAGCCAUUACGAUCUCGUGGUAGAUCAACUCUUGUAAUAUUCAUAUCCAUCAAGAUCAAUCAAGCAGGAGGUAGGGUAUUACCUCAAUAGAGAGGGCCCGAACCUGGGUAAAACAUUGUGUCCCCUGUCUCCUGUUACCAUCGACCUUAGACGCACAGUUUGGGACCCCCUACCCGAGAUCUGCCAGUUUUGACACCGACAUUUGUGCUUUCAUUGAGAGUUCCACUGUGCCGUCAUCAAGAGGUUCGAUGGCUCCUUCAACCAUCUACAACGAUGCUGCCCAAGGGGGAGUUUUCCUCCCCGGACAGAUCUUCGUGUUUGACGGUUUCGCUCUGCGGGCCAACUCCCUUGGCCAUCUGGAGCAGAUCGAAAGCUACGCCCCUGGCCAUCAAGUCAGAUUUGGGAGCUUGAACUACGUCACAGACAUCCGUGGGGGCUUGAUCCUCUCCGGAUUCGAGACCGCGGCUACCACUCCUGGCCACCACGAGGGACAUGACCUAAAUCUGUCAUCGGAUUGCAUCCAGGAAACAGCUCCCGUAACCGCUUCGGCCUUUGAUCUGGAGCAGGCUGCGCCAUCCAAGGACAGGAAGCUCAACCCCGCCAUGGAGGCCACAGAUUCCCCUGUGUUGGAUCCGCACAUAGACUUGAUCUCACACGAUACCUGUGCCAUCGGAACUCCGGACUCGUUUCCGGCCGUAAGUUCCACAUCAUGUGAGCUCGCGGACGCCGAAAUUGAUCAUUUAUCAAUCUUCGAAUUCAGCGCCGCAGACAUCUUCCAGCACUCGCCUUUGGGUGACAUGCUAAACUCGUUAAAGAAUCUGUCCUUGGUGGGGGACUCAUAGCCGAACUAUAUCCGGUUCGAACUAGGGGCUAACGAUGGAGAAUUUUGCUCCCCACCCGCCACCCACUUUAUAGCCACGGUCGAAGAUUUAACCGACACACUUUAUUACGACUCCGAGGACAUCAACGGUAUGGACGGCGAUGCCGGAGAAGAAGAGGCCCAGAACCCACCGUUCACCAGACGCUGGACGACCACUUCCGCGUAUGAUGUAUACAUGGUGGAUGCACCAAAGGAGAACAACGACGAUGACAAGGAAGAUCCAGCUGAAGAUAAACCUUCCGAAACACAAUCCAAGCAUCGGCGUCAGCGGCGCCGCUCUAAGUCACGCUGCAGUAAAGACAGCAUCACCGGCACAGGAGAAGAUAACACUCCAGAAGGUGCCAAAGACAACGAAGACCCCAUUGAAACAGCUAAUGAAAAAGAGGAAUGGGAAGAUGGGCGGGUUAGCCUUGGUAAACAGGCCACACACGAAGACUCGGAGGACGGAAGUUAUCUUCCGCUCUUUGAGGAUGAGGUGAGCCUCGGCACCGACGAUUUCAUCGUGCCCGAGGAACCUCUUGAGCAGGAGCGCUUCAAGCACCAGCUCAUAGCCACUGCAAGGAGCCUGAAAAAGAAGAAGCAGUAGCUUCAAGCCGAUCGAGAUCUGCUCAAUGAUAAAUGGAUUGAUGUCCUAGCAGCUGAAGAAUACGGCCUCAAGCGCCCAACCAAAAGUUACCCAAAGCGCAAAUUGCUACCUCAGUUUGACGAGGAGGCAUUGGAAUACAUACCACCAUUGUACAAUGCGGCUGACCGACCACCACGUGGUCGGGACAAAAUGGCAACUCACGCUGAACACCAGCCCGCCCCGCCUCAUCACACAGGUAGGGGUAAAUUAGCCCACGGCCAUAGAUAUGACCUCCGGCAAAACCUGAACAAUAAAGCAGGACAUACCAGAUCAAUCUACGGAUCUCGAGGACGUGCCUCGACACGCGACGACGGCCACCUAUUCAGACGUGACAAACUUAGUCAUGCGCGGGCUGAAAACCAUAGACGGACUCCAUCAGAGCUACAUCGCGAUACGGACCGAUAUAGAGGCGCCGCACACCCUCAUUGCUUCAUUGAUGAUGUCAUGGAUCAUGAAUUCCCAGAAGGGUUCAAACCCGUGAAUAUAGAAUCAUACGAUGGAACCAUGGACCCUGCGUUGUGGAUCGAAGACUUCAUUCUCCACAUUCAUAUGGCCUGCGGCGAUGACCUCCACGCCAUCAAAUACCUCCCUUUAAAACUCAAGGGGCCAGCUCGGCACUGGUUAAACAGCCUGCCUGAAAAUUCUAUCGGUAGCUGGGAGGACUUGCAAGAAGCCUUCCUCGACAACUUCCAAGGUACAUAUGUCCGGCCACCAGACGCCGAUGACUUAAGCCACAUAGUUCAACAACCCGGAGAGUCUGCCAGGAAAUUCUAGACUAGGUUCUUAACUAAAAAGAACCAGAUCGUCGAUUGUCCAGAUGCCGAAGCCCUAGCAGCCUUCAAACACAGCAUCCGCGACGAAUGGCUCGCUUGCCACCUCAACCAAGAAAAGCCAAAAUCCAUGGCGGCCCUCACGACACUCAUGACCUGCUUUUGUGCGGACGAGGAUAGUUGGUUGGCCCGUAGCAAAAAUAAUGCAAGCGACACCGGCACCCCUGAAGUUAAAAAUAACAAGGACAAGUCUCGAUGCAGAUACAAGCGUCGAAACAACAGUGAUAACACCGAGGAUAUGGCGGUCAAUGCCGGAUUCAGUGGCUCCAAGUCCGGUCAACGGAAGAAGUCGUUCCAAAAGAACAAUUCAGGCCCAUCCAGCUUGGACCGCAUACUUGAUCGUCCAUGCCAGAUUCACGACACCCCGGACAAACCACCCAAUCAUACAAAUAGAUAUUGUUGGGUUUUUAAACAGGAUGGCAAAUUAAACGCCGAGAACAGGGAAAAGGGAUCGCAAAGCGAGGACAAUGACGAAGAGCCCCGGCUACCGAACACAGGGGGACAGAAGAAGUUUCCCCCUCAGGUCAAAACGGUGAACAUGAUAUAUGCUACCCACAUCCCCAAGAGGGAGCGCAAGCGUGCACUCAGGGACGUCUACGCGAUAGAGCCAGUCGCCCCAAAAUUCAAUCCAUGGUCGUCAUGCCCGAUCACUUUUGAUCGCCGGGAUCAUCUGACCAGUAUCCAUCAUGGUGGCUCAGCCGCACUGGUCCUAGACCCAAUAAUUGAUGGGUUCCACCUGACUCGCAUCCUUAUGGACGGAGGUAGCAGCCUCAAUCUGCUCGAUCAGGAUACAACGUGAAAAAAUGGGCAUUAACCCAUCACGGAUCAAGCCCACCAGGACUACCUUCAAAGGGGUCAUACUAGGUGUAGAGGCCCGCUGUACGGGCUCAAUCACACUAGAGGUUGUCUUCGGAUCUCCGGACAACUUCCAAAGUGAGGAGUUAAUCUUCGACAUCGUCCCCUUCCACAGCGGCUAUCACACACUGCUCAGACGAACCACGUUUGCUCGAUUCAACGCAGUACCACACUAUGCUUAUCUCAAGCUCAAGAUGCCUGGUCCAUGCGGCAUCAUAAUGGUCAACGGAAAUAUGGAAUGCUCCCUCCGUAGAGAAGAGCACACAGCUGCUUAGCAGCAGAAGUACAGAGCGGCCUUCUCAAGCAGAACCUUAAUUCGGCUGCCGAGCCCACGGACACCAUUAAGAGGGUCCGAACUACUCUGCAGCAGGAGAGCUUGGCUCAUCAAGAUCUCGACUAGCAAUCCGGCCUCCGUCUCAGUCCCGAUAAGGUGGCGGCAUUCGUGUCCCGCGUACAUAGCUACGCACUUGAAAUACCAUGGGCAUCGACGGAGGCAUAGCUAGCUUGUGGUCCAUAGUACGGCUCAACCGACAUCGGAUACACACAUACUUUCACUUUUACUUGUUUCCUUUGCAGGUCUCAAUCCCAUAGGCCCCAUCUGGUGGAAUGGUCAUCGGCCCUCUUGAAGGAUAAACACACCAAGACGGCGAGAAACGCAGACAUACAGGGACUUUUUAGGUGAUUCCGUUAACGAUAACCAUACCUAUUUUUCAGGACCCAUUUGCAGCUCUCCCUUGGUUUUGGCAUGUCAAAUAGCCUGUUGCUUAUCGCACUACCUGUAUCAAUGUGCUUUGACAUACUAAUUAAAUUACAAUGAGAAUAGUUUGCGGCUGGAGCUUUAGGACCCCAGCUUUUUACCUUUGUACCUUUUCUGCUUUCUUUCUCUUUUUCAGCUCCCCUGUGGAUAACCCUAUCAGGUAGCACCCGUACACUUUGGUAUGUUUGAUGUUAGCCAGGGGCUUCAUAGCACCCUACAUUACGGCAACAAAAGUCCGAACACAUUUUAUAAGUAUAGUUCGGCACCCCGAAUUUAGCAUUAUAUGUAUUGGCUCCGAAUCAUGUCUUUGAUCAAUAGUUGGUUGCCCGGCUGCUUACGUUCCGCUAUAUUGGCUAAGGUAGUAAAGGGAGAACUACUGUGAUUGUGCCUUGGUUUAUCCAAAGGAGCACCUCAGGAGAGAAAGCGAAAACUGACUGUCAUGAUGCGGCGAGAGCCGGUCAGCUGUUCGGAGGUUACAAAUCGUUGGAGAUUUCUUCCGCAUUAUGCGAAGGAUCGGUACUUCCCGAUCAGACGCUUAUAGCACUCUAGUUCAGAUACUAGGGGCUGCACCCAUGUUUUCAUUAUAAAACUCCUAUGGCUAAGUGGGGGCAUUCAAGCCGCAUAGUCUGGUUGCCUGGUUCGUUACGCUAAACAACUCCUUCAAGGACCACAUAAUUGGAUCAAGAUUGUUUAGAUCCCAUCCCGAACACCCCUGUACUACCUACGUGGGGGCAGAAGCCGACGACUGGCCAACCCUCAGAUUUCAUACAACAUGGCCGCAUAGGAGGAAAAAAUUAAAACAUAACAAGCAUUAUAUUACACAACAUCGUUGAUUCAUGUUACAUGACAGGAUAAUACAAAUAUUUUCAUGGGAAUAUAACAUCCUUCGCACAUUGCUCCGCCACAGGGCGGGAUCCCUCUAGGACACCAUCAAAAUAUAACUCAGGACGGCGGUGCUCCUUGCCCUCAGGCGGCCCCUCGGUCAUCAGCUUCUUGGCAUCCAUCUUUGCCCAGUGCAUCUUGACACGGGCAAAGGCCAUCAGGGCACCUUCAAUACAGGUCGAUCGCUUUAUGACCUCAAGCCGUGGGCAGGCACUAACAAGCUGCUUCACAAGUCCGAAGUAGCUGCUGGGUAUUGGCGUGGCAGGCCAUAGUCGGACUAUCAGGUCCUUCAUGGCUAGCUUAGCCGCCUUGUGUAGCUCGACCAGCUGUUUCAGCUGGUCGCUGAAGGGCACCGGAUGUUCUGGUCCAAGAUAUUGAGACCAGAACAACUUCUCCGUAGAACUCCCUUCUUCAUCUUGAUAGAACUUAGCAGCAUCUGAUAUGCCGCGUGGCAAAUCCGUAAACGCCCCUGGAGAGCUCCAAAUUCGGGUAAGUAAAAGGAACGUUUCCUUCACAGACUUUCUUUGCAUAAUGAAAGCCUUACCCGCUGCGAUCUUCUUGGCCGCCUGGAUUUCCUGAAGGGCGCUCUGGGCCUCGGCUCGAGCCUCUUGUGUGCUCUGGCGGGCCUUCACAAGUUCGGAUGGUUGCGUCUUAGAAUCACGCUCCAAGGACUCAUACUUCUUGACGGCGUCCUGGAGCUCUUGCUGGACCUCACUGACCCGGACCUCGUGUUUCUCGCAUGCGGCGUGCUCCUUGGCUGCUUUGUCCUUGGCCUCAGCUAACGCCUUCUUGAGGGCCUCCACCUCGGUCGUGGCCCCUAAUAAAACUCAUGACACUUUAGUCAGCACAAAACAUUCAUCAUUCCUCAAUUCACGCACAGGUCACUACAUACCUUGGUUGUCCUCCAGCUGCUUCUUCAUGAGGCCGAGCUCUUCUUUGGACCGCUCCAGGCUCUACUUUAGGUUGGACACCUCCACAGUACGAGUGACAGCAGCCAGCAGCGACGCCUGCUUAUUCACAUAGACAUCUUAUGUUAGACUCCUGCGGAAAUUAUUUUGAUCCUCUGUUCGGUUUUUUUCUUUCCGAACACCAAACAGAGCAUCAGGGGCUACUGUCUACACUGUGAUUACAUUACUUACCUCAAAGCCUAUUAAAAGGCUAGUGCAGGCUUCGGUUAGUCCGCUUUUGGCAGACUGAACCUUCUCGAUUACCGUGCCCAGAAGGACACAGUGCUCAUCCACAAUGGAAGCGCCUCGCAGCGCUUCCAGCAGAUUAUCCGGUGCCUCGGGUUGGACAGGGGUCACCGGCGCAAUAUGCAUACCCCCUUCUUUCGAAGGAGGUUGCGUGCCGGAUUCGGGAGCCGCAUCGGUCUCCGGAAUCGAGUCCGGCUGAGGGCCAGACCAAACAUGGCUCUCCUCACCACUAGUCUCCCUAGGGACCGGCUCCCGCUGGUGUCCGGCGAUGGAGGCAUCGCCUUCGGGUGCCUCCUGAGCCUCUCCCCGGCCCGGGAAAGUCCUUCAGGACAACACCUCCGCGUCGUCAUUGGGCUUGGGGGAGUCAGCGGGCGGCGGUGACACGCUGGCCAUCUCCUUUGAAUCUAGCGAACUCUCUGUCGAGGAUUACAGGGAGCUGUAGUGAGCUGGACUGUGAUGGCAUAAUUUAAACAUAUUAAUAUUACAAAGUGGAAAGGCCAGGUGUUUGGACGCCUAUAAGGUUCUUGGUACUUACGAGGCGGCCCGAGGCUUGGUCCAGGACAUCCGCUCCGAACUGCUAUUAACAUCCCACACGGAGUCAUCCGCAAGGGUGCCCUUGCCCCUAUUGGGCGCCUUCGCCUCCGAAUUUUGGGAGGCCCCCCUUUUCUCCCCCCCCCCUCUAGGGGGGGAGUUGCUUUCUUCCUCCUCCUCCUCCUCGUCAUCUUCGGCGGCCGAAGAGUGAGUCCCAUCUUCGGACAUCACGUCCGAAGCACCUUUUCGGUGAAGGACACUCCGGGCCCCCUUGGCCGUUUUCUUGACCUUCUUCUCCGGGACAUCAUAAGGCGCUGGAAACAACAUCUUCGUCAAAAGCGGGGCCUCUUGGUCUUCAGGCAGCGGAGACGGACAGUUAAUCUUCCCUGCUAUGUCGAUCCAGGCCUAAAUUUUUUUGAUAGGAAGGCUUAGACUCCUUCUCAGAAUAUGUCAGUAAAGGCUAUACCUUGAAAACAUGAAAGAACUUACCGAAUUAUCCUGGCGUUUUAAGCUGAUCCAGCGAUCCUCGGUCGUAGGCGGUGGUGUCUCGCCGACCUUCAAGAGCACUUUCCAGAUGUCUUUGUGCGUCGUGCGAAUGAGCUCUAGCAGCGUCUGGUGCUUGGCCGGAUCGAACUCCCACAAAUAGCAAGUCCGGUGUUGGCACGGAAGGAUCCGGCGAAUGAGAAUAACCUAUAUCAUGUUGAAAAGUUUUAUUCUCUUGGCAAUCAUGUUCUGGACGCAUGUCUGGAGGCCAGUUAGCUCGCGCGAAGAACCCCAGGUUAGGCCCUUCUCUUGCCAAGAGAUGAGCUGGAGCGGAGUUCCGGAUCAAAAUUCAGGGGCCGCUGCCCAAUUGGUGUCGCACGGCUCGGUGAUGUAGAACCACCCCGACUACCACCCCUUCAUCGUCUCUACAAAGGAGCCUUCGGGUCAUGUGACGUUGGGCAUCUUGCCCACCAUGGCACCUCUGCACUAUGCUUGUUGGCCUCUCACCACCUUCGUCUUUACAUUGAAGGUCUUCAGCCAUAGGCCGAAGUGAGGUGUGAUACGGAGAAAGGCCUCGCAAAUGACUAUACAUGCUGAGAUGUUGAGGAUAAAGUUGGGGGCUAGAUCAUGAAAGUCUAGCCUGUAGUAAAAUAUCAGUCCGCGGACAAACGGGUGGAGAGGGAAUCCCAGCCCGCAAACGAGAUGUGUGAGAAACACAACCCUCUCAUGGGGCUUUGAGGUAGGGACGACCUGUCCCUCAGCCGAGAGAUGGUGAGUGAUCUCCUUGGCCAGGUAUCCGUCCUCUCGGAGCUCCUUGAUGUCUUUCUUCUUAACAGAGGAGGUCGUCCACUUGCCACCAGCUCCGGAUCUGGACAUGGUUGGAAUGCUUUCUCCGGCGGGGGAAGCUAGGGCUUGGGCGCUGGAGCUCGGGAAUGGAUGGGUAGAGGAAGGAGAAGGCAAGGGUGAGUGAGGGUGAAUCCUUAUCCCCUUAUAAAGGUUACGAAUGUCAAACGCCUUCCUACUUGCCUUAAAACUCGCCUAUUCCCACGGGCUGUGUAAACGACACAGUUGGGUUACCCACGCCCACAUUGAUGAGAAUCAUGUGAUAAGGGGACACGAUCUCUACUUUGACGAGACGUGCCAAUGACAACCCCGUCUUGAAACGUGGUGCAGCAGACGAAAAACGGUUCGAAAUUAUGACCGGACAGAUGUGAUGUCAUGUUACAAAAAGUUGUCAGCAGAUUGGACUCGUGUAAAAUUAUAUUCUCUCUGCGAUUGCGUGUGGUGUGUGUUAUAGGUCCGGACACGUCGAUACAUUCGAAGACUAUUGUGGAGUUCGGAAGGAGGAAUCCGCCUUGCAAUGCCAAAGACAGGCCUACGCGUCGGAUACCUUGUCAUUGAAGCUAGGUUUAGGGGCUACUAAGGGAGUCCUGGACUAAGGGGCCCUCAGGCGUCCGGCCUGUUAGCCAUGGGCCGGACUGAUGGGCUGUGAAGAUACGAAGACUGAAGACUGCACCUGUGUCCGGAUGGGACUCUCCUUGGCGUGGAAGGCAAGCUUGGCGACUAAAUAUGUAGAUUCAUUUCUUUGUAACCGACCUUGUGUAAUCCUAGAUCCUCCCGGUGUUUAUAUAAACUGGAGGACUUAGUCCAUAGGAGAGACAUUAUCAUAGCCAUACAAGUUAGACCUCUAGAGUUUAGCCAUUACGAUCUCGUGGUAGAUCAACUCUUGUAAUACUCAUAUCCAUCAAGAUCAAUCAAGCAGGACAUAGGGUAUUACCUCCAUAGAGAGGGCCCGAACCUCGGUAAAACAUCGUGUCCCCUGUCUCCUGUUACCAUCGACCUUAGACACACAGUUUCGGACCCCCUACCCGAGAUCCGCCGGUUUUGACACCGACAAUCAUCUUAUAAUGCUACCACCGUACUAAGCAAAUGAGAUGCAUAAUGAUAUGGCCAUCAUCAUCUUGUGCCUUUGACCUCCAUCUCCAAAGCAUUGUCAUGAUCACUGUUGGGGAACAUAGCAUAAAUUCAAAAUUUUCCUACGUGUCACCAAGAUCUAUCUAUGGAGUCAUCUAGCAACGAGGGAGGAGUGGAUCUACAUACCCUUGUAGAUCGCGCGCGGAAGCGUUCAAGAGAAUGGGGUUGAUGGAGUCGUACUCGUCGUGAUCCAAAUCAUCGAUGAUCCUAGCGCCGAACGGACGGCACCUCCGCGUUCAACACACGUACGGAGCAGCGACGUCUCCUCCUUCUUGAUCCAGCAAGGGGGGAGGAGAGGUUGAUGGAGAUCCAGCAGCACGACGGCGUGGUGGUGGAAGUAGCGGGAUUCCAACAGGGCUUCGCCAAGCGCUGCGGGAGGAGGGAGAUGUGUCAUGGGAGGGAGAGGGAGGCGCCAGGACUUAGGUAUUGCUGCCCUCCCUUCCCCCCACUAUAUAUAGGGCCAAGGGAGAGGGGGGGCGCAGCCUUGGCCCUUCCUCCAAGGAAGGGUGUGGCCAAGGGAGGAGUCCCUCCUCCCCAAGGCACCUCGGAGGUGCCUUCCCCCUUUAGGACUCUUCCUUUCCCUUGACUCUUGGCGCAUGGGCCUCUUGGGGCUGGUUCCCUUGGCCCAUAUAGGCCAAGGCACACCCCCUACAGCCCAUGUGGCCCCCCAGGGCAGGUGGCCCCACCCGGUGGACCCCCGGGACCCUUCCGGUGGUCCCGGUACAAUAUCGGUGACCCCGAAACUUGUCCCGAUGGCCGAAAUAACACUUCCUAUAUAUAAUUCUUUACCUCCGGAACAUUCCGGAACUCCUCGUGAUGUCCAGGAUCUCAUCCGGGACUCUGAACAACUUUCGGGUUACCGCAUACUAAUAUCUCUAUAACCCUAGCGUCACCGAACCUUAAGUGUGUAGACCCUACGGGUUCAGGAGACAUGCAGACAUGACCGAGACAUUCUCCGGUCAAUAACCAACAGCGGGAUCUAGAUACCCAUAUUGGCUACCACAUGUUCCACGAUGAUCUCAUCGGAUGAUCCACGAUGUUGAGGAUUCAAUAAAUCCCGUAUACAAUUCCCUUUGUCUAGCGGUAUUGUACUUGCCCGAGAUUCGAUCGUCGGUAUCCGAUACCUUGUUCAAUCUCGUUACCGGCAAGUCUCUUUACUUGUUCCGUAACACAUCAUCCCGUGAUCAACUCCUUGAUCACAUUGUGCACAUUAUGAUGAUGUCCUACCGAGUGGGCCCAGAGAUACCUCUCCGUUUACACAGAGUGAAAAAUCCCAGUCUCGAUUCGUGCCAACCCAACAGACACUUUCGGAGAUACCUGUAGUGUACCUUUAUAGCCACCCAGUUACGUUGUGACGUUUGGCACACCCAAAGCACUCCUACGGUAUCCGGGAGUUGCACAAUCUCAUGGUCUAAGGAAAUGAUACUUGACAUUAGAAAAGCUUUAGCAUAUGAACUACAUGAUCUUGUGCUAGGCUUAGGAUUGGGUCUUGUCCAUCACAUCAUUCUCCUAAUGAUGUGAUCCCGUUAUCAACGACAUCCAAUGUCCAUGGUCAGGAAACCGUAACCAUCUAUUGAUCAACGAGCUAGUCAACUAGAGGCUUACUAGGGACAUGGUGUUGUCUAUGUAUCCACACAUGUAUCUGAGUUUCCUAUCAAUACAAUUCUAGCAUGGAUAAUAAACGAUUAUCAUGAACAAGGAAAUAUAAUAAUAAUCAAUUUAUUAUUGCCUCUAGGGCAUAUUUCCAACAGUCUCCCACUUGCACUAGAGUCAAUAAUCCAGUUCACAUCGCUAUGUGAUUAACACUCAAGGUCACAUCCCCAUGUGACUAACACCCAAAGAGUCUACUAGAGUCAAUAAUCUAGUUCACAUUACCAUGUGAUUAACACUCGAUGAGUUCUGGGUUUGAUCAUGUUAUGCUUGUGAGAGAUGUUAUAGUCAACGGGUCUGAAUCUUUCAGAUCCGUAUGUACUUCGCAAAUCUCUAUGUCAUCUUGUAGAUGCAGCUACUACGCUAUAUUUGGAGCUAUUUCAAAUAACUGUUCUACUAUACGAAUCCAGUUUACUACUUAGAAUAAUCUGGAUUAGUGUCAAAGUUUGCAUCGGCGUAACCCUUUACGACGAACUCUUUUACCACCUCCAUAAUCGAGAAAAUUCCUUAGUCCACUAGUUACUAAGGAUAACUUUGACCGAUGUCCUGUGAUCCAUUCUUAGAUCACUCUUGUACCCCUUGACUGACUCAUGGCAAGGCACAUUUCAGGUGCGGUACACAGCAUAGCAUACUGUAGAGCCUAUGUCUUAAGCAUAGGGGACGACCUUCGUCCUUUCUCUCUAUUCUGCCGUGGUCGAGCUUUAAGUCUUAACUUCAUACCUUACAACUCAGGCAAGAACUCCGUCUUUGACUGAUCCAUCUUGAACACCUUCAAGAUCAUGUCAAGGUAUGUGCUCAUUUGAAAGUACCAUUAAGCGUUUUGAUCUAUCCUUAUAGAUCUUGAUUCUCAAUGUUCAAGUAGCUUAAUCCAGGUUUUCCAUUGAAAAACACUUUCCAAAUAACCCUAUAUGCUUUCCAGAAAUUCUACGUCAUUUCUGAUCAACAGUAUGUCAACAACAUAUACUCAUCAGAAAUUCUAUAGUGCUCCCACUCACUUCUUUGGAAAUACAAGUUUCUCAUAAACUUUGUAUAAACCCAAAACAUUGAUCAUCUCAUCAAAGCAUACAUUCCAACUCCGAGAUGCCCACUCCAGUCCUCAGAAGGAUUGCUGGAGCUUUGCAUACUUAUUAGCAUCUUUCAGGUUUGACAAAACCUUCCGGUUGUAUCACAUACGACCUUUCCUCAAGAAUCGUCGAGGAAACAAUGUUUUUUGGCAUCCUAUCUGCAAGAUUUCACAAAUAAUGCAGUAAUUGCUAAUAUAAUUCCAACAGACUCUUAGCAUCGCUACGAGUGAGAAAGUCUCAUCGCAGUCAACUCCUUGAACUUGUCGGAAAACAUCUUAACGACAAGUUUAGCUUUCUUAAUGGUGAUGCCUGCCAUCAUUGUCCGUCUUCCUUUUAAAAUCCAUAUGUACCUAACAGCCUUACGACCAUCAAGUAGUUCUCCCAAAGUCUACACUUUGUUUUCAUAUAUGGAUCCUCUCUCGGAUUAUAUGGCCUCGAGCCAUUUUGGAAUCCAGGCCCACCAUCACUUCUCCAUGGCUCGUAGGUUCAUUGUUGUCUAGCAACAUGACUUCCACGAUAGGAUUACGUACCACUCUAAAGUAGUACGCAUCCUUGUCAUCCCACGAGGUUUGGUAGUGACUUGAUCUGAAGAUUCAUGAUCACUAUCAUAAGCUUCCACUUCAAUUGGUGUAGGUGCCACAGGAACAACUUCCUGUGCCCUGCCACACACUAGUUGAAGAGACGGUUCAAUAACCUCAUCAAGUCUCCACCACCCUCCCACUCAAUUCUUUCGAGAGAAACUUUUCCUCGAGAAAGGACCUGAUUCCAGAAACAAUCCCUUAUUGCUUUUGGAUCUGAGACAGGAGGUAUACCCAACUAUUUUGGGUGUCCUAUGAAGAUGCAUUUAUCUGCUUUGGGUUCGAGCUUAUCAGCCUGAAACUUUUUCACAUAAGCGUCGCAGCCCCAAACUUUUAAGAAAUGACAGCUUAGGUUUCCCUAAACCAUAGUUCAUACGGUGUUAUCUCAUCGGAAUUAUGUGGUGCCCCUUUUAAAGUGAAUGUGGUUGUCUCUAAUGCCUAACCCAUAAACUAUUGUGGUAAUUCGAUAAGAGACAUCAUGGUAUGCAUCAUAUCCGAUAGGGUGCAGUUAUGAUGUUCGGACACACCAUCACACUAUGGUGUUCCAGGCUGUAUUAGUUGUGAAACAAUUUCCACAAUGUCUUAAUUCUGUGCCAAACUCGUAAUUCAGAUAUUCAUCUCUAUGAUCAUAUCAUCGAUAUUUUAUCCUCUUGUCACGACGAUCUUUCAACUUCACCCUAAAAUUACUUGAACCUUUCAAUAAUUCAGACUCGUGAUUCAUCAAGUAAAUAUACUCAACAUCUACUCAAAUCAUCUGUGAAGUAAGAACAUAACGAUAUCCACUACAUGCCUCAGCACUCAUUGGAUUGCACACAUCAAAAUGUAUCACUUCCAACAAGUUGCUUUCUAGUUCCAUUUUACUGAAAACGAGGCUUUCAGUCAUCUUGCCCAUGUGGUACGAUUUGCAUGUCUCAAGUGAUUCAAAAUCAAGUGAGUCCAAACGGUCCAUUUGAAUGGAGUUUCUUCAUGCAUAUACACCAAUAGACGUGGUUCGCAUGUCUCAAACCUUUCAAAAAAUGAGUGAGUCCAAAGAUCCAUCAACAUGGAGCCCCUUCAUGCGUUUUAUACCGAUAUGACUUAAGUGGCAGUGCCACAAGUAGGUGGUACUAUCAUUACUAUCUUAUAUCUUUUGGCAUGAACAUGUGUAUCACUACGAUCGAGAUUCAAUAAACCAUUCAUUUUAGGUGUAAGACCAUUGAAGGUAUUAUUCAAAUAAACAGAGUAACCAUUAUUCUCUUUAAAUGAAUAACCGUAUUGCGAUAGACAUAAUCCAAUCAUGUCUAUGAUCAACGCAAACACCAAUCUCGAUGGUAGAGGGAGCGUACGAUAUUUGAUCAACCUUGGAAAUACUUCCAACACAUAUCAUCAUCUCACCUUUAGCUAGUCUCCGUUUAUUCCGUAGCUUUUAUUUCGAGUUACUAACACUUAGCAACCAAACCGGUAUCUAAUACCCUGGUGCUACUAGGAGUACUAGUAAAGUACACAUUAACAUAAUGUAUAUCCAAUAUACUUCUAUCGACAGCCUUCUCAUCUACCAAGUAUCUAGGGUAAUUCUGCUCCAGUGGCUGUUCCCCUUAUUACAGAAGCACUUAGUCUCGGGUUUGGGUUCAACUUUGGGUUUCUCCACUAGAGCAGCAGCUGAAUUGCCGUUUCAUGAAGUAUCCCUUCUUGCCCUUGCCCUUCUUGAAACUAGCGGUUUCACCAACCAUCAACAAUUGAUGCUCCUUCUUGAUUUCUACUUUCGUGGUGUCAAACAUCGCGAAUAUCUCAAGGAUCAUCAUAUAUGUCCCUGAUAUAUUAUAGUUCAUCAUGAAGCUCUAGCAGCUCGGUGGUAAUGACUUCGGAGAAACAUCACUAUCUCAUCUGGAAGAUCAACUCCCACUCGAUUCAAAUGAUUAUUGUACUCAGACAAUCUGAGCACAAGCUCAACAAUUGAGCUUUUCUCCCUUAGUUUGCAGGCUAAGAAAAUCGUUGGAGGUCUCAUACCUCUUGACGUGGUCACGAGCCUGAAAUCCCAAUUUCAGCCCUCGAAACAUCUCAUAUGUUUCGCGAUGUUUCAAAACGUCUUCGGUGCCUCAACUCUAAACCGUUUAACUGAACUAUCACGUAGUUAUCAAAAUGUGUAUGUCAGAUGUUCGCAACAUCCACAGACAACGUUCGAGGUUCAGCACACUGAGUGGUGCAUUAAGGACAUAAGCCUUCUAUGAAGCAAUGAGGACAAUCCUCAGUUUACGGACCUAGUCCGCAUAAUUACUACUAUCAACUUUCAACUAAAUUUUCUCUAGGAACAUAUCUAAACAGUAGAACUGAAGCACGAGCUACGACAUAAUUUGCGAAGACCUUUUGACUAUGUUCAGGAUAAUUAAGUUCAUCUUGUGAACUCCCACUCAGAUAGACAUCCCUCUAGUCAUCUAAGUGAUUACAUGAUCCGAGUCUACUAGGCCAUGUCCGAUCAUCACGUGAGACGGACUAGUCAUCAUCGGUGAACAUCUUCAUGUUGAUCGUAUCUACCAUACGACUCAUGCUCGACCUUUCGGUCUCUUGUGUUUCGAGGCCAUGUCUGUACAUGCUAGGCUCAUCAAGUUAACCUAAGUGUUUCGCAUGUGUUCCGAGGCCAUGUCUGUACAUGCUAGGCUCGUCAACACCCGUUGUAUUCGAAUGUUAGAAUCUAACACCCGAUCAUCACAUGGUGCUUCGAAACAACGAACUGUCGCAAUGGUGCACAGUUAGUGGGAACACUUUCUUGAAAUUAUUAUGAGGGAUCAUCUUAUUUACUACCGUCGUUCUAAGUAAACAAGAUGCAUAAACAUGAUAAACAUCACAUGCAAUCAAAUAGUGACAUGAUAUGGCCAUCAUCACUUUGCUCCUCUUGAUCUCCAUCUUCGGGGCUCCAUGAUCAUCAUAUUCACCGGCAUGACACCAUGAUCUCCAUCAUCGUGUCUCCAUGAAGUUGCCUCGCCAAUUCUUACUUCUACUACUACAGCUAACGGUUAGCAAUAAAGUAAAGUAAUUACAUGACGUUUAUGUUGACACGCAGGUCAUAAAUAAAUUAAGACAACUCCUAUGGCUCCUGCCGGCUGUCAUACUCAUCGACACGCAAGUCGUGAUUCCUAUUACAAGAACAUGAUCAUCUCAUACAUCACAUAUAUCAUUCAUCACAUCCUUUGGCCAUAUCACAUCACAUAGCAUACCCUGCAAAAACAAGUUAGACGUCCUCUAAUUGUUGUUUGCAUGUUUUACGUCGCUGCUAUGGAUUUCUAGCAAGAACGUUUCUUACCUACGCAAAAACCACAACGUGAUAUGCCAAUUGCUAUUUACCCUUCAUAAGGACCCUUUUCAUCGAAUCCGAUCCGACUAAAGUGGGAGAGACAGACACCCGCUAGCCACCUUAUGCAACAAGUGCAUGUCAGUCGGUGGAACCAGUCUCACGUAAGAGUACGUGUAAGGUCGGUCCGGGCCGCUUCAUCCCAUGAUGCCGCCGAAUCAAGAUAAGACUAGUAACGGCAAGCAUAUUGAACAAAAUCAACGCCCACAACUACUUUGUGUUCUACUCGUGCAUAGAAACUACGCAUAGACCUAGCUCAUGAUGCCACUAUUGGGGAAUGUAGCAUAAAUUCAAAAUUUUCCUACGUGUCACCAAGAUCUAUCUAUGUAGUCAUCUAGCAACGAGGGAGGAGUGGAUCUACAUACCAUUGUAGAUCACGCGCGGAAGCGUUCAAGAGAACGGGGUUGAUGGAGUCGUACUCGUCGUGAUCCAAAUCACCGAUGAUCCUAGCGCCGAACGGACGACACCUCCGCGUUCAACACACGUACGGAGCAGCGACGUCUCAUCCUUCUUGAUCCAGCAAGGGGGGAGGAGAGGUUGAUGGAGAUCCAGCAGCACGACGGCGUGGUGGUGGAAGUAGCGGGAUUCCAACAGGGCUUCGCCAAGCGCUGCGGGAGGAGGGAGAUGUGUCAUGGGAGGGAGAGGGAGGCGCCAGGACUUAGGUAUUGCUGCCCUCCCUUCUCCCCACUAUAUAUAGGGCCAAGGGAGAGGGUGGGGGGGCGCAGCCUUGGCCCUUCCUCCAAGGAAGGGUGCGGCCAAGGGAGGAGUCCCUCCUCCCCAAGGCACCUCGGAGGUGCCUUCCCCCUUUAGGACUCUUCCUUUCCCUUGACUCUUGGCGCAUGGGCCUCUUGGGGCUGGUGCCCUUGGCCCAUAUAGGCCAAGGCGCACCCCCUACAUCCCAUGUGGCCCCCCAGGGCAGGUGGCCCCACCCGGUGGACCCGCGGGACCCUUCCGGUGGUCCUGGUACAAUAUCGGUGACCCCGAAACUUGUCCCGAUGGCCGAAAUAGCACUUCCUAUAUAUAAUUCUUUACCUCCGGACCAUUCCGGAACUCCUCGUGAUGUCCGGGAUCUCAUUCGGGACUCCAAACAACUUUCGGGUUACCGCAUACUAAUAUCUCUAUAACCCUAGCGUCACCGAACCUUAAGUGUGUAGACCCUACGGGUUUGGGAAACAUGCAGACAUGACCGAGACGUUCUCCGGUCAAUAACCAACAGCGGGAUCUAGAUACCCAUAUUGGCUCCCACAUGUUCCACGAUGAUCUCAUCGGAUGAACCACGAUGUUGAGGAUUCAAUCAAUCCCGUAUACAAUUCCCUUUGUCUAGCGGUAUUGUACUUGCCCUAGAUUCGAUCGUCGGUAUCCGAUACCUUGUUCAAUCUCGUUAUCGGCAAGUCUCUUUACUCGUUCCAUAACACAUCAUCCCGUGAUCAACUCCUUGAUCACAUUGUGCACAUUAUGAUGAUGUCCUACCGAGUGGGCCCAGAGAUACCUCUCCGCUUACACGGAGUGACAAAUCCCAGUCUCGAUUCGUGCCAACCCAACAGACACUUUCGGAGAUACCUGUAGUGUACCUUUAUAGCCACCCAGUUACGUUGUGAUGUUUGGCACACCCAAAGCACUCCUACGGUAUCCGGGAGUUGCACAAUCUCAUGGUCUAAGGAAAUGAUACUUGACAUUAGAAAAGCUUUAGCAUACGAACUACAUGAUCUUGUGCUAGGCUUAGGAUUGGGUCUUGUCCAUCACAUCAUUCUCCUAAUGAUGUGAUCCCAUUAUCAACGACAUCCAAUGUCCAUGGUCAGGAAACCGUAACCAUCUAUUGAUCAACGAGCUAGUCAACUAGAGGCUUACUAGGGACAUGGUGUUGUCUAUGUAUCCACACAUGUAUCUGAGUUUCCUAUCAAUACAAUUCUAGCAUGGAUAAUAAACGAUUAUCAUGAACAAGGAAAUAUAAUAAUAAUCAAUUUAUUAUUGCCUCUAGGGCAUAUUUCCAACAAUUACCAUCGUCACCGGCUUGACACCUUGAUCUCCAUCAUAGCAUCGUUGUCGUCUCGCCAACUAUUGCUUCUACGACUAUCGCUACCGCUUAGUGAUAAAGUAAAGCAAUUACAUGGCGAUUGCAUUUCAUACAAUAAAGCAACAACCAUAUGGCUUCUUUCAGUUGCUGAUAACUGUUACAAAACAUGAUCAUCUCAUACAACAAUUUAUAUAAUCACGUCUUGACCAUAUCACAUCACAACAUGCCCUGCAAAAACAAGUUAGACAUCCUCUACUUUGUUGUUGCAAGUUUUACGUGGCUGCUAUGGUCUUUUAGCAAGAACCAUUCUUACUUACGCAUCAAAACCACAAUGAUUUUUCAUCAAGUGUGCUGUUUUAACCUUCAACAAGGACCGGGCGUAGUCACAUUUGAUUCAACUAAAGCUGGAGAAACAGACACCCACUAGCCACAUGUGUGCGAAGCACAUUGGUAGAACCAGUCUCAUGAAGUGGUCAUGUAAUGUUGGUCCGUGCCGCUUCAUCCAACAAUACUACCGAAUAAAAGUAUGACAUGCUAGUAAGCAGUAUGACUAUUAUCGCCCACAACUCUUUGUGUUCUACUCGUGCAUAUAACAUCUACGCAUAGACCUGGCUCGGAUGCCACUGUUGGGGAACACAGUAUUUCAAAAAAAUUCCUAAGAUCACGCAAGGUCUAUCUAGGAUAUGCACAUCAAUUAGCGGGGAAGAGUGUGUCUACGUACCCUCGUAGACCGAAAGCGGAAGCGUUUAGUAACGUGGUUGAUGUAGUCGAACGUCUUCAUGAUCCAACCGAUCAAGUACCGAACGCACGGCACCUCGGCGAUCUACACACGUUUAGUUUGGUGACGUCCCUUGUACUCUUGAUCUAGCUGAGGCCGAGGGUGAGUUCCGUCAGCAUGACGGCGUGUUGACGGUGAUGAUGAAGUUACCGACGCAGGGCUUCGCCUAAGCACUACGACAAUAUGACCGAGGUGUAAAACUAUGGAGAGGGCACCGCACACGACUAAAGAUCAACUUGUAUGUCUAUGGGGUGCCCCCUCCCCCGUAUACAAAGGAGGGGAGGAGGAGGGCUGGCCUCAAGUGGCGCGCCCAAGGGGGGAUUCCUACUCCUAGUAGUAGUAGGUUUCCCCCUUUCCUAGUCCAAGUAGGAGAAGAAGGAAGGAGAGGAAGAAGAGAAGGAAAGGGGGGCUGGCCCCCCUAGCCCUAGUCCAAUUCGGUUUGGGCUAGGGGGGCGUGCGCCACACCUUGGCCUGCCUCCUCUCUUCCACCAUUAGGCCCAUGAGGCCCAAUAACUCCCCCCCGGGGGGGAUUCGGUAACCCCCGGUACUCUGAAACGACCCGAACCAUUCCGGUGUCCGAAUGUAGCCUUCCAAUAUAUGAAUCUUUAUGUCUUGACCAUUUAGAUAAUCCUCGUCAUGUCCGUGAUCACAUCUGGGACUCGGAACAACCUUCAGUACAUCAACUCACAUAACUCAUAAUACGUAUCAUCAUCGAACGUUAAGCGUGCGGACCCUACGGGUUCGAGAACUAUGUAGACAUGACCGAGACUCAUCUCCGGUCAAUAACCAAUAGUGGAACAUGGAUGCUCAUAUUGGUUCCUACAUAUUCUGCGAAGUUCUUUAUCGGUCAAACCACAUAAAAACAUACGUUGUUCCUUUUGUCACCGGUAUGUUACUUGCCCGAGAUUCGAUCGUUGGUAUCAUCAUACCUAGUUCAAUAUUGUUACCGGCAAGUCUCUUUACUCAUUCCAUAACGCAUCAUCCCGCAAAUAACUCAUUAGUCACAUUGCUUGAAAGGCUUAUAGUGAUGUGCAUUACCGAGAGGGGCCAGAGAUACCUCUCCGAUACACGACACCUGUAGAGCAUCUUUAUAAUCACCCAGUUACAUUGUGACGUUUGAUAGCACACUAAGUGUUCCUCCGGUAUUUGGGAUUGCAUAAUCUCAUAGUCAUAUGAACAUGUAUAAGUCAUGAAGAAAGCAAUAGCAAUAAACUAAACGAUCAUAGUGCUAAGCUAACAGAUGGGUCUUGUCCAUCACAUCAUUCUCUAAUGAUGUGAUCCCGUUCAUCAAAUGACAACACAUGUCCAUGGCUAGGAAACUUAACCAUCUUUGAUUAACGAGCUAGUCAAUUAGAUGCAUACUAGGGACACUAUGUUUGUCUGUGUAUUCACACAUGUACUAAAUUUCUGGUUAAUACAAUUCUAGCAUGAAUAAUAAACAUUUAUCAUGAUAUAUGGAAAUAUAAAUAACAACUUUGUUAUUGCCUCUAGGGCAUAUUUCCUUCAGGUUAUUGACCGGAGAGGUGUCUCGGUCACGUCUACAUAGUUCUCAUACCCGUAGGGUCCGCACGCUUAACAUUCGAUGACGAUUUUGUAUUAUAUGAGUUAUGUGAUUUGGUGACCGAAUGUUGUUCAGAGUCUCGGAUGAGAUCACAGACAUGACGAGGAGUCUCAAAAUGGUCAAGAAGUAAAUAUUCAUAUAUAGGAUGAUGAUAUUCGGACAUCGGAAGUGUUCUGGGGGUACCGGGUACAUAUCUGGUCACUGGAAGAGGAUCCGGGCACCCCCUCAACAACUAUAUGGGCCUAAUGGGCCAAGAGGGGGACAAACCUGUUGGGGAACAUAGUAAUUUCAAAAAAAAUCCUACGCACACGCAAGAUCUAUCAUGGUGACACAUAGCAAUGAGAGGGGAAGAGUGUUGUCCACGUACCCUCGUAGACCAUAAGCAGAAGCGUUAUGACAACACGGUUGAUGUUGUGGUAUGUCUUCACGAUCUGACCGAUCCUAGUACCGAAAGUACGGCACCUCCGCGAUCUACACACGUUCAGCUCGGUGACAUCCCACGAACUCUUGAUCUAGCUGAGUGUCGAUGGAGAGCUUCGUCAGCACGACGGCGUGAUGACGGUGAUGAUGAAGCUACCGGCGCAGGGCUUCACCUAAGCAUUACGACGAUAUGACCGAGGUGGAUUAUGAUGGAGGGGGGCACCGCACACGGCUAAGAGAUCAAUGCUCAACUUGUGUGUCCUAGGGUGCCCCCUGCCCCCGUAUAUAAAGGAGCAAGGGGGAGGCCGGCCGGCCCUUGGGGCGUGCCAGGAGAGGAGGAGUCCUCCUCCUACUAGGAGUAGGACUCCCCUUUCCUAGUCCUACUAGGAGGGGGAAAGGAAGGAGGAGAGGGAGAAGGAAAGGGGGGCACCCCCCUUCCCUAGUCCAAUUCAGACCAGAGGGGGAGGGGGCAUGCGGCCUGCCCUGGCCGGCCCUCUCUCUCUCUCCACUAAGGCCCAUGUGGCCCAUUAGUUCCCCGGGGGGUUCCGGCAACCCUCUGGCACUCUGAUUUUCUCCGAAAUCACCCGGAACACUUCCGGUGUCCGAAUAUAGCCGUCCAAUAUAUCAAACUUUAUGUAUCAACCAUUUCGAGACUCCUUGUAAUGACCGUGAUUAUAUCCGGGACUCUGAACUACCUUCGGUACAUCAAAACACAUAAACUCAUAAUGCCGAUCGUCACCGAAUGUUAAGCGUGCGGACCCUACGGGUUCGAGAACUAUGUAGACAUGACCGAGACUCAUCUCCGGUCAAUAACCAAUAGCGGAACCUGGAUGCUCAUAUUGGUUCCUACAUAUUCUAUGAAGAUCUUCAUCGGUCAAACCGCAUAACAACAUACGUUGUUCCCUUUGUCAUCGGUAUGUUACUUGCCCGAGAUUCGAUCAUCGGUAUCUCAAACCUAGUUCAAUCGCGCUACUGGCAAGUCUCUUAACUCGUUCUGUAAUGCAUCAUCCUGUAACUAACUCAUUAUUCACUUUGCUUGCAAGGCUUAUAGUGAUGUGCAUUACCGAGAGGGCCCAAAGAUACCUCCCCGAUACUCGGAGUGACAAAUCAUAAUCUCGAUCUAUGCCAACUCAACAAACACCAUCGGAGACACCUGUAGAGCAUCUUUAUAGUCACCCAGUUACAUUGUGACAUUUGAUAGCACACUUAUUGUUUCUCCAGUAUUCGAUAGUUGCAUGAUCUCAUAGUCAUAGGAACAUGUAUAAGUUAUGGAGAAAGUAAUAGCAGUAAACUAAACGAUCAUCGUGCUAAGCUAACGGAUGGGUCAAGUCAAUCACAUCAUUCUCUAAUGAUGCGAUCCCAUUAAUCAAAUGACAACUCCUGUCUAUGGUUAGGAAACAUGACCAUCAUUGAUUCAACGAGCUAGUCAAGUAGAGGCAUACUAGUGACACUCUAUUUGUCUAUGUAUUCACACAUGUACUAAGUUUCCGGUUAAUACAAUUCUAGCAUGAAUAAUAAACAUUUUAUCAUGAUAUAAAGAAAUACAAAUAACAACUUUAUUAUUGCCUCUAGGACAUAUUUACUUCAGUCUUCCACUUGCACUAGAGUCAAUAAUCUAGAUUACAUUGUAAUGAUUCUAACACCCAUGGAGUCUUGGUGUUGAUCAUGUCUUGCUCGUGAGAGAGGCUUAGUCAAUGGGUCUGCAACAUUCAGAUCUGUAUGUAUCUUGCAAAUCUCUAUGUCUCCCUCCUUGACUUGAUCGCGGAUGGAAUUGAAGCGUCUCUUUAUGUGCUUGGUUCUCUUGUGAAAUCUGGAUUCCUUUGCCAAGGCAAUUGCACCAGUAUUGUCACAAAAGAUUUUCAUUAGACCCGAUGCACUAGGUAUGACACCUAGAUCAGAUAUGAACUCCUUCAUCUAGACUCCUUCAUUUGCUGCUUCCGAAGCAGCUAUGUACUCUGCUUCACAUGUAGAUCCCGCCAUGACACUCUGCUUGGAACUGCACCAACUGACAGCUCCACCAUUUAAUAAAAAUUCGUAUCCAGUUUGUGACUUAGAGUCAUCCGGAUCAGUCUCAAAGCUUGCAUCGAUGUAACCGUUUACGACGAGCUCUUUGUCACCUCCAUAAACGAGAAACAUAUCCUUAGUCCUUUUCAGGUAUUUCAGGAUGUUCUUGACCGCUAUCCAAUGAUCUACUCCUAGAUUACUUUGGUACCUCCCUGCUAAACUAAUAGCAAGGCACACAUCAGGUCUGGUACACAGCAUUGCAUACAUGAUAGAGCCUAUGGCUGAAGCAUAGGGAACACCUUUCAUUUUUUUCUCUAUCUUCUGCAGUGGUCGGGCAUUGAGUCUGACUCAACUUCACACCUUGUAAUACAGGCAAGAACCCUUUCUUUGCUUGAUCCAUUUUGAACUUCUUCAAAACUUUAUCAAGGUAUGUGCUUUGUGAAAGUCAAAUUAAGCGUCUUAAUCUAUCUCUAUAGAUCUUGAUUCCCAAUAUAUAAGCAGCUUCACUGAGGUCUUUCAUUGAAAAAUUCUUAUUCAAGCAUUCUUUUAUGCUAUUCAAAAAUUCAGUAUCAUUUCCGAUCAACAAUAUGUCAUCUACAUAUAAUAUCAAAAAUGCUACAGAGCUCCCACUCACUUUCUUGUAAAUACAGGCUUCUCCAAAAGUCUGUAUAAAACCAUAUGCUUUGAUCACACUAUCAAAGCGUAUAUUCCAACUCCGAGAGGCUUGCACCAGUCCAUAAAUGGAUCGCUGGAGCUUGCACACUUUGUUAGCCCCUUUUGGAUCGACCAAACCUUCUGGUUGCAUCAUAUACAACUCUUCUUUAAGAUAUCUAUUAAGGAAUGCAGUUUUGACAUCCAUUUGCCAAAUUUCAUAAUCAUAAAAUGCGGCAAUUGCUAACAUGGUUCGGACGGACUUAAGCAUCGCUACGGGUGUGAAGGUCUCAUCGUAGUCAACCCCUUGAACUUGUCAAAAACAUUUUGCAACAAGUCAAGCUUUGUAGACAGUAACAUUACCAUCAGCGUCAGUCUUCUUCUUGAAGAUCCAUUUAUUCUCUAUGGCCUGCAGAUCAACAGGGCAAGUUGUAACACCCACAAUGUGGCUAUAUCUCCCAUGUGUCGGGGCAUGACUUAGAGGCAUAACCGCAUGGUAGGCAUGUCGCAAGAGGGGUAAUCUUUACACAUCCCAUGUACUGAAUAAGAAAGGGAUAAAGAGUCGGCUUACAAUCGCCACUUCACACAAUACAUGAAUAUAGCAUACAUUAUCCAGAAUACAAUCAAGGUCCGACUACGGAACCAAAAUAAAGAAAGACAACCCCAAAUGCUAGAUCUUUGAUCGCCCCAACUGGGCUCCUCUACUGAUCAUUCGGAAAAGAAACAUAGUAAUGGCCCGAAUCCUCGUCGAACUCCCACUUGAGUUCGGUAGCGUCCCCUGCGCUGGCAUCAUCGGCACCUGCAUCUAUUUUGGAAGUAUCUAUGAGUCACGGGGAUUCAGAAAUCUCACACCCUCGUGAGCAAGACUAUUUAAGCUGAAGGAUAGGAAAAGGGUAGUGAGGUGGAUCUGCAGCAAAGGUCUAAGCAUAUAUGGUGGCUAACUUACGCAAAUGAGAGCAAGAAGAGAAGCAAAGCACGGUCAAGAAGCAAUAAGUGAUCAAGAAGUGAUCCUGAGACUACUUACGUUCAGGCAUAACACCAAAAACCGUGUUCACUUCCCAGACUCCGCCGGAAAGAGACCAUCAUGGCUACACACGCGGUUGAUUCGUUUUAAUUAAGUUAAGUGUCAAGCUCUCUACAACCAGAUAUUAACAAAUUCCCAUCUGCCCAUAACCGCGAUCACGGCUUUCAAAAGUUCAAAACCCUGCAAGGGUGUCCCAACUUAGCCCAUCACAAGCUCUCACGGUCAACGAAGGAUAUUCCUUCCCCCAGGAAGACCCGAUCAGACACGGAAUCCCGGUUACAAGACAUUUCGACAAUGGUAAAACAAGACCAGCAAGACCGCCCGAAUGUGCCGAAAAAUCCCGAUAGGAGAUGCACAUAUCUCGUUCUCAGGGCACACCAGAUGGGCAAGACGUCGGGUUGGCAUAGACCCUGGUUGCCUAGGGAGCACCGGACAUUGCCCAGUUCGGACCAACACUUAGAGAAGCACUGGCCCGGGGGGGUUAAAAUAAAGAUAACCCUCGGGCUCGCGAAAACCCAAGGGAAGGUUAUAGGUUGUUAGGCAAAUGUAAAACCAAGGUUGGGCCUUGCUGGAUGAGUUUUAUUCAAAGCGAACUGUCAAUGGGUUCCCAUAACACCCAACCGCGUAAGGAACGCAAAAUCAAGGAACAUAACACCGGUAUGACAGAAACUAGGGCGGCAAGAGUGGAACAAAACACCAGGCAUAAGGCCAAGCCUUCCACCCUUUACCAAGUAUAUAGACGCAUUAAAGUAAAUAAGAGAUAAUAAUGAUAUCCCAACAAUAUCCAUGUUCCAACAUGGAACAAACUUCAACUUCACCUGCAACUAGCAACGCUAUAAGAGGGGCUGAGCAAAGCGGUAACAUAGCCAAACAACGGUUUGCUAGGAAAGUUGGGUUAGAGGCUUGACAUGGCAACAUGGGAGGCAUGAUAUAGCAAGUGGUAGGUAUCGUGGCAAUAACAAUAAAGCGAUCAACUAGCAAGCAAAGAUAUAAGUGAUUUCGAGGGUAUGGUCAUCUUGCCUGCAAAGUUCUCAGAGUUGACGAAAGCUUGAUCCUCGUUAGCAUACUCAACAGGUUCCUCGAUCACGUACUCGUUUCCCGGCUCUACACAAAGCAAGAACACAAGCAAAGGAACACCAAUCAACCACGGUGCAAUGCACAAGCAACAUGAUGCAAAACAUGGCAUGAUAUGCAAGACAAGAUAUGCAAUGCAUAUGCGUGCUCCGGAUGGAAAAGGAUGAACAAGGCAUCAACUUGGCAACCAAGUGUACCGCUGGAAAGAUGAGAUGAUUUCGGUCAAAAUCGAUAUAAAGUUCACCAGAAAUAGAUGCAUGGUUUACAAAUGGCAAACAAAACAAGGAUGGCACAAUUCUGCGAUUAACAGCACGAUGUCAUCUAGAAUGCAACAAGAAACUAAGCUACUGCACUCCAACAUAGCAACAAAGCACAUGGCAGUGAUGGUUGGAAAUAUGCCCUAGAGGCAAUAAUAAAUUGGUCAUUACUAUAUUUCCCUGUUCAUGAUAAUUGUCUAUUGUUCAUGCUAUAAUUGUAUUAACUGGAAAUCGUUAUACAUGUGUGAAUACAUAGACCACAACAUGUCCCUAGUAAGCCUCUAGUUGACUAGCUCGUUGAUCAAUAGAUGGUCAUGGUUUCCUGACCAUGGACAUUGGAUGUCAUUGAUAACGGGAUCACAUCAUUAGGAAAAUGAUGUGAUGGACAAGACCCAAUCUUAAGCGUAGCACAAGAUCAUGUAGUUCGUUUGCUAAAGCUUUUCUAAUGUCAAGUAUCAUUUCCUUAGACCAUGAGAUUGUGCAACUCCCGGAUACCGUAGGAAUACUUUGGGUGUACCAAACGUCACAACGUAACUGGUGGCUAUAAAGGUGCGCUGCAGGUAUCUCCGAAAGUGUCUGUUGGGUUGGCACGAAUCGAGACUGGAAUUUUUCACUCCGUAUGACGGAGAGGUAUCUAUGGGCCCACUCGGUAGUGAAUCAUCAUAAUGAGCUCAAUGUGACUAAGGAGUUAGCCAUGGGAUCAUGUGUUACAGAACGAGUAAAGAGGCUUGCCAGUAACGAGGUUGAACGAGGUAUGGGGAUACCGACGUUCGAAUCUCGCGCAAGUAACAUACCGAUAGACAAAGGGAAUUGUAUACGGGAUUGAUUGAAUCCCCGACAUCGUGGUUCAUCCGAUGAGAUUAUCAUGGAACAUGUAGGAACCAAUAUGGGUAUCCAGAUCCCGCUAUUGGUUAUUGGCCGGAGAGGUGUCUCGGUCAUGUCUACAUGGUUCCCGAGCCCGUAGGGUCUACACACUUAAGGUUCGGUGAUGCUAGAGUUGUUAUGGGAAGUAGUAUGUGGUUACCGAAGGUUGUUCGAAGUCCCAUAUGAGGUCCUGGACGUGACGAGGAGUUCCAGAAUGGUCCGGAGGUGAAGAUCGAUAUAUUGGAUGAAGGGUAUUGGAGUCCGGAAUAGUUGCGGGGGUACCGGGUGACGACCAGCAUGUCCGAAAGGGGUUUCGGAGGCCCCCGCAAGUGUUGGGGGGCCUUAUGGGCCAAGGGGAAGGGGCACACCAGCCCACUAAGGGGCUUUGCGCCCCUCCCACCCCAUCUCACGUAACCAGGAGAGGUGGGGGCGCCUCCCCUAGGGCAGCCUCCCCUCCUGGCUUGGAGGGAAAGUCUCCUAGGGGUAGGGGCACCCAAAACCCAUCUAGGGUUCCCUCCCUGUCUGCCGCCCCUCCCCUAGAUGGGAUAUGAAGGGGCCGGCCCCCUCUCCCCUUCUCCUAUAAAUGGUGGGGGUGGGAGGGCUGCCAGAACACCUAGACCCUUCCCCUGGCGCAGCCCCUACCCCUCUCCUACACCUCCUCCUCUGCAGUGCUUGGCGAAGCCCUGUCGGAGAACCACGAGCUCCAUCGCCACCACGUCGUCGUGCUGUCGGAGUUCUCCCUCAACUUCUCCACUCCCCUUGCUGGAUCAAGAAGGAGGAGACGUCCUCGGGCUGUACGUGUGUUGAACGCGGAGGCACCGUUGUUCGACGCUUAGAUCGGAAUCGACCGUGAUCUAAAUCGCUGCGUGUACGACUCCACCAACCGCGUUCUUGAAACACUUCCAUUUUGCGAUCUUCAAGGGUAUGAAGAUGCACUCCCUCUCUCUCAUUGCUAGCAUCUUCUAGAUUGAUCUUGGUGACACGUAGGAAAUUCUUUGAAUUAUUGCUGCGUUCCCCAACAGUGGUAUCAGAGCUAGGUCUAUGCAUAGAUUCUAUGCACGAGUAGAACACAAAGCAGUUGUGGGCGAUGAUUUGUUCAAUUUGCUUCUCGUUACUAGUCUUAUCUUGAUCCGGCGGCAUUGUGGGAUGAAGUGGCCCAGACCGACCUUACACGUACGCUUACGUGAGACUGGUUCCACCGACUGACAUGCACUUGAUGCAUAAGGUGGCUGGCGGGCGUCUGUCUCUCCCACUUUAGUCAGAUCAGAUUCGAUGAAAAGGGUCCUUAUGAAGGGUAAAUAGCAAUUGCCAUAUCACCGUUGUGGUUUUGCGUAGGUAAGAAACGUUCUUGCUAGAAACCCAUAGCAGCCACGUAAAACAUGCAACAACAAUUAGAGGACGUCUAACUUGUUUUUGCAGGGUAUGCUAUGUGAUGUGAUAUGGCCAAAAGGAUGUGACGAAUUAUAUAUAUGUGAUGUAUGAGAUUGAUCAUGUUCUUGUAAUAGGAAUCACGACUUGCAUGUCAAUGAGUAUGACAACCGUCAGGAGCCAUAGGAGUUGUCUUAAUUUAUUGUAUGACCCGCGUGGCAAUGAAAAAUGCCAUGUAAUUACUUUACUUUAUUGCUAACCAUUAGCCAUAGUAGUAGAAGUAAUAGUUGGAGAGACAACUUCAUGAACACACGAUGAUGGAGAUCAUGGUGUCAUGCCGGUGACGAAGGUGAUCAUGCCACGCCUCGAAGAUGGAGAUCAAAAGGCGCAAGAUGAUAUUGGCCAUAUCAUGCCACUUUAUGAUUUUCAUGUGAUGUUUGUCAUGUUUACAUCUUAUUUGCUUAGAACGACGGUAACAUAAAUAAGAUGAUCCCUCACUAAAAUUUCAAGAAAGUGUUCCCCCUAACUGUGCACCAUUGCGAAGGUUCGUUGUUUCAAAGCACCACGUGAUGAUCGGGUGUGAUAGAUUCUAAUGUUCGCAUACAACGGGUGUAAGCCAGGUUUACACAUGCGAAACACUUAGGUUGACUUGACGAGCCUAGCAUGUACAGACAUGGCCUCGGAACACAAGAGACUGAAAGGUUGAACAUGAGUCGUAUAGUAGAUACGAUCAACAUGGAGAUGUUCACCGUUGAUGACUAGUCCGUCUCACGUGAUGAUCGGACACGGCCUAGUCGAUUCGGAUCAUGUAUCACUUAGAUGACUAGAGGGAUGUCUAUCUGAGUGGGAGUUCAUUGAAUAAUUUAAUUAGAUGAACUUAAUUAUCAUGAACAUAGUCUAAAUUGUAUUUGCAAAUUAUGUUGUGGAUUAAUAGCUCACGCUUUAGCUCUUUGUUUUAAUACGUUCCUAGAGAAAAACUAAGUUGAAAGAUAUUGUAAGCAAUUGUGCGGACUAGGGCCGUAGUCUGAGGAUUGUCCUCACGGCUACACAGAAGGCUUCUGUCCUUGAUGCACCGCUCGGUGUGCCAACCCCUCUAGCGUCGUCUAUGGAUGUUGUGAACAUCUAGUAGACAUGUUUUGAUGACUACCUGAUAGUUUAGUGCGCCAUGCUUUACGGCUUAGAGUCGGGGCUCCAAAAGCAUUUUGAACGCCAUAGAACAUAUGAGAUGUUCAAAGAGCUGAAAUUGGUAUUUCAGGCUCAUGCCCGUGUUGAGAGGUUGAGACCUCUGACAAGACCUUUGCCUACAAGAUGGAGGAGAAUAGCUCAGCCAGUGAGCAUGUGCUCAGAAUGUCUGGGUACUUCAAUCACUUGAAUCAAGUGGGAGUUAAUCUUCCAGAUAAGAGAGUGAUUGACAAAAGUUCUCCAGUCGCUAUGACCAAUCUACUAGAGUUUCGUGAUGAAUUAUAACAUGCAAGGGAAGAUAAUCCCGGAGCUGUUCAUUGUGCUUAAGGACGUAAAGGUAGAAAUCAAGAAGGAUCAUCAAGUGUUGAUGGUAAGAGCACUGGUUUCAAAGAAGGGUAAGGGCAAGAAGCGAAAAUUCUUGAAUGGCAAGCCAGUUGCCGCUCUAGUGAAGAAACCCAAGAACCCAAACACGAGACAAAGUGCUUCAAUUAGGGGAACGGUCACUAGUAGCGGAACUGCCUCAAAUACUUGGUAGAUAAGAAAGUUGUCAACUUCAACAAAAGUAUAUUUGAUAUAUGUUUGUUAUUGAUGUGUACCUUACUAGUACUCCUAGUAGCACCUGGGUAUUAGAUACCGGUUCAGUUGCUAAUAUUGGUAACUCGAAACAAAACCUACGGAAUUAACGGAGACUAGCUAAGGGCGAGGUGAUGAUGUGUGUUGGGAGUGUUUCCAAGGUUGAUGUGAUCACCACCGCACGCUCCCUCUACCUUCGGGAUUAGUGUUGAACCUAGAUAAAUGUUGUUUGCAUUGGUGUCUGCGUUGAGCAUGAACAUGAUUAGAUCAUGUUUAUUGCAAUACGGUCAUUCAUUUAAGUCAGAGAAUAAUGGUUAUUCUAUUUACAUGAAUAAUACCUUCUAUGGUCAUGCACCCAAUGUGAGUGGUUUAUUGAAUCCCGGUCGUAGUUAUACACAUGUUCAUAACAUCGAUGCCAAAAUAUGUAGAGUUGAUAAUGAUAGUACCACUUUCAUGUGGCACUGCCGCUUAGGUAAUAUUGGUGUAAAGCGCAUGAAAGAACCUCCAUGCUAAUGAACUUUUGAAGUCACAUUAUUUUGAAUCACUUGACACAUGCGAACCAUGCCUCCUUGGCAACAUGACUAAAACCCCGUUCUUUGGAACAAUGGAAUGUGCAAGUGACUUGUUGGAAAUCAUACAUGCUGAUGUGUGCGGUCCGAUGAGCGUUGAUGCGCGUGGUGGAUAUCGUUAUUUUCUCACCUUCACUGGUGAAUUGAGUAGAUAUGGGUAUAUUUACUUAAUGAAGCAUAAGUCUGAAAUGUUUGAAAAGUUCAAGCAAUUUCAGAGUUAAGUUGAGAAUCAUCGUAACAAGAAGAUCAAGUUCCUUUGAUCUGGUCAAAGGUAAAGUAUCUGAGUUAUGAGUUUGGCAAUCACUGAAGACAAGGUGGAAUCGUUUCACAAUUGACGCCGCCUGGAACACCAUAGCAUGAUGGUGUGUCCGAACGUCGUAAUCGAACCUUAUUGGAUAUGGUGUAUGAUGUCUCUUACCAAUCUACUGCUAUUUUGGGGGGUUAUGCAUUAAAUACAAUUACAUUCACUUUAAAUAGGGCACCAUCUAAGUCCGUGGAGACGACACCGUAUGAACUAUGGUUUUGCAAGAAACCAAAGUUGUUGUUUCUUAAGGUUUGGGGCUACGAUGCUUAUGUCGAUAGGCUUUGGUCAGAAAAGCUCGAACCCAAAGCGGAAAAUUGUAUCUUCAUAGAAUACCCAAACAAGAUGAUUGGGUAUACCUUCUAUCUCAGAUUUGAGGGCAAAGUGUUUGUCGCUAAGAACAAGUCCUUUCUUGAGAAAGAGUUUCUCUCGAAAGAAUUGAGUGGGAGGAAGAUAGAACUUGAUGAGGUUGUUGAACCUUCACUUCAACCAGAGAGUAGAGCAGCACAAAAAGAUGUUUCUGUGGAAACUACGUCAAUUGAAGAGAAAGCUAAUGAUGAUGAUCAUGAAGCUUCAAAUCAAAUUACUAUCGAACCUUGUAGGUCGACAAGGGUGUGUACAACUUCUCAGUGGUAACCCUGUCUUAAAGGUCAUGUUGUUGGACAACGAUGAACCUAUGAGCUAUGAAGAAGCGAUGGUGGGCCCGGGUUCCAACAAAUGGCUAGAAGCCAUGAAAUCCGAGAUAGGAUCCAUGUAUGAGAACAAAGUAUGGACUUUGGCGGACUUGCCCGAUGAACGGCAAGCCAUUGAGAAUAAAUGGAUCUUUAAGAAGAAGACAAACGCUGAUGGUAAUGUCACCAUUUGUGAAGCUCGACUUGUCUCAAAGAAGUUUCCGACAAGUUCAAGGAGUUGACUAUGAUGAGACUCUCUUAAUCAUAGCAAUGCUAAAGUCUGUUAGAACUAUGUUAGCAGUUGCUGCAUUUUCAUUUAUGAAAUCAGGCAGAUGGGUGUUGAGGGAGUCCUGGAUUAGGGGGUGUCCGGAUGGCCGGACUAUACCUUCAGCCGGACUCCUGGACUAUGAAGAUACAAGAUUGAAGACUUCGUCCCGUGUCCGGGAGGGACUUUCCUUGGCGUGGAAGGCAAGCUUGGCGAUACGGAUAUGUGGAUCUCCUACCAUUGUAACCGACUUUGUGUAACCCUAACCCUCUCCGGUGUCUAUAUAAACCGGAGGGUUUUAGUCCGUAGGACAACAUACAGAACAACAAUCAUACCAUAGGCUAGCUUCUAGGGUUUAGCCUCUCCGAUCUCGUGGUAGAUCUACUCUUGUGCUACCCAUAUCAUCAAUAUUAAUCAAGCAGGACGUAGGGUUUUACCUCCAUCAAGAGGGCCUGAACCUAGGUAAAACUUCGUGUCCCUUGCCUCCUGUUACCAUCCGGCCUAGAUACACAGUUCGGGACCCCCUACCCGAGAUCCGCUGGUUUUGACACCGACUUUGGUGCUUUCAUUGAGAGUUCCUCUGUGUCUUCGCCGUCAGGCUUGAUGGCUCCUACUAUCAUAGAUAGUGAUGCGGUCCAGAGUGAAACUUGUCUCCCCGGACAGAUCUCUGUCUUCGGCGGCUUUGCACUCCGGGCUAAUUUGCUUGGCCAUCUGGAGCAGAUCGAAAGCUACGCCCCUGCCGUCAGGUCAGGUUUGGAAGUUUAAAGUACACGGCUGACAUCCGUGGGGACUUGAUCUUCGACGAAGUCGAGCCACUGCCGAGCGCGCCGCACUGUCACGAUGGGCAUGAUCUAGCUCUGCCGCCGAACAGUGCACUGGAGGCCGCACCCGCAUCGGCUUCGACCCUUAAUUCGGAGCCAACUGCGCUGAUCGAGGAUGGGUGGUUGGACGCCGCCUCGGGGGCUGCGAUCCCAACAACGAUCGAGCCGAACACCAGCCUCGCACUCCGCGAGACUCGUGACUCCAAGGAGCCGGACUCCUCCCCGGACUGCGAACCUUCCGCGCCCCUGCCAAUCGAAUCCGAUUGGGCGCCGAUCAUGGAGUUUACCGCCGCGGACAUCUUUUAGCACUCGCCCUUCGGCAAUAUUAUGAAAUCACUAAAGUCUCUCUCUUUGUCAAGAGAGCCCUGCCCGGAUCAUGGCCAGCAGGAUUGGGAUGCGGAAGACGAAGAAAUUUGACGCCCACCCACCACCCACUUUGUAGCCACUGUCGAUGAUUUAACCGACAUGCUCGACUUUGACUAUGAAAACAUCGACGGUAUGGACAACGAUGCGGGAGGCGAAGAAGAACCACCGCCCACAGGGCGCUGGACGCCCACCUCAUCAUAUGACGUAUACAUGGUGGACGCACCAAAAGAUGACGACGAAGAGCGGAAGGACGCACCGAAGGCUUGUUCCCUCGAGAAGCAGUCAAAGCGGCCACGCAAGCGCCGCCCCAAAUCCCGCCCCGACAGAGAUAACGAUCACACAGACCCAGCGCUGGAGCAGGGCGAACCACUGCCGGACAACGGCAAUCCGAAUAAUCAAACCGAACAAACAAAUUCUAUCAAGGAUAAUAGUCCGGACGACAUAACGCCAGACAGGCACCCGGAGUAGCAGAAUGCCCGUAAAAGGCUUGUUGCCACCGUGAGGAGUCUUAAAAAGCAGAAGCAAAGGCUCAAGGCUGCGCAAGACACACUCGAAAUCAGAUGGAGUAAAAUACUCAACACAGCAGCGAGGUACGGCGACAAUCGCCCCUCCAAGAGCUACCCAAAGCGGAAGUUGCUACCUGAAUUCGAUGAGGAGGCCUCAGACCCCCCACAACCAAAUAUCAAAGCAGCCACCUGGCCGGAUAGACGACCCCUCUACCAACACAGAGCGGCAUACAACACCACUCACAAUACAACACGUGACCCAUGCGAGGGCUCGCACCCAAAGGACGGCGCAACAAGAUCCAUCUAUGGACCACGCAAGCGCGCCCCAGCAUACAAUGCAACACAACAAACAUCCGAACAACACGGUACACCCAGCUAUAGGGGUGCCGCACACCCCCUAUGUUUCACCGAUGAGGUGCUAGACCAUGAAUUUCCAGAGGGAUUCAAACCCGUAAACAUAGAGACAUACGACGGAACAACACACCCUGGGGUCUGGAUUGAGGACUACAUCCUUCAUAUCCAUAUGGCUCGAGGAGAUGAUCUCCACGCCAUCAAGUACUUACCCCUCAAGCUCAAAGGGCCAGCUCGUCACUGGCUUAAAGGCCUCCCCGAAAGCUCCAUUGGAAGUUGGGAAGAGCUCAAAGACGCCUUUCGGGCAAAUUUUCAAGGGACUUAUGUCCGACCUUCGGAUGCGGACGAUUUGAGUCAUAUAACUCAACAGCCCGGAGAGUCAGCUCGAAAGCUUUGGAACAUGUUUCUUACUAAAAAGAACCAGAUUGUCGACUAUCCGGACGCCGAAGCCUUGGCAGCUUUUAAGCAUAGCGUCCGUGACGAAUGGCUCGCCAGACACCUCAGCCAAAAUAAGCCGAGAAUGAUGGCCGCAUUAACAAGCCUCAUGACCCGCUUUUGCGCGGGUGAGGACAGCUGGCUAGCCAGAUGCAGCACCAGCGACCCCAGUACAUCUGAAGUUAGAUAUGGAAACGGGAAAUCACGGUGCAACAGCAAUAACAAAUGUCGGAAUAAAGAAGACAGCACGAAGGGCACGACAGUAAACGCUGGAUUCAAAAGCUCUCGGCCAGGUCAGCAAAAGCCGCCCUCUAAAGGCACCAGGGAUGAACUGUCCAGCCUCAACAAAAUUCUGGACCAAGUAUGUCAGAUCCAUAGUACCCCUGGUAAACCUGCUAAUCAUACCCACAGAGAAUGUUGGGUCUUCAAGCAGUUCGGCAAGCUCAACGAGGCUACACCAAGUGAAGACGAGGACGAGCCUCCCGAGCAAGACACUGGGGAACAAAAGAAAUUUCCACCAGAAGUCAAAACAGUAAACGUGUCACACGUGAUCAAGGGAAAAAAUAACGCGGCACUCCCAGGAAAAUAUACCCAAGUGCCUGUCACCGCGAAGUCCUGCCACUGGUCGUCUCAACCGAUCACUUUCGACCAUUGCGAUUACUCAGCAAGUAUCCGACGCGCAGGAUGGGCUGCCCUGGUAUUAGACCCAGUAAUUGGCGGAUAUCACUUCACACGAGUCUUGAUGGACGGUGGCAGCAAUCUAAACCUAAUAUAUCAGGAGACAAUCCGCGGGAUGGGGUUAGACCCAACAAAAAUUCGCCAUAGCAAUACUACCUUUAAAGGAGUAACACCAGGCCCAGGGGCUCGUUGUACGGGCUCCCUCCUAUUACAAGUUAUAUUCGGCUCCCCCGAUAACUUCCUCGUGAACAUUUAACCUUCCACAUCGCUCCGUUCCAUAGUGGCUAUCAAGCACUGCUCGGACGCGAAGCUUUCACUCGCUUUAAUGCAAUACCACACUACGCCUCCCUCACACUCAAGAUGCCCGGUCCAUGUGGCAUCAUUUCAGUGAACGGAAAUAUCAAGCGAUCUCUGCGCUCCGAAGAGAGUGUGGCUGCCUUGGCAGCCGCACACUAAAGGCGCCCGGACCAGCGAAAGCAUCCAAUAGGUCGACAAGACCUCAGACACAACUAAUCAAGUCUGGCGCCACUAUUUAUACCGAAUAAAUGGUCACACCCCUAUUUGUCAAUACAAGGGGCUCAACAUGCGCAGGCAAGUGGCAAUUUUUUCUCAUCUUGAAUUAUACAUGGUUUCUUUAAAAACUAUCUUUUUGCACGACAACUUUUUCACCUAAAUUCCUCUCUUUUAUAGACGAUCAUCAUGCUACACCCGUCCAGGAUACGGCACAACAGAGACACAUGCGCAGACGUGCAGCAGGGACCCGCUCCAAGGAUUCUUUUUAGAUUAAGACCCUGCGUAAACCUUUUUUACUGUCUCUUGUUGAUACAUAUCCACCGUUGAGGAGGAUGCUGACGUCUUGGCAUGUGGCCACGCCAGAACAAUGCACGUACCUGGACACAAGGGGCUUCUUACAAAGGCCAUUAUUUAGGCCCAGUUUAUACCACAAAGACCGAAUACCUUAGGGAGUGUUCGGCGUCGCGAGUUUGGCCCUAUAUGCAUCAGCUCCGAAUCAUUGUCUUUGGUCAAAUGUUGGGUUUCCCCGGCUCCUAUGUUUUGGUGCCUUACGUUCCGCUUUACCGGCUAAGGUAGCACCAGGAGAACUACUGCGAUUGUGCCCUGGUUCAUCCGGACGAGCACCUCAGUAGAGAAAGCCGAAAACUGACUGUCAUGAUAUAGCGUGAGACUGGUCAACCACUCGAUGACCUGUUGGAAUGUUAGAAUUCCUCCGCCUUAACCAAGGGCCAUUUUCUGGCCAGGCAUGUACGCACCCUGGGAUUGGGAGAGUGCAGAGCCACCAGGGGCUAUCUAGUAGCCCCACUGUCAAACUCCUAUGGCUAAGUGAAAGUGCUAAAGCAUUAUAGUCCGGUUGCCUUGCUCGUUCCGCUAUCACCUCCUUAAUAGGACCAAGACGUUGGGUUAAGUGUGAACGCGUGUUUUUUGUGAGCACCUCCGCAUUAUAUGCGUGGGGGUUGAAGCUGACGGCUGCAAUCUUUCAGGUUAUACACAUGUAUACAUAAACGGCCGCCCAGGAGGCAUCAUAUUACUUUCAAGCAAAAGUAUAAAAAUAGCCUUAUAAAAAUUUAUAAAAGCAUUUCGCUUACAAUGAUAUUACAUAUCACUCAAACAUAAUAUUUUUUUAGCACUGGGUCUCUAUCAAACAAGCACCCUCAAGAACUUCUUCAAAGUAGUGCUCAGCAGCCAUUCGGCCUAUGGCCGAAUCCCGCGCUGCAAUAGUGGUAGCAUCCAUCUCCGCCCAGUAUGCUUUAACACGGGCAAAGGCCAUCCGUGAGCCCUCUAUGCACGCCGACCUCUUCAUCGCAUUAAUGCGCGGCACCACAUCAAGGAACUGCUGCACCAAGCUGAAAUAGCUGUUCGGUUUUGGCCUUUCCGACCAUAGCUGAUCCAUAACAGACCUCAUGGCGAGUCCGGACAACCUAUUCAAUUCGACCCAUUCGGCUAAUUGGUCAGUCAAUGAAAGCGGACACUCGGGAGAAUGGAAUUGUGUCCAAAACAGCUGGUCCACUUCACGGUCCGUCUGACCCUGGAAGUACUUGGCCGCAUCGGCAACGCUUGCCGCCAAAUCCAUAUACACAUCCUCCGAACUCCACAGCCGAUCCAGAGGGGCAUACCAUGGAUCUCCGAACUUCCUCCGCAACAUAAAGGAUUUCCCAGCUACAAUAUCCCCGGCUUCCCGCAGCUCCUCCUUCUUCGCCCUCAUGGCAGAGCAGAUGUCUUUUCUCGUCGCAGCAGCCUUCUCAAGGUCUGAUGCCUUCGCUAGGUUUUCCUUUUCAAGAACCCGGCAACGGUCGGGGCGGCUUUUAAUUCUAUGGCCAUCUUGGCCAUCUUACCUCGGCUCUUGCCAUGCGCGGCCUUCUCGGCUUUCAACUCUUCGGCCGCCUUCAAAGCAGCCGCAUUACCAAACCUCGCUUGUUCCUUGGCUCGGGCAAGUUCUGCCCGCAAGGCUUCAAUAGUGGUAGCUCCAUCUGCAGUCACAACAUAUUAAAGAUACUAGCAUCAUGCUGCUCUUACUAUGCGGCGUUUACCAGAUAAUGACACUUACCAUGUGCCUCGUCAGGCCUUUUGUUAACAAGCUCGAUGUCGGCGUCUGCCGCAUCCAACUGCCGUUUUAAAUGGGCAAACUCGCUAGUCCGGCUAGCCACUGGAGCUUCCAUCACCUGCACAUAGAGGCAGUAUGGUUAUUACCUGGGAAUAUGAUCCUCUGUUCGUCGUCGUUUCUGAUGACAACCAGAGUGUCAGGGGCUACUAUCUACACAGGGCACACCUAGCAUGUACAGGACUAUCAUACGUUAUUUUACGUACCUCAAAGCCUGUCAGUAGACUCAUAAAAGCUUCAUGCAAUCUACUUUCGGCGGACGAGAUUCUCUCCAUCACCGUAUUCAUCAGCAUACGGUGUUCAUCUGAGAUGGCCGCUCGCCCCACCAACUCCCUCAGAACAUCCGAUCGCACACCAGAUGGUGCUGGACUCUUUUGUCUGCUCUCUUCGGGAGCCGGACACUGGGAGCUUCGGGGGUCAAUGGGAUUAUCUUCUGGCCUCACUGGACUCGGAGAGGCCCUCCGCGAUGACACUUCGGGGUCGCCCGCUUCCGGAGCGGAGGAGUCCGGAGGAGGCGUUUCGCUCUCCAUCAUCUCUGGAAGAAGAUCCCCCGAAGACGAGCUCAUUUGAGAGGGGCUAAGGCCCGAACUAUAAAGAUAUAUGCGGUGGUUAUUUUCUCAGAAGAAAAAGAUGGCAUACCUGUACUAUUAAAGUAUUUCGGGUCACUUAUGACUCGCUGGAGAAUUGAUCCCCCCGCGGACUUUGUGCGGCAAAAUCACCCCCAAGGUAGGACCCUCUAUGGGAGACUUCUUCCCCCGUUUGGAAGCUUCGGCUUCCGAAUCCCCGGGCUCAGUCCUUUUCCUCCUCCGGUCGUCUUCCUUCAUGGAGACGCUCGCUCCCUCGGUUAGAAUGGGCAGCGUUAGGGGCCCGCGUCCGCCCGUAUUAUCCUCCCAAGUAUCUUCCUUCAAGGGCUCCGGGCAAGGUGUGACCUGGAGCAUCUUUUCCAAUACCGGAUUGUCCAAACCCUCAGGGAGGGGGGCCGAACACCGAAUCAACUUCGCCUUUGUUAGCCAGUCCUGGUCAAAAAGCGAACUCUCAGAAAUAACUUCGUAACAAAUGAGAGAUAGUAUGUUCGGUGGGAAGAUUCCUUACCUGUUCAGCGGCGCGGUUACCGCUCAGGCCCACGUCCUCGGUGAUUUCCGGACACUCUACCUGAGGUCCGAAGAAUGAAUUGUACAUCUCCUCAUGCGUAAGGACGAGGAAAUUUUGAAUGACACGCGGUCCCUUGGGAUUGAACUCCCACAAGCAAAGGGACCGAUGUUUGCAAGGCUGGACUUGACGAACCAGCAUAACUUGUAUUACCGCAACCAAACUAAAAUCUCCAUUGAAGAGAUCUCGAAUGCGGCUUUGCAGUAUAGGCACGUCCUUGGCUGGACCCCAGCUCAGACCUCUGCUGAUCCAUGACAUCAGUUGUGGUGGAGGGCCCGAGCGGAAAAUAGGGGCGGCCGCCCACUUGGCACUUCUAGGAGCUAUGUUGUAGAACCACUCCUGUUGCCACAAUUCAGACACCUCUGGAAUGGAACCUUUGGGCCAUGGAGCUCCCGUCAUCUUGCAUACUGAGGCACCUCCGCACGCUGCAUGUUGCCCCUCGAUCAUCUUCGGCUUUACUUCAAAGGUCUUGAGCCACAGGCCAAAGUGAGGGGUAACCCGGCGGAAGGUCUCACACACGACAAUAAAUGUCGUGAUAUGAAGAAAGGAGUCCGGAGCUAGAUCAUGGAAAUCUAGCCCGUAAUAAAACAUCAAACCCCUAACGAAAGGAUCCAGAGCAAGGCCUAGACCUCGGAGGAAGUGGGAGACGAACACGAUGUUCUCGUUGGGUUCGGGGGAGGGGACGGCUUGCCCUCGGGCAGGCAGCCGAUGCGAAACCUCGGUGGUCAGAUAUCUGGCCUCCCUCAACUUUUUGAUGUCUUCUUCCAUGACGGAGGAAGGCAUCCAUCGGCCUUGAAGGCUAGAUCCGGACAUGAUUGAAGGUUCGGAGCACCUGACCUGAACUUUGGGUGUUUGAGCUUGAGGUGGGGGAAGGAUUCGAUUGAGCACGGGAGGGAAAAAAUAAAAGCCUUGUCCCUUUAUAAAGAGGGUGAAUAUCAAGCGUCCUCUCCGUGGCCGUUUGGACUUGCCUAUAGUCUAGGAGUCCUAGAGGCGGUUGGGUUACCCACGCCCGUAUCGAUGAGAAUCCCGGAAUAAGGGGACACGAUCUCUGCUUUAACAAGACAUGCCAAGGAAACCUCCUCACAUGAGACGCUGAGGUGGGACAAUAAAACAAUUCAAAUAAAGGCUUGGCCGUUGUGCGAUGUCACACUACGGAAUACGUCAGCAGAUUAGAUUUGUGUAAAUAUUAUUCUCUCUAUGGCAAUAUGUGGAAACUUAUUUUGCAGAGCCGGACACUAUCUUUGUGUUCAAAAUCUUCUAUGAAGUACUUGGAGGAGGAACCCGCCUUGCAAUGCCGAAGACAAUCUGCGCGCCGGACUCGUCGUCAUUGAAGCCUGGUUCAGGGGCUACUGAGGGAGUCCUGGAUUAGGGGGUGUCUGGAUGGCCGGACUAUACCUUCAGCCGGACUCCUGGACUAUGAAGAUACAAGAUUGAAGACUUCGUCCCGUGUCCGGGAGGGACUUUCCUUGGCGUGGAAGGCAAGCUUGGCGAUACGGAUAUGUGGAUCUCCUACCAUUGUAACCGACUUUGUGUAACCCUAACCCUCUCCGGUGUCUAUAUAAACCGGAGGGUUUUAGUCCGUAGGACAACAUACAGAGCAACAAUCAUACCAUAGGCUAGCUUCUAGGGUUUAGCCUCUCCGGUCUCGUGGUAGAUCUACUCUUGUGCUACCCAUAUCAUCAAUAUUAAUCAAGCAAGACGUAGGGUUUUACCUCCAUCAAGAGGGCCCGAACCUGGGUAAAACUUCGUGUCCCUUGCCUCUUGUUACCAUCCGGCCUAGACGCACAGUUCGGGACCCCCUACCCGAGAUCCACCGGUUUUGACACCGACAGGUGUCAAAACAAAGUUUCCUUGACGGUUUCCAUGAGGAAAGGUUGUAUGUGAUACAACCAAAAGGUUUUUGUCAAUCCUAAGGAUGCUAAAAGGUAUGCAAACUCCAGCGACCAUUCUAUGGACUGGAGCAAGCAUCUCGGAGUUGGAACAUACGGUUUGAUGAGGCGAUCAAAGCAUUUGGGUUUAUACAAAGUUUGCAAGAAACUUGUAUUUGCAAGAAAGUGAGUGGGAGCACUACAACAUUUCUGAUAGGUAUAUAUGGAUGACAUAUUGUUGAUCAGAAAUGAUGUAGAAUUUCUAGAAAGCAUAAAGGGUUGUUUGAAUGGAGUUUUUCAAAGGAAGACUUGUGUAAAACUGCUUACAUAUUGGGUAUCAAGAUCUAUGGAGAUAGAUCAAGACGCAUGAUAAGACUUUCACAGAGCACAUACCUUGACAUGAUCUUGAAGGAGUUCAAGAUGGAUCAGUCAAAGAAGGAGUUCUUUCCUGAGUUGUGAGGUGUGAAGUUAAGACUUGAAGCUCGACCAUGGCAAAAGAAAGAGAAAGGACGAAAGUCGUCCCCUAUGCCUUAGCCAUAGGCUCUAUACGAUAUGCCAUGCUAUGUGCCGCGAUGUGCGUUGCCACGUGUCUGGCAAGGGGGUACAAGAGUGAUCCAGGAGUGGAUCAUUGGACAACGGUCAAAAUUGUCCUUAGGAAUAAGGAAAUGUUUCUCGUUUAUGGAGGUGAUAAAGAGUUCGGCAUAAAGGGUUACGUCGAUGCAAGCUUUAACACGGAUCCGGAUGACUCUGAGUAGCAAACCGGAUACGUAUAGUGGAGCAACCAUUUGGAAUAGCUCCAAGUGGAGCAUAGUAGCAACAUCUAUAAUAUGAAAUCGAGAUUUGCGAAGAACACACGAAUCUGAAUGUUGCGGGCCCAUUGACUGACACUUCUCUCGUAAGCAUAACAUGAUCAAACCCUAGAACUCAUUGAGUGUUAAUCACAUGGCGAUGUGAACUAGAUUAUUGACUCUAGUAAACUCUUCGGGUGUUAGUCACAUGGCGAUGUGAACUAUGAGUGUUAAUCACAUAACGAUGUGAACUAGAUUAUUGACUCUAGUGCAAGUGGGAGACUGUUGGAAAUAUGCCCUAGAGGCAAUAAUAAAAUGGUUAUUACUAUAUUUCCUUGUUCAUGAUAAUUGUCUAUUGUUCAUGCUAUAAUUGUAUUAACUGGAAACUGUAAUACAUGUGUGAAUACAUAGACCACAACAUGUCCCUAGUAAGCCUCUAGUUGACUGGCUCGUUGAUCAAUAGAUGGUCAUGGUUUCCUGACCAUGGACAUUGGAUGUCAUUGAUAACGGGAUCACAUCAUUAGGAGAAUGAUGUGAUGGACAAGACCCAAUCUUAAGCGUAGCACAAGAUCAUGUAAUUCGUUUGCUAAAGCUUUUCUAAUGUCAAGUAUCAUUUCCUUAGACCAUGAGAUUGUGCAACUCCCGGAUAUCGUAGGAAUACUUUGGGUGUACCAAACGUCACAACGUAACUGGUGGCUAUAAAGGUGCGCUGCAGGUAUCUCCGAAAGUGUCUGUUGGGUUGGCACGAAUCGAGACUGGGAUUUUUCACUCCGUAUGACGGAGAGGUAUCUAUGGGCCCACUCGGUAGUGCAUCAUCAUAAUGAGCUCAAUGUGACUAAGGAGUCAGCCACGGGAUCAUGCGUUACAGAACGAGUAAAGAGGCUUGCCAGUAACGAGGUUGAACGAGGUAUGGGGAUACCGACGUUCGAAUCUCGCGCAAGUAACAUACCGAUAGACAAAGGGAAUUGUAUACGGGAUUGAUUGAAUCCCCGACAUCGUGGUUCAUCCGAUGAGAUUAUCAUGGAACAUGUAGGAACCAAUAUGGGUAUCCAGAUCCCGCUAUUGGUUAUUGGCCGGAGAGGUGUCUCGGUCAUGUCUACAUGGUUCCCGAGCCCGUAGGGUCUACACACUUAAGGUUCGGUAAUGCUAGAGUUGUUAUGGGAAAUAGUAUGUGGUUACCGAAGGUUGUUGGGAGUCCUGGAUGAGAUCCUGGACAUGACGAGGAGUUCUAGAAUGGUCCGGAGGUGAAGAUCGAUAUAUUGGACAAAGGGUAUUGGAGUCCGGAAUUGUUCUGGGCGUAUCGGGUGACGACCAGCGUGUCCGAAAGGGGUUUCGGAGGCCCCGACAAGUGUUGGGGGGCCUUAUGGGCCAAGGGGAAGGGGCACACCAGCCCACUAAGGGGCUGUGCACCCUUCCCACCCCAUCUCACGUAACCAGGGGAGGUGGGGGCGCCUCCCCUAGGGCAGCCUCCCCUCCUGGCUUGGAGGGCAAGUCUCCUAGGGGUGGGGGCACCUAAAACCCAUCUAGGAUUCCCUCCCUGGCCGCCGCCCCUCCCCUAGAUGGGAUCUGAAGGGGCCGGCCCCCUCUCCCCUUCUCCUAUAAAUAGUGGGGGUGGGAGGACUGCCAGAACACCUAGACCUUUCCCCUGGCGCAGCCCCUACCCCUCUCCAACACCUCCUCCUCCUCUGCAGCGCUUGGCGAAGCCCUGCGGGAGAACCACGAGCUCCAUCACCACCAUGCCGUCGUGCUGUCGGAGUUCUCCCUCAACUUCCCCUCUCCCCUUGCUGGAUCAAUAAGGAGGAGACGUCCUCGGGCUGUACGUGUGUUGAACGCGGAGGCGCCGUUGUUCGACGCUUAGAUCGGAAUCGGCCACGAUCUGAAUCGCUGCGUGUACGACUCCACCAACCGCGUUCUUGCAACACUUCUGUUUAGCGAUCUUCAAGGGUAUGAAGAUGCACUCUCUCUCACUCGUUGCUAGCAUCUCCUAGAUUGAUCUUGGUGACAUGUAGGAAAUGUUUUGAAUUAUUGUUGCGUUCCCCAACAGUGAUCUACUCAAGAUGCUUGACAAAACAUGAACACUGAGCUACGGCUAAAUCACAAAAGAGUAGGCUCAAACAAGCAUGGCAAAAGUGCAAAAGAUAUCAGCAUCACAGACUUAGUGAAAAUACUAACAUGCCAGAAAAUAACAUCAGGAAGGAAUGUUUAGAGCAAGCAAACAACAUGCUACAGGAACAUGUCAUAGCAAACUAAGGCAUGGCAUGAAUCUAAUAAAUGCAUAGAACAAAAGUCCCUUACUGAUCAUGAGCCAAAAUGGCACAGAAGAUAUGAUGGCACUUAUGUAAACAUAGAAAGUUUUAUUAACAGAUUCAGACUUAGCAGAAAACUGAGCAUGGCAUAAACAGAGUUAUGAAGGCAUCUUUGUGAGCUCGAUUCACUCACCACAAGGCAUUGCAUGACAAGACAAGCAUACAUACAGCAAGAUGACAUGUUCAUAAAGAUACUAUGGCAAGAGAAAGUUCAGAGCAUGCAAAGAUCAACUACAACAACCAUGGCAAAAUUGAUUAACCUGUAAAAAAUCUACCAGGAACAUUUUAUAGAAAAAGUAGAGCAAGAUUAAUACAUGCUAGGGCACUCCAUAAUUGCAAACAUGGGCAUGGAUGGAUAGAGCAUAACCAUAUGUCCAAAUAAUCCUUAAUGAAGCAACUCAAAACAAGCAUGGAUCUCACUGUAGCAUCAUGUUUACAUGGCAUAAAAAUAACAACAGGAAAAUGACAGUAAAAUCCUAAGUCACUGAAAACAACAAUAUCACGAGGCCUAGUUUGCAUGCUUGUGCUAGUCACCACAUUGAUCACAAAAAUACAUGGCAAGCACCCCUGUAAACAUGGCAUGGCAUAGAUCAAAACACAUGUAGAGCUCAUGUUCAUAUGAAGCACCCAUCAAAUGUGACAAAAAAGACAAAUCCCCAUAAUCUGAUAAGUAGCAGCGGUAAACAUUUUAUAGCACUCUUGCAUCAAUGAUUAGGGCAUCAAGAUGGACUCAAAUAAGCAUGUCACAAUGGAAUGAAGUGAAGAGCAUCUCCCAAUGAACAUUUUGAUAUAUCAUGCGCAUGAAACGGAGCUACGGUCAUGAAGUUAUGAUGCAACGAAGGAGGCAUGAAAAUGUCACAGUAAAGGACUUAGUGAAAAAAAUAGUUGAGCGGGGAAUAGCUAUGAUGCGCGCAGGGCGGGGUUAGCACUACUCACCAAGGGCCAAGCCCAUCUGAGGAGGAGGGAGCUGGGCCGGAUCUGGGCCUGCUGUGCGGGGAGGGGCCCACGCGGGCGCUCGCGGGGCCCACGAGCGGAGGCACGAUCGUCCCUGCCGAACCCACCUGGAUCGGGAAGGCAGGGGCGACGGUGACCAACGGCGACGACGGCCGACAGAGAGCACGGAGAAGGGCAACGGCGGCCGGGAAUGGCAGCGACCGGCGCGGUCGGGUCCCGGGCGGAGCAGGGUGCGGGCGACGGGCGGCGUCUGGUGGCGCGGAAGCCGGGGCGGCAGGGAUGCGGUCUUGGCCGAGCGGCUCGGCUCACCGAUGGGGACCUGCGGGCGGCGGCGCGCAGGAUCCGGGCGGCGGGGCGGUGAUGCGGCGGCGGGGCUGCGGGCAGAUGCCGAGGAAACUCCGGUGGUAGAGCUCCCGGCGACGACGGCGACGAAUGGCGGGGAAACUUCGGCGAGACGGGCGUGGGCGGCAGCGCGCUCGGGCCAAGAUGGGCUUGGGUGGGCCGGAGAUGGAUCUGGCAGGCCCACACGGUGGGAGGCUGCGGCUGGCACUGUUGGGGCACAGAAAACGAGGCAUAUUAGGGUUAGGGUUAGGGUGCUCUCUCUCAGAUUUGGACGGGGAAUGAUUAUUUAUACGCAGAAGGAGUUUGGAGUGUCCAAAUGAGGUGUAGUUUUCGCCCACGCGAUCGUAAUCCGACGGCGGAGGACAUGGGAGUGGUUUGGAAGGGUUAUUGGGCCGUUUUGGAGGGGUGUUGGGCUGCAACACAAACAAGGCCUUUACGGUUCCCCGGUUAACCGUUGGAGCAUCAAACGGACUCCAAAUGGCACGAAAUUUGACAGGCAAUCUACCGGUGGUGUACCAAGGCCACUUGGCAAAUCUAGGUCCAUUCCGAGAACGUUUAACACCCGCUCACGAGAAGAGACAAGAGGGGUGCUCCCGUGCACGUGGGAGUGUCGGAUUGCGAAACGGACAACGGGGAAAAUGCUCGGAUGCAUGAGACGAACGUGAAUGCAAGUGCGAUGCAGAUGAUGACAUGAUAUGAAAUGCAUGACAUGAACAAAAGAAAAACAAAGACAAAACCCAACCAUGAAGGAAUCUCACAACACCUCUCCGGAAAAGGCAAGAGUCGGAGUUACAAAUAUGGAAAGUUGUAUCCGGGGCGUUACACAAGUCAACCAAAGUCCACACUUUCAUCUCAUACAUGGAUCCCAUCUCAGAUUUCAUGGCCUCAAACCAUUUUGCGGAAUCUGGGCUCAUCAUCGCUUCCUCAUAGUUCGUAGGUUCGUCAUGGUCAAGUAACAUGACCUCCGGAAUAGGAUUACCGUACCACUCUGGUGCGGAUCUUACUCUGGUUGACCUUCCUCACUUACUGGUGUAGGAAUCACUGGAACUGAUUUCAGUGAUGAACUACUUUCCAAUAAGGGAGCAGGUACAAUUACCUCACCAAGUUAUACUUUCCUCCCACUCACUUCUUUCGAGAGAAACUCCUUCUCUAGAAAGGAUCCAUUCUUAGCAAUGAAUAUCUUGCCUUCGGAUCUGUGAUAGAAGGUGUACCCAACAACCUCCUUUGGGUAUCCUAUGAAGACACAUUUCUCCGAUUUGGGUUCGAGCUUAUCACGUUGAAGCUUUUUCACAUAAGCAUCGCAGCCCCAAACUAUAAGAAACGAUAACUUGGGUUUCUUGCCAAACCACAGUUCAUAAGGUGUCAUCUCAACGGAUUUAGAUGGUGCCCUAUUUAACAUGAAUGUAGCUGUCUCUAAAGCAUAACCCCAAAAUGAUAGCGAUAAAUCGGUGAGAGACAUCAUAGAUCGCACCAUAUCUAGUAAAGUACGAUUACGACGUUCGGACACGCCAUUAUGCUAUGGUGUUCCGGGUGGCGUGAGUUGCGAAACUAUUCUGCAUUGUUUCAAAUGAAGACCUAACUUGUAACUCAAAUAUUCUCCUCCAUGAUCAGAUCCUAAAAACAUUAUUUUCUUGUUAUGAUGAUUUUCCACUUCACUCUGAAAUUCUUUGAAUUUUUCAAAUGUUUCAGACUUAUGUUCCAUUAAGUAGAUAUACCCAUAUCUGCUCAAAUCAUCUAUGAAGGUGAGAAAACAACGAUAUCCGUCGUGAGCCUCAAUGUUCAUUGGACCACAUACAUCAGUAUGUAUGAUUUCCAGUAACUCUGUUGCUCGCUCUGUUGUUCCAGAGAACGGAGUUUUAGUCAUCUUGCCCAUGAGGCAUGGUUUGCAAGUACCAAGUGAUUCAUAAUCAAGUGAUUCCAGAAGUCCACCAGAAUGGAGUUUCUUCAUGCGCUUUACACCAAUAUGACCCAAACGACAAUGCCACAAAUAAGUCGCACUAUCAUUAUCAACUCUGCAUCUUUUGGCUUCAAUACUAUGAACAUGUGUAUCACUACUAUCAAGAUUUAGUAAAAAAUAGACCACUCAGCAAGGGUGCAUGACCAUAAAAGAUAUUACUCAUAUAAAUAGAACAACCAUUAUUUGCUGAUUUAAAUGAAUAACCGUCUCGCAUCAAACAAGAUCCAGAUAUAAUGGUCAUGCUCAACGCUGGCACCAAAUAACAAUUAUUUAGGUCUAAAACUAAUCCCGAAGGUAGAUGUAGAGGAAGCGUGCCGACGGCGAUCACAUCGACUUUGGAACCAUUUCCCACGCGCAUCGUCACCUCGUCCUUAGCCAAUCUUCGCUUAAUCCGUAGCCCCUAUUUUGAGUUGCAAAUAUUAGCAACAGAACCGUAUCAAAUACCCAGGCACUACUACGAGAAUUAGUAAGGUACACAUCAAUAACAUGUAUAUCAAAUAUACCUUUCACUUUGCCAUCCUUCUUCUCCGCCAAAUACUUGGGGCAGUUCCGCUUCCAGUGACCAGUCCCUUUGCAGUAGAGGCACUCAGUUUCAGGCUUAGUUCCAAACUUGGGUUUCUUCACUUGAGCAGCAACUGGAUUGAUGUUCUUCUUGAAGUUCCCCUUCUUCCCUUUACCCUUUUUCUUGAAACUAGUGGUCCUAUUGACCAUCAACACUUGAUGCUCCUUCUUGAUUUCUACCUCCGCGGCCUUUAGCAUUGCGAAGAGCCCGGGAAUAGUCUUAUCCAUCCCUUGCAUAUUAUAGUUCAUCACGAAGCUCUUGUAGCUUGGUGGCAGUGAUUGAAGAACUCUGUCAAUGACACUAUCAUCAGGAAGAUUAACUCUCAGCUGAGUCAAGUGGUUGUGGUAACCAGACAUUCUGAGUAUAUGUUCACUGACAGAACUAUUCUCCUCCAAUUUGCAGCUGUAGAACUUAUUGGAGACUUCAUAUCUCUUAAUCCGGGCAUUUUCUUGAAAUAUUAACUUCAACACCUGGAACAUCCCACAUGCUCCAUGAUGUUCAAAACGUCGUUGAAGUCCCGGUUCUAAGCCGUAAAGCAUGGCACACUAAACUAUUGAGUAGUCAUCAGCUUUGCUCUGCCAGGUGUUCACAACAUCUGGCGUUGCUCUUGCAGCGGGUUUGUCACCUAGCGGUGCUUCCAGGAUGUAAUUCUUCUGUGCAGCAAUGAGGAUAAUCCUCAAGUUACGGACCUAGCCCGUGUAGUUGCUACCAUCAUCUUUCAACUUAGCCUUCUGUAGGAACGCAUUAAAAUUCAACAGAACAACAGAACGGCCAUCUAUCUACAACAACAUAGACAUGCAAAAUACUAUCAGGUACUAAGUUCAUGAUAAAUUAAAGUUCAAUUAAUCAAAUUACUUAAGAACUCCUACUUAGAUAGACAUCUCUCUAAUCAUCUAAGUGAUCACGUGAUCCAUAUCAACUAAACCAUGUCCAAUCAUCAUGUGAGAUGGAGUAGUUUUCAAUGGUGAACAUCACUAUGUUGAUAAUAUCUACUAUAUGAUUCACGCUCGACCUUUCGGUCUCAGUGUUCCGAGGCCAUAUCUGAAUAUGCUAGGCUCUUCAAAUUUAACCUGAGUAUUCUGCAUGUGCAAAAUUGGCUUGCACCCGUUGUAUGUGAACGUACAACUUAUCACCCCCGAUCAUCAUGUGGUGUCUCGGCACGACGAUGUAGCGACCCGACCCGAAUGGGUCAAUUCUCUGUGCUUAAGUAUCAUCCCUGGAUCGGUAUGCUGACACACACAGUACUCGAGGAUUUAUAACAGAGGUAAAUCACAUGUAAAAGUAACGUAAAUACUAUUACCUCAAAUCCAAAAUAGCGGAAGUAACAAGGUUGUGGAUUCCCAUCAACACCAACGGCAAAGUUGAGUGUAGAAAUCGUAACCCUAACGUAUCACUUACUCGUCGUAAGAUAAUCCUGCAACAUGAGAUGUUGCAGCCACAGAGGGUCAGUACAUUGAAUGUACUGGCAAAUUCACACCAUAGAGAAUGAUGAAUAAAGGCUAUCACUACAUGCAUAUUUGGCUAGUGGAAAAGCUCUAUGGUUAUAAGGUUUUUGCGAAAAGCCAAUUUUUCCCUACUGCAAAGGAAUACAUUUUAAUUAACUAUCAUGGUGGUUGUUGAACAUUGAGAAUGGUUGACAGCAUUCUCAAUCCCAAUUAAGCAUCAUCAUUAAAACCCAACAAUAUUCAUUUAAAGUAACGUGAUGAGAUCAAUAGGAUAAUCCAAGAACUAGAUACUCAAGAUGUCAAUAACCAGGGACACGGCUAAUCAUGAUUAGUUUGUACACUCUGCAGAGGUUUGCGCACUUUCCCCACAAGACUCGAUCGCCUCUGUUGGAUUUCUCGCACUACAUGGUGUUUGAGAAACGGAUGACCGAGACACAGUCUUUCAGAAAUGCUAGCACCUUACGAUGGAUAGACCGGUACACCUACUUUCCCCUACAUCUGCUAGUCUACCCUGUAAGAGUUCGCACGACUUAAUCAACUAUGCCAGAGCCCAUAAUGGCUUGUGGCUGCACACGGAAGUUUCUAGUUUGAAAAAUCUCAUGAUCCCUUUGAGCCUGGGUGGCGGUCCAAAAGAAAACAGGCAAGUCCUGGAAUACCCAGGUGCCUCAAUCCACCUAGAUGUGUGUUUAGGUUGCCACCUUAGAUAAACCAUUAAUUAACAAUCUCACAUCUGUCAUGGAUAUCACUCACCCAAUCCACGUCUACUAGCAUAGCAUGGCAUAAUAAACAAACGUAGAAGUAACUCCCAAAGGUUUGAUAAUAAACAGGUAAUAGGUACUACCUCAUCUACUUCCCAUCCCACAAUUUAAUUAGAUCCUAAUCAUGCAAUAUGUGAGGAUUGAUCUAAUGCAAUAAAAUUGGGUAGUAGAAAAGGUAUGAUCAAAGUGUGAACUUGCCUGCAAUGUUGAUGAAGAUGAUUCGCACUCAAAACUCUUGAUAGUUCUACUCGUCACACUCCGGUCAAUCUAUCGUAAGCAAGCAAUAGUAACCACACAUAAGCAAUCAUUCAAAAGAUCAGUAAGAUCGAAGAACACAAUUCGGAAAACAUCAAAACCAAGCAAAUAACUCUGGCAACAUAAAACAAUUUCUAACAAUACCAAAAUUAUGUAAAUUUGGCCUUAUUAGAAAGUUUAGGUCAAGAGCUUCGAUUUGCAAAAAGAAUCAACUCAAACGGAGCUACGAAACUCAAGUUAUGAUCAAACGAAGUUUGAAUUCAAAUCUGAUCUAAUUCAAAUUUUAAACUUUUCAAAAACAUGUUUGAGUUGGAUUACUGGAUAGAGGAGAUCGUAACGAAGAUGUGAGCGUUGGUUUCGUUGGAUUUGGACUAACGAGCAAAAAGUUAUAGUCGUUUGAAACAGAGGGACUAAUCUGUAAAUAAAACACUACGGAUAGGUCCCUGGCCGAAAUUAAAAAGAAAAAUAAAAAAACUAUUGAGCGAACGCUCGCUAACAGAACCUAAGUGAUGAAACCGUUCGCUCCGGAGAACUAGCGGACGAAUGUUCACUGGAAAACAGAAAACGGUUCGAAAAGGAAAAAAACAAACGUAAACUAAUCCUAGCCCUAGAUCUACGAUCUAACGGACAAGGGAGAGAGGCGGUGGUUACCGCGGCGUGGAGGUCGCCGGCGACGGGGAAGACGGCGGCGGCAGCUCGGACGUCGACUGGGCGGCGGCUCCGGUGGGUCUCCGGCUGCGGCGAGGGCGGCAAGGCGCUCGGCGCGGCACGGCGGUGACGACGGUGGUGGCGGUAGCGGUCGGGGGCGACGGAGUGGAGCGGGCAGCGGUGGCUCGAUCUCACCGGAGAGGCGGCCUCCGCGAGCGUGGCGAGAAGUGCGGCGGCGGUGCGAAGUGCGAGGAGGAGAGGAACGGGGCCGGGGCCUCGGGUUCUUAUGGAGGGAGGGGGCGAGCUGGCGUGGAGGAGGGGCCAGGCAAAGGCGGCGGCGAGAAGUCCAGGCGGCGUACGGCGGCGGCGACGCCGUGUAGGUGCGGGAGUCCGGCGGGAGCUCGGGGAUGGGUGCGGGCGCGCUGGGCCGCUGCUGGGCUGGGCCGGCUGGCCUGGCGCGGGGAGAGAGAGAGCAGUGCUGGGCUUCGGCCUAGCACUGUUCGAAGAUUUGUUUUUUAAAAAAAUUCACAGACAACAAAAAUAACAAAAACAAAAAGAAAUCAAAAUAUUAUAUAGGCAUAUAAUAUACCAAAAUUUGUAGAAAUUUUUUUUCUACAACAUCGACAUUCUUAAUAUGCUAAAAAAAUCCACACGAAAUCAGAUAAAUCAAAGAGUGCUACUGGUCUAAUAAAAUCCAACAAAAAUCAUUUUGAAAUACCAAAAUGAUUUCAAAUAAAUUUUUCUCCAAUUUUCUAAUGUAGUGAAUCAUGUUACCCUAUUUUCCAUGUAUUUUAUUUUUGGAGAAAAAUAAUUUGAAUAAAACUCAAAUAACUCCAAAUUGAAAAUAAAUUCAAAAGAACUUUGAAUUUAAUUCUUUGAAACUCCCAACUCAUAUUUCAUAUAAUUUGAAGAAGUCAUUUUAUCUUCGCUCGUGAAAAUCAUUCACUUGCAUAAAGUUUCUAAAUUGGGAAAAACAUUUCCCAAUGGAAUUCAAAUAUUUUUCAAACACCCUUUUCAUUUAUUUGGAAGAAGUCAUGUCAUCUUCUCUCUAGGGUUUUGUGUUGAAAAGAAUUUGAAUUCAUGGAGAUCAGAAAGCAAAUAUGAAAGUUUUGGGGAAGUCCUUUUAUUCCCUCUCAUUUAACUUUCAAAAGUUUCGAAUUCACUCACUUUCAGACAAUCAAUCAAACAAUCAAACAAACAAUCAAUCUAUCUAUAACAUUCCAAAAUUUAGAAUUUUGGGAUGUUACAAACCUACCACCCUUAAAAUGAAUCUCGUCCUCGAGAUUCGGAGAGGCUAGAAAGAAAUAGGUUAGGGUUUGGGGUCUUCUCAAAAUCCAUCGAUCAUCCCAGGGGUCUGGGGUGCUACCACCCUUAGAAGCAUGGUUACUGAUCCAUCAAAACUCAUAUACUGCAUCCUUAUUCUUGACAGUGUCGGUCUUCUCAGAUCCUCGAGAAAAUUCCUUCUCUGAGCUCUUCCGGUAGUGGCAUAACCUUUUCCUCAAUUCUUUUGUCUUUCAUCUAGGUAAGGUUAUUCCGAGACUGGGUCUUCUUAGCGGACGGGUCUGGCGCCAAUACUAAUCAACUAUCGACAUCUCAUGGUUGUCAACAAUUUAUGGUUUCUCCUGCAGAAAAUGGGUCUGGGUUGAUCCUCACCGUAUAACCUACGGUUGGCAAAAAGCUGCCGUGUACAAGGGAAAAAUUCUUAUACCAUUCUAAGGUUUAACAAGGUUUAAUAUCGUCGUCUCUCUACUAUAGGCAAGUCACUCAGAUUUACCAUCCCAUAUAGCAAGGCGAAUAAUAAGAGUAAGUCGGUAUGGUGAUCAAUCCAUCCCGCACCCAAAUCGUUACCCUGUAUAUGCUUUAGUGAAUCUCGCAUUCUAACACUCGGUCAUCCUCACAAGCAUUGAAGAAUUUCUCUUGUCAAUGAACUAAGUUCGGAAAAUUCCAUGGAUUCUGCAAGCCAAACAAACAUCUAUCGUUCCUUCACAACUCUCAGGUUUUGUGUUACUCCUAUAAGAUUGUCUGUCGACAAAGGUAUAUCCUCUUCCAGGGUUCUUCCUUCAGCAAGAAUGUGCUUGCUUCUUGGCAGGUCCUGGGGCCUGUGGGUUAUGGCACACCUCAUCACUUGUAGUCCUUGAACUUAUCAUCGGGCAACUGAUCAUUAUUUCAACUUCCAACUUCCUAGUAUUCUUAAUUCCAUCCAAUCGUAUUGACUUCCUUCCUUCUAUUGGCACCAAACUAAGACUUGAUUACUCAGACUCAUCAAGGAGUUUCCAUUGAUCCAUAUUUUCGACAUCACACCUCCUUUAUAUCCAAUAGUAAUUCAUCUCUUCAUCCUCAUGGGGUAUCCCUCAUACCGAGAUAAAAACUUAUAGUUAUGAAGUCCAUAUUCCACUUCGUGGAACAUCAUUAUCCUUUCCAGGGUCAAGCGUCCGUACAGGGGAAUAUUGGCCAUCUCUGCAUGGCACUUCUUCAACUGGGAAACGUGAAACACAUCAGGAACUCCUGACAGUCCUUCGGGUGACUCCAACUUGUUGGCCACUUCUCCCAUACGCUCCAAAACUCGGUAUGGUCCUACAAAUCUCGGUGCUAACUUUCCCUUAACUACAAAUCGUUUACCUCCUCGCAGAGGGGUCACACGAAGACAUGCUGUGUCUCCAAUUUCAUAGACUACCUCCUUGUGUUUUUAAGUCUGCAUAACUCUUCUACCUGGACUGAGCUACUUUCAGUCUAUCUCGAAUCAACUUAACAUUCUCUUCCGACUCCUUGAUCACAUUUGGUCCAAACAACUAACGGUCUCCAACUUCAUCCCACAUACUCUUGGGGUAUCACACAUAUCGAGACAAAACUCGUAUUCAUUUUGUCCGAAAUCCAUUACAGGGUACUACCACCCUUAAAAUGCACAAAUCUUCCAUAGACCAUAUUUCUCUUAUCCUCAAAAAUGGUCAAAAUCCUUCUUCAUAGAGUAACAACUCAUAAAAUCCAUAUCAGUACCAACGAUGCUACUUUAUUCAUUCUCAAAUGAUUACAAUCUCUCGCUUCUCCAUUACAUGUCUCAACUCAACACCUCAAUAUAAAAGAAAAAUGUUCUCACUUCUACUACUCCAUUUCUUUUGUUGCAAACUCAACUAUCUAGCACAAGUUUCCUUCUCCUUGGGGCAUUCUCUAGCAAAGUGCCCUGCUCCAUUACAACUGAAACAUAUUACUUCUGGAAAUUAUUGAGGUUUCCUUUUUGGGCAACUGUUGAGGUAGUGCCCUGACUCCUUGCACCUGUAACAGGUGAUAUGACUCAGGUUCCUCCUGGGCUCCAAUCGGUUUCUCUUCCUGGACUUUUCCAUGCCGAUCAUGGCUUCUAUUUCCUGUGGGUCAUAUUCUACUUCCUCUGUCGGGAAUUCUACUAGAUCCCCAUUCAAACAAUUUUGGGAGAUGUGUCCUUCUUCUCCACAUGAAUAGCAAGACUUAGUGCAGGGUUUACUCGGGUCUUCUUUAGGUGUGUCCUCCACCUCUUCCUUCACCACAAUUUCUUCUAAAAUUCCCAUAAGGGCUCCUUUCAUUACUUCUUUCUUCUGCUGGAUGGUUUGUUGUACCAUGGGGUAAAUGUGACACUGAGCAGGAUAGUGGGUAGUCCCUUCGCACAAGAAACAAGUAAUCUACCUAAUUGGGCAUUCUUCAACUGGGUGACUUCCUUCACAAUUAGGGCAUUCAUCCUUGUGUUCUUUAUGGGUGUGUCCGAUUUCUCCACAAAUCUUGCAUGCACAAUGUUUCUUCAUAUCCUUUCCAUAAGGCUUCAACUUCUGGGACACAAGCCGAGGCUUUGGCAUAGUCAACUUAAAUUCUCUCCAAGUGGUUACUCCUUGCCAUCCAUUCAUGGUUUGGUAUAUCCUCCACCAAGUAGCAGCACCUCUUUCAAAGCACUAAAGAGCAUGCUGGGUCAUAUCAUUUCCAACUAUAUGGUUAUUCUACAUGUGAUCUUCCAUGUUCUAAAUCCAUCGGUCUAUCUCCAACUGACUCAUCGGUUUAGCAAAUACGAGCUCAUCUCCAUUCAUCAUCUAUUGGGUCCAUGGGUUUGGGGUGAGAUAAGAGAGAUAGAGAGGGAUACACACAAUACAAACAAAAGUUUUGAAAAGACAGAUUUUAUUUGUGGCUGUCGGGAAAAACAUCAAACAAAUGACAGCUCACAAACAUCGCAUCUAACGUAGGUAUAUAACAGGGGUUUGGUCUUCUAAAGUUCAAUAAAUCUUCAACAUCUCCAAACUCUUCAAGCCUUGUUCAUGCCUCCAAUGGCUUCUUCCGAUCAUGCUUGUCCUUCUCAAGUUCUUUUGCCAGAUCAACUCUUAUGACGCGAAGUCUCUCGUGAUGUCCUUUAAUAUUCUGGAGUUGCUUUCCAAACUUCUGGUUUCAACAUCCUUCGCAUGAACCAUGGUCCUACUGUCCUUUAGUUCCUGACAAAUCUCCGGUAUCUCGAGGUUGUAGCUCCUCCAGCUUAGCUACUUUCAGCUUUUGGUUCGUGAGUUCUUCAUGAAAUGCUUCCUUGUCUAAUACGGCUUCAUGGAGCUCCACCUUAAACUUCUUGAUGUAGUACUCCAGAUCUUGGUGAUACACCAGCUAAGUUUAAAACUGCAUCCUUUGCUGAUAGAUGCUCCAUCAGCCUUCUACCAUCCAAUCCUUUCGAAGGAAUGCAUGCUUAGCUCAGCUCGAUGACCACAAUAUCAAUGGUGAUGACAUCACGGAUAACCGUGUUUCUGCCCUUGUCAUUGCCAUGAGCUAUCUUGCCAGUUGAUAUCUCCUGCCUUAGGGUUUUCUUGACAAAACUUUGAGUUCUCAACUCUCCAUGUUUUGGUCUUUCUCCAAUACACCUUGAUCUCGGGUAUUGACAACUUCCAUAGUCUGCCAAGUUCCAUAAGGGUAGCCUUCCUAGGUCAUAUAAAUCUGCGAAUUCUUCAGAGCCUUCAAAUUCUACUUGUCUUCGGCCUUCAACCGUUGUAGUUUCCAUUAUUCAGAUGCACGGAAAAUACUCUUCAUUCCGAAGUGGUCUUAGUUGUUCGAUAUCUUGUACUUCUUGGAGUGGUCUCAUCAGUGGAAUCUUCGAGUGGUCAAAAGGGGAAAGGGGUAUGGUCUCACUAAAGAGAAUUUUUGAAUAAGCUCAGAAGAGAAGAGAGGUAAAAGAUCUUUUUGAAAGGGAAAGUUGUAGAGAAAAAUCUUUGCUAUGGGCUUGCCAGUUUCUAGGGUCACGUCCUACAGUCAACAUGUGCUCUGAUACCAUCUUGUAGCGACCCGACCCGAAUGGGUCAAGUCUCUGUGCUUAAGUGUCAUCCCUGGAUCGGUAUGCUGACACACAUAAUACUCGAGGAUUUAUAACAGAGGUAAAUCACAUGUAAAAGUAACGUAAAUACUAUUACCUCCAAUCCAAAAUAGCGGAAGUAACAAGGUUGUGGAUUCCCAUCAACACCAACGGCAAAUUUGAGUGUAGAAAUCGUAACCCUAACGUAUCACUUACUCGUCGUAAGAUAAUCCUGCAACAUGAGACGUUGCAACCACAGAGGGUCAGUACAUUGAAUGUACUGGCAAAUUCACACCAUAGAGAAUGAUGAAUAAAGGCUAUCACUACAUGCAUAUUUGGCUGGUGGAAAAGCUCUAUGGUUAUAAGGUUUUUGCGAAAAGCCAAUUUUUCCCUACUGCAAAGGAAUACAUUUUAAUUAACUAUCAUGGUGGUUGUUGAACAUUGAGAAUGGUUGACAGCAUUCUCAAUCCCAAUUAAGCAUCAUCAUUAAAACCCAGCAAUAUUCAUUUAAAGUAACGUGAUGAGAUCAACAGGAUAAUCCAAGAACUAGAUACUCAAGAUGUCCAUAACCGGGGACACGGCUAAUCAUGAUUAGUUUGUACACUCUGCAGAGGUUUGCGCACUUUUCCCCACAAGACUCGAUCGCCUCCGUUGGAUUUCUCGCACUACAUGGUGUUUGAGAAACAGAUGACCGAGACACAGUCUUUCAGAAAUGCUAGGACCUUACGAUGGAUAGACCGGUACACCUACUUUCCCCUACAUCUGCUAGUCUACCCUGUAAGAGUUCGCACGACUUAAUCAACUAUGCCAGAGCCCAUAAUGGCUUGUGGCUGCACACGGAAGUUUCUAGUUUGAAAAAUCUCAUGAUCCCUUUGAGCCUGGGUGGCGGUCCAAAAGAAAACAGGCAAGUCCUGGAAUACCCAGGUGCCUUAAUCCACCUAGAUGUGUGUUUAGGUUGCCACCUUAGAUAAACCAUUAAUUAACAAUCUCACAUCUGUCAUGGAUAUCACUCACCCAAUCCACGUCUACUAGCAUAGCAUGGCAUAAUAAGCAAAUGUAGAAGUAACUCCCAAAGGUUUGAUAAUAAACAGGUAAUAGGUACUACCUCAUCUACUUCCCAUCCCACAAUUUAAUUAGAUCCUAAUCAUGCAAUGUGUGAGGAUUGAUCUAAUGCAAAAAACUGGGUAGUAGAAAUGGUAUGAUCAAAGUGUGAACUUGCCUGCAAUGUUGAUGAAGAUGAUUCGCACUCAAAACUCUUGAUAGUUCUACUCGUCACACUCCGUUCAAUCUAUCGUAAGCAAGCAAUAGUAACCACACAUAAGCAAUCAUUCAAAAGAUCAGUAAGAUCAAAGAACACAAUUCGGAAAACAUCAAAACCAAGCAAAUAACUCUUGCAACAUAAAACAAUUUCUAACAAUACCAAAAUUAUGUAAAUUUGGCCUUAUCAGAAAGUUUAGGUCAAGAGCUUCGAUUUGCAAAAAGAAUCAACUCAAACGGAGCUACGAAACUCAAGUUAUGAUCAAACGAAGUUUGAAUUCAAAUCUGAUCUAAUUUAAAUAUUAAACUUUUCAAAAACAUGUUUGAGUUGGAUUACUGGAUAGAGGAGAUCGUAACGAAGAUGUGAGCGUUGGUUUCGUUGGAUUUGGACUAACGAGCAAAAAGUUAUAGUCGUUUGAAACAGAGGGACUAAUAUGUAAAUAAAACACUACGGAUAGGUCCCUAGCCGAAAUUAAAAAGAAAAAUAAAAAAACUAUUGAGCGAACACUUGCUAAUAGAACCUAAGUGAUGAAACCGUUCGCUCCGGAGAACUAGCGGACGAAUGUUCACUGGAAAACAGAAAACGGUUCAAAAAGGAAAAAAACAAACAUAAACUAAUCCUAGCCCUAGAUCUACGAUCUAACGGACAAGGGAGAGUGGCGGCGGUUACCGCGGCGUGGAGGUCGCCGGUGACGGGGAAGACGGCGGCGGCGGCUUGGACGUCGACGGGGCGGCUGCUCCGGUGGGUCUCCGGCUGCGGCGAGGGCGUCAAGGCGCUCGGCGCGGCGCGGCGGUGACGAGGUGGUGGCAGUAGCGGUCGGGGGCGACGGAGUGGAGCGGGCAGCGGUGGCUCGAUCUCGCCAGAGCGGCGGCUUCCGCAAGCGUGGCGAGAAGUGCGGAGGCGGCAUGAAGUGCGAGGAGGAGAGGAACGGGGCCGGGGCCUCGGGUUCUUAUGGAGGGAGGGGGCGAGCUGGCGUGGAGGAGGGGCCAGGCAAAGGCGGCGGCGAGAAGUCCAGGCGGCGUACGGCGGCGGCGACGCCGUGUAGGUGCAGGAGCUCGAGGACGGGUGUGGGCGCGCUGGGCCGCUGCUGGGCUGGGCCGGCUGGCCUGGCGCGGGGAGAGAGAGAGAGCAGUGCUGGGCUUCGGCCUGGCACUGUUCGAAGAGUUUUUUUUUAAAAAACAUUUUUCACAGACAACAAAAAUAAUAAAAACAAAAAGAAAUCAAAAUAUUAUAUAGGCAUAUAAUAUACCAAAAUUUGCAGAAAAAAAUUUCUACAACAUGGACAUUUUUAAUAUGCCAAAAAAAUCCACACAAAAUCAGAUAAAUCAAAGAGUGCUACUGGUCUAAUAAAAUCCAACAAAAAUCAUUUUAAAAUACCAAAAUGAUUUCAAAUAAAUUUUUCUCCAAUUUUCUAAUGUAGGGAAUCAUGUUACCCUAUUUUCCAUGUAUUUUAUUUUUGGAUAAAAAUAAUUUGAAUAAAACUCAAAUAACUCCAAAUUGAAAAUAAAUUCAAAAGAACUUUGAAUUUAAUUCUUUGAAACUCCCAACUCAUAUUUCAUAUAAUUUGAAGAAGUCAUUUUAUCUUCGCUCGUGAAAAUCAUUGAGUUGCAUAAAGUUUCUAAAUUGGGAAAAACAUUUCCCAAUGGAAUUCAAAUAUUUUUCAAACACCCUUUUCAUUUAUUUGGAAGAAGUCAUGUCAUCUUCUCUCUAGGGUUUUGUGUUGAAAAGAAUUUGAAUUCAUGGAGAUCAGAAAGCAAAUAUGAAAGUUUUGGGGAAGUCCUUUUAUUCCCUCUCAUUUAACUUUCAAAAGUUUUGAAUUCACUCACUUUCAGACAAUCAAUCAAACAAUCAAACAAACAAUCAAUCUAUCUAUAACAUUCCAAAAUUUAGAAUUUUGGGAUGUUACAGACGAACUAUAGCAAUGGUGCAUACUUAGGGAGAACACUUGUACAUUGAAAUUUAGUGAGAGAUCAUCUUAUAAUGCUACCGUCGAACUAAGCAAAAUAAGAAGCAUACAAGAUAAAUAUCACAUGCAAUCAAUAUAACUGAUAUGAUAUGGCCAUCAUCAUCUUGUGCCUUUGAUCUCCAUCUCCAAAGCACUGUCAUGAUCACCAUCAUCACCGGCUUGACACCUUGAUCUCCAUCGAAGCAUCGUUGUCAUCUCGCCAACUAUUGCUUCUACGACUAUUACUACUGCUUAGUGAUAAAGUAAAGCAAUUACAUGGCGGUUGCAUUUCAUACAGUAAAGCGACAAUCAUAUGGCUCCUGCCAGUUGCCGAUAACUGUGUUACAAAACAUGAUCAUCUCAUACAAUAAAAUUUAGCAUCAUGUCUUGACCAUACCAUAUCACAACAUGCCCUGCAAAAAUAAGUUAGACGUCCUCUACUUUGUUGUUGCAAGUUUUACGUGGCUGCUACAGGCUGAGCAAGAACCGUUCUUACCUACGCAUCAAAAACCACAAUGCGGUAUAGUGAUUGCUUUUUGAUCUUCAGAAAGAACCCUGUUCAUUGAAUCCGAUUCAACUAAAGUUGGAGAAACUGACACCCACCAGCCACCUGUGUGCGAAGCACGUUGGUAGAACCAGUCUCGCAUAAGCAUACACGUAAUGUCGGCCUGAGCCGCUUCAUCCAACAAUACCGCUGAAUCAAGAAUCAACUAGUGACGCCAAGCAAUAUGUAUAUACCCAUGCCCACAACUCCUUUGUGUUCUACUCGUGCAUAUAACAUCUAUGCAUAAACCUGGCUCUGAUACCAUUGUUGGGGAACGUAGUAAUUUCAAAAAAAUCCUACGCACACGCAAGAUCUAUCAUGGUGAUGCAUAGCAACGAGAGGGGAAGAGUGUUGUCCAUGUACCCUCGUAGACCGUAAGCGGAAGUGUUAUAAGAACGCGGUUGAUGUAGUCGUACAUCUUCACGAUCCGAUCGAUCCUAGUACCAAAAGUAUGGCACCUCCGCGAUCUGCACACGUUCAGCUUGGUGACGUCCCACGAACUCUUGAUCAACUGAGUGUCGAGGGAGAGCUUCAUCAGCACGACGGCGUGAUGACAGUGGUGGAUUAUGGUGGAGGGGGCACCGCACACGGCUAAGAGAUCAAUGAUCAACUUGUGUGUCCUAGGGUGCCCCCUGCCCCCGUAUAUAAAGGAGCAAGGGGGGAGGCCGGCCGGCCCUUGGGGCGCGCCAGGAGAGGAGGAGUCCUCCUCCUAGUAGGAGUAGGACUCCCCUUUCCUAGUCCUACUAGGACGGGAAAAGGAAGGAGGAGAGGGAGAAGGAAAGCCCCCCCCCCUUCCCUAGUCCAAUUCGGACCAGAGGGGGCGCGCGGCCUGCCCUGUCUGGCCCUCUCUCUCCACUAAGGCCCAUGUGGCCCAUUAGUUCCCCGGGGGGUUCCGGUAACCCUCCGGCACUCCGGUUUUCUCCGAAAUCACCCAGAACACUUCCGGUGUCCGAAUAUAGCUGUCCAAUAUAUCAAUCUUUAUGUCUCGACCAUUUCGAGACUCCUCAUCAUGUCCGUGAUCAUAUUCGGGACUCUGAACUACCUUCGGUACAUCAAAAUACAUAAACUCAUAAUACCGAUCGUCACCGAAAGUUAAGCGUGCGGACCCUACGGGUUCGAGAACUAUGUAGACAUGACCGAGACUCAUCUCCGGUCAGUAACCAAUAGCGUAACCUGGAUGCUCAUGUUGGUUCCUACAUAUUCUAUGAAGAUCUUCAUCGGUCAAAUCGCACAACAGCAUACGUUGUUCCCUUUGUCAUCGGUAUGUUACUUGCCCAAGAUUCAAUCAUCGGUAUCUCAAUACCUAGUUCAAUAUCGUUACUGGCAAGUCUCUUUACUCGUUCUGUAAUGCAUCAUCCCGUAACUAACUCAUUAGUCACAUUGCUUGCAAGGCUUAUAGUGAUGUGCAUUACCGAGAGGGCCAAGAGAUACCUCUCCGAUACUCAGAGUGACAAAUCCUAAUCUCGAUCUAUGCCAACUCAACAAACACCAUCGGAGACACCUGUAGAGCAUAUUUAUAGUCAUCCAGUUAUGUUGUGAAGUUUGAUAGCACACUAAGUGUUCCUCCGGUAUUCGGGAGUUGCAUGAUCUCAUAGUCAUAGGAACAUGUAUAAGUUAUGGAGAAAGCAAUAGCAGUAAACUAGACGAUCAUCGUGCUAAGCUAACGUUUUGGUCAAGUCAAUCACAUCAUUCUCUAAUGAUGUGAUCCCGUUAAUUAAAUGACAACUCAUGUCUAUGGUCAGGAAACAUAACCAUCAUUGAUUCAACGAGCUAGUCAAGUAGAGGCAUACUAGUGACACUCUAUUUGUCUAUGUAUUCACCCAUGUACUAAGUUUCUGGUUAAUACAAUUCUAGCAUGAAUAAUAAACAUUUAUCAUGAUAUAAGGAAAUAUGAAUAAAAACUUUAUUAUUGCCUCUAGGGCAUAUUUCCUUUAAGACCAGCCCCUAAGGGGCUGGUGCGCCCCCAUAUAGGCCAAAUAGGAGGAGAAGGAAAGAGGGGGAAGAUAGAAGGAGGGGGAGGGAUUCGGCCUCCCCCUUCCUUCCCUCCUCCCUCCUCCUUCUUUCCCCCUCCGGAAGAUAUGGAAGGGGGGAGGCCAAAUUGGGGUGGUGCCCAAGUAGCGCCCAAGUAGGAUUCCUCCUACUUGGGCACCCCCUUGGCUGCCUCUCCUCCCCUCCAACCUAUAUAUUGUUGGGGAUCGUUGCAGAAAUUAAAAAAUUUCUACGCAUCACCAAGAUCAAUCUAUGGAGAGACUAGAAACGAGAGAGAGGGGAGUGCAUCUUCAUGCCCUUGAAGAACGCUAUGCGGAAGCGUUACAAGAACGCGGAUGAUGGAGUCGUACUCAUAGCGAUUCAGAUCGCGGUUGAUUCCGAUCUAAGUGCCGAACAACAGCGCUUCCGCGUUCAACACACGUAUAGCCCGGGGACGUCUCCUCCUUCUUGAUCCAGCAAGGGGAGAGGAGAAGUUGAGGGAGAGCUCCGGCAGCAUGACGGCGUGGUGGUGGAGCUUGCAGUUCUCCGGCAGGGCUUCGCCAAGCACUACUACUACUACUACGGAGGUGUUGGGGAGGGAGAGGGCUGCGCCAGGGGAAGGGGUGCGGCUCCCAUGCGCCUCCCCACUAUAUAUAGGGGUGGAGGGGGCUGGUUUAUUGCCCUCCAAGUCCAUUGGGGCGUUGGCAAAGGUGGGGGAAAGAAAUCCCAUCAUAUCCUUUCCCCACCGAUUGUUAUCCCCCCUUUUUAGGGAUCUUGAUCUUAUCCCUUCGGGAUAUGAUCUUAUUCCUUCUAAGGGGGGAUCUUGGUGCGCCUUGAACAGGGGUGUGGGGCCUUUCCCCCACUACCCACGUUCAUGUGGGUCCCCCAUGCAGGUGGGCCCCACUCCAAAACCUUCUAGAACCUUCCCGGUACAACACCGAAAAAUCCCGAACAUUUUCUUGUGGCCAAAGUAGGACUUCCCAUAUAUAAAUCUUUACCUCCGGACCAUUCCGGAACUCCUCGUGACAUCCAGGAUCUCAUUCGGGAUUCCGAACAACAUUCAGUAACUACACACUAAUUCCCAUAACAACUCUAGCGUCACCGAACCUUAAGUGUGUAGACCCUACGGGUUCGGGAAUCAUGCAGACAUGAACGAGACAGCUCUCUGGCCAAUAACCAACAGCGGGAUCUGGAUACCCAUGUUGGCUCCCACAUGUUCGAUGAUGAUCUCAUCGGAUGAACCAUGAUGUCAGGGAUUCAAUCAAUCCUGUAUACAAUUCCCUUUGUCAAUUGGUACGUUACUUGCCCGAGAUUCGAUCGUCGGUAUCCCAAUACCUCGUUCAAUCUCGUUACCCGCAAGUCAAUUUUACUCGUUCCUUAACACAUCAUCCCAUGAUCAACUCUUUGGUCACAUUGAGCUAUUAUGAUGAUGUCCUACCGAGUGGGCCCAGACAUACCUCUCCGUCACACAGAAGGACAAAUCCCAGUCUCGAUUCGUGCCAACCCAACAGACACUUUCGGAGAUACUCGUAGUGUGCCUUUAUAGCCACCCAGUUAUGUUGUGACGUUUGGCACACCCAAAGCAUUCCUACGGUAUCCGGGAGUUGCACAAUCUCAUGGUCUAAGGAAAUGAUACUUGACAUUAGAAAAGAUUUAGCAGACGAGCUACACGAUCUUGUGCUAUGCUUAGGAUUGGGUCUUGUCCAUCACAUCAUUCUCCUAAUGAUGUGAUCCCGUUAUCAACGACAUCCAAUGUCCAUGGUCAGGAAACCGUAACCAUCUAUUGAUCAACGAGCUAGUCAACUAGAGGCUUACUAGGGACAUAUUGUGGUCUACGUAUUCACACAUGUAUUACGGUCUCCGGUUAAUACAAUUAUAGCAUGAACAAUAGACAAUUAUCAUGAACAAGGAAAUAUAAUAAUAACCAUUUUAUUAUUGCCUCUAGGGCAUAUUUCCAACAGUCUCCCACUUGCACUAGAGUCAAUAAUCUAGUUCACAUCACUAUGUGAUUGUAAUGAAUCCAACACCCAUGGGGUUUGAUCAUAUCUCGCUUGUGAGAGCGGUUAUUAGUCAACGGGUAUGAACCUUUCAGAUCCCUGUGUUCUUUACAAAUCUCUAUUUCAUCUUGUAGAUGCAGCUACCAUGCGCUACUUGGAGCUAUUCCAAAUAACUGCUCGACUAUACGAAACCGGUUUACUACUCAGAGUCAUCCGGAUUAGUGUCAAAGUUUGCAUCGACGUAACCCUUUACGACGAACUCUUUUACCACCUCCAUAAUCGAGAAUAUUCCUUAGUCCACUAGUUACUAAGGAUAAGUUUGACCGAUGUCAUGUGAUCCAUUCCUGGGUCACUCUUGUACCCCUUGAUUGACUCAUGGCAAGGCACACUUCAGGUGCGGUACACAGCAUAGCAUACUGUAGAGCCUACGUCUAAAGCAUAGGGGACGACCUUCGACCUUUCUCUCUCUUCUGCCGUGGUCAGAUCUUGAGUCUCACUCAAUGCUCACACCUUAUAACACAACCAAGAACUCCUUCUUUGCUGAUCUUAUUUGAACUCCUUCAGAAUCUUGUCACGGUAUGUAUUCAUUUGAAAGUAAUAUUAAGCGUUUUUUAUCUAUCCUUAUAGAUCUUGAUGCUCAAUGUUCAAGUAGCUUAAUCUAGGUUUUCCAUUGAAAAACACUUUUCAAAUAACCCUAUAUGCUUUCCAGAAAUUCUACAUCAUUUCUGAUCAACAAUAUGUCAGCAACAUAUACUCAUCAGAAAUUCUAUAGUGCUCCCACUCACUUCUUUGGAAAUACAAGUUUCUCAUAAACUUUGUAUAAACCCAAAAUCUUUGAUCAUCUCAUCAAAGUGUAUAUUCCAACUCCGAGAUGCUUACUCCAGUCCUUAGAAGGAUUGAUGGAGCUUUGCAUACUUGUUAGCAUCUUUUAGGAUUGACAAAACCCUUCUAGUUGUAUCACAUACAACCUUUCCUCAAGAAAAUUGUCGAGGAAACAAUGUUUUGACAUCCUAUCUGCAAAAUUUCAUAAAUAAUGCAGUAACUGCUAAUACAAUUCCAACAGACUCUUAGCAUCGCUACGAGUGAGAAAGUCUCACCGCAGUCAACUCCUUGAACUUGUCGGAAAACAUCUUAACGACAAGUCGAGCUUUCUUAAUGGUGAUACUUACCAUCAUUGUCCGUCUUCCUUUUAAAAUCCAUCUGUACCCAAUAGCCUUACGACCAUCAAGUAGUUCUUCCAAAGUCUAUACUUUGUUUUCACACAUGGAUCCUCUUGGGUUUUAUGGCCUCGAGCCAUUUGUCGGAAUUCGGUCCCACCAUCGUUUCUCCAUAGCUCGUAGGUUCAUUGUUGUCUAGCAACAUGACCUCCAAGACAGGAUUACGUACCACUCUGAAAUAGUACGCAUCCUUGUCGACCUACGAGGUUUGGUAGUGACUUGAUCCAAAGUUUCAUGAUCACUAUCAUCAGCUUCCACUUCAAUUGGUGUAGGCGCUACAGGAACAACUUCCUGUGCCCUGCUACACACUGGUUGAAGUGACGGUUCAAUAACCUCAUCAAGUCUCCACCAUCCUCCCACCCAAUUCUUUCGAGAGAAACUUUUCCUCGAGAAAGGGCCCGUUUUUAGAAACAAUCAAUUUUGCUUCCGGAUCCGAAAUAGGAGGUAUACCCAACUGUUUUUGGUGUCCUAUGAAGAUGCAUUUAUCCGCUUUGGGUUCGAGCUUAUCAGGCUAAACCCUUUUCACAUAAGCGUCGCAGCCCCAAACUUUUAAGAAAUGACAGCUUAGGUUUCUCUAAACCAUAGUUCAUAGGGUGUCGUCUCAACGGAAUUACGUGGUGCCCUAUUUAAAGUGAAUGCGGUUGUCUCUAAUGCCUAACCCAUAAACGAUAGUGGUAAUUCGAUAAGAGACAUCAUGGUUUGCACCACAUCCAAUAGGGUGCAGCUAUGAUGUUUGGACACACCAUCACACUAUGGUGUUCCAGGUGGCAUUAGUUGUGAAACAAUUUCCACAAUGUCUUAGUUGUGUACCAAACACGUAACUCAGAUAUUCAUCUCUAUGAUCAUAUCAUAGACAUUUUAUCCUCUUGUCAUGACGAUCUUCAACUUCACUCUGAAAUUACUUGAACCAUUCAAUAAUUCAGACUUGUGUUUCAUCAAGUAAAUAUACUUAGAAUCUACUCAAAUCAUCUGUGAAGUAAGAGCAUAACGAUAUUCACUGCGUGCCUCAGCACUCAUUGGAUUGCACAUAUCAAAUGUAUUACUUCCGACAAGUUGCUCUCUUGUUUCAUCUCACUGAAAACGAGGCCUUUCAGUCAUCUUGCCCAUGUGGUAUGAUUUGCAUGUCUCAAGUGAUUCAAAAUCAAGUGAGUCCAAGCGAUCCAUCUACAUGGAGUUUCUUCAUGCGUAUAAACCAAUAGACAUGGUUCGCAUGUCUCAAACUUUUCAAAAAAAUGAGUGAGUCCAAAGAUCCAUCAACAUGGAGCUUCUUCAUGCGUUUUAUACCAAUAUGACUCAAAUGGCAGUGCCACAAGUAUGUGUUACUAUCAUUACUAUCUUAUAUCUUUUGGCAUGAACAUGUGUAUCACUACGAUCGAGAUUCAAUGAACCAUUCAUUUUAGGUGCAAGACCAUUGAAGGUAUUAUUCAAAUAAACAGAGUAACCAUUAUUCUCCUUAAAUGAAUAACCGUAUUGUGAUAAACAUAAUCCAAUCAUGUCUAUACUCAACGCAAACACCAAAUAACAAUUAUUUAGGUUUAACACCAAUCUCGAUGGUAGAGGGAGCAUGCGAUGCUUGAUCACAUCAACCUUGGAAACACUUCCAACACAUAUCGUCAUCUCACCUUCACCUAGUCUCCGUUUAUUCCGUAGCUUUUUAUUUCGAGUUACUACCACUUAGCAACCGAACCGGUAUUUAAUACCCUGGUGCUACUAGGAGUACUAGUAAAGUACACAUUAUAAUGUAUAUCCAAUAUACUUCUAUCGGCCUUGCCAGCCUUCUCAUCUACCAAGCAUCUAGGGUAGUUCUGCUUCAGUGACCGUUCCCCUCAUUUCAGAAGCACUUAGUCUCGGGUUUGGGUUCAACCUUGGGUUUCUUCACUAGAGCAGCAACUGAUUUGCCGUUUCAUGAAGUAUCCCUUUCUUGCCCUUGCCCUUCUUGAAACUAGUGGUUUUACUAACCAUCAACAAUUGAUGCUCCUAUUUGAUUUCUACUUUUGCGCGCGAAUAGCUCAAGGAUCAUCAUAUAUAUCCCUGAUAUGUUAUAGUUCAUCACAAAGCUCUAGUAGCUUGGUGGCAGUGACUUUGGAGAACCAUCACUAUCUCAUCUGGAAGAUUAACUCCCACUCAAUCCAAGCGAUUGCAGUACUCAUACAAUCUGAGCACAUGCUCAACGAUUGAGCUUUUCUCCUUAGUUUGCAGGCUUAAGAAACUUGUCAGAGGUCUCAUACCUCUUGACGUGGGCACUAGCCUGAAAUCCCAAUUUCAGUCCUUGGAACAUCUCAUAUGUUCUGCGAUGUUUCAAAAACGUCUUUGGUGCCUCAAUUCUAAACCAUUUAGCACUACACACUGAACUAUCAUGUAGUCAUCAAAACGUGCAUGUCAGAUGUUCGCAACAUCCAAAACUGACACUUGAGGUUCAACACACUGAGCGGUGCAUUAAGGACAUAAUCCUUCUGCGCAGCAAUGAGGACAAUCCUUAGUUUACGGACCCAGUCCACAUAAUUGCUACUGUCAACUCUCAACUAAAUUUUCUCUAGGAACAUAUCUAAAAUAGUAGAACCAAAGCGUGAGCUACGACAUAAUUUACAAAGACCUUUUGACUAUGUCCAUGAUAAUUAAGUUCAUCUAAUCAAAUUACUUAAUGAACUCCCACUCAGAUAGACAUCCCUCUAGUCAUCUAAGUGGUACAUGAUCCGAGUCAACUAGGCCGUGUCCGAUCAUCACGUGAGAUGGACUAGUCAUCAUUGGUGAACAUCUUCAUGUUGAUCGUAUCCACUAUACGAAUCAUGUUCGACCUUUCGGUCUCUUGUGUUCCGAGGCCAUGUAUGUACAUGCUAGGCUCGUCAAGUCAACCUACGUGUUUUGCAUGUGUAAAUCUGGCUUACACCCGUUGUAUGCGAACGUUAGAAUCUAUCACACCCGAUCAUCACGUGGUGCUUCGAAACAACUAACUUUCGCAACGGUGCACAGUUAGGGGGAACACUUUCCUGAAAUUUUAUGAGGGAUCAUCUUAUUUAUGCUACCGUCGUUCUAAGCAAAUAAGAUGUAAACAUGACAAACAUCACAUGCAAAUCAUAGAGUGACAUGAUAUGGCCAAUAUCAUCUCGCACCUUUGAUCUUCAUCUUUGAGGCGCGGCAUGAUCACCUUGGUCACCGGCAUGACACCAUGAUCUCCAUCAUCGUGUCUUCAUGAAGUUGUCUCGCCAACUAUUACUUCUACUACUAUGGCUAACGGUUAGCAAUAAAGUAAAGUAAUUACAUGGCGUUUGCAAUGACACGCGGGUCAUACAAUAAAUUAAGACAACUCAUAUGGCUCCUGCCGGUUGUCAUACUCAUUGACAUGCAAGUCGUGAUUCCUAUUACAAGAACAUGAUCAAUCUCAUACAUCACAUAUAUAUAAUUCAUCACAUCCUUUUGACCAUAUCACAUCACAUAGCAUACCCUGCAAAAACAAGUUAGACGUCCUCUAAUUGUUGUUGCAUGUUUUACGUGGCUGCUAUGGGUUUCUAGCAAGAACAUUUCUUACCUACACAAAAGCCACAACGUGAUAUGCCAAUUUAUAUUUACUCUUCAUAAGGACCCUUUUCAUCUAAUCCGAUUCGACUAAAGUGUGAGAUACGGACACCCGCUAGCCACCUUAUGCAACUAGUGCAUGUCAGUCGGUGGAACCUGUCUCACGUAAGCGUACGUGUAAGGUCGGUCCGGGCCGCUUCAUCCCACGAUGCCGCCGAAUCAAGAUAAGACUAGUAACGGCAAGUAAAUUGACAAAAUCGAUGCUCACAACAACUUGUGUUCUACUCGUGCAUAGAAACUACGCAUAGACCUAGCUCAUGAUGCCACUGUUGGGGAUCGUUGCAGAAAUUAAAAAAUUUCUACGCAUCACCAAGAUCAAUCUAUGGAGAGAAUAGAAGCGAGAGAGAGGGGAGUGCAUCUUCAUACCCUUGAAGAUCGCUAUGCGGAAGCGUUACAAGAACGCGGAUGAAGAAGCCGUACUCGUAGCGAUUCAGAUCGUGGUUGAUUCCGAUCUAAGCGCCGAACAAUGGCGCCUCCGUGUUCAACACACGUACAGCCCGGGGACGUCUCCUCCUUCUUGAUCCAGCAAGGGGAGAGGAGAAGUUGAGGGAGAGCUCCGGCAUCACGACGGCGUGGUGGUGGAGUUUGCAGUUCUCCAACAGGGCUUCUCCAAGCACUACUACUACGAAGGAGGUGUUGGGGAGGGAGAGGGAUGCGCCAGGGGAAGGGGUGUGGCUCUCAUGAGCCUCCCCACUAUAUAUAGGGGUGGAGGGGCUGGUUUCUUGCCCUCCAAGUCCAUUGGGGUGUUGGCAAAGGUGGGGGAAAGAAAUCCCAUCAUUUCCUUUCCCCACCGAUUGUUAUCCCCCCUUUUUAGGGAUCUUGAUAUUAUCCCUUCGGGAUAUGAUCUUAUUCCUUCUAAGGGGGGAUCCUGGUGCGCCUUGACCAGGGGUGUGGGGCCUUUCCCCCACUACCCACGUUCAUGUGGGUCCCCCCAUGCAGGUGGGCCCCACACCGGAACCUUCUAGAACCUUCCCGGUACAACACCGAAAAAUCCCGAACAUUUUCUGGUGGCCAAAAUAGGACUUCCCAUAUAUAAAUCUUUACCUCCUGUGACAUCCGGGAUCUCAUCCGGGACUCCGAACAACAUUCGGUAACUGCACACUAAUUCCCAUAACAACUCUAGCAUCACCGAACCUUAAGUGUGUAGACCCUACGGGUUUGGGAAUCAUGCAGACAUGACCGAGACAGCUCUUUGGCCAAUAACCAACAGCGGGAUCUGGAUACCCAUGUUGGCUCCCACAUGUUCGACAAUGAUCUCAUCGGAUGAACCAUGAUGUCAGGGAUUCAAUCAAUCAUGUAUACAAUUCCCUUUGUCAAUCGGUAUGUUACUUGCCCGAGAUCCGAUCAUCGGUAUCCCAAUACCUCGUUCAAUCUUGUUACCGGCAAGUCACUUUUACUCGUUCCGUAACACAUCAUCCCGUGAUCAACUCUUUGGUCACAUUGAGCUCAUUAUGAUGAUGUCCUACCAAGUGGGCCUAGAGAUACCUCUCCGUCACACGGAGUGACAAAUCCCAGUCUCAAUUCGUGCCAACCCAACAGACACUUUCGGAGAUACCCGUAGUGUGCCUUUAUAGCCACCAGUUAUGUUGUGACGUUUGGCACACCCAAAGCAUUCCUAUGGUAUCCGGGAGUUGCACAAUCUCAUGUCUAAGGAAAUGAUACUUGACAUUAGAAAAGCUUUAGCAGACGAACUACAUGAUCUUGUGCUAUGCUUAGGAUUGGGUCUUGUCCAUCACAUCAUUCUCCUAAUGACGUGAUCCCGUUAUCAACGACAUCCAAUGUCCAUGGUCAGGAAACCGUAACCAUCUAUUGAUCAACGAGCUAGUCAACUAGAGGCUUACCAGGGGCAUAUUGUGGUCUACGUAUUCACACAUGUAUUACGGUCUCCGGUUAAUACAAUUAUAGCAUGAACAAUAGACAAUUAUCAUGAACAAGAAAUAUAAUAAUAACCAUUUUAUUAUUGCCUCUAGGGCAUAUUUCCAACAUAUAUAUGUGGGGGGCACCGCAAGAACACACAUCAACAGUUGUUAGCCGUGUGCGGAGUCCCCCUCCACAAUUUACGCCUCCGGUCACAUACAUGUAGUGCUUUGGCGAAUCCCUGCGUGGAUCACUUCACCAUCACCGUCACCAGGCCGUCGUCCUGACGGAACUCUCCCUCGACACUUUGCUGGAUCAAGAGUUCGAGGGACGUCAUCGAGCUGAACAUGCGCAGAACUCUGAGGUGUUGUACGUUCGGUGCUUGAUUGGUCGGAACGAGAAGAAGUUCGACUACAUCAACCGCGUUGUCAAACGCUUUCGCUUUCAGUCUACGAGGGUACGUGGACACACUCUCCCCCUCUCAUUGCUAUGCAUCUCCUAGAUAGAUCUUGCAUGAGUGUAGGAAUUUUUUUGAAAUUGCAUGCUAUGUUUCUCAACAGGAGGCUCUAUGGGUCACCUCAUAUUCCGGGUUAUGGCAGGACUGCAAGGAGAGACCAAGGGCCCAGGGCUAGACCCGGCAGGAGGCCGGCUUAAAGGGAGCCCAAUGGGCCGGCUCACGGAGACGGUCCAGGAAGAGGAAAAGUUCCCUGACAAGGGAAGGAAGACCAAGACUAGUAUCCGGCUUGUAAUAGAAAAGAGACUAGUUGUAGUCCUACUAGGACUCUACAUGUAAGUCGGCCCCUUUGUAACGCCCCGAGACCGAUGUGCCAGGUUUCUUCCAGUUAUUCGCUGUUAUUGCCUUGUCAUGUGCUUGCGUGUCAUGCAUUGCAUAUCAUGUCAUCAUGUGCAUUUCAUUUGCAUACGUGUUCGUCUCAUGCAUCCGAGCAUUUUCCCCGUUGUCCGUUUUGCAAUCCGGCGCUCCUACAUCCUCCGGCGUCCUCUUUUACUUCUUUUCAUGUGCUGGUACUAAACGUUCUCGGAUUGGAGCGAGACUUGCCAAGCGGCCUUGGUUUACUACCAAUAGACCGCCUGUCAAGUUUCGUGCCAUUUGGACUUCGUUUGAUACUCCAACGGUUAACCGAGGAACCGUAAAGGCCUCGUGUGUGUUGCAGCCCAACACCCCCUCCUAAGUGGCCCAAAACCCACCUAAACCCCCUCUAUCAUCUAGGUCAUUCGAUCACGAUCGCGUGGCCGAAAACCGCACCUCAUUUGGAGUCUUCUAGCUCCCUCUACCUAUAAAUAUGUGCUCUCCUUCGAAAUCUCGCGGAUGAAACCCUAGCUCCUUCCACCUCGCGCCACCGGACAAAAUCUCCCACGCCGGACAUGUCCGCGCCGCUGCCACGUCAUCCCGCCCGCCUCCUCUCUCUCCCCACCUCCGCGGCCCGCCCCGGGCCGCAAUGGGCCCGAGCCGCCCGCGCGCCGCCUUCUCNNNNNNNNNNNNNNNNNNNNNNNNNNNNNNNNNNNNNNNNNNNNNNNNNNNNNNNNNNNNNNNNNNNNNNNNNNNNNNNNNNNNNNNNNNNNNNNNNNNNNNNNNNNNNNNNNNNNNNNNNNNNNNNNNNNNNNNNNNNNNNNNNNNNNNNNNNNNNNNNNNNNNNNNNNNNNNNNNNNNNNNNNNNNNNNNNNNNNNNNNNNNNNNNNNNNNNNNNNNNNNNNNNNNNNNNNNNNNNNNNNNNNNNNNNNNNNNNNNNNNNNNNNNNNNNNNNNNNNNNNNNNNNNCGCCGCCUUCUCCUCACCCGCGCCCGCACCUCCCGGCCGGAGCGCGCGCCACUGCCUCCGCCCUACUCUGGCCGCCCCCUCGACCGGCCGCCACCCCGCACCUCCCCUCACAGGACGGAGCUCGCCCGCCGCCGCCCGGCUUCCUCCUCGCCGCCGUGAGCCCCGCGCCUCCCCGCUCCUUCUCCGGCCAGAUCCGGCCGCGGGAGGGCCGGAUCCGACGAGCUACACCCUCCGGCGACCUCCAUCUCCACCACGGCGGCGUCUCCGGUGAGCCUCGGUUCGUGUGCACGAACCCUAGAUCUGAGAGAGGUUGACUUUUUGCCCCGUUCCAGUAUUUUUUUAGCGUUCUUCAUUGCAUCAUGACUCAUCAACCGUGGCUCCGUUUUGGGCGUGUAGCAUAUAAAAUUGUUCGUCUCGACGAGUACUUCAUUUCAUUCCAUGGCACCAUGUUCAUUUGAGUUCAUCUUGAUGCCCUAAAUGCUGUUGCAAGAGUGCUAGUUUAUAUUAGUUUUAGAUUCUUAUCAGAGUUUGAGCAUUUGUCAUUUUUGCCAUGAUUAAUGUGUGCCUCAUAUGAACUUGAGCCCUACAUGUGUUUUGAAGUAUGCCAUGCCAUCUUUACAGGGGUGUAUGCCAUAUAUUUUUGUGAUCUUUGUGGUGACUAGCACAAGCAUGCAAAGUAGCUCUCGUAAUGUUGCUGAUUUCAGGGACUUGGAAAUCUUCUAAGUCUUUGUCCUGUUAAUAUUUUUAUGCCAUGUAUUCAUGUUGCUACAGAGUGAUCCAUGCCUCUUUUGAGCAUGAUCAGUAAGGGUGUUUUGUAGAUAUUGUUGUGCUCUAUCCAUCCAUGUCUUUGUUUGCAAUUAUGGAGCAACCUAUCUUGACUCAAUCGAGCUCUACUUUUGCUAUAAAAUGUUCCUGGCAGAAUGUUUACGUGUUAAGCAUUUUUGCCGAGGUUGUUGUAAUUGAUCCAUGCAUGCUAUGAGGUUGUUCUUUCCAUGUUUAGCUUCUAUGCCAUGUCUACUUGUUGGUUGUAUGCUUAGUUUGUCAUGAAAUGCUUUGUGGUGAGUGCAUCGAGCUCGUAAACAUGCCUACGUGAAUAUGUUUUGCCAUGUUCCAGUUUUCUACUAAGUCUGAAUCUGUUAACGAUAAUUGCUAUGUUCACAUGGUUGCCAUUGUGUUUUCUGAUCCCUUUUGUCUUAUGGUCAGUAAGGGACUUUUGCUGUAUGCUUUGAGUAGCUCCAUGCCAUGCCUUGCUUUGCCAUGAUAUGUUCCUGUAGCAUGUUGAUAUCUUGCUCUAAACAUUGCUUCCUGAUGUUAAAUUCCUGACAUGUUAUUUCCACUAAGUCUGUGAACCUGAUAUCUUUUGCACUUUUGCCAUGCUUGUUUGAACCUGCUAUUGAGUGAAUUAGCCGUAGCUCAGUGUUCAUCUUUUGUCAAGCAUCUUGACGGGAUCCCUGCCAUGUGUUUUGUUGUUAUGUUAGAAUGCAGUAGCUUGUUGUUCUUGAUGCAUUUAGAUGGCCUCGUGCUGUUAAUUGCAGCUCGAUGCCAUAUUUGUUUUGCUUGUCAUUUGCAAAUCGUGCAUCCGAUUCCGGUGAUCUUUAUAUCAUUUUCGACCGAAAUCAUCUCAUCUUUCCAGUGGCACUCUUGGUUUUCCAAGUUGAGGCCUGAUUCAAUCUUUCAUUUCCGAAACAUGCAUAUGCAUCGCAUAUCACAUCCCGCAUAUCAUGCCAUGUUUUGCAUCAUGUUGCUUGUGCAUUGCACGUGGUUGAUUGUGUCUCCCUUUGCUUGUGUUCUUGCUUUGGGUAGAGCCGGGAGACGAGUUCAUGUUCGAGGUACCAGUUGAGUUCGUUUACGAGGAUCAAGCUUUUCGUCUUCUCGGAGAACUUUGCAGGCAAGAUGACCAUACCCUCAAAAUCACUUCUAUCUUUGCUUGUUAGAUGCUCGCUCUAUUGCUAUGCCUAUGCUACAAUACCUACCACUUGCUUAUCAUGCCUCCCAUAUUUCCAUGUCAACCCUCUAACCCACCUUGUCCUAGCAAACCGUUGUUUGGCUAUGUUACCGCUUUGCUCAGCCCCUCUUAUAGCGUUGUUAGUUGCAGGUGAAGAUUGGAGUUUGUUCCUUGUUGGAACAUGGAUAUUUUGUUGGAUAUCACAAUAUCUCUUAUUUUAAUUAAUACAUCUAUAUACUGGUAAAGGAUGGAAGGCUCGGCCUUAUGCCUGGUGUUUUGUUCCACUCUUGCCGCCCUAGUUUCCGUCAUACUGGUGUUAUGUUCCUUGAUUUUGUGUUCCUUACACGGUUGGGUUAUAAUGGGAACCCCUUGACAGUUCGCCUUGAAUAAAACUCCUCCAGCAAGGCCCAACAUUGGUUUUACCAUUUGCCACCUAGCCUUUUUCUUUCCCUUGGGUUCUGCAGACUCAAGGGUCAUCUUUAUUUAAACCCCCGGGCCAGUGCUCCUCUGAGUGUUGGUCCAAACUAGAGCCCCUUGCAGCGCCCCCUCGGAGAAACUCGAGGUUUGGUUUUAGUUGUACGGAGCGCUCAUCCGGUGUGCCCUGAGAACGAGAUAUGUGCAGCUCCUAUCGGGAUUUGUCGGCACAUCUGGGUGGCUUUGCUGGUCUUGUUUUACCAUUGUCGAAAUGUCUUGUAACCAGGAUUCCGAGUCUGAUCGGGUCUUCCUGGAAGAAGGAAUAUCCUUCGUUGACCGUGAGAGCUUGUGAUGGGCUAAGUUGGGACACCCCUGCAGGGUUUUGAUCUUUCGAAAGUCGUGCCCGCGGUUAUGGGCAGAUGGGAAUUUGUUAAUGUUUGGUUGUAGAUAACAUGAAACUUAACUUAAUUAAAAUGAAUCAACAAAGUGUGUAGCUGUGAUGGUCUCUUUUCGGCGGAGUCCGGGAAGAGAACACGGUCUCGUGUUAUGCUUGAACGUAGGUUGUUCUAGGAUCACUUCUUGAUCAUAGUUUCUCGACCGUGCCUUUGCCUUCUCUUCUCGCUCUCAUUUGCGUAUGUUAGCCACCAUAUAUGCUAGUGCUUGCUGCAGCUCCACCUCAUACCUUUUCCCUACAUAUAAGCUUAAAUAGUCUUGAUCGCGAGGGUGUGAGAUUGCUGAGUCCCCGUGACUCACAGAUUACUUCAAAACCAGAUGCAGGGACCGAGGAUACCGCUCUAGGUGAUUCGACUGAGCUCAAGUGGGAGUUCGAUGAGGACUCAGGACGAUACUAUGUUUCCUUUCCAGACGAUCAGUAGUGGUGCCCAGUUGGGGCGAUCAGGGACUUUGUUGCAUUUGGGGUUGUUCUUUAUUUUGGUUCCGUAGUCGGACCUUGAUUGUAUCUGGAUGAAUGUAAUGAUAUUUAUGCUAUUAUGUGACGUGGUGACUGUAAGCCAACUAUGUACCUCUUUUCCUUAUUUCAUUACAUGAGUUGUGUGAAGAUUACCCCACUUGCGACAUUGCUUACAAUGUGGUUAUGCCUCUAAGCCAUGCUUCGACAUGUGGGAGAUAUAGCCGCAUCGUGGGCAUUACACCCUUUAACUUAUAUAAGGAGGGGCAAGGCACCCCAGGAGGGGAAGUUUUAGACAGACAGACAAGUCUUAGACAAGAUCAAAGUAGAUGCUCUCGAGAUGAGAGGUAGCGAACCCUUGUAAUCAAGAUCAUCAUCAUCAUCAAUAACAAUCAAGCAGGAUGUAGGCUUUAACCUCCAUCGCGAGGGGCCGAACCUAGGUAAAACUCUUGUCUCUCGAUUCCGACCAACCCCGUUCAAGCAAACACCUAGCAGCGAUGGCCUCACGACUAAGUCAUUUUUCGAGGACAUCUGUCGUGACAAAACCAUGACAACAGGGCUAGAGGGAUGGCUAGGGGCGGCGGAAGCACGGUGGUGGGUGGCGGUUGAGGGGAUGGAGGGGCCGCAAGGCUGGCACUGGAGCGCUGGCGGCUGCGGGCGGUGGUUGUUGGCGGUCCGGCCGGUGGUCUGUGGUGGAGGGAGGAAGAAAUCGUCGGGAGGAAGGAGAUGCACUGUGAUCUAUUUUCAGAAAAUUGUUGUAGGUGAAAGAUGAUUGACGACCGUUAGAUUAGAUAUCAAGGGCAAAGAACCAUCGACUGACCCAAAUUGGGAUUUCAGUCGACUAGCACUUAGCCAGUCCCUUACACUUUUCUUAGUUGUAAGAGUGGUCAUUCUUGAUCAAUUUUCAAAGGUAAAAUUGAUACAUCCCAAGGCUCUAUGAUCCAAAUAAAAUGACCAGUAUCGAGUGAUAAAAUGCUCCAUGCUAAAUUAUGGGCAUCUGCAUUUGAAGCUUAGUUUUCGUGGACAAAGAUCACCUCCCUGAAUCCAUUCUCCAUUUCUUGAAUCUCCCUGAUCAGAGAGCUAUAAUGGCCAAGGUCACCUUCGCUGAGAGCACCACAACCGAGCUAGAGAUUACUCUUCCAAUGCAUGGCGUGAGGUCUACACUACUGAGAGCAGUCCUGUGCUGGAUCCUGCCUCCUGAUGGUUACAUGAAAUUCAUUAUGGACGGCGGAACUUGACCUUGGGAGGUGUCCAAACCUUCUAUAUGGUCUUGUUCAUGGUAGUCGACGUGGACCCCAAGAAUUGGAUCCUAUAAGUAGAGGUCACCGAAUACGUUUCGUUUGUCUCAAAUUUCCAAAAGAUGACAUCAUCAACAUCCAAUUAAAGUUGAAACUGCUCUAAACAAACCCAAGGAUUCCACGCAACCCGAAGCCAUAUUAGUGUGAGAACUCUUACAAAUUUUCCUAAGUGGAGGAUCCCAAGCCCACCGAUGUGGGUGCGGAGGCAGAGAGACUCCUAGUUGACCUUGCAUUUUGCGCCUGAAGUUUUAUCUUUUUUUCGGAAAGAGGGGAACACCCUCAGCUCCGCAUCGAGUGAUGCACACAUCCAUUUAUUAAAAAUGCAAGGUUCAACAUCCGAGUUCAACAAAUAAAAUGCCAAAAAUGGCUGCCCCAAGGGCAAUAAAAAACAUAGGAAAAUGAGCCUCAUACAUGAAGUUUAUCCUUAGCUAACUAAAGGAAAGCACGCCCAAUCUUAUUGUUGUUGUGUAGCACACCAGGGGGCCGGCGAGGGGGUGAUGUGGUAAAUGACUUGUCAAGUAAGGACCAAUUUAACCAAAGUCGCCCGACCGACCAUGCUGAUGUUUCUUCCUUGCCAGGAAGGAAGCUUUUAAGAAGGCUAGAGCCUUCACGAAGAAAUCAAGGUUUCCCUACUACAUUCUCGAGCAUAUCAAAGACGCAGCCAAAGAUUGGAUCACCGCAGCGGCUAGGCACCUGAGUAUCAUCAAUGCCGCGAGAGUAGUUGUUGUUUUCUUUUCAAACGGGCUAUGUUCUGGAGUUGAUAUGUUGCACUCUAAAACUCUUCUUAAUUAAUGAAUGAGGCAAGCCUUUUGCCUCUGUUUAAAAAAAAGUGAAUACGGUGCGGCAAAGGUUCAAGCGGAGAGAGCGUCAGUGGUUGUUUGCAGAAAUAUUGAAGGGACGUUUCAUGGCCCAUCAGCUCGUGUGUUUGGUAAUCUGACUCAUCCUGCAACGUUAUAGGCAUAGCCGUGUUGUGAAGCUUUGGUACUUGCAAAGGAUUUUCAGCCACAGAUAAAUUGCUACCAUUACAUAGAUGAUGGAUCAUGAACAUCAUGUUUAAGUAGGCAAUACUUAGGUGAUGGUUUUUAUAACUAGUAGUUUAUGUACUCGGCCAACCCAUGUAGGGAGGCACUAUUGAGCUCCCUUUAAGACGGGUUUGUAAAUAUUUUAGAAUGUUUCGCAUGAGGUUUAUUCCUUUUCUUUUAGUUCUUAUUUUGACUUUGAUUUUGAUUUUAUUUUAUUUUUCUGUGUUUCAUUUUCCAUUCAUGAAUAUUUAUAAACUUUUGCUCUCGUUAAUGAAAUCAAAAUUUUCUAAUUUGUGAAUAUUUUUAAAUUCAUGUUUUUUCCAAAUUCAUGCACUUAAAUUCACAAAUUUCUUUCAAAACCAAUGUAUUUCUUAUUAUGCCAUUUUAUGAAUUAGCAAAAAAAGGCGGUCGUUUUUCCUAUGCUAGUUUUUAGGCAAUUUUCCUAAGGUAGUUGAAGCGGAAAAAAAUCAACGAACAUGCGGAGCCCAAACCCUAUUUGUCGCCUUCUGCGCUGUUUAAUUCGAUUCUUGUAGACGACACACAGUGUGGGUGGGAGGGGAGGGGGAUUCUUAAACAUGCCGACCCAUAGAGCUGGGAUCUUUCCGCUUUAGGGGUACUUUUGGGCGGUUUUUUCUGUUUUUUAAUAAAUUGUCUGGUUUACAAGAUGUGACCAAUUUAAGUUUGUAAAGGUAAAAUAAAUGAGUGUGUUUGUUUGGAAGAGAGAAGCGCAGCGCAUGUAUGUAACCGUAUUGUACCAUGAUUGAAAAGAAUAAUGCUAAGGACAAAGGUUAAUGAUUGGUAAUAGGUGGAUGAAGGGGCUCACCACAAUUGAAUUCAGGGGGAGGGAGAUGAUUAGUUUGGGAAGUUAAGGAAAAUGUUUGUCCACUCGCAAAGAAAAAAGAGGAAAAUGUUUGUAGAAUUUUGUAGGUCUAGCAUUAUAUUGGACUGAAAAACAUGUGACCUAUUGUAUCAUCUAUCACGUUAAGAGUGCGUCGCAGUGUAUUUCAUUUGAGUAACAGUUCGCGAGUUACAUUAUUCUGGGCACCAAUCUUGAGCACUCGAUUAAGGGUCCGGGAUCUGCCGGCACCCAGCGGAACCAUAAUUUUCCGCUUUCAUAAGCUACAGAGAGCCGGAGGGUGAGGGUGCGGGGUAGGAACUCGCGCAGUCUGCUGGAGCGAAGGUCACGGUGCCCUUGUCGAGGUCGUACCCAACGUGCAUGUUCUGCUGGGCGAUGUUCCC
rnacentral:lncRNA from 1 species